rnacentral:lncRNA from 1 species
GUUGCUAAGGUGAACCUUCGCAUUGUUCGUGGAGGCUGUAAUCCAGCUUUAGUUAUUUUUAGCUUAUAUUUCUUUUUGUUGGGUUGCAUGCCCGAAAGCUGAACUCAUGUAACUUUAUUUAGAUGCUCCAUGGUCUAGUGUGGGGUUUGGGUUAGAGAUUUAUUACCUAAACUACUAUUGUUUUCGUAAAUCGUUUCGCGAUAUCUUGCUGGAUCAUUACUUUGCGUUUAAUGAUUAUUUCAUGCAUUUGAAGUUGUACACAUUUUUAUCUCAGUAUUGUAUACAUUGAGAAUGCAUGGAAAGUUGGUUCUCCCGACAAGUGCUGUUAGCGGGAGCCAGUCACGCCCAUGAGGUUUUUGGGAUGUGACACCUACUUCAUUGGCUGCUUCAUAUGAGGGGAGAUAAGUAUCUUGUGUUAAGAAGUUACCAUGUUGUGGAUGACACAUGCUUUGCAUUACUGGCCACUUUUAGUGGUUUUUACGCUUUUUUAGUUGAUUAUCAUGUUACCCUAGGCGUUCUGUCUCUUUUUAUCAGUAGGUAAUAUUGUUCAAUCAUCACAUAGCCAAGGGCUCGUUGUUUCUGUAGUUGGAAGAUUACUGUGUCUCCAUCGUUAGGAGAAUCAAGGAAUUUUGUCGUUUGCCUGGAGAUAUAGGGGAGCUCCCGAUGUAUCUGAAGCAUGCGAUGGAUUCCAAAGAUUCAGAUCUUAAUUCCAGCUCCACGCAAUCAGAAGGAAUUGAAGAUGAGAUGAAAGCAGCUGCACAAGAUAUUGCCAGUUAUCAGGUUUCUUUUUUAGGAUGCAGUUUCUGGGUUUAUUUCUCUUUUUUUUGUCGUUAUAAACAUAAAAACACAACACUUAAAUAUAAUAGUCAUGGUCAGAAUCAAAGAUAACGAAAGGCUUUGGUCUAUUGUGAACAUUUAACCAAAUAAAUUCCAUUGGGAAUAACUAAGAAUUGCAAGAGCGGUAAGCACUGUAUAUUAUGGACAAGCUCGGCUACUUUAUCUAGCUUACAUCACUGUUCACAACUUAUAGGACCCCUUUGAUAAAAGAUUCAAAAUCGUAUCUACUUACUGCUUUCUCACAUCACAACUGCUUACCUAAGCGUACAUUUACACUACUUUCAAAGUCCACAACAACCAUGAGUCUAUACUUAUAACCUACUGGCUAAUCUGGCCAUUUUCAUACUUCAAGCAAGGACACAAUUCACCUCGCCUAAUAACUCCUUCACUAUCUUCUACUAAUAAACUAACACACAAGGACGAAUCGCUUUAUUACCAACUCCAUCUCAUGCAAAAAGAUUCAGCUAUACAUAUAUUCAACCACCACAAGAACAACACGUUGAACGAUAAAUUGCUAGUGAAUCGAAAUAGGCCUCACACGGCUUUACUAGACUUUGAUUUUUUUGUGGUUUGAACAAGAAAAUGAGAUGAAUGACAAGGCAACUAUGCUAAUGAAUUGAAAGAGCCCCACACGGCUUCACUAGACUUUUUAGUUUCAUCAACACAAUGAUAAAAUAUUUUCAAGAGAUAGAAACUUGUCACACAAUAUUCCAUAAUCUGACAAUAAACAUCUUACUUUGGAUAGAUACAAAUCUGAGUCAAAUAUUUCCCCCACAGAUUAUCAUACAAUCCACACACGUUACUAGCUACCAAUAGGUCAUGACACUGACACUUUAACGUAUACUAUUAUUUGAGUGGAAAUACAAUUCCAACACUUCUACUAUACAUCUUUUCCCUUAAUCAUGACAUCUGCAACAUAAAUUUCUGAAAAGGGCCGAAUAUACUCAAUACAGAAGGAUGAAAAGCACGAUUUUGUCAAGAUCAAGGUUCACACUAGAACCUAUACACUCUGAAGCAAUAACGGACUCUUCUCAAGUCCUUGCACAAUUUUAUGAUCUUAUAUGACGCGAUUCGAAGGGAUAAUACCAUUUAGACUCUAAACUUCUGCACUUGAAUCACCCCAGUAAUGUGACGGGUCUGAGAACAUUAGAGUAAGGAAAGAAUUUAGGAUGAUUUUACUUUCAUAUGGACGUCACCAUAGCACGAAUUAGAGUAUGAAGGAGGAACAUUCUGACUCUGUUCCAUGAACUAGAACAUGAAGAAAGAGAGACAUUUCUAAAUGCAUUGUAGCCUCCUGCUUAUAAGUGUGGCGCGCUACACACCCAUAAACAAGACUCUAUCUGAAGAGAUUUCACAGACACCCUGGGACCAUGAACUGUGCUCUAAUACCAAGUUUGUCAUGAUCCGAAACAGGGCCCUGGCCGUGACGAGUAUCCCGAACUAUGAAGGCCCGAAACACCCCUAUUUAUCUGGUAAUCAUGCACAUAAUUCAUAUGAUAAAAGAAUUGAGAAAGAUACACAAUAUUACGGAAACAUGGUCAUAAGUCUAAUAAAAUCAAUAAUGGAAAAUAAAGUCCCACAACAUCUAUCAACAUCUGAAAUUCGUCUGCGAAAAUCUCCACUACAUGACUAAUAGCAACUAUCUGAAAUCUGGGACAAGGCCCCCAGUAGACCAAAACAUGACAUAAAGAUAAGUAUCUGAAAGUUAACAGGCCUUCUGGGAUAUAGAAGGCUCACCCCUGCACAAUCUGCUCUGCAAUCUAAAAUAUCUACUAUUUAUCUGGACCCCUAGACUGUGUCUCAAAACCUGAAAGGAGGGGGGGUCAGUACAAAAGUACUGGCACGCGAAGCAAUUCAAAAUAGACUAAUUGAACAUAUAUAUAUAUAUAUAAUAUACGUGAGAGAAAUUUUCAUCAAAACAUCAUGCAUAAAACAGUUUCUGAAAAACACAUGGGCACUUUCUGAAAAUAUAUAACCUGUCUGUAAAUUUCAAAUUCUGAUCUGUGUAUUACUUCUGAGUUUGGUGGUAUCCCCUACAAGUAUGAUAUUCCACGGGCGAUAUAGAAUCCGCCAUUGACUCGGCGGGGAAGCCUCCAACCCAAGUGUGCCACAAGGGUUGGAGUUCCUGAAUCUGAUAUGUCACACAACACCUAAGUCAGCAUAUAAUAAUAUACCCAGGUCGGCAAAUCACGGUUUUGGACAAAGAGUUGUCUGAAGUCACGCCUUCUUCGGAGAACCACCUAAGCUCUCUUUAUGCCAUAUUUUAGCCUUUUUUGAACAUGCAUCAUUCUGAAGUUCUAAAACGCAAAUUUGAUAAAUUCUGAUUUCUGUAUUUGUCUGUGUUUGUUAUGGCAUUUUCAUAGUUUGGUUUCGUCAUACCAAGACUUGCAAGUCAUGAUUUAUGAGCCAUAAUACAUUAAGAUAAAUAUUUCAUUUAAAGCAAAGCUUAGACCACCCAAGAACAUGCAACUGAUAUAGAAGAUUUCGUGUUCCGAAACUCAAGUCAAAAUCAUGCAAAAACUUCAUCAAACAUAUGGUGGUCCAGUGCCUUUAACAAUAGUUCAACCAUUUCAUAUAGUUCUUUUCAAGAAUGCAUUGCAAAACAAUUCAUAUGCUAUGAAAAAUCUAAAAAUUCAUACAUGUUUUUAUACAUAAAUAUUCUCGAAUCACUUUGGGGAAGGUCAAAAGACCAAAACAAUGAUGUUAAAACAUCUAAUACAUGAAUAUAUACAUAGUUCAAAAACCCCAUUCUAAAACAUGAUUUUUCUAUGCCCAUGAGAAUUUAGGAAAACCCCGCGUACCUUGAUUACGAAGAAUAAUGGAUGAUUCUUGAAGCUUGUGGAUUGGGGAUUCCGAAUCUCUAAUUUGUUUUGAAAUUCCAUGGUUGAAUCUUGAACUACUUGCGUUUUUAUUUUGAAACCCUAAGGGAUGUUCUUGAGAGAAAAUUUGAGAAAAGAAUUAUAUUUUGAUGAAUUGAGGGCUAAAUCUGGUGUCAAAGUCGAAACUGUCCCUCAGUUGACAAGCUGACAGGCUGAAGUAAAACGGGUAUAACUCAUUACUCAGAUAUUGGAUUUGGAUGAAACCAGUUGUAUUGGAAAUAAGACUCAAAGAGAUUUCAUUUGAUAGGUAGCAGCUCUUCCAUUUCAUUAUAUUCAGAUAGUUAUGAUCGUUUGAAGUUGACCCUGAAAUGCUGAAAACUGGGCAAAAGGCUAUAUGUUUUGCUACUGUUUUGAAAUCCAAACGUAGCCUUAUGCGUUCCAAAAAAUUCCGAAACUUAUUCGAGAUAUACUAUGAGCUUGUCCGAUCGUAACGCAACUUGAAAAUCUAAAAACAGAUGGUUAAAAAGUUGCAUUCCGAAAAUUGCAAGCUAAAAUGACUCUAAGCACUUAGAAAAAUUUUCAAGUUUUUAGUCUAAGGGCUCUCUAUGAAAGGCUAAUCCAUGCACGACUUUUAUGGGGUGUUACAGCUGUUUUAUUGCCAUUGCCUACAUAGAUGUAUCUUUCAACAUCAUUUGACGCUCGGCUCCUUAGGCAAUCCGGCAUAGUAGCACUUACGUGAGUAGUUGCACCCGUAUCUAUCCUCCAAGUGUCACUAGGUACCAUAGCGAAAUUAACUUCUGAGAAAACGAAGUUGAGAAGUUUACCUUUCUUUUUAUGCCAGCUAGCGUACUUGGAACAUUCUUUCUUUAUGUGACCAAUUUUCUUGCAAAAGAAACAAGUCUUUGGAUUCUUGGACUUUGAUGUUCCUUCAUCUGCAGUUUCCUUAGUCUUACUCCAUUUUCGCUUAUUUGAAGCGGUUUUAGUUUCAGAGUUAGAUGCCAAAUGAGCACUUUCAAUCUUCUCUUGUUUCAGUCUAUCCUCUUCUUGCACACAUUGAGCUAUAAGCUCAUUCAAAUUCCAUUUCUCUUUUUGAGUAUUAUAUGAAACUUUGAAUUGAAUGAAUUGUGUUGGAAGGGAGAUGAAAACUAGAUGCACAAGUAUGUCGUCAGACAAUUCAAGCUUAAAGGCCCUGAGUUUUGUCACAAGAUUACACAUUUCCAUAAUGUACUCUCUUAUGUUUCCUUUUCCUUUAUAUCGCAUGAAACUAUCUUAUUAAGAAUAGUACUUGUUUCAACCUUUUCGUUAGUAGCGAAUCGGUCUGCGAUUUCCUUUAAGAAACCUUUGGCAUCUGUGUUCUCUGUUAUACCGCCUCUUAAGGAUUCCGGAAUCGAGUGUUGCAUCAUCAUCAAGCUCAUACGAUUUGAUUGCUCCCACUUCUCGUAUGCAGACUUUUGUUCAUUCGAACUAGUUUCAUUCAAGUCCGCAGGGUGAUCAAAUCUCAAUGCAUAAUCAAGAUCCAUGCAACCAAGAACAAUCAUAAUGUGUUCUUUCCAUUUCUUGAAGUUUGUGCCGUUGAGCACAGCAAUGUUAUUCAUGUUUGUAGAUAUAGAAGAUACUACAAGAUAAAUAAAUAAUGCUCACAAUUAACCAUCAAAUAAAUCAUGUAUAUGUGAAGAUAAUCAAAUUAAAAAAAAUUGAAAGAAACUAUAACAAAUAAACUCAAAACUUCACAUUUAUCAAACACAUAUACACAAAAGUGGCCCCAUCUCAAGACACCUAACACAACAUUAUCAUUUAGUCUUUGGACAGAAAUAAUAAUUUGUAAUUGAUACUCUUAUACACAGUUUAUAAACAUUGAUUACUUAAACGGCCUAAUAAUAUGCCUUUCUUUGGACCAACACAUUAUCAGCAUGUGUUAUAAAUAUAUCACAUGUUCAUAACUAUCCGUAAUAUGACCAAAAUAAUCUCCUUUGGGAUACUUAUUUCGCAUAGAUAAAACAUACUUACAUGUUCAAAGUAAAUAAAUCUAAGCAAUAGAAGUUAUUUGGUAAGAUAUUGAUUUAAUUCAUUCAUUUUGUUCCAGAAGUACAAAUGAUAGCAAUUUAAAAAUAAGCUAUAACAGGAAUGGACAAAAAAUUCUCCAAAUUAAAAUAAAAGCCAAAACACUUAUACUAUGUUUUUCCAGAAAGUUUCUGUGCCAAACACUUUCAAUAUAUUUAAAAAGAAAAAAAGAAAAAAAAAAUUGACUCUUGCCAAUCUUAGAAUCGAAGAAACAAUAAGAUUCUGUCAUAAUUAUUUCAAAAGAAAUAACAACACCGUAACAUAACAAAACUGAAAAUUAAGGAUGUUGCUGUAUCUCCUAUAUUAUUCAUUAAAUAAUUUUAGUCCAUAUGGCAAUUUCUCAAGCGACAUCACUUUCGUCUUGAAAAUUUAUGAUAACAAAAUUACGUUCCAAAAUCUAGUUUCAACGGAAUUGGAAAACAACGUAAUACUUGCCUAUUGAUCGCCAAGAAAUUAUCCAAAAACUUGUUUACAAAUAGACAAAAAACGAGUGUCAUAUCACAACAAAAUUAAAAUAGACACUUUGAAGUUGUACAACCACUAAACCAAGAAGCUAAAUUUGAUUUCCGAAAAAUUAAAUAUCACGUCUAAUGAUCUGACAAGACCUCGCUCCGAUACCACUUGUUAGAAAACUUUAAAGAACUUCACCCAAGAUCACAUGUAAAUCAUUAGACAGAAAUUCAAAACUAGAAGAACAAUAAGAACACUAACCUUGUUCCAUUGUAAAUAACUUGAUUUUGAAUUCUUGUUUUAUGUAAGUUGUAUGAUCUUCUAAGUUUUAAUACGCUUUCUAUAUUCUUUUCUUAGAUGGGGUAGAGAAAGAGAAAAGUUAGUAUAAAUUUAGGGACCAUGAUAUUUAUAUCUGACUCUUCCAAAAGGCACCUUUUAGUUAUUCCUCUUUAGAAGAGGUACCUUUUCAAUUAAGUUUCCAUCACAAUUAUGAAAAGGUUCUUGAGGUUUAACUUAUCAAAAUAAACUUAUAUUAAAUAGAUAUUUACAUUUUAAGCCCAAAUAAUUUAAUACUAUAUUAGAUCAAAAUUUGGGUUUCUUUAAAGAUAGCAUAUCUAUGAAUAAUAUAUUAAUAUGUGAAUCCACAAAAUAGAAAAUUACUAAAACUACGAACUCCAAACCUACGAUGUUGCUCAUUGCGUCAGAUAUAGAUCCUUGCAACUUGUUGUGUCUUAGAGAAAGGUGUGCCAAAUUUUACAAGCGUCCAAUUUCUCUAAGAAUUUCAUUUGAGAAUUGAUUCUUUGACAGGUCCAUCUUUGUUACAGCCUUUAUAUUUCUAAUUUCUUGAGGUAAAGAACCUACCAUGUUGUUUGACGACAAGUCAAGAACCACUAGAUCUUGAAGGUUCCCUAAGCUUGGUGGUAUAUUGGAACUCAAUUUGUUGGAACCCAGAUUUAUCUCCCUAAGGGAAGUAAGAUUCCCUAAACAAUAAGGAAGAGAUCCUGAAAGUUGAUUUUGACCCAAGUAAAUAUCACCCAAAUGCUGCAAUUUACAUAUAUGAUCUCCAAUAAAUCCUGUAAGUUUGUUGUUGGUCAAGUUGAAGCGCUGACGGUUUCUCAAGUUACCAAUUGACGUUGGAAUCGAUCCAACCAAAUUGUUUCCAGAAAAAUCUAGGAAUAAUAAGUUGCUUAAGUUCCCAACUUCAUUUGAAAUUCGCCCUUUGAUUUUACAACUGUUGGCAAAAAAAUUUCUAAGAGAUGUGGAAAGGUUCCUCAUGGAGGCUGGAAGCAUGCCAUUUAGCGGGUUGAGAGAUAUAUCAAGAAAUGUUAAAUUUCUGCUAUUGGUUAAGUAAGUCAAGAAGCUUAAUGAUGAGUCACUAGUUAAAUUAUUUUCCUCUAAAUUUAGUAACUAUAGAUGAGUCAAAUAUCCAAGAGAAUUGGGAAUCAAUCCAGUGAGUUUGUUGCCUGCAAGAUCAAGAAUAGUAAGUUUUGAACAAUUUGAGAUGGAAAGAGGAAUAGUCCCCACAAAAUUGGUUAAGCUGUCUAGAUAAAGGUGUUCAAUGUUGGGUAAGAUAGAAUCUAUGUUUGAUGAGAGGCUUCCUGAUAGACUAUUUGAUGAACGAUCAAUUAUUCUCAGCCCUGAUAUGUUGAAGAUCUCCGUAUCAAGUUGACCACUAAAACUAUUAUCCGCAAGAUCAAGUUCCUCCAACUCAAUGAGAUUGCUUAUCUCUUUAGGUAUUUCACCUAUCAACACAUGAAGAAAAAAUAAAAACAGGUCAGAUGAACUAUUUAGCUCAAUCAUUAUCUAUGCGAUUCAUGCUUUCGUUUGACUUGAUGAGAAGACUCUUGAAUUUUAAUUGAUUAUGGGAGAAGGUGUCGACAAGAACUCAGAAAAUUAUGUAAUAGCUAUAUACUUCUUUUUCCUAUUGUUAUUGAUCAAAGUCUUAAGAAGGAUGUACACAUUAUAUAUUUUUUUCUCCAUUAAAGUUCUUAAUUUAAUUUUCUGCAGGUUUGUAUUUUUAUAUGGACUCAAAUAUACAAAACUGAUACUUUAUUAGAAGUUAGCUAACUACCUAACAGGAGUUCAAAUUUACUGGUUAUUUCUUAAAACAAAUUAAUUUUAAAUAUUAAAAAACUCUCCUUUCUUGUCAUACGCUUGAAGAUUUAUUUAUAAUUAUUAUAUUUUAUGACUCAUUACAUGCAUAAAUUCAUAGAAUUUUAAUAGUUCUAAGGGAUUUAUAAAAAUUAACAUGAGACAACAUUAGAAUAUAUAUGUACCUAUUUUCUUAUUUCCACUAAUCUGUAGGCGUUGCAUCUUGGUUAAGUUGCCAAUCCCCCGUGGUAAGAAUCCCCUAAGAUUGUGCUGCCACAGUGACAAAAUUUGCAGCGAUGAGAUAUGGAAUAUGGAGAUUGGGACAGAGCCGGUAAUCUGGUUUUUCUACAUCCAGAACUCCAUCAAAUUAAUAAGAUUUUCAAUUUCUUGUGAAAUUAUUCCUGCAGUUAAUGUGUAUAAAUAUUUUUUUUUGAAGUAAUUGAAUGUAAUAUUACUAGCAUUCAUAAGAUAAAACAUACCUGUGAAAUGGUUAGUUCCGAGAUACAAUAUCUGCAAGUUACUCAAUAUUCCAAUUUCACUAUGUAUUGGUCCAUCAAACUCAUUAUAAGAUAAAGACAAAAUUUGAAGUUGUGAACAAUUUGAUAAGCUUGUAGGCAUAUGACCGCGAAGCUUGUUUGUGGAUAGAUAAAGCCCUUUUAGUAUUGGGAGACCAUUGCAUAAACCAUUGGGAAGAUAUCCUGAUAAGCUAUUGCCUGUAAAUGCAGUGACUUUGAUCCUAGAAAUAUUGAAAAUUGUGAAUGGUAUGGAACCCGUAAGUUGAUUAUAUUGUAUGGACAACCGGUUCAUGUUGUGAAGAUUCCGAUCCCUUCUGGAAUCUUUCCUUGAAGUGAAUUAUAAGAUAUCUCAAAAGUCUCCAACCUCGAGGCAUUCGAGAGUGACAGAGGAAUAAUGCAAUGCACUAUGUUUUACAUGGCACUUACAUAAAGAAGUCCGGGGACCAUUAUUUUCCCCUUUGUUUCUUCUAUCCUUUCUGUUCCCAUUUCAAUACAGUAAAUGCCUUUCUGUUUGUUGAUCCAAUUGUGAACUUGCCUCAACUAUUGUCUGUUUCUAUUAUUUCUUACACUGCACGGGGCAAAAUAGACACUCAUGAAGCAAUUAGUACAUGGUCGAAAGUUUUGAAAUUUUGCUACAGAUGAUGAAUGGCAGGAUGAAACUUUCCUGCAUAAGAUAGCUGAUGAGGUCAAGUUGAUGACGAUCAGGUUUAUUCCACUUCUUUGAUAGGAAAUGUACCAACAUCAAAACCAGUCUUUGCAAGCAACGACUCCUUUGUGGGAUCGUCUACUCUGGCCAUGACAAUACCAGCCUUCUCCAUGUUCACACUUAGACCAGUGACUACUGAAUUGAUUCAGUGCUUCCAUAACUCUGGAAGGAAAUCCAUAACCAAUUCCCUGCUGACCGUUUCGUACGCUUUUCACAAAUCAAUCUUCAUUAAACACCUGGGAGAAGUUUUCCACUAAUAGUGUUCGAGCAUAUCAUGGAAGAUCAGGAUAUUGUGCAUCAUGGACCUUCCUGGAACAAUUUCAGCUUGAUUUCCUGCUACUAUAUGCUUUAAAGUCCUUUAAGCCUAGUACAUAAUCUUAGAGAUGCAUUUAUAUAAAACAUUACAACACGAUAUAGGCCUGCAUUGGAUCGUAAAUUUAUGGGCAUUUACCUUAGGUAGGAAAGCAAUCCACGUGAGUCAACAGCUUGCCGUUAUGAAAGAAGUCCAUCACUGCAUUUGUGACAUCUUUACCCACUAUAUCCCAUGAUGCUUUGAAGAAGCCACUUCCAAAACCAUCGGGGCCCGGGCUCUUAUUGCUUUCAAUCUGAAAUAUUUCAUCAUAAGGAUGCAACUACUCAAUUUGUUGUUCAAUUCUAAGCAACGGACCAAAAAUCUUUGAUUCUGUCCUCCAUUUUCCUCCCCAAUAAAUCUUGAUAAUAGUUCACAAAAAUUCCAUAGGAUCAGACUUCCACUCCCCCCUUUCAUCCUUCAGUUGUGUUGUGGCAUGAUGCAAUCAGUUGUACUUAAUAACAAAGAAGAAAUAGUUAGUGUUAUAUUCUCCUAGUCUUGUCCAAUUUACUUUACUUCUUUGUUGCAGAUACACCUCAGCCAUAUAGAAUGAACUUCUAAAUUUUUGAAACUUCUCCCUUUCAUAAGCUUGUAACGCUAAGUUUUGAGGGUCAGACUGUAAUUGUUUUUGGGCUUGAAACAGUGUGUCUCUAUCUUCAUUUUCUUCCUUAAGUGACUUUUUCAUGAGUUUUAAUAUUGUGUGUGAGAGAGAGAGAUCGUCUUUUAACUAGAUUUAGCUUAAAAGUUUACUUGUUUUAGAUUUUCAUGUGUAAUUUACUCCGACUCUUCAAAAAUGUCGAUGGGUGUCUGUCUGAUCCUCCAAAAGUAGUGUAUUUUUGAGGGAUCCGAUACGAGUGCAGCAGCCUUUUCGGAUAGUCCAAGCAACAUAGCUCAAUGUCACAAGAAGUUGCAUUUUGCUUCACCAACGAAAAAAAGAAGUGGAGGCAUUUUUUUUCUGGAUGAACAAAAAAAUGCACUCUUAAAUAGGACAGACGCUGUGCUUUAUCUUCUAAAGCAUUAAAUAGGACAGACGCUGUGCUCGAAACAAAUCCACAAGUGUUCUUUUUUGGGUGAGUAGGAACCUAUGUUGCUCAAAAUUGUUGUCGAGUGUAUGUUGGAUACUUCAAAAAGAAAUACGGUUUUGCAAGUGUGGGGCGACAUUUUUGAAAAGCUCGAGUAACAUAGGUAGGAAUUUGAAACAGGUAAUAAGAGGUCUUGGGUACAAACACAGAUUAGUUCAACUAACUUUACUACAACAUACCCAGUAAAAUCUCACAAGUGAUGUCUGGGGAGGUAGCGUGCAUGCAAACCUUACCACUACCUCGUGAGGUAGAAAGACUACCACCAAGAGGGUGGCUUUUGCAGGAUUAAACAAAGGGCAGAAGCACUGAGCUAACUAGCAAUCUCAGUGCUGUUUCAAGAUUUUCAAGUUCCACCCUUAUGCAAUAUACAAAUCAAAAGGAAACAGCCAGAUUUAUUGCAACCAGCUAGAAUUUCUGAAAACAGAAUCAUGCACAAAUCAAGUGCUAAAAGAUAAAAGAGAACCAUUAUAAAAAUAUUCAACAUGCAAGAAAUUGAAUCUUGAUCUUCUGCAGCAUCGCUACAUCUUUAAUGUUAGUCCUUCUUGCCGGUGAUUCAGCACAACAAUCUAAUGCUACUUUGAGGAUUGAUGCCACAACAUGUAGCUCCUUCUGUGAGCCUUUACCUGUUGCUGUUACCAAGUUGGCAUCUACGGCAUCCAUUACUGCCUUUGGGAGCGAAUAACUCACCCAUUGUUUCAAGCUAAGAUCUCCCUCAAACUCAUUAGGUUUUCUCCUUGUAAACGUUUCCAGCAACAUGAUCCCGUAACUGUAUACGUCACACUUUGUUGACACUAGUGCAUUCAGUCCAUACUCUACAGUCAAACAAUUAAUUAAAAGAUGCAAUACACUUUCUAGCUGGAAUAAAAAAGGGAAAAUCAGAAAAAAUAAGAGACGUACCCGGUGCAAUAUAACCCAGUCUUGCUAAGGUUUUAGUGUACAAAUCACCCUGAUCUUCACCAAGCAGUUUUGAAAUGCCAAAGUCGCUGAGGUGGGCAACCAUAUCCUCAUUCAGCAAGACGUUACCAGGCUUCAGAUCACAAUGGAUCACAGGCGACGAGCACCGAGGGUGAAGAUAUUCCAAAGCACAUGCCACAUCUAUCAUUAUACUUAGUCUCUGCCUGAUGUCGAGGAAGUAGUUGUGCGAAUACAAAUAUUUUUCAAGGCUCCCAUUAGGCAUAUACUCGAGAACUAAAGCCUUGAAAUCAAGAUUAGAACAACUAGUAAUGACUUUUACGAGAUUCCUAUGGCGAAGGCUACGGAAAACUUCACAUUCCGUAUCAAAACUCUUGAAUGCCACAUCCAGUUGCAGGUUGAACACUUUAACUGCAAUGACAGUUCCACUACUGAGAACGGCUUUGUAAACUGAGCCAAAACUUCCAGAACCAAUCAUAUUACUCUCACUAAGCACAUUAGUUGCUUGGAGAAGUUCAUAGUAUGAAAUCCUUUCUCUUGCCACGGUAGACAAUGAAUCAGCUUGCUGAGGAGCACUUUUUCCUCUUCUAUACCUUAUCCAUAGGAGCACAAUGGUCAAAGGAACAAAUACAACUACAAUUGCGAGCAAAAGAAAAAGAACUAGCAAUAUUUUCCUAUUUGAUCUGUGCUUUGAUGAAGUGGGGCAUGGCAGGACACUAAAUCUUGAAGACCCACACAAUGCUUCAUUGUAAAUGAAAAACUGACUCGAGAGGUUCUUGAAAGGACCCCCCGAGGGUAUUUCACCAUACAAUUGGUUGUUUGAAACAUCGAAAUACUUGAGGUAUUGAAAUUUCUCAAAAGACAUGGGAAUGAUUCCCGAUAUAUUAUUGUGAGACUAGGAAUUCCAAACCUACCAUGUUGCUCAUUGAGUCAGGUAUAGCCCCUUGCAACUUGUUGUGUCUCAAAGAAAGGUACGCCAAAGUUUGCAAGCCUCCAAUUUCUCUCGGAAUUUCAUUUGAGAAUUGAUUCAUCGACAGAUCCAUCUUUGUUACAGCCUUUAGAUUUCCAAUUUCUUGAGGUAAAGAACCUACCAUGUUGUUUGACGAUAAGUCAAUAACCACCAGAUCUUGAAGGUUCCCUAAGCUUGGUGGUAUAUUAGAACUGAAUUUGUUGGAACCGAGAUGUAUCUCCCUAAGGGAAGUAAUAUUCCCUAAACAAUAAGGAAGAGAUCCUGAAAAUUGAUUUUGACCGAAGUAAAUAGCACCCAAAUGCUGCAAUUUACAUAAAUGAUCUCCAAUAAAUCCUGUAAAUUUAUUGCUACUCAAGUUGAACCGCUGAAGGUCUCUCAAGUUGCCAAUUGAUGUCGGAAUCGAUCCGACCAUGUUAUUUCCAGAAAGAUCAAGGUCUAAUAAGCUGCUUAAGUUCCCAACUUCAUUUGAAAUUCGCCCUAUGAUUUUGCAAUUUUUGGCAUAAAAGUUUCUAAGAGAGGUGGAAAGGUUUCCCAUGGCGACUGGAAGCAUGCCAUUUAGAGGGUUGAAAGAUAUAUCAAGAAAUGUUAAAUUUUUGUUAUUGGUUAAGGAAGUCAGGAAGCUUAAUGAUGAGUCACUGGUUAAAUUAUUUUCCUCAAUGUUUAGAUACUGUAGAUGAGUCAAAUAUCCAAGUGAGCUGGGAAUCAAGCCACUGAGUUUGUUGCCUGAAAGAUCUAGAAUAGUAAGUUUUGAACAAUUGGAGAUGGAAUGAGGAAUAGUCCCAACAAGAUUGGUUAAGCUGUCUAGAUAAAGCUCUUCAAUGUUGGAUAAGAUAGAACCUAUGUUCGAUGGGAGGGUUCCUGAUAGAUUAUUGUUGAAAAGAGAAACUAAUUUCAGUCCUGAUAUGUUGAAGGUCUCCAUUUCAAGUGAACCACUAAAACUAUUAUAUGCAAGACUAAGUAUCUCCAAAUCAACGAGAUUCCUCAUCUGUUUGGUAUUUCAUUUGUCAACACAUGAAGAAAGACUAGUGAGCUUAACUAGUAACAGUUGUAUUUUUCUCUACAAUUAAACCUAUUUUCAUGAAGAAAUAAAAAUUGCAUAUUGGUUAAGCUGCCAAUGUCUGGUGGUAAGGUUCCCUUGAGAUUGUUUUCCCCAUAUUUAACAACAUUUCCCAGUUCUAAUGGAAUUAUCCCUGCAAUUGGAUUCAAUACUACUAACAGUCAUAAAAUAAUUAAUAAAACAGGAACAUACCUAUGAAAUGGUUAUAUCCGAGAUGCAAUAACUGCAGGUUACUCAAUCUUCCAAAUUCACUAUGUAUAUGUCCAUCAAACUCAUUAUAUGAUAAGGACAAUAGUUGAAGUUGUGAACAAUUCGACAAACUUGUUGGCAUAUGACCGUGAAGCUUGUUAUCGGAAAGAUAAAGGCUGUUUGAGUAUUGGGAGACAAUUGCAUAAACCAUUGGGAAGAAUUCCUGAUAAGCUAUUGCCACUAAAUUCAAUGACUUCGAUCCUAGAAAUAUUGAAAAUUGUGAAAGGUAUAGAACCCGUAAGUUGAUUAUGCUAUAAUCCCAACCAGUUUACAUUGUGUAGAUUGCCAAUUCCUUCUGGAAUAUUUCCUUGAAGUAAAUUGAAAGACAAAUCUUAAGUCUCUAACCUUGAGGCAUUCAUGAGUGACGGAGGAAUGGAGCCUAUGAGAUUGUUUCCGUACAAGCUUAAAUAUCUCAUGUUUUCAACACCUUUAAUCUCUUUUGGGAAUUGACCAUCAAAGGAAUUGAAUGUUAAAUCCAAAGAUUCAAGCUUUGUAAUAUUAAAAAAAGAAUAUGGGAGAGAGCCAGUGAAACUAUUAUUCCUAAGAUUUAGAACUUGAAGAUGGUGUAAAAAUCCAAGCCAAGAAGGAACCUCCCCGCUGAAGCUGUUGAAACUUAAAUCAAGAACCUUCAGUCGAUGCAAAUGAAUACAUAAGGAUUAUUUUUGACGAGACAAAAUUACAUGUCGAAAAUAUAUAUUUGACCAAUCUUCUAGGUAUUUAGUUAUACAUGAACCCAAAAUAUUCAAACCUGAAAUUAUAGUUCAUCAUAACCAUUGCUAGUCCUUAUAUGCAAUGAUAAUAAAGGACGGAACCGUAUUCUUAUUAUAUUUUGCCAAAUAAAAAAGGUGACCAUAUUAAAAUGAUCAAUUCAAAGACCUUAAAUGGUUAAUCCUUCUUUAACACUUUGAAAAGUACAUGAUAGAGAAAGAAAAAGAAUGAAAAAAUGUGAACAAUUUCUUCUAUUGGUGCAUUCUCUUUUCCUUACUUUUCUCUCCCUCUUUGUGUGUAUGCAUGCAAAAUGUAUGUAGUAAAGUAUUGUGUGUGGAUGUGUAUGUUAUCAUUUAUUCUUUUUUGAUAAUCAUUAUAUUCAUGCAUGCAUGGAUCAUAUAUUAUAUCAAAUCUCACUUCAAAUUUAAUCAUAACAAAGAUUUGAAUACUCUAGUAUUACAACAACAAAUGUAAAAUAAGAUUAACUCCACUUCAUAAUAUUGAAAUUGAAUUUCGCAUAAUCGUGAUAUUGUAUUAUUCAAAUAAAGGUAAAGGGUUACCUUUUGGAAAAAUAGUUGCCAACAAAAGAAAGAAGAAGUUGUGAACUCGAAACCACGAACCAAACCUCAAACUCCAACUUGUUGUCUACCUGUUUAUGUUAUUUGCUUUUUGUUUCUGUCAAAUGUUACUCCCUUUUCUUCUUAACUCUUCUCUUUUCUUGUUUUUCUAUCCCAAUCCGUAUUUUUUUUUUCAAGAUUCCUCUUCCUUUUUUCCUAUUUUUGUCCGUUUUAUUUCCCUAAUCCUCUCUAUUCGUUCCCCUUAUCUUUGUGUUUUUCUAUGUCCCCUUUGUGUCUGUGUGGGUGUACUAUAUAAUGUAUAAGGUUGGGAAGUUGAGGGAGUUGAGGAAAAGGUGGGGAUGAUUGGGGUAGUUUUCUUUAGGAUAAAAUUUUUUUUAUAAAUAUAUAAUGUAUAAGGUUGGGAAGUUGAGGGAUUUUUUUAAUUUUUUUUUUUUAAAUAUUUAUAAAAAAAAUAUUAUAAUAAUUUUUUUAAAUUAAAUUUAAAAAAAAAAAAAGAUUUAAGACAUGACGUGGACCUCUAAUUAGCUGCCACGUGGUAAAGCUGUUUUCUAAAAACCGGCUGUUAAAAGUAAUGGCAUGGAUGAACCAAUUUUGUAACGGUGAUGGCAUUAAUGAGCCCAACUUUUAAUGGAUGACAUAAAUGAGUCAUUUCUAAUAGUUCAGUGGCAUAUUUGAGCCUUUUCCCUAAUUAUAAAUAUGAUUACAAAAAGUCCUCUAAUUAGCCAAAGAAUUGGCAAGUCAACCAAGUCUUGCUUUAUUUUUUGUGGCAAAAAGCCCUCUUUUGCAAAUAGUUUUGCUUUCAUAUUCUGUAGAAUUGUGUGGUGAAGAGUAGUGCCACACUAACUAAUACUAUAGUAUUUAGUCAAAUAGUUUUGCUUUCAUAUUCUGUAGAAUUGUGUGGUGAAGAGUAGUGCCACACUAACUAAUACUAUAGUAUUUAGUCAACCUAGCACUAGUGGAGCAAUGAGAGCCUUCCUAAAUAGUCAAGUUUUGUCCAAUGAAUUACUUUCUAUAAUGAUGAAAUGAACAAUUCAAUCAAAAAAUAUUUUAUUCAUAAAAGAAAUGGCCUUUUGUCACUUAAUUAUAUCAUGCUGAUGGCUGAUUAUACUAUCUAGACCUUAUGCUAUGCAUACAUCUCUGGCCAACUUUUGUCCGCUUAAUUCUUUGGAAAUAGUCUUGCUUUCAUAAUUUGUAGAAUUGUGUGGUGAAGAGUAGUGCCAAUAAUUGCCAAAUCUUGUUAUUUGGUUUCUCCAAGCACUAAUGUCUAAUGCUGAUAGAAUUGAGGAAUUAAACCAAUUCAUUGGUGUAAGUGGUGAAGUUGUUGUCAUGUGAUCACAAGGUCAAUGACUAGUUCGAGCUGUGCAAACAGCCUCUUGUAAAAAUGUGGGGUAUGGCUAUGUACGACAGAUCCUUAUGGUCUAAGCCUUUCCCAACCCUAGCCAUAGCAGGAGCUUAGUGCACCGGGCUGCCCUUUAUUGGCCUCAACAACAACUUUUCUUUUAAAUAUCUUGAUAUCCAAACUACUUGUGAAGAAAAAAGGUGGCAUCCUUCAGUGGCCAAGAUCACUGCAGGAACAUUACAAGGAUGGCAAGGCAAAUUAUUGUCUUAUAGGGGCAGAGGUGUUCUUAUUAAGCAAUUUUACAAGCCAUCUAAUUGAUCCCCCCUAAAACAGUGAAGAAGCAAAUUGUGAGUUGCAUUGCUAACUUUUCCGGCUCGCGCAGUUUGUUAUCUCAGCUCCAAAAUGAUUUGUUGCAAAGAAAUUGAUAGAUUUCUGUGGAGUUCAUAAAUGCAUAAAAGGAAUAAAAGUAAUGGCUGCGGCUCACUGAGGCACUUCUUUUACGGUCCUUGUAGGCCUGUCUGCCGGUCUGCUCUGAAGAAUUCAUGAUUUAUAUAUGUUUCAGGGCAGUGAGAGAAAGUGCGGAAUAAGGACUGAUUUCUCAUAAGGGAAAGGUGUGAAUAAAUACAUCUAAUGAAAGGUGGGACUUGACAAUUGGACUGGAGAAGGACCUCUGCUAAAUUUAUACCUACUGGAAGCCCUUAUUGUUUUUUCAAGUGUCAUCAUCUUUUGGUUAUUAUAUUUCUACAAUUGCAUUUAUAGUUCAUUUAGGAUAAUUAAAUGUCCGAAAAGUAAUUUUAGGUGUUAAAAACUGACUUUAUAAACUUACUAGGUAUUGAGGAAAUAGGAUAUCCGGGGACGGCCCUUAUUUCCCCUUCUUUUCUUCUGUGAUCAUUACUCAGGUAUGAAGUCUUCCUUUCAAGGUCUCAAUACCAGCGGUUCGUUGAUCCAAUUGUGAACUUGUCUUUAAGUGUCAUGUUUUCUAGACAACUUCUGCUUCUUUUAUUUUUUAGACUGCACUGGGGAAAAAUCGACACUAAUAAAGCAAAAGAUUUGGGGAGAAUCCGUUUGAAAUGAAUAUGCAGCUGACCACAUGAUUUCUUGCCCACAAAGUGUUCAGACGUUUUGCCUCGAUGAAUUUCUAGAAAUUAUUUGUGUUUUCAACUAUGUCUCAGGUGUUACAAGUGUGUGCAUGAGUGCUGAUUCAGUAAAGAUGGUUUCCCAGCCGAUUUGCUUCUCUAAGUGAUACGAUAAAAAUUUGCAAGACACGAAAUCACUCAAAAAAUAGUCCACAAACACACUCCAAAAUAGUCCACAAAUUAUUAAGUUCCUUGGACCGAUUGGAGACCUCUCUCGGAUUCACAAAUACAACAAGAAUACAAGGUGAACAAGGUUUAUUUCACACCAAAACAGCAAUAAUACAUGAAGAACAAGAUGAACACAAAGGCACAAGAUUCGGAUUUAACAAUAACAACAAGAACACAAGAUUACAACACAAAUACUAAACACGAUUACAAGAAAGUAAAGGGAUAGAUAGAUAGACCACAUGAAGGUAUAAACUUAAGAGCCCAAGAAUGGACACUCUUGGACCCUUAACACUACACACAAUAAUAAACCUAUCUCUUACAUGACACAAGACCGGAUUGCACCUCUCUAGCAUCAAUGUUUCCAAGCAAGCAACAACAAAAGAGAAUCCACCCUAUUGUUGUAUCCUAGUUUCGGUUUUGGUGCCUCAAGGAGAGAGGAAUUGUGUUCUUUGGUCUUUCAAGACUCACAAAUAUCAUCAAAAACUAAAUCUAAAAACCUUACAAUGUUCCUUUUAUAACUAUUACAAAAUAUAAGUUAAAAUAAUCAAAAGGCCCUUAAAAGAGUGGGCACCUAUCUAGUAUAAUUUAUGGGCUGAUUUGGAUGUAUUUUGGGCCUCUUUUACCCUUCAAUUGCAAAUGCCAAGGCUCGGGUCCAACAUGCACUCUCCUAAGUCCAUAUCCGAGAUUAUUCCUGUAUCAUCCUCUCCAUCUUGAGAAGAAUUUGUCCACAAAUUCAGGGCUUCACCUCGUUCAAUGGGUCACUUCAAAGGAAACCUACUCAAAACAAUCCGUAAACAAGUCACAAAAACAAGUCAAAAACAGUCCACAAAAUCAUGCAGAAUCCGAGGGUUCAAUAACAACAAGUCUUGGCCAACAUCUUCAUUUUGAACCUCGGCUUCCUCUCCAUCUUAAUUCUUGUCUUCAAUCUCAUCCGAAACAAGUCUCCUACCAUCAUACAAGUAUUGUAGUAGUCUCCAUAUCCUUCAUUUUCCUUUCUACCAUACUCCUCUACAUGGAUAUAUCAGUUUUGGUGAAGUAGAGUUUCGGUUGAGAGGAAUGAUUUGGUAAGGGGGAGCUUCGGUUGUGGAGCUUGGAUGGGAGGAAAUUGGCUUUCAAGUCCCUCAUGUUGGACUUGAUCAAAUUGAGGGGGAAGUGACUCAUUUAGGUCUCGGGUUUGAGGACAUUUGUUGGAUUGACUUAUGUCUAUGUCAUUUAGUGGUGGUCUUGGAGGGUUGAUCGUUUGAGGUAAAUCUUCGGAAGUAGAAACAUGAGAGUUCCUUUGACUUUUCACUCGAUCUAACCUCUCAAGUAUAGUAGACAUAUCCGAGCCCAAUUUAUCAAGACCCGCAUUCGCCUUAGCUAUUUCUCGGGCAAUGACAUCAAGGUGGGCCAAAAUUGUGUCCAUUAUGGCAAAGGAGUUACCUACAAAACAGAAAAUACGUUAGUUGUACAAAAACAUCCUCACUCUAUCUUUUAUUUCUUGUCUCUUGGAUCCCUCACACUCAAUCUCACAAGUGUUGUAAGCUUGAUUGUACUCCGAGAGGUGUUGAUAGGUGGAUCAAGUGUGUACAACGACACAAAAGAAUAAAACACACAAAGAAACGUAAACACACACACAAAAAAAAAUGCGGUUUCAAACCAACUCACAAUCUAGUAAUUGGUCACUAGCUUGUAAGUUAGUAUGGGAAUCAACAAACGAAACUAAAGACACAAAAUGAAACUAAAAGAUCAAAAAUUGAGCAUAAAAUUUGGUGAACAGUAAUUGGCGAUGUGGCAGUCUUUGAUUGGCCUCGGUCAACAAUUUUAUUUUCCAAAUUUGAAAGUUUUGAUCAAUUCUACAAUUUGAACUUUGAUGAAAAUUGUUCAAUGGAGGAAAAUACAAACUAGUCUUUAGAAUUCAAAUUUGAACACUCAAAAGUCUUUGACUAAACUUGUACUCCUUAAAACAUGGAUCCUUGUUUCAUGGAAAAGUGGUUGAAAAGUGAUGUAAAGUCUUUUGGUGGUUGGGGGUCUUUUAAGACUAACAAUUACUUACACUUCUUUCCUUCACCUUUUAGGAUCUAUCAUUCACUUUAUGUUAACAAGGUGAAGAACUUCAAGAACAAAACAACCACAACAAGAACAACCAACAAAAAUCUCCCAAGAACAACAAGUUCCAACGCCCAAUUCCACAACAACAAGAUCAACAAUAAAACCACCAACAAACGUCCAAGCUUCUUUGGUGUUGUAUUUUCGGCUUUAACACUAGAUGAAGGUUGUGAUGAACAACAAGAACACAACAACAACUACCAAGAUCAACCAAAACACCAACCAACGCCCAACAACAAGGUCACCACACGGCCAAGUUAAAACAACAACUUCAACUCACGGCCACUUCUUGUUCACAACAACAACAUAAAUUUUUAAAGCUCAAAUCUAGAUAUACACUCAAUGCGUUAGUGAGAAACAAAACUAACACUUAGUGACAACAAAUACGAGUAAAAAUCUCGGCCAAGACACAACAAGAACACACUUUUCGGCCAAGAAUACAACACGGACAGAUUGCUAUUUUUUCUUGAAUUUUCAGUUUUGAACACUUUUUUUUUUCACUAACAAGCCCAAGUUCGAUCUUGUGGGAACAAGAUCAAACCAUGCUCUGAUACCAAAUGAUACGAUAAAAACUUGGAAGACACGAAAUCACUCAAAAAAUAGUCCACAAACACACUCCAAAACAGUGCACAAAUCACUAAGAUCCUUGGACCGAUUGUCGACCUCUCUCGGGUUCACAAAUACAACAAGAAUACAAGGUGAACAAGGUGUAUUUCACACCAAAAUAGCAAAAAUACGUGAAGAACAAGAUGAACACAAAGGCACAGGAUUCGGAUUUAACAAUAACAACAAGAACACAAGAUUACAACACAAACACUAAACACGAUUACAAGAAAGUAAAGGGAUAGAUAGAUAAGAAGGUAUAAACUUAAGAGCCCAAGAAUGGACACUCGUGGUCCCUUAACAAUACACACAACAAUAAACCUAUCUCUCACGUGACACAAGAUCGGAUUGCACCUCUCUAGCAUCAAUGUUUCCAAGCAAGCAACAACAAAAGAGAAUCCACCCUAUUGUUGUAUCCUAGUUUCGAUUUUGGUGCCUCAAGGAGAGAGGAAUUGUGUUCUUUGGUCUUUCAAGACUCACAAAUAUCAUCAAAAACUAAAUCUAAAAACCUUACAAUGUUCCUUUUAUAACUAUUACAAAAUAUUAGUUAAAAUGACCAAAAGGCCCUUCAAAGAGUGGGCACCUAUCUAGUGUAAUUUAUGGGCUGAUUUGGGUGCAUUUUGGGCCUCUUUUACACUUCAAUUUCACAUGCCAAGGCUCGGGUCUAACAUGCACUCUCCUAAGUCCAUAUCCGAGAUUAUUCCUGUAUCACUAAGGCCACCCUCCGUAAUCUGUCUAAUCUACUUAACAAUGUCAUGAAACUAGCCACAUGACAUUAUUUUGUAUAUUUCCAGAAUUUCCAUCUCAACAAGAUACUUCCUGCACUCUCAUUCAUCGUUGGCAUUUCCAUCACUGGACAAAAUCCUUGAAAGUAAUAGUCACUUGUUGGGUUUUAAAGUCUGUAUUCUCUAUAUCUAAGAAGUUGUUCUUAUAUUUGUUGUUGAUUGUGUUCCAUCAUUUUGUAACAUUAAUAUUAAGAGGAAAUAGUAAAGAUUUAUUGCAACCAACUAGCAUUUUUGAAAACAGAAUCAUGCAAAAAGCAAGUGCUAAAAAAAUAAAAAGAAGCAAUCUUUACAUGAAUCGAUCAAUUUAGCAAACAUUUGCAACAAACAGAGUGAUUUGAAACAACAGAUUCCGAGAACAUGCUCAGCAUGCAAGAAGUUGAAACUUGAUUUUCUGUAGCAUCCCAACAACAUCUUUCAUGUUUGUCCUUCUUGCCGGAGUUUCAACACAACAAUCUAAUGCAACAUUCAUGAUUGAAGCCACAACAUCAAGCUCCUUCUGUAAGUUUGGAAAUGACCUUCUAAGGAAUUGAAUUUCAGAUUCAAAGACUCAAGUUUGGAAAUAUUAGAAAAUAAAGAAGGGAUGGAACCAGUGAAACUAUUAUUCCCAAGAUUUAGAAAUUGAAGUUGGUGCAAAAAUCCAAACAAAGAAGGAACCUCCCCGCUGAAGCUGUUGUAACUUAACCAAAGAAACUUAAGCCGACACAAGUGUGCCGUGGAAAACCAAAGUCAAGCUUCAAAGUUGUCGAAAUACGGCUAGGAUGAAGAUUGCUGCUUUGAUACCAUGUCAAAAAUACAAAAUACUAGCUAAUUAUAGUAAGAAUAUCAAAGAACUAAGCAACUGGUAGCAUUCAUUUAGAGAGAGAAUAAUUGCAAUUCUCAUUGAUUCAUAUUUUGUUAGCUUACAAUGAAAGCAAAUGGGAGUAUUUAUAGACUCCAAGUCUCAACUCACUAUCACUCAACAUGUGCACAACAUGUGUUUGUUAUAACUAACUCUAACCAACCCCUCACUCCUUUUAGCUUUAUUUUCUUUGGCUAGAUAUUUCCAACACUGUUGUAACUUAACCAAAGAAACUUAAGCCGACGCAAGCGUGCCAUUUCUUGAGGCAAAUUACCCUGGAAAUUGUUGCUUUCCAAGUCAAGAGAAACAAGAAAUGUGAGGUUUCCAAAUUCCCUGGGAAUCUUGCCCGUAAGAUCCAUGUUGGAAAGAUUCAAGGACUUCACUCGCCGGUAACGAGAACCACAAGUGACUCCAACCCAAUGACAAACGGACGUAGUGGGAGACCAACUUUCACCCAAGAAGUGAAAGGGGUCCGAAAUAAUUUGGGAUUUCAAAGAGAGAAGAGCCAAUUGAUCAGUGGUAAUGUUGGUUUUGGUCAUGGCCGAACUAGCCAUAACAUAGUGAAGCAGCAAGAGUACUAUUAAGAGAAAAGAACUGAAGGUUUUCUCCAUUGGUCCAAAAAUUAGUAGGAAAAUGGUAUGGCUUAUAACAUGUGGUUUUGAGACUUAAAAUAGCAAUGAAAUCUCCCUUUUGGUCUUUGAAAAAAUUACUUUUCUUCAUUCAUUCUGUCAUAUUCAGCACGGCGUUAAAAUUUUCAUUUAGGGGUUUCAAAAUAAAAAAAAAGUAAAUUCACGAAAAAGUCAAAGAGUGUCAAUACAUAAUAUAUACAUUAAAAAAAUAGUUUUACCAAGUCUUGCAAGUUUCAGUUAGAAUUGUAAAUAUGGUUCAUAAAUUCCCCUAAUCAGAUAAAGACUUGUCCAUGUUCCUUUAAUAAGUUAAUUUUACUAAAUUAUGUUAUACGCUUGAGAUUUUUCUUUUUUACAUGAUUAUGAUAGUUUAGGGAGAAAAGUGUGAAAUAUACUUGAACUUUGGCGAAAUUUGAUGUAGCACGUCUCAACUUUGAGGGGUUUGAAGUGGUCCAACUAAGCAAAUAUAUGUCACGGAAAUAUGGUAAAGAAUAAUGGGAAAAGGACACCACGUGGCUCUUUUGAAAAGUAAUGGACAAUAAUGGUCCACGUUUCACUUUUUGGACAAAACUGACACUUCGGCUGUUUUAAAUGUCAUUUAUUAGCCCUUCAUUUAAUAAGACACACGCUAAAGGAAAAAGGUUUAAAGUUGUACACUUUCCUUUUGAAGUUGGUUUCCGAAUAGGGUUUUGUGACUUUUUAUUCUUUCCAUAACCACUCUUCUUACUUCUUUCCAUGACCAAUCUUCUUUCUUCUUGCUCUUCUUUCUCCAACUAUGAUAGUUAAGAACCCAACAAAACUCAUAUCUCUUUUCUUCUAGUUUUUAAUUUUUUUUAUUAAGAACCCAACAAAACUCAUAUUUUUAUUAUUCUAAUUCUUAUUUUUUUCUAUUUAGGUUAUCUAAAUCGAAUUGAGUUUUUGAAUUAUGUGGGUGGAUGAAAAAUGAGAUAGAGGAAUAAAAGAAGAAAAAAUAUGCAAAAUCUAGAAGUUGAUCGGCAUGGAAGAAAAGGGCUAUUGUGUUGAAGCUAAAGUAAUAGUGGAUAGGUAUGUGACGAAGAAAUUUGAAGGAAAUGGAUUAUUUUUGAAAAAAAAAUGUGUUUUAUGAUUCGAGAUUACAUAAUAUUGAUUAUCUAAGGAGAUUUCAAAGAAAUGAAGGUUUGUAUAUGAUGUGUAUAAAAAUUGUAUGUUUAAGAUUUGUAUAUGAUGUGUAUAAAAACUGUAUAUUUCAGGUUUGAAUAUGAUGUGUAUAAAAACUGUAUAAGAACUGUAUAUUUAAGAUUUGUAUAUUAUGUGUAUUAGAACUAUAUAUUUAAGGUUUGUAUAUGAUGUGUAUAAAAACUGUAUAUUUAAGGUAUAUGAUAUGUAUAAAAAUUGUAUUAUAUAGAAUAUAUUUUCUAUAUAUUAUCUGUAUAGAAUUUGUAUCAUUGUUGUAAAGAAUAUGUAUAUCUAUAGGAUGUACAUAAACUGCAUAAAUAUUGUAUAGAAUAUGUAUCUAAAUAAUUAUUGUACCUAAAUAGUGUACAGAAUGUGUAUAGCCUCUUGGCAAAAAUAAAAGAUACGAAAAUAGUUUUAAAACAUGUAUAUGAGUCAUUAAAAUAUGCUAUUUUAAAAAAAUUGUUAUUCAAAAAAUACAAAAUUUUAUUUGGUUACGACAUUAUAAAUUAGUAUUUGAUUAUUUUAAAGAACUACAAAAAUUUAUUUGAUUGUUUUGAUUAUUGAUAGAAUUAAAAAAAAUAUAUAGAAACAUGAGUGUUUUUUAAAAAAAAAUGAGCACAACCAAAAUAAAAGGGAAAGGGAAGAAAACACAAUUACCAUUAAAAAAAAAAAAACAACGAAAAAACAAUAAAAAAUAAAUACAAUUUUUACACUUUAUAUAAUAAUAAUAAAAGAAGCAAAAGGAGCAACAACAAAAGUAAAAUAAAAAAGACAAAAUAAGCAAUAUCAAAAAAAAAGUCAAAGAAAGCGGCUUAGCUAGUGAAAUGACCAAAAAAUAGUAUUUUGAAACAUGAGUUAUUUUCGUGUCUUUUAUUUUGGCUAAGAGACUAUUUUUGUCCUUCUCCCAAUAAUAAUCUAGGGGGAUCAUAGGACCCCCGUUAAGUUGAGGCGUGUUAAUGCAAAUUUCAUCAAAGUUUAAGUAUAUUUCGAACCUUUUUCCCGAUAGUUUAUAUAGUUGAUCAUGACAUGUUUAUAAUCUGUAGACUUUUACAUUCUAGUUACUUUUUGUAGAAGUUAAUUUAACUCUUUUUUAUAUCGGAUGGUAGUGUAAAAGGUGCUUUUAAUUAUUGUUUAUAACUUAUUUGCAGUUUCGACUUGUUUGAUGGUAUGUUUUUGUGAGUUUUUUUUUUAAUAAAAGAAUACAUAACAUUAAUUUGUAUUUCCUGGCAUCAUUUUAGAGAAUUUUUCAGGUUAUCUGGGCCUCAAAGACUUGACAAAAUUGGAGAAGAUAAAAAAUACACCAAGUCUGUAUAUACGUACAUUUGGUGGCAAAGUUAUUCCUCUAAUCAGUCCAAACACUCUCCAAGUUGCCUUCUACUUGGCGUCGUACGUGGCCAAUUCUUGUCCUACAUGGCGUCCUAUGUGUAUUAUAUAACAUAGAACGUGUGUGUCUGCUUGUUCAAAGGUUUCAAAACACUCCCUAAUUUGCCUUCUAAUAAAGUUAUGUGCACUAGCUAAGUAUAUGGGGAAUUUUUAUGUAAUUAGCAGUCCCUAAUUGAUUCUAGUUACUAAUAUGUAGGUAAUAUAUAUGACAACAUGAAAAACUAUUUACAUUCUCGAUCAAAUAUAACACAGUUAGCAAAUUAUUCUAGCGCAGUAUAAUAUCUUGAUGGGACUAUUUACUUUUAAUUUUUAGGAUGUUUUUAUAUUUUUUAAAAAUUCUAAAAAAGUACACAACAUGUACAGCAUGUUUGGAUUGUCUUACUUUAAAUGUUUUUAAGAUAAAAUAGCUUUUAAACACUUUAUUUGUAAUCUUUUCUUAUGUGUCGUGUUUUCUAGACAUGUUCUGUCUCUUUUAUUUUAAAUGUUUUUAGUUAGUUUAAAAUGGAGGAUUCUCUUGUUAUCUCGAUAUUAUAUUUUUCUCUACAAGUUUUCCAAAUGGCAUAAUUAUUGUUAUUUCAGCAUUGUCGGCCUAUGGUGUCUACUGGUUAAUCUGAAACGCCAUACUCCUUCUAUCAUUUACUUUUCAAUCAGAAUUAUAAUAUGGUGCAAGAAUUCCCCUAAUCAGCCAAUUACUUUUGCAAGUCAAGUAGUCAAACAAGUCUUGUUUCAUUUUCUCAAGAAUUGUGUGGUGCAAAAAAGGUAUGUCAUGCUCCUCUAAUAAGUUACAUUUGUUAAAUUAUACUAUACGUUCAAGAAAUAUUUUUACAUGAUAAGCAUAAUUUUAUAUAGUUGAUCAUGACAUGUUUAUUAAUUAUUAUCCUUUUAUCUCUAGGAUAGAAUUUGCAGACGUUUACAUUCUAGUUAAUUUUUGUAAAAGUUAAUUUAGCACUUCUACAUGAUAUGGCAAUAUAAAGAGAGUUUGUUUGAGACUUUGAGUCAUGUUUUUGAAAAGAGAGAAGUAUCAAUUACUCUCCUGAAGUUGUCAUGGUACACCUAAAUUUCAAGUUGUCUUAAAUACCUUCCCCCCUAAAAUUGUUGAUUUAGUAAGUCAGGGGGCCUUUUUUGGCCCGCGUGGCACAAUAUCUGGUUUCAAACUCCAUCAGGCGCGUGAUGGAGUAAAUUUUUUGUCAAAUGAUCAGUUUUCAACAGUCAAAUAUGGAAAAAAAAAAAACAUUUUUCUUUAUUUUUUUCAAAAACUUCAAAGCGUCCUUUCUCUGCUCUUCCUAUGUAAGAGAUUGUUCCUGAUUGUUGUGCGUAGGGGUUGUGCCAAAAAGAAGUUGAAUAUUACUGACUUUUCUUAGUGUAUUAUUGGACGGAAUAAACUUUUGGAUAGUUUUUCUUUUGAUCCGGGUCCAAUUUGCUAUUGUUAAAAAGGAGUUGGUGACAGAGAGAAAUGUGUUGUAGAGUGAUAAGACGGUCAACAACUAGUUAUCAAAUGUAAUGACAUUCUACCUCUAUAUGCUUUGUGUUUUCAUGUUGAUAGGGUUUGUGGCUAUUUUAAUCGCACUAGUGUUAUCAGCAUGUAACACGUAGGGGAUAUAAUAGCAACACCAAGCUCAGAUAAUAGACAUCGCGGCCAAAGAAUUUUCGAAAUUGCUGCUGACAUAGCUCGAUAUUGAGCCUCCGUAGAUGAUUUAGACGUACGAUAUUGUUUCUUACAUUUUCAAGAUAUCAAGGAUGUGCCUAGAAACAUGCACUACCGUAAUGGAACGACGCGAAUCAGGUCAAUCAGCCCAAUCUGCAUCAUUAUAUUCCUUAAGAUGUAUAGGAGAAUCAGAACGGAAGAGAACAUCUUGAUUCAUAGAACCACGGACAUACAGGAUGACACGAAGUAACGCAAUUUGAUGUAUACUAUACACUCGAGAAAUAUUUUUACAUGAUUAGCAUAUUUUAUAUAGUUGAUCAUAACAUAUUUAUAAUCCUUUUAUCUCUAAGUUUGGACAAAAUCCGGGGCAUUUACAAUCAAGUUACUUUUUACAGAUAAUUUAGCACAUUUAUAUGGGAUGGUAAUAAAAGGAGUUUGUUUGAGUCAUUACUGAAGUUACUUAAAAUUAUUGUUUAUAUUUUACAUGAAAUUUUAAGAAUAUUCUUGUAUGAACUUUUUUUUUAUAAAAGAUUACAUAAAAAUAAUUUGUAUUGAUUGUUAUCAUUUUAGGGAAUUUUCCUGAUUAUGAGACCUCAAAGACUUUACAAAAUUGUAGAAGAUCAAAAAUACACAAAGUCUUGCAACUGUAAAUGUGGUGUCAAAUUUAUUUCUCUAAUCAAUCCAAAAAACUUUUCAAGUUGCCUUCUACAAAAGUAAUGUAUAUUAAUUAUAUGGAGAAUUUUAUGUGAUAGUAUAAUUAAUUAAUUAUAUUUUCUUUUUAGGUAAUAUAAAACUCGAUCAAUUUUAUUUUUAUAAAAAAUUAAAAUAUUGGGAUUAAACCGAUUGAGUUGGUCGGCUUUUGCUACUUCCAUAGAUAGAAUGGAAUUUUUUUUCUAAAAACUCUGAAUUUAUACGUACACUAGCUAUAUCGAGAAUUUUAGAUGUUUAGUUACUUAAUAUAGUUUAUAAUUGAUUCUAGUUACAUUUUAAGUACUACGAAGCAGUUAAAUCAUAAUGGAUGAGAAGUAAUCCCAAACUCUAAAGUUAUACGUACACUAGCUAUAUUCAUUAUUGGAAAAACAGCACAAUAGCAGUUAUCCAGAUGACAAAUUCAACUAAAACUCAUAAUUUGACUUAACAAGGUCUCCUAUGAAGUAAUCCCAAAGUGGAAAGUGGUGAUGUUCGAAACAAAAUUUGACCUAAGAAAUUGGUCAAAUAGCAACAGUAGCCGUAACAACAACAACAACAAUAAAUGGUCAACAAGAAGAAGAUGAAGAUAAUAAUGAAGUAAAAGAUGAUUAAUAAAGCAACAACAAUAAUUGACAACAUAAAACGCUAAGAGAGAGAAAACAAUAAUGGAUGAGAAGAGCGAGAAAGACGCCUUUUUUGCCUCCGUUUCCCGUUAUAUUAGGUAAACAUUUGGAUCAAAGUAUAUAUUUUAAAACUUUAUGGGUUAUUUUCAAAUUUUAUCAAUUUUCUUAAUCUAUAAUAAAGUAAUUAUCACCUCCAUCUAAUAAUUAAUACUUGUGUGACCUACACCUCAUUUUAAAACUCUUUUAUCAGCUAAAGCUCAAAGCCGCUAGUUACUUAGUAUAGUUUAUAAUUGAUUCUAGUUACUUUUUAAGUACCACGAUAGUGUGGAAAAUAUUUACCCUCUUGAUCAAGGUAAUGAAAUGACCAAAAGAAUUUUUGUUAUUGUAAUAUAGGAUUGAAUAAGGUGGGUUCGUUAAUCUAGGCAUUAAAAAUAAAUUCAUGAUUAAAAUAAAAAUAUAUAGUGUAAUCGAAUAUUUUACAAAAAAGAAAAAAAAAAAUCUGCACUUGUGCGUGGAGUUUGUGCCAAAAUGUACAUUUUGAUCAAAUCUAGACAGGCUCAAGAUGAAAUCACAAAAGCAAGAAUGUGCGGAAUGUAAUUUAUUUGUUUUUCCUAUUUUUACUAUGAGUUAUUUUCCUAAUUUUAACAAACUUGUUUUUCCAUAGAUCACUGAUUAUAGAGGGAGGAAUCAUGUUCUUCCACAACGACCCUUAACUCUAAAUUUUACUUUCUUUUAGAGAGAUUUUUAUAAAUUUUUGUUCUUAAAUAGUACUCAACAUUUCUUUGUAACGACUGAUGCCAUUUGACUCUUUAGUUACUUGGUUCCCUAACUCAUAUAGUUUAGGCGAACAAAAUUGUAACACCCCGUAUUUUCGGACUACAAUAUAGACCAUGAUUUCGAUGAGUUGAUAAUCCCGAAGCAAUAAAUCCUAUGCCUAUAUGGCAUGUUAAUUAUUUGCGUAGUAUGUGAAUCCAUUCAAGCUUGAAUUUAGAUCAUAGAGGUCCUUCAACUCAAGGACGAGUUGAAACUAUUUCGAUCGAUUAAGUUUUAGUGGACGUUGUAAAUUGUGUCAGCUUCCAUCGACCAUAACUCUCUGUAUAUGUCGAAUUAGAGAGCCUACUAUGUGUAAAAUGAUAGGUUUCCGAGUUAGCUUUCCAACGAUACCAAUUUUGCUAAAAUCCGGCACCCGAGCAAGAAGUUAUGGCCUUUUAAAGUAAUAUGUGUCGCCUAACCAAUCGCACAUGGCCACUGGAAAGCAUAGGCGAUAGCCUAGGCGGCGCCUAUGUAAACAUAGGCAAUGGCAUAGGCGAUGGCAUAGGCGGUGCCUAUGUAAAGGUUUCAAGUGACUUAAACACUCCGUUUUUGUGGAAAAAUGGUCCUUUUCCACCCUUUGUUAGCCCUAAACACGAUAUUCAGUUCCAAAGACCCCAAAAUACACCUUCAUUCAUCAAAAGUGCUCAAGGAUUCUCCUUAGGGUUUCAAAAUAAAAAUUCAAGCAACUCAAGAUUCAACCGGGGGUUUUAGAAACUAAUUGCAUAUUUGGAAUCCNNNNNNNNNNNNNNNNNNNNNNNNNNNNNNNNNNNNNNNNNNNNNNNNNNNNNNNNNNNNNNNNNNNNNNNNNNNNNNNNNNNNNNNNNNNNNNNNNNNNNNNNNNNNNNNNNNNNNNNNNNNNNNNNNNNNNNNNNNNNNNNNNNNNNNNNNNNNNNNNNNNNNNNNNNNNNNNNNNNNNNNNNNNNNNNNNNNNNNNNNNNNNNNNNNNNNNNNNNNNNNNNNNNNNNNNNNNNNNNNNNNNNNNNNNNNNNNNNNNNNNNNNNNNNNNNNNNNNNNNNNNNNNNNNNNNNNNNNNNNNNNNNNNNNNNNNNNNNNNNNNNNNNNNNNNNNNNNNNNNNNNNNNNNNNNNNNNNNNNNNNNNNNNNNNNNNNNNNNNNNNNNNNNNNNNNNNNNNNNNNNNNNNNNNNNNNNNNNNNNNNNNNNNNNNNNNNNNNNNNNNNNNNNNNNNNNNNNNNNNNNNNNNNNNNNNNNNNNNNNNNNNNNNNNNNNNNNNNNNNNNNNNNNNNNNNNNNNNNNNNNNNNNNNNNNNNNNNNNNNNNNNNNNNNNNNNNNNNNNNNNNNNNNNNNNNNNNNNNNNNNNNNNNNNNNNNNNNNNNNNNNNNNNNNNNNNNNNNNNNNNGGCCGCCGAGCACUAGAGGCGGAUUCCACAUAGCCGUGGAAUUAUGAUUGUAGGGUAUUCCACCUAGUUCAAUCGCAUUACAUUGGUAUUGAAAACUAUUACAUUAUGCCCAUGUGUUUCCAAAUAAUUUGAUAUGAAACUGCUUUAUAAUGGCUCUCACCUAUAUUGUAGAAAAAUAUUAUAUUUCUGUUUUGAUUUCUCUACAUACCAAUACUUUUGUAUUGACCCCCUCUCCUCCCAGGUUCGAAGGCACAGUUUAGGGGUCCAGACAACCAGUAGUUUCCCUCCGACAGAUCGCAAAAUCAAGUGGUGAGCCUUCUAUAUUUCGGAAGGCCUGAUGUCUGCAGUUUAAUUUAUCAUUUAUUAGUUUUGGGUCUACUGGGGCCCUUGUCCCAGUUUUUAGAUAGACAUUUGUUUUAGUCAUGUAGUAGAGAUUUCGCAGACGUUAUAGAGAUGUUGUGUUGAGAUUGUGGGACAUUAUUCCCCAUUAAUACCUUCGCAUGAUUCUUGACCAUGUUUCCGUUAUAUUGUGUAUCUUCCGCAUUUCUUUUAUCAUAUGAAUUGUGUGCAUGAUUACCAGACAGAUAGGGAUGUUUCGGGCCUCAUGGUUCGGAAUACCCGUCACGACCAGGGCCCCGGUUCGGAUGGUGACAAAAAUACUCCUUGCACAAGUUUCUGGGUGCACAAUGUGUCUGGGUGCACUAUUUGUCCUUAAGUACUAACAACAUUCUAUGUAUCAUAACAUUAUUACUUAGGCACUGAUGAAAAACAUACUAUGCAUCAUAACAUGUGAUGGGAGGGUACUAAAUUUGUUUGAUGGGAGAAAAUGUUAGAGGUGGUGAAGUGAAUGGGCCAUUAACUUCAACAGGUGAAGACGAAAGACGGGUCGUUUUUUGAGACUUGUGCAAAUCAACCAAGUCUUGCUUUAUUUUAUCUGGACUAGAAUUGUGUGGUGCAAAAAUGGUAUGUCAUGUUCUUCUAAUCAGCUAAUUUUACCAACUUAUAUUAUACGCUUGAGAAUUAUUUUUACAUGAUUAAGAUAGUUUAGGAAGAAAAGUCCAAAAUAUACUUAAACUUUAGCAAAAUUUAUUGUAACGUAUUUCAACUUUGUGGGGGUUCCUAUCAACCCUUAAAUUAUUUUUUACCGUAUUUCUGUGACAUAUAUAUGCUAGCUGAAUCAGUGCAUGAAUACACACUAUACGCAUAAGGGUUUGAAGUAUAAAAGGGGCUUUUAAUUAUUGUUUAUAAUUUAUUUGCAAUUUUGAUUUGUUUGAGGGUAUUUUUUUUGUGAAUUUUUUUUUAAUAAAAGAAUACAUAACAUUAAAUAAAUCAAGUCUUUAUAAACGUACAUUCAAUAACAAAGUUAUUCGUCUAAUCAAUCCAAACACCCCCUAAGUUGCCUUCUACUAAAGUUAUGUACACUAGCAUAGUCUACAAUUGAUUCUAGUCAUUAAUUUUUAGGAUGUUUUUCCUUUUUUUUUCUAAAUUCUAAAAAAGUAAACAACAUGUAAAGCAUGUUUGGAUUGUCUUAUUUUAAAUGUUUUUAAAUUAAAAUAGCUUUUAAACACAUUAUUUUGUGAAAUUUUCGUAAGUUUCGUGUUUUCUAGACAUGUUCUAUCUCUUUUAUUUUAAAUGUAUUUUUAUUUAGUUUAAAAUGGAGGAUUCUCUUGUUAUCUCGACGUUGUAUUUUUCUCUACCGAUUUUUCAAAUGGAAAAGUUAUUAUUAUUUCAGCAUUGUCGGCCUCUGAUGUCUACUGGUUAAUCUGAAAUGUCAUAGUCCUAUCAUUUACUUUUGGGAAAAGGCUCAAAUAUGCCACUGAACUAUCAGAAAUGACUCAUUUAUGUCAUCCGUUAAAAGUUGAGCUCAUUUAUGCCAUCGUCGUUACAAAACUGGCUCAUCCAUGCCAUUACUUUUAACACCCGAUUUUUAAAAAACUGUUUUGCCACGUGAUAGCAUAUUAGAGGUUCACAUCUUUUUUUUUUAUUUUUCUAUUUUUUAAAAAAAAAAUAUAAAACCUUUUUUAUAAUUUUUUAUUUAAUUUUUUAAAAAAAUGGUGUUGGUUACGAAGUUUAUAGAUUACAUAUUUCUGUGCCUUUAUUUAUCAAAUAACGAAUAAUAAAUUUUGCAUAUAACUAAUGUUCAUGUUUUUUUUUCGAUUCUUAUUUUUAAAAAUAAUUAUAUAUAUAUAUAUAUAUAUUUGACCAAUCUUCUAGGUAUUUAUUUAUACAUGAACCCAAAAUAUUCAAACCUGAAAUUCUAGUUCAUCAUAACCAUUGCUAGUCCUUAUAUGCAAUGAUAAUAAAGGACGGAACCGUAUUCUUGUCAUAUUUUGCAAAAUGAAAAAGGUGACCAUAUUAAAAUGAUUAAUUCAAAGACCUUAAAUGGUUAAUCCUUCUUAACACUUUGAUCGUAGGUGUAUUUGACACAAAAAACAGCAACAACAACAAGAGAUAGUCAACAAUAUGAUAGGAAGAAACAACACUUUGAUAACAAGAACCAACGGUUACAAGAUUACAAGAACAACAAUAACCAAUGGUUCACUAGACAGCACAAAGUCACAAACUAAAACAUGACAUAUAAAGAUAGAAAGUGAGACAUACACUACAAUAAGAUCCAAGAACCCAUAGACAUAUUCCAUCUAAGGACCCCUAGAACUUACAAUAGCAACACUACACUCUUACGAAGACACGAGAGGGAUUCCACCGCUCAAGCAUCAAUGUUUCCAAGCAAUACACAUUCACAAGUGUUUCCACACUUGUCAUGCCCUAGUUUUCGUCCUACAGAGCCUUCUCUCAAGUGUUCUUACAAUAAUAAGCAAAAUGACAAAAGUGCCCCUUAGUAUUAAAUGAACAAAAUGGCUCCCAUGGAGUGCAAUAGAGGGACGACUUUUGAGCCCUUUUCACACUCCAACUCGUACACUCCAUAGGUUGCAUUCAACAUGAUACGGGUACAACUACGAGGAUGCAUGUUUGUGAGAUUUAUUGAACCCGAGACUUGGAGUGUGAAGGUGAUGUGCAAAUGAGGACUUAAAAAGGGUCCAAAACCGUCCAUAUAAUGCUCUCCAAGGGGCACCCACUUGAAGACUUGAGACUAACGGGUCAUUUUGGACAUUUCACACCUUGUCUGUAAACUACUAUAUAAGGAACCUUUUAGGUCAUUUGUUAGGAUACUUUACUGAAUAUGGAUGUUGUAUAACACUUAGAAAAAUUUCCUCUCUAAGGAGAUAAGACCACAAAUCUGAAACUUGUAACUAGGGAAAUCAACUUUAGUGUGGAAUCACUCGUGUUGGAUUCAAGCUUGGAAACGUUGGAUGCUUAGGAGAUCAAAGUCACUCUUGUACCAACAUAAGAUAUAGUUUUGUGUUGUGUGUUGUAUUAAAGGUCCAAGAGUGUAACAAGUCUUGGGUUGUUAAUAUUAUUCCCUCAUUUGGUCUAUCUACCUAUCUUUAUCUUAUUGCACUUUGUAGAUUCAUAGUAGACUGUUUUUGUGGCUUGUUGAAUCUAAAUUUUGUAACCAUUGUGUUCAUCUUGUUCAUCUUAUAUUGUGUCUGUUUUGAUGUUGAAAACAUACCUCUUUAUCUUGUUAUUGUGUUGUUGAUAGCGAAUUCGAGAGUGGUCUUCAAAAGGGUCCUCAAAUCCUUAAGAUUAGAGGACUAUUUUGGAGUUGUUUUCUAUUCUCUUGUCUUUCUCGUAUCAUUUGGUAUCAGAUCAUGGCUUGAUAUUGUUCCUACAAGAUCAAUCUUGGGCUUGCUUGAUAGAAAAAAAGUGUUAGAAAACUGAAAAAUUAAAAAGAAGCAAAUCUGUCCAUUUUGUGUUCUUGGCCAAAAUAGUGUUGUUGUUGUAUAUUGGCCGAGAUUUUUACUUGUUUUGUUGUUUAUAGUGUUAGUUUUAUUCAUAUAUAAUACUCUUGUGUCUAAAUCUAAUUUUGAGCUUACAUUGUUGGUGUUGUUUUCGUGAACUUGAACUUGGCCGAUUUGUUGUUGAACAUUGCUGUGGUGGACUGUUUUGGCCUUGUGGCCUUCAUCAACACGUGAUAUUGUUGUUCAUUGGUGGCCUAAGAACUAUUUUGUUGAAGUUGUAGUUGUCUUGUCCAAGUAUUGAAGAUAGUGUAUUGUGAAAAUUGGAAGUUGGCCGUGUGAAAUUGUUGGUGUUCUUGGAGAAUUGUUGUUGGUUGUUCUUGGUGAUUGUUGAUUUUGUACUUGAAGUUCUUCACAACCUUCAUAUCUUGUUAAAAUAAAGUGAACCUUAGAUCUAUAAAGGUGAAGGAAAAAAGGUGAAUCUUUGUUAGCCUUGAUAGACUUACCAUCACUCAUCAACUAGUCAAUCACAUCUCAACCACUUUCCAAUAACUUUCCAUGAUUCAAGGACCCAUGUUUUAAGGAGAAGUACAAGUAAUGUCAAAGUUUUGAAACUUGCAAUUGAAAAGGGCUCCAUGACUUGUUUGAAUUUCCCUCUUUAAACAAAUUCCACCAAUUCCUAAAUUGUAAAUUGACCAAAAAUUGAAAUUGGACAACAAAAAUUGUUAGAAACCGCAACCAAUUACGUACUGCCACGUUAUCCUUGUCACUGUUCACACAACAAUUUUGGCUCAAAUUUCAGAUUUUCUUAGUUUCUUUUUACUGUUCUGUAGUUUCGUUUGAUUGGUACGAACGCUAAUUGACAAGCUAGUAAACUCCUACUAGAUAUUAAAUUAGUUUGUGUUCGUUUGUUCGUGUUUACGUUUGUUGUGUACUUUUAUCUUUUUGAAUUCGUUGUUAGUUCUUGACUCAAUUCCAACAAGAUUUCGUUUGAGUUUCAAACAAAAAUCCAUUUCGGGACAAGAGUAGACUCGACACUCAAUCACUCACGAAGUAUAAGUCGGAUUUCAACACUUGUGAAACCAAGUGUGAAGUAAAACCGAGAGUGAGAGUGUGGUGAGGCAUUUUUGAUCUAACAAGUUUGUUUAUUUUCUUUGUUUGUUGAGUUUUUUUGUUAGGUACAAUGACUGCCCAUAAUUUCAAUGCCACAUGUGAUCGUAUCAAUGACAAUAUUGAAGAUAUGAAACAGCACAUUGAAAUUAUACGCCAAUUGCUACCCAAACUCUACUCACAAAAUCCAAUUGUCCAAGCACCUUGCGUUGAGAGCUUCCUGGAGGAAGUUGCUGCUCAAAUUGUGAGUAAAACUUGCCCACCACUUGAGGAUAUGUGUGAUGUGAUUAAUAAAUCUCAAGUGAGUGAAGGAUUUAAAGAUGUUGGCCAAGAAAAAAGGAGUGAACCUAUCAGCUUAUGUUGUUGUAAAGAUGCUAAUGUUUGUUUGGCUCAUAGGGUUAAUCAUGUGCUUGACAUAUCUUUGAAACUUGAUAAUGAUUCCUUAAAGAGUGAAAGUUCCAAAUCUAUCCGCGGAUUAGAUCAUUCACUCUUUAGGCACAAUGUCUUGUUUGAAGAUAGUUUAUUUACUCCUAAUGAACCUAGUGGUGCUAGUGAUGUUGACGGCAUGGCUUGUCUUGAAAGCUAUAGCCUAUAUUAGGGCUGUCAAGUGGGCCGGGCUGGGCCAACCCGGAACCGGCCCGUGUUAUUUAACCGGGUUGAGGGCUGGGACGGGGCCGGGUUGGGGUCUAAGUCGGUUGGACCGGGCCGGGCACAAUAGUAAAAAAAUCAAAAACCACCCUAACCCAGCCGACUUAACCCAACCCGGUCAAACCCAUCUAAACCCGGUCAAACCCGUUUAAAAAAUCGGUCAAACCCGGUCAAAAAUAUAAGAAAAAACAUUUUUUCAAUAUACAUUAUAUAUACCCACCUAUAUACAUUAUAAAUACGUUAAACAAUAUAUAUACACUAUAUAUAUAGUAUAUACUACAGUAGAAUUUAAAAAAUAUAUACACAUAUACAUAAUUACACAUAUAUACGCACCAUCCAAAUAUAUAUGUACUACUUUAAACUUUAAAGUUCAAAUAAAAUNNNNNNNNNNNNNNNNNNNNNNNNNNNNNNNNNNNNNNNNNNNNNNNNNNNNNNNNNNNNNNNNNNNNNNNNNNNNNNNNNNNNNNNNNNNNNNNNNNNNNNNNNNNNNNNNNNNNNNNNNNNNNNNNNNNNNNNNNNNNNNNNNNNNNNNNNNNNNNNNNNNNNNNNNNNNNNNNNNNNNNNNNNNNNNNNNNNNNNNNNNNNNNNNNNNNNNNNNNNNNNNNNNNNNNNNNNNNNNNNNNNNNNNNNNNNNNNNNNNNNNNNNNNNNNNNNNNNNNNNNNNNNNNNNNNNNNNNNNNNNNNNNNNNNNNNNNNNNNNNNNNNNNNNNNNNNNNNNNNNNNNNNNNNNNNNNNNNNNNNNNNNNNNNNNNNNNNNNNNNNNNNNNNNNNNNNNNNNNNNNNNNNNNNNNNNNNNNNNNNNNNNNNNNNNNNNNNNNNNNNNNNNNNNNNNNNNNNNNNNNNNNNNNNNNNNNNNNNNNNNNNNNNNNNNNNNNNNNNNNNNNNNNNNNNNNNNNNNNNNNNNNNNNNNNNNNNNNNNNNNNNNNNNNNNNNNNNNNNNNNNNNNNNNNNNNNNNNNNNNNNNNNNNNNNNNNNNNNNNNNNNNNNNNNNNNNNNNNNNNNNNNNNNNNNNNNNNNNNNNNNNNNNNNNNNNNNNNNNNNNNNNNNNNNNNNNNNNNNNNNNNNNNNNNNNNNNNNNNNNNNNNNNNNNNNNNNNNNNNNNNNNNNNNNNNNNNNNNNNNNNNNNNNNNNNNNNNNNNNNNNNNNNNNNNNNNNNNNNNNNNNNNNNNNNNNNNNNNNNNNNNNNNNNNNNNNNNNNNNNNNNNNNNNNNNNNNNNNNNNNNNNNNNNNNNNNNNNNNNNNNNNNNNNNNNNNNNNNNNNNNNNNNNNNNNNNNNNNNNNNNNNNNNNNNNNNNNNNNNNNNNNNNNNNNNNNNNNNNNNNNNNNNNNNNNNNNNNNNNNNNNNNNNNNNNNNNNNNNNNNNNNNNNNNNNNNNNNNNNNNNNNNNNNNNNNNNNNNNNNNNNNNNNNNNNNNNNNNNNNNNNNNNNNNNNNNNNNNNNNNNNNNNNNNNNNNNNNNNNNNNNNNNNNNNNNNNNNNNNNNNNNNNNNNNNNNNNNNNNNNNNNNNNNNNNNNNNNNNNNNNNNNNNNNNNNNNNNNNNNNNNNNNNNNNNNNNNNNNNNNNNNNNNNNNNNNNNNNNNNNNNNNNNNNNNNNNNNNNNNNNNNNNNNNNNNNNNNNNNNNNNNNNNNNNNNNNNNNNNNNNNNNNNNNNNNNNNNNNNNNNNNNNNNNNNNNNNNNNNNNNNNNNNNNNNNNNNNNNNNNNNNNNNNNNNNNNNNNNNNNNNNNNNNNNNNNNNNNNNNNNNNNNNNNNNNNNNNNNNNNNNNNNNNNNNNNNNNNNNNNNNNNNNNNNNNNNNNNNNNNNNNNNNNNNNNNNNNNNNNNNNNNNNNNNNNNNNNNNNNNNNNNNNNNNNNNNNNNNNNNNNNNNNNNNNNNNNNNNNNNNNNNNNNNNNNNNNNNNNNNNNNNNNNNNNNNNNNNNNNNNNNNNNNNNNNNNNNNNNNNNNNNNNNNNNNNNNNNNNNNNNNNNNNNNNNNNNNNNNNNNNNNNNNNNNNNNNNNNNNNNNNNNNNNNNNNNNNNNNNNNNNNNNNNNNNNNNNNNNNNNNNNNNNNNNNNNNNNNNNNNNNNNNNNNNNNNNNNNNNNNNNNNNNNNNNNNNNNNNNNNNNNNNNNNNNNNNNNNNNNNNNNNNNNNNNNNNNNNNNNNNNNNNNNNNNNNNNNNNNNNNNNNNNNNNNNNNNNNNNNNNNNNNNNNNNNNNNNNNNNNNNNNNNNNNNNNNNNNNNNNNNNNNNNNNNNNNNNNNNNNNNNNNNNNNNNNNNNNNNNNNNNNNNNNNNNNNNNNNNNNNNNNNNNNNNNNNNNNNNNNNNNNNNNNNNNNNNNNNNNNNNNNNNNNNNNNNNNNNNNNNNNNNNNNNNNNNNNNNNNNNNNNNNNNNNNNNNNNNNNNNNNNNNNNNNNNNNNNNNNNNNNNNNNNNNNNNNNNNNNNNNNNNNNNNNNNNNNNNNNNNNNNNNNNNNNNNNNNNNNNNNNNNNNNNNNNNNNNNNNNNNNNNNNNNNNNNNNNNNNNNNNNNNNNNNNNNNNNNNNNNNNNNNNNNNNNNNNNNNNNNNNNNNNNNNNNNNNNNNNNNNNNNNNNNNNNNNNNNNNNNNNNNNNNNNNNNNNNNNNNNNNNNNNNNNNNNNNNNNNNNNNNNNNNNNNNNNNNNNNNNNNNNNNNNNNNNNNNNNNNNNNNNNNNNNNNNNNNNNNNNNNNNNNNNNNNNNNNNNNNNNNNNNNNNNNNNNNNNNNNNNNNNNNNNNNNNNNNNNNNNNNNNNNNNNNNNNNNNNNNNNNNNNNNNNNNNNNNNNNNNNNNNNNNNNNNNNNNNNNNNNNNNNNNNNNNNNNNNNNNNNNNNNNNNNNNNNNNNNNNNNNNNNNNNNNNNNNNNNNNNNNNNNNNNNNNNNNNNNNNNNNNNNNNNNNNNNNNNNNNNNNNNNNNNNNNNNNNNNNNNNNNNNNNNNNNNNNNNNNNNNNNNNNNNNNNNNNNNNNNNNNNNNNNNNNNNNNNNNNNNNNNNNNNNNNNNNNNNNNNNNNNNNNNNNNNNNNNNNNNNNNNNNNNNNNNNNNNNNNNNNNNNNNNNNNNNNNNNNNNNNNNNNNNNNNNNNNNNNNNNNNNNNNNNNNNNNNNNNNNNNNNNNNNNNNNNNNNNNNNNNNNNNNNNNNNNNNNNNNNNNNNNNNNNNNNNNNNNNNNNNNNNNNNNNNNNNNNNNNNNNNNNNNNNNNNNNNNNNNNNNNNNNNNNNNNNNNNNNNNNNNNNNNNNNNNNNNNNNNNNNNNNNNNNNNNNNNNNNNNNNNNNNNNNNNNNNNNNNNNNNNNNNNNNNNNNNNNNNNNNNNNNNNNNNNNNNNNNNNNNNNNNNNNNNNNNNNNNNNNNNNNNNNNNNNNNNNNNNNNNNNNNNNNNNNNNNNNNNNNNNNNNNNNNNNNNNNNNNNNNNNNNNNNNNNNNNNNNNNNNNNNNNNNNNNNNNNNNNNNNNNNNNNNNNNNNNNNNNNNNNNNNNNNNNNNNNNNNNNNNNNNNNNNNNNNNNNNNNNNNNNNNNNNNNNNNNNNNNNNNNNNNNNNNNNNNNNNNNNNNNNNNNNNNNNNNNNNNNNNNNNNNNNNNNNNNNNNNNNNNNNNNNNNNNNNNNNNNNNNNNNNNNNNNNNNNNNNNNNNNNNNNNNNNNNNNNNNNNNNNNNNNNNNNNNNNNNNNNNNNNNNNNNNNNNNNNNNNNNNNNNNNNNNNNNNNNNNNNNNNNNNNNNNNNNNNNNNNNNNNNNNNNNNNNNNNNNNNNNNNNNNNNNNNNNNNNNNNNNNNNNNNNNNNNNNNNNNNNNNNNNNNNNNNNNNNNNNNNNNNNNNNNNNNNNNNNNNNNNNNNNNNNNNNNNNNNNNNNNNNNNNNNNNNNNNNNNNNNNNNNNNNNNNNNNNNNNNNNNNNNNNNNNNNNNNNNNNNNNNNNNNNNNNNNNNNNNNNNNNNNNNNNNNNNNNNNNNNNNNNNNNNNNNNNNNNNNNNNNNNNNNNNNNNNNNNNNNNNNNNNNNNNNNNNNNNNNNNNNNNNNNNNNNNNNNNNNNNNNNNNNNNNNNNNNNNNNNNNNNNNNNNNNNNNNNNNNNUUUCUUUUUUUUUUUUAAUUUUUUCAGGCCGGGCCGGUUAACCGACGGGCCUGGACCAAGGGUUAGCCGAUUUUAACAAAAUAAUCGGCCUGGGACCCGGAACCCUAAAGCCCUAGGGCUUACCGGGCCGGGGCAAACCGGGCCUAGUUAGUUAAUUUUUUCAGGCCGGGCCGGUUAACCGACGGGCCUGGACCAAGGGUUAGCCGAUUUUAACAAAAUAAUCGGCCUGGGACCCGGAACCCUAAAGCCCUAGGGCUUACCGGGCCGGGUCAAACCGGGCCUAGUUAGGUACGAGGGCCGGGUCGGCCGGCCCACUUGACACCCCUAGCCUAUAUGCUAACCCAAUAUGGUGUGACAAUAUUCCUCCUCAAGAUGGAAAUCUCUUCUUGAAAGAUGAGAGUACUCUUAAGGGUAGGGAAUGUGUAGUCUUGAAAAGGAAUAGUCAAUCGGGUGAAGAUGACCAUGAUUUUCUUGAUUACUUGGGAAACCCGAAAUGUGAUUGUUCUUGUAAAAAUGUUUUUAUGAAUGAUUCAUUUUCUGCCCAUGGUGAUUUAUAUCUAUGUGGGGAUUAUUCUCUUGAAAUAAAAGGUGGUGCAUGCUUAGAAAUUCCAUCUACUUCUUCUUUAUGUGUUCCCUAUGUUAAGCAUACUAGUGGUGAUGGGCUUGAAGCUAGUGAGUACAUGCAUAAGGACACCCCUAUAAUGCCGAAGAAAGCAAUCAAGUUGAUAGAGGCCACUUGUAGAUGCUAUUUGUGGUCUGGGGAAGCUACAAUAACAAGGAAUUCUACGGUGGCAUUAGAGAAAAUCUGCCUAUAGAACUAUGGAACCUAGCUGCAAUCUGUAAGUUGCUUUGGGCUGUGAGUCUACACACAGAGAAGCUAUGGAUUGCUAGGGUUGACACGCUAUAUAAAGAGGCAAAAUAUAAACACUGGAAUGCACUGGGGGACAUCAGCAAGCUAGUUCAUAAGAACAAACAAGUGUAGGAGUGAUUCAUAAAAUUCCUUUUAUAGCCAAAAAAAAAAAAAAUACAUUCUUCUCAUCAAUACAAUUAUUUAUCAAACAUUUUCAGCAAAAGAAGUUAUUCUGAACAAGAAUUGCCAAGAGCAUGUUCAACAUGCGAGAAGUUGAAUUCUGAUCUUUUGUAGCAUCCCUACAACAUCUUUCAUGUUUGUCCGUCUUGCUGGAGAUUCAGCACAGCAAUCUAGUGCCACUUUCAUGAUUGAUGUUACACAAUCUAACUUCUUCUUCAUGUGAUUAUCCAUCGCUGAAACCAAGUUGGAAUCCGCAACAUCCAUUACUGAAUCAGGAAGUGAAUAACUCACCCAGUGCUUCAAGCUAAGAUCUCCCUCAAACUCACUAGGCUUUCUCCUAGUAAACGCUUCCAGCAACAUGAUUACAUAACUAUACACGUCACAUUUAGUAGACACCAAUCCAUCUUGUCCAUACUCUACAAUCAAAAAAUUAUUAAAAGAUGUAACAUGAUAACUUGGUGGAAAAAGAGAAAGAGGAAAGAAAUGUGCAAAGCAAAAUCAAGAGACGUGCCUGGUGCAAUAUAACCCAAUGUUGCUAAUGUUUUUGUGUAUAAAUCACUCUCAUCUUCACCAAGAAGUUUUGAAAUGCCAAAGUCGCUUAGAUGUGCAACCAUAUCCUCAUCCAGCAAAACGUUACUAGGCUUUACGUCACAGUGAAUCACAGGCGAUGAGCACCCAUGGUGAAGAUAUUCCAAAGCACAUGCCACAUCUAUCAUUAUGCUUAGUCUCUGCUUGAUGUCGAGGAUGUAUUUGUGCUAAUACAAAUACUUCUCAAGACUCCCAUUAGGCAUAUAAUCGAGAACUAAAGCCUUGAAAUCAAGAUUGGAACAACUACUAAUGACUUUUACGAGAUUUCUAUGACGAAGGCUGCGCAAAACUUCACAUUCCGUAUCAAAACUCUUGAAUGCCGCAUCUAAUUGCAAAUUGAACACUUUAACUGCAAUGGCAGUUCCACUUCUGAGAACGCCUUUGUAAACAGAGCCAAAACUUCCAGAACCAAUCAAAUUACACUCGCUAAGCGCAUCAGUUGCUUCGAGCAAUUCAUAGUAUGAAAUUCUUUCUGCUUCAUUUUCAAUGAAAAACAGACUCGAGAGGUUCUUGAAAGGACCCCCUGAGGGUAUUUCACCAUACAAUUUGUUGAUAGAAACAUUGAAAUACUUCAGGUUUUGAAGUUUCUCCAAAGACUUGGGAAUAGUUCCUGAUUUGUUAUUAUGAGAAAGGUCUAGGAAUUCCAAACCUACCAAGUUGCUGACUGAGUCAGGUAUAGAUCCUUGCAACUUGUUGUGUCUCAAAGAAAGGUACACCAAAUUUUGCAAUCCUCCAAUUUCUCUAGGAAUUCCAUUUGAGAAUUGAUUCAUCGAUAGAUCCAUCUUUGUUACAACCUUUAGAUUUCCAAUUUCUGGAGGUAAAGAACCCACCAUGNNNNNNNNNNNNNNNNNNNNNNNNNNNNNNNNNNNNNNNNNNNNNNNNNNNNNNNNNNNNNNNNNNNNNNNNNNNNNNNNNNNNNNNNNNNNNNNNNNNNNNNNNNNNNNNNNNNNNNNNNNNNNNNNNNNNNNNNNNNNNNNNNNNNNNNNNNNNNNNNNNNNNNNNNNNNNNNNNNNNNNNNNNNNNNNNNNNNNNNNNNNNNNNNNNNNNNNNNNNNNNNNNNNNNNNNNNNNNNNNNAAGGUUUCUCAAUUUUCCAACUGCUGUGGGAAUCGAUCCAACCAAAUUGUUUUCAGAAAUAUCAAGGAACAAUAAGCUGCUUAGGUUCCCAAUUUCAUUUGGAAUUCGCCCUUUGAUUUUACAACUUUUGGCGUGAAACUUUAAAAGAGAUGUGGAAAGGUUCCCCAUGGAGGCAGGAAGCAUGCCGUUUAGAGGGUUGAAAGAUAGAGAAAGAACUGUUAAAUUUCUGCAAUUGUUUAAGGAAGUCAGAAAGCUUAACAAUGAGUCGCUGGUUAAAUUAUUUCCCACCAAGUUUAGGAUUUGUAGAUGAGUCAAAUAUCCAAGAGAAUUGGGAAUCAAGCCAGUGAGUUGGUUGUUACCAAGCUCUAGAAUAGUAAGUUUUGAACAAUUGGAGAUGGAAUGAGGAAUAGUCCCAACAAGAUUGGUUAAGUUCCACAGAUAAAGCUUUUCAAUGUUGAGUAAGAUAGAACACAUGAUUGGUGGGAGGCUUCCUGAUAUAUUGUUCAUUGAAAGCUCAAUUGUUCUCAGCCCGGAUAUGUUGAAGACCUCCAUUGGGAGUGAACCACUAAAACUAUUAAACUCAAGAGCAAGUACCUCCAACUCAAUGAGAUUGCUUAUCUCUUUGGGUAUUUCACCUGGAAACACAUAGUGGAUUACUAGUGAGUUUAAAUAGUUGGUUCAAUCUAUUUUUGCUAAUAUAUAAGAAUUUCGUCUUGUUUAAGUUGUCUCAAUCUCUCGUGGUAAGAAUCCACUAAGAUUUUAACUUUUAUGUUGUUGGUUAUACGAAAGUAUUAAGAGAAAAAAGAAAAAAAAGAAGUAUAGAAGAGAGCCAUUAAUUUGGCUUCUCUCCAUGCCUAAUACCACCAAACUUAGAUACCUCAAUUAAUGCAAUUACUGUGGAAUAAGAUAAUUCUGAAGUGUGAUAAUCUCAAUUAUCUUAGAAGAAGAAGAGGAAUUUUAUAACUGCUUCUAGUCUUUACAAAGAGGAAUUGUAGGAAUAACUAACUUGUUCUAGAACAUUCUUGUGUGCCAGCUCACUACACACUAACAACCAACUAACUAUCAAUCUGCCAGCUCAUCUAACUAACUGAGCAACAACUUGCUGCAGUGGAUUAAUAAAACAAAAAAAAUAGAAUGAAUGGAGCUGUAGAUAGACAUAAUGAAAUAUAAUCCUCAAGAACAUGAAGCAAUUAGAUAAAAACAUACCUGUUGAAUCAUUUUCUGAUAAAGACAAUACUUGAAGUUGUGAACAAUUUGAUAAGCUUGCAGGCAUAUGACCGUGAAACUUGUUUUUGGACAAAUAAAGCCCUUUGAGUAUUGGGAUACCAUUGCAUAAACCAUUGGGAAGAUUUCCUGAUAAGCUAUUGCCUGUAAAUGCAAUGACUUCGAUUCUUGAGAUAUUGAAAAUUGUGAAUGGUAUAGACCCCGUAAGUUGAUUAGCUUGUAUGACCAACAACUUCAUGUUGUGAAGAUUGCCGAUCCCUUCUGGAAUAUUCCCUUGAAGUGAAUUAAAAGAUAUAUCUAAAGUCUCCAAUCUCGAGGCAUUCAUGAGUGACAGAGGAAUAGAACCUAUGAGCUUGUUACCUCGCAACCUUAAUUCUCUAAGGUUUAUAAGACUUCCAAUCACUUUUGGUAUUUGUCCCUCAAUGGAAUUGAAAUUCAGAUUCAAAGUCUCAAGUGUGGACAUGUUAGAAAAUGAAGAAGGGAUGGAACCAGUGAAACUAUUAUUUCUAAUAUUAAUAACUUGAAGUUGAUGUAAAAAUCCAAACCAAGAAGGAAUCGCCCCUCUGAAGUUGUUGAAACUUAAAUCAAGAAACUUAAGCCGACGCAAGAGUGCCAUUUAUUGAGGCAAAUUUCCCUGGAAAUUGUUGCUUUCCAAGUCAAGAGAAACAAGAAAUGUGAGGUUUCCAAAUUCUCCGGUAAUCCUACCUGUAAGAGCCACGUUAGAAAGAUUCAAGGACUUCACUCGCUGAUGGCGAGAACCACAAGUGACUCCCACCCAAUGACAAAGAGAUGUAGCGGGAGACCAACUUUCAUCCAAGAAGUGAGAGGGGUCUGAAACGAUUUGGGAUUUCAAAGCGAGAAGAGCCAAUUGAUCAGUGGUAAUGUUGGUUUGGGUCAUGGCCGAACUAGCCAUAACAUAAUGAAACAGCGAGAGUACUAUUAAGAGAAAAGAACUGAAAGUUUUCUCCAUAAUGGCAUAAAUUGGUAGGAAUAUGGAUAUGGCUAGUAAUGAUGUUGGUUUGAAACUUUAAAUAGUAAAGAGAACUCUUGCUCUUUCUUUUCAUUCAAACAUCUUUUAAAAGAAAAAGGAAAAGUUUUCCUUUCUUUAUGUCAUCUCAAGAAUAAUAAUACAACUAAAGAAAGAAAUAUAACUCGCAUUGACUCGAAAAGGAGUCUUCCGCUAACUUUUAUAACAGUAGGUAAGAUGUUCAAUAACACAGAAAGAAUGAAUUCUGUACAUAUUUAACAAACAAAAUUUAAAUAUUUGACAAAGACUAUAAAUGUUACCAUUUUACAAACUUAAAGGACCAAAGCUAUUAAAUACAUGCUUAAGAGACCAUAUUGAAUCUACCACUAAACAUUAGAUACCAUUUGCGUUAUUUUAUCCGAACUUAUAUAACAAAUGUGAGGAUGCAAUAACACAGCAAGAAUGAAUUGAAUUAAUAUUAGAGAUAAAGCAUCCAGUACCUCCGAACUAUGGUCAAAGUUUCUACGACACACUUCAACUUCACAGUCACAGGGUCCUAUUACCCCUGAAAUUAGUUUUAGCUUAUUUUUGUCACCCUUUUGUGCUGACGUGACACCUUUAUUACAUAAAAUGAGACUAACGUCAAAGGUGCCACAUCAGCUAAAAAGGCUGAAAAAAGGUGCCACGUCAGUUAAAAUGAUUGACAAAAAUACGCUAAAAUUUAGUUUGCGGGGUAAUAGGACCCCGUAAAGUUGGAAUGUGUCGUAGCAAAUUUGUUCGUAGUUCAGGGUUACUAGAUGCUUUACUCUUAAUAUUACAAUGAAUUUGUAAGAAAGAUGUUCAUGUUUUAAAUGUCUCUUCCUUGCUAAAGUUACCAAUAAUUUCAAUAUUACAAUGACUUUAUAAGAAAGAUAUUCACGUUUAAAAUGAUUCUUUCUUUGAUGAAGUACCAAUAAUUUCCCUUCUUACACCUGUACUGGGGACAAGAAAUAAAAUUGUUGGCUCCAAAGAAAAAUUAUAAAAAGGAAACGUAAGGGACAGAUAUGAAAUUCACACUUUGAAUACAUUUUCUUGAUUGGAGUAUUAUUUUUGAUUUACAUCAUAACAAUAGUGACUUAGUUUUUGGCAAACAAAAAUCUAACAAGUGUCAGCUAUGGGGUUCAUUGGGAUUUGUAUCUUUCGAUCCCAUAUCAACAUAUCAACAACUUUUUAUGUUUGAAACCAUAAUUUGAUAUUUCAAUGUGUUCAAAUUGAAAAAGCUACUAAUAUAACAGCCAAUGUUACAUACUUUUUUCAUUUUCCAGAAGAGAACCCUGGCUGUUACUUCGAGGUAAUUACCAUCAGCCAACUUGACCUUUCAUGGUAAUAUUCGGACUUCCCACAUUCGUAUCAGCAAUCGAAGACUAUCGGUUUUCCUUCAUGAAUCUGCCUACGGGCACAUUUUCCUGUAUGAAGAAACAACAGGUUCGCCUGUUCUGGCAUGUCAGAAGCAGACGUAGGGUAUGGACCUCCUAGAACGAAUAGGAUCUAGAGCAUAGUACUAUUAAUGUAGCUUGGUGGAAAAAGAGAAAGAGGAAAGAAAUGUGCAAAGCAAAAUCAAGAGACGUGCCUGGUGCAAUAUAAUCAAGAGGUAGCUUCUGUUGUAAAAUGUGUCCUAAAAAAGUACUAACGUUAUUUUUUUCCAAAUCGUCAAGGUCAUUUCCAGUUUCAUCAUCACGGUGCUGCUUCAUACAUGGUUCUAUUGUUUUGCAAAUUUUGAUCUUCCCAUAAAAUGGUCAGCCACCCUUCUUCUAGAAAUGGACCUUGGGCCUAACUCAACCUCAAAAGCUAGCUCAUGAGGGAAGGAUUGCCCAAGACCAUAUAAGGAGACCAAGGAACCUUUAACCCACCGAUGUGGGACUCCAACACCAAUGGCUUUCUGUUUUCUCUGGAUGCGAAACUCAUUGCAUUUCCCAUACAGGGGUAGAGGUUAUAGAACAUGCAACAUUUAAACUAACUAUCGAUCGACAACAUUCUGAACUUGAGUGCACCUGAAAAGAAAUUGAAUGAACUGGAUGAACUAACACUAUAGUUCGACUGUUCCGCACUAGUGGGCCACCUUGAAUCUAGAGGGUUCACCCCCUUCAACGGAAAAUUAUACUAUUUUGAUACAUUUUUUUUUUAUACAAGAAAGACAAGGAACACACGAAAACACACUCCAAAAACAGUCCACUAGUUCAAGAACUGAGGACCCUUUUGAAGACCCUCUCAGAUUCAACAAACAACAACAAGAACACAAUAUAUUGUGGUGUUUAACACCUAAAAACAACCAACCAACAUACUAACAAGAUGGAUAACAAGAUGGAACAACAACAAGAAGAAGUUACGGGUUCACUAGAAACAAGAGGAACGAUUACAAGUUACAAACACUAACAAGAUUACAAUAAAAGAAACAAGGGAUAGAUAGAUCGACUACACGAAGAUGUAAUCUUAAAAACCUAAAAGCCCAUUCCACUCUUGGACCUUUAACAAUACACGCAACGAUUCACCUAUCUCUUACAUGACACGAGAUAAGAUUCCACCUCUCAAGCGCCAACAUUUUCAUACAAGAAUUUUUAAGGGAAAAGGUUCAAAUAUGUCAUCAAACUUUGAGAAAAAACUCAUUUAUACUAUCCGUUUAAAGUUUGGCUCAUUCAUGCCAUUGUCAUUACAAAAAAACUCAUUCAUGACAUUUUUUCUAACAGUCUAGUUUAAUGAUUUUUGGCAAUAUCAUUUUGUACACGUGGCCAGUAAAAAAAUUUUCACGUCAUUUACGAGUCAAAAAAAAUUUAAGGAAAAAGACUCAAAUAUGUCAUUGAACUAUCUGAAAUGACUCAUUUAUGCCAUUAGUUAAAAGUUCGGCUCAUUCAUGUCAUCGCUGUUACAAAAUCAGCUCGGUGAUGUCAUUACUUUUUAACAAUGGGUUUUCAAAAACAUCUUUGUCACGUGUCCUUUUAUUAGAGGUCCACUUCAUUAAUUAAAAUAAAUCAAUAUUAAUUUCAAAAUUAAAAAGAGCUGGUCUAUUUUAACAUAACGCGACCCAUACCAAUUCUACAACAACAAUAAUUUUUUCGGUAAGAAAAAUAGUGAUUAAUGUAUAUUCUUUGGUUGUUUCUUAUUGAUUCUAAAUCAUUAUAAAUGUUAUGCUUAACAGAAGCCUCAAAAGUUCUAUCCUACAAUAACUUUUUUUUUAUCCAACAGUAACUGAUUAUUUGACAUUCAAGUAACUCUAAUACAUACUUCGGAGUUGCAAAAAAAGAAGCUAAUGAACGAUUAUGUCAAGCAAGAAAAAGAAUGAGACAUACCAAUAGAACUUUUCCAUUUUGCCAUCACAAAUUAGGGGAGCAUAUAUUGUUGAAAAAUCAUUUUCAAAUAACAGCUUAGAAAAAGUCCGCCAUCCUAAUUAUUCCAUCAUGUACAUAAGAUAACUUAUCUCAUCACUAUGGUAUAAAUGGUGGGAUAAAUAAUUCCGAUACUAACUAAUUUCAGAUAUUUUGAAAUUAAUAUUAAUUUAUUUUAAUUAAUGACGUGGACCUCUAAUAAAAGAUCCCGUGACAAAACUGUUUUUAAAAAUACACCGUUAAAAGUAAUUGCAUGAAUGAAUUGGUUUUAUAACGGCGAUGACAUGAAUGAACCGAUCUUUCAACUGAUGAUAUAAAUGAGUCAUUUCUGAUAGAUCAAUGGUAUAUUUUAACCUUUUACCCUAUUUUAAUUAAUGACAUGGACCUCUAAUAAAAGGCCACGUGGAAAAGCUGUUUCUGAAAAUCCACCAUUAAAAAGUAAUGGCAUGGAUGAGCUGGUUUUUAAUGGCGAUGCCAUGAAUGUGUCACGACCCGAACCAGGGCCGGGCCGUGACGAGCAUUUUGAACCUUUGAGGCCCGAAACACCCCUAUCUGUCUGGUAAUCAUGCAUCUAAUUCAUAUGAUCAAAGUAAUGCGGAAGAAACACAAUAUGACGGAAACAUGGUCAAGAAUCAUAUGAAAAUAAUAAUCGGGAAUAAUGUCCCACAAUCUCAAUCAACAUUUCAAAAAUCGUCUGCGAAAUCUCUACUACAUGACUGAAAUAAGUAACUAUCUGAAAACUGGGACAAGGCCCCCAGUAGACCCAAAAAAAAACUUAAUAUAAGAUAAAAGGACUGCAGGACUUAAGACCUUCCGAAACAUAGAAGGCUCACCACUUGUCUCUACAGCUCUGUCUGAAAGUUCUACUGAUUCUCUUGACCCUUAGAUUGGGCCUCUGAACCUGAGAGGUUGGAGAGGGGAGGGGGUCAGCACAAAAGUACUGGCACGCAGAGAUAUCACAACAAAACAUAAUAUUGUUACAAAGUAUAGUUGAGAGCCAUUAUAAAGCAAUUUCGUAUCAAAUCACUUGAAAGCACAUGGGUGUAAUGCAAUAGGUUUUCUCAACAAUAAUGAAAUGCAACUGAGCUAGGUGGAAUACCCUAUAUAAUUUACACCAACUGUCAAACCUCAGUUGCCUUCGAGAUUAGAGUAUAAGUGAGGGAGAUACACACAAGAUCACAAAGCAUGGUGUCUCGACCCAAAUCAAAUAUGGUAGUGCACAAGACCACAAAGCAUGGCUCCUAACCAUAAUCCCAAUUUAGGAUAAUAUAAUAUCAGGUACGCAAGACCACAAAGCAUGGUACCGAUAUUCUAUGCUGGCAAGCACGUUCUUUCAGUGAUGAGCCGCUUGUGUCUCAAAUGCCUUCUUCGAGCAUCCACCUUUCUCAUGUAAAAUCAAUGCAUUCAAAUUUCAUCUUAUUCAAUCGCAUAUCGUAUUUUGAAGGGUAUCGUCAUACCCGACUUGCAAGUCAUCAAUAUCACAUCCACAUAUGCAUAAUCAUGUAAAAACCAAGGCGCUUCAUCAUUUACAAGUGGUGAACACAAUAUUUAUCAAAUUCAUGCUCUCUUUUGUUAAUCAUAAUAUAAUAUGGAGUAUCAAAACAUUAUCAUGGGAAUUUGAAAACAAUUUAUCAUUCAUAUUUAUCAACUUCCAUGGAAAAUCUCAAAUCACCUAUGCAUGAUUUCAACCAUUAAAGUAUAUAGGCAAACAAUUCCCAUGACAUUAAGAAAACAACUUAGAAAUCAUAUUGAAAGCAAGAUAUUAGCAUUUGAUUAAAAAUCCCCAUUUAAAAGCAUGCAUGUUCAUAAAACUACACCUAUGAGAUUUUUGGAUAACCCCACGUACCUCGAUUACUAUUAAUAUUAGGUGCUUCUUGAAGCCAACGUUGAGAGGAUUCCAAAUAUGCAAUUUGUUUCUAAAACCCACGGUUGAAUCUUGAGUAGCUUGGGUUUUUAUUUUGAAACCCUAAGGAGAAUCUUGAGCACUUUUGAUGAAAGAAUAUGUAUUUUGGGGUCCUUGGAACUAAAAUUCGUGUUUUAGGGCUAAGUAAGGGUGGAAAAGGACCACUUUGUCCUCAACACAGAGUGUUUAAAUUACCAGAAUUCCUUACAUAGGCGCCGCCCAUCCCAUCGCCUAUCUUCACAUAGGCGCCACCUAGGGUAUUGACUAUGUUCGCAUAGGCGCCGCCUAGGCUAUUGCCUUUGCUUUCUAGUGGCCAUGGGAGAUUGGUUAGGCGUCGCUUAUCGCUUUGAAAGGCCAUAACUUCUUGCUCGGGUGUCAGAUUUUAGCCAACUUGGUAUCGUUGGAAAGCUAACUCGAAUACCUAUCAUUUGAAACAUAGUAGGUUCCCUAAUUCGACAUAUACAGAGAGUUAUGGUCGAAGGAAGCUGACACACUUUACAACAUUUACUAAAACUUAGUCGAUCAAAAUAGUUCCAACUUGUCCUUUAGUUGAGGGACCUCUAUGGUCUAAAUUCAAGCUUGAGUGGAUUUCACAUGCUACACGAUAAUUAACAUGCCAUGUUGGCAUAGAAUUUUAUGGCUUCGGGAUUAACAACGCAUCAAAAUCAUGGUCUAUACUGUAGCCCGAAUUGCGGGGCGUUACAUUAUCCCCCCCUUAGGAUCAUUCAUCCCCGAAUGAUGAUGCGAGACACAGGCAGACACGAUUUUAAGCAUAAAAAAAGGACUAGGAAAGAUAAGAUAGGAAUAGUACCUUCUGUCUCCUCCUCCAUCGAAGCAAACAAAUUGGGAUAUCUAAUUCUCAUGUCAUCUUCUGACUCCCAAGUUGCUUCUUCAACUUUUUGAUUCCUCCACCGUACCUUUACUGAGGCUCUCUCUUUGCUCCUCAACUUUUGAACUUAGCGAUCUAAAAUUUCAACGAGCUCUUCUUCGUAAGACAAGGAGUCUGUCACUUUGAUACCCUCUACUAGCAAUACCAUAGAAUGAUCUCCAAUGUAUUUCUUCAACAUGGAUACAUGGAAUACCGGAUGAACGAAACCCAAACUUGCAGGCAAUUCUAACUCAUACGCAACUGUAUCAAUCCUUUUCAAAAUCUGAUAUGGCCUUACAUAACAAGGGCUCAAUUUACCCCUUUUUCCAAACCGCAUAACUUCUUUCAUAGGAGAAACCUUGAUAAACAACCAAUCACCAAUUUCAAACUCUAGUUCUCUUCUCCGAAUAUCGCCAUAGGACUUCUGACGACUCUAAGCUGUCUUGAGUCGUUCUCUAAUGAUCUUCACUUUCACCAUCGCCUGAUGAACAAGAUCAGGCCCAUACAAAUGAGUCUCACCUACUUCAUACCAUCCUAUCGGAGACCUACAUCUCCUCCCAUACAAAGCCUCCCAUCUUGAUACUGGCAUGGUAACUAUUAUUGUAAGCAAAUUCAACAAGUGGCAGGUGAUCUACCCAACUACCUUUGAAAUCAAUAACGCAUGCCCUCAACAUAUCUUCGAGGGUCUGAAUAGUAUGCUCAGCUUGCCCAUCCAUCUGAGGGUGGAAAGCUAUGCUCAAAUUCACUUGUGUACCUAAACCCUUCUGAAAAGAUCUCCAAAAUUGAGAUGAAAACUGCGUACCUCUAUUGGAUAUAAUGGACACUGGUGACCCAUGCAAUUGAACUAUCUCCUCAAUGUAAAUCUUAGCAUAAACCGCUCCCGAAUAAUUAGUCCUCAUAGGCAAAAAGUGGGCUGACUUGGUCAACCGAUCUACAAUCACCCAUAUAGAAUUAUACUAUUUUCGAGAUCUUGGAAGUCCUAUAAUGAAGUCCAUGUUUAUCAUCUCCCACUUCCAUAAAGGCAGGGCUAUCUCUUGGGAAGUACCACCUGGCCUCAUGUGUUCUACCUUCACUUGUUGACAGUUCAAACACUUGGACACAAAAUCAGCUACAUCACGUUUCAUGUUAUUCCACCAAUACAAGGUUUUCAAAUCAUGGUACAUCUUAGUAGAGCCUGGGUGAAUGAUAUAACUAGAAGUGUACACCUCAUUAAGGAUUCUUUCCCGUAUCCCAUCGACAUUCGGAACACAAAACCUACCCUGAAAUCUCAGAAUACCAUCGCCACUAAUUUCAAACGACAUAACCUUUUGUUGACCCACAUCUUUCUUGAUUUGCAUCAAGAUGGGAUCUUUAACCUGCUUUUCCUUAACUUCAGCACAAAGAGAUGACUUAGCCAACUCAUGAACAAUCACCCCUCCAUCUUCGAAAUCUAAGAGUCGCACUCCCAAAUUUGCAAGGCAGUAAAUAUCCUUCACCAUUUCUUUCUUUCUUUCUUCUACAUGAGAAAGGCUGCCCAUAGAAAACCUGCUGAGGGCGUUGGCUACAACAUUUGCCUUGCCCGGAGGGUAAUGCAGACUCAUAUCAUAGUCUUUCAAAAGCUCCAUCCAACGCCUCUGCCUGAGGUUCAAUUCUUUCUGUGAGAAAACAUACUGUAAAGUCUUAUGGUCGAUAUAAAUAUCGACAUGCACUCCAUAGAGAUAGUGCCUCCAGAUUCUAAGUGAAAACACCACGGCUGCUAACUCCAAGUCAUGAGUGGGGUAAUUGCGCUCAUGCACCUUUAGCUGCCUAGAUGCAUAAGCAAUCACCUUACCACACUGCAUCAAUACACAACCAAGUCCCACAUGGGACGUAUCACAAUAAACCACAAAAUCAUCUAUACCCUCGGGAAGGGUCAAAACAGGAGCAGUAGUCAGCUUGUCCUUCAAUUUCUCAAAACUAUUUUCACACAAGUCAGACCAUACAAACUUCAUCUUUUUCUGAGUUAGUUUAGUAAGCGGAGCGGCUAUGGAAGAAAAACUCUCUACAAACCAUCUGUAAUACCCCGCCAAACCCAAGAAGCUCUGAAUAGCGGUUGGAGUCGUGGGCCUGGGCCAUUUUCUCACUGCUUCAACUUUAUGGGGAUCCCCUCUUAUCCCGUCACUGGACACAAUAUGCCCUAGGAAGGCAAUAGCGUCUAACCAGAAUUCACACUUAGAAAAUUUGACAUACAACUGAUGAUUCUUAAGGGUCUGAAGGAUAAUUUUGAGGUGAUUGGCGUGAUCCUCAUUAUUCAUAGAAUAGAUCAGAAUCUCAUCAAUAAAUACAAUGACGAACAAGUCAAGAAAUUGAUGGAACACUCUAUUCAUAAGAUCCAUGAAGGCUGCAGGGGCGUUAGUCAACCCGAAGGACAUGACUAGAAAUUCGUAGUGACCAUAUCGUGUUCGGAAGGCUGUCUUGGGUAUGUCUGACUCCCUAACUUUCAACUGAUGAUAACCCGAACGAAGGUCUAUUUUUGAAAAACACUUGGCAUCGCAUGAAGAGCACGGGUGCACCCCAUGGGGAAACACUAGGACGAAUAAAACCUUUGUCUAGGAGGUCUGCAAGCUGUUCCUUUAGCUCCUUUAGUUCUGCUGGAGCCAUUCUAUAUGUCGGAAUAUAAAUAGGACGAGUGUCUAGCAACACAUCAAUGCUAAAAUUUAUCUUCCUACCAGGGGGUAUCCCUGGGAGAUCUUCGGGAAAGACUUCUGGGAAUUCAUUCACUACAGGGAGUGACUGCAGAGGAAGGUUUCCAACUUUUGAAUCUGUUACUUGGAUUAGAUGAUACGUACAAACUUUAGAGAUAAGCUUUUGGGCUCUAAGAUAAGAGAUAAAGUGACCUCUAGGUUCCACAGAACUCCCUGCCCAAGCAACUGGUGUCUCAUUCGGGAAAGAAAAAGUGACCUUUCGAGUUCUGCAAUCAAGGGUGGCAUAACAUGAAUGGAGCCAGUCCAUCCCAAGGAUGGCAUCAAAGUCUAUCAUAUUCAGUUCUAUAAGGUCUGCCACAGUUUCCCUACCGUGACUAGAGACGACAUAAUUUCUAUAUACCCUUUUAGCAACAAUAGAAUCACCUACAGGAGUAGAAAUAGAGAAGGGUUCUAUAAUAACUUCAGGCUCAAACCUGAAACCAAUAGCUACAUAAUGGGUCACAUAAGAUAAAGUGGACUCGGGAUCAAGAAAUACAUAAACAUCACGAGAAAAGAUUCGUAACAUACCGGUGACAACAUCUGGAGAAGCUUCCGCCUCCUGGCGGUUAGUCAAAGAAAAUAACCGGUUGCGACCUCUUCCGAAAGCUGAAGGGGCACCCUUAGGAAAAGGAGCUGUGGAGGUAGCUUGGGACUUAACCCCCCCCCCCCCCCAUAUUUACUCCAGCACAAGGAUAAUCUCUCUGAAGGUGACCCAUUUUGCCAUAAGUAUAGCAGUUUCUUCCCUCAAACCAGCACUUCCCUAGAUGAUUUGUUCCGCAAACCUCACACCGCGGAUGAGUACGAUGCUGUUGGGCCACACUGCCCUGAGACUAUGUACCUAGAGCUUUGGACCCAUGAGGAGUCUGAAAACUCUGAGUUUGUCUGUCUGUCGGUGAUCUGGUUGCUGGGGCGCUGCCUGCUGACUGUUCAUUAUUCCAAAACUUCUUCUUCUUCGACCACUUAAUACCCCAGUUACCACUCUGUGGUUGACUCUGGCACUGGUCCGCAGAUCUAGCAUUCUUCGCCUGUCUUUCUUUCUCUCUAGAUUCAGAAACCUUUUUCUUCUUCUCUUCCACUUGAUGUAUAUGAACGGUCAGUCGAAAAAAGUCUAACUCCUUAUUCAAGAUAGCCCCCUGGCACUCAAGUACUAGGUCAUCAGCAAGGCCAGAUGCAAAUUUCCUCAUUCGGGCCCUCAUAUUACUAGUCAACUCUGGUGCAUAGCGGGCUAGUUUAUUAAACUUCAAAGUGUACUCCUGGACACUCAUACUGCCCUGCUUUAGAUUCAUAAACUCUUCUGCUUUGGCCUCUCUCAACUCUAGAGGAAAGAAUCGAUCAAGGAAGGCUUCCACAAAUUCACCCCAAACUGUGGGCUCAGCACUUUUACCUUUUUCAUCUUCCUAGUCGGCAUACCAUUGACUCACAACGUCCUUGAGACGAUAGGUUGCUAACUCCACCCCUUCAACCUCAUCCACAUGCAUCACCUUAAAGAUCUUUUCCGUCUCAUCCACGAACUCCUAUGGAUAUUUCUCUACCUUGGUGCUAGUGAACUUAGGUGGGUUUAUCUUCAUGAAAUGUUUGACUCUAGUAGCCUCAGAUGUAACAGAUGCAGAUGCAACAUCUUUCGAUUGUUGAGCUUGGUUGGCUACCAACUACGUCAGCAUAUGAAUAGACUGUCUGAAUUCUGUAUUUGAAAUAUCUCCCUGAGCAGUUGAGGGACGGUUGACAUUAGUCCACAGAGCCCGAGGUGGACUGGUCAGGACUGGAGGGACUCCCGGAGUAGGGACAAAUUAUGGAGUGUGAGCCCUAUUACGGGUCCACAUCCCAUGGGUGGGACGGAACUCAUCUGCCUAUGCAUUUUGAUCGACGAUAUGACGUGGAGGCAUAACAGUUUAGAAUAUGAAGCACGAACUAAAUCACAAAGAAGGGAAACAUUUCCUAAACGCCUAGUAGCCUCCUGCUUAUAAGUGUGGCACACUACACACCCAUAGCACACUACACACCCAUAAAAAAGACUCUACCCGAUGCAUUUUUGCAGACAGCCUAGGACCAUGAACCGCGCUUUGAUACCAAGUUUGUCACGACCCAAACCAGGGCCUGGCCGUGAUGAGCAUUUCAAACCUUUGAGGCCCGAAACACACCUAUCUGUUUGGUAAUCAUGCACCUAAUUCAUAUUAUCAAAGUAAUGCGGAAGAAACACAAUAUGAUGGAAACAUGGUCAAGAAUCACAUGAAAACAAUAAUGGAGAAUAAUGUCCCACAAUCUUAAUCAACAUUUCAAAAAUCGUCUGCGAAAUCUCUACUACAUAACUGAAACAAGUAACUAUCUGAAAACUGGGACAAGGCCUCUAGUAGACCCAAAAAAAACUGAAUAUAAGAUAAAAGAACUGCAGGACUUAAGACCUUCCGAAACAUAGAAGGCUCACCACUUGUCUUUAUAGCUCUAUCUAAAAGUUCUACUGAUUCUCUUGACCCCUAGACUGGGCCUCUGAACUUGAGAGGUUGGAGAGGGGAGGGGGUCAGCACAAAAGUACUGGCACGCAAAGAUAUAAAAAAAACAUAAUAUUUUUACAAAGUAUAGUUAAGAGCCGUUAUAAAGAAAUUUCGUAUCAAAUCAUUUGAAAGCACAUGGGUGUAAUGCAAUAGUGUUUCUCAAUAAUAAUGAAAUGCAAUUGAGCUAGGUGGAAUACCUUACAUAAUUUACACCAACUGUCAAACCUCGGUUGCCGCCGAGAUUAGAGUAUAAGUGAGGGAGAGACACACAAGACCACAAAGCAUGGUGUCUUGACCCAAAUCAAAUAUGGUAGUGCACAAGACCACAAAGCAUGGCUCCUAACCAUAAUCCCAAUUUGGGAUAGUAUAAUAUCAGGUACGCAAGAUCACAAAGCAUGGUACCGAUAUUCCAUGUUGGCAAACACGUUCUUCCAGCGAUGAGCCGCUUGUGUCCCAAAUGCCUUCUUCUGGCAUCCACCUUUCUCAUGUAAAAUCAAUGCAUUCAAAUUUCAUCUUAUUCAAUCACAUAUCAUAUUUUGAAGGGUCUCGUCAUACCCGACUUACAAGUCAUCAAUAUCACAUCCACAUAUGCAUAAUCAUGCAAAAAUCAAGGUGCUUCAUUAUUUACAAGUGGUGAACAAUAUUUAUUUCAAAUUCAUGCUCUCUUUUGUUAAUCACAAUAUAAUAUGGAGUUUCAAAACAUUAUCAUGGAAAUUUGAAAACAAUUUAUCAUUCAUAUUUAUCAACUUUCAUGGAAAAUCUCAAAUCACAUAUGCAUGGUUUCAACCAUUGAAGUAUAUAGGCAAACAAUUCCCAUGACAUAAAGAAAAUGACUUAGAAAUCAUAUUGAAAGCAAGAUAUUAGCAUUUGAUUGAAAACCCCCAUUUAAAAGCUUACAUGUUCAUAAAACUACACCCAUGAGAUUUUUGGAAAACCCCACGUACCUCGAUUACUAUGAAUAUUAGGUGCUUCUUGAAGCCUACGUUGAGAGGAUUCCAAAUAUGCAAUUUGUUUCUAAAACCCACGGUUGAAUCUUUAGUAGCUUGGAUUUUUAUUUCGAAACACUAAGGAGAAUCUUGAGCAUUUUUGAUGAAAGAAUAUGUAUUUUGGGGUCCUUGGAACUAAAAUUCGUGUUUUAGGGCUAAGUAAGGGUGGAAAAGGACCACUUUGUCCUCAACACGGGGUGUUUAAAUCACUAGAAUUCCUUACAUAGGAGCCUCCCAUCCCACCGCCUAUCUUCACAUAGGCGCCUCCUAGGCUAUCGCCUAUGUUCGCAUAGGCGCCGCCUAGGCUAUCUUCUAUGUUCGCAUAGGCGCCGCAUAGGCUAUCGCCUAUGUUCGCAUAGGAGCCGCCUAGGCUAUCGCCUAUGUUCGCAUAGGCGCCGCCUAGGCUAUCGCCUAUGUUCACAUAGGCACCGCCUAGGCUAUUGCCUAUGCUUUCCAAUGGCCAUGGGCGAUUGGUUAGGCAUUGCUUAUCACUUUGAAAGGCCAUACAUCUUGCUCGAGUGUCAGAUUUUGGCCAACUUGGUAUAGUUGGAAAGCUAACUCGAAUACCUAUCAUUUGACACAUAGUAGGUUCCUUAAUUCGACAUAUACAGAGAGUUAUGAUCGAAGGAAGCUGACACACUUUACAACAUCCACUAAAACUUAGUCGAUCAAAAUAUUUUCAACUCGUCCUUGAGUUGAGGGACCUCUAUGGUCUAAAUUCAAGCUUGAGUGGAUUUCACAUGCUACGCGAUAAUUAACAUGUCGUGUUGGCAUAGGAUUUUAUGGCUUCGGGAUUAACAACGCAUCAAAAUCAUAGUCUAUAUUGUAGCCCGAAUUGUGGGGUGUUAUAGAAUGAGUCAAACUUUUAACUGGUUUUUUAAGCCUUUUUCCUAUUUCUAAAAAAAUUUUACCAAGCCAACAUGAAAAAUUGAAAUACUAAUUAUCGAGACAAUAAUUCCUAGAUGACUAGACGCUACGAAUUGUUUUCUAAAUAUGUGGGGCCUUGGCUACAAAUUUAUAGUGUAAGUGGUUAACAAGCUAGGAGAUUCUUUUUGCAAUGAAUGGCCACUUGUCUAUGUUGUCUUUAUUUUGAAGCUUAUGUCUAAUGUUAGAGUUUGUGACCCCAAUUUUGUUGAUUCGACCCUGAAAAAAUCGUGUUGCGAUCCAUGUUUGAGACUUUUUGGAGUUUGUUUUUGGGCUUAGCAUUUAUUUGUACACACGUAUUAUAUAAGUGCGAUUUAGUGGGUUUUUUUGGAAGUUUUAUAUAUGUCAUUGAGAUGUUCGUCUCGUCAUUAUAUUCCUCUCCAUUAUAGUGAAUUUUCUCCUCCUUUGCCUGUGAUUUUUUCCAUCAAGAGUUUCCAAAUAAAAUCUAUAUGUUCUUGUUUUCUUUUGUUUUGUGGUAUUGCUUAUUCCUGUUCGUUUCAAUAACAACAAAUUUAACCUUAACUUUCUAAUGAAUAUUCUUCUCCCACAUUUUAUUUUCAAACUAGGUACACUCUCAUCCCUAAUCCGAAUUCCUAUCGCGUAAGACUCGUUAAACCAGAAGCACUUUCUACCAAGAUUAUUUUAAAAUUCAAGGUGCAAAUCCGAGAUCUUUGAUUAUAGGGGGAGGAUUCAUGUUCAGCCACAACGACCCUUAACGCUAAAUUUUACUCUCAUAGAGAUAUUUUUAUUAAUUUAUAUUCUUAAAUAGUACGCAAUAUUUCUUUGUAACGGCUGAUGUCAUUUGACUCUUCAGUUACUUGGUUCCCUAACUCAGCGAGCAAAAUACUCCUUGCGCCGCUAGAGCCAUGUUGGAGACAAGUAUAUAGCUUAGUUUGUGUUGAUGUCAACUGUUAUGAUCGGGUAGAAUAAGCAAUACCACAAAGCAAAAGAAAUUAAGAAGAAGACACGGAUUUACAUGGAAACUCUUGCAGGAAAAAACCACGGGCAAAGGCAGAGGAAUUUCACUAUGAUGGAUGGAGAAUAUAAUGAGGAAAAUGCCGUAUUUAAAAACAUCCAAAAACGACCCACUAAAUCACACUUAUAAUAUGUGCAAUACAAAAUAAAUCGUAGGCCCAAUCCCUACGCUACCACCACAGACCCCACAAAAAAUCAUAAAAAUGGGUCGCACCGUGAACUUUUCAGGGCCAGAUUAACGAAAUACAGGUCACAAACUCUAACAUCAACCAUAAUAAUGGUAGCAAAAGAAAUCCUCUACUCAUUUUUUUAGGAUAAUUUUUUUUUGUUGACGAGAAGAUAGAGAAUGAAGCUCAUUAUACUUGAGUGUUGAUGCAGUAGUACAAGCAAUAUACAAUGCAUCAUAAUAUUACUACUUAGGCACUGAUGAAAAACAUACUACGCAUCAUAACAUUAUACUUUAGUGUUGAUGCACGAGUUGCAUUGUUUCGAGGAUUUUUAUCUCCAGAAUUAGUAGGUGAUAUUCCCAUAAAUGGGCAAAGGAUGCUUUUUUAGACUCGAAUCGCCUUUUCCUCGAUCUAUAGCAAUCUUAUAAUUAUUAUUGUCCUGUAGAUACUGAUACUUAUAUAGUUAUAGUAUAUGCUAAGCUCAAUAUGCUGAAUUGUGCUAAAGUAUUAAUUUCUUGCUAAUGGAGUUUGACGCUCUAAGAACAAAACGAUGCAGUUGGAAAGAAGAAAGGAGAAAAUUCUUGAUGAUCAAUUAUGUAUGAAUCUUAAACUGAAUUUGAAAAGUUUUUUUUUUUUUUUAUGGAACUAAAAUAAUUUUGCGUGGACUCUUAUUACUUAUAAUGUUCCUCCCAGCACUAGUGCUAAAUGGUCCAUCUUUCACAACAUAAUUGGUAUAUUUCUUAUCACUAUUGGGAUUGCAUGUAUUGUCGCUCACACCAUAACCUGUACCAAGAGCGCGCGGAUAUGUUCCAACAUGAUAGCUUUCGAAAGCAAAUGUAGAUUAGUUAAAUGACCAUACCAAAAGCAGUAUCAUAGCUCUGCUUGGCUAUGAGUGUGGUGAGCUUCCUCUCAAGUAUACAUUAAAAGAGUCACUGUUCUGCAACGCAAACCCCUACUGGCAAAGAUUACUGCCAAGAUCAAUACAAGGAUGGUCAAAUGUUUAUAAUGCCGAAGAAAGCUAUCAAGUUAAUAGAGGCUACUCGUAGAAGCUAUUUGUGGUCUGGGGAAGCUACAAUAACAAGGAAUUCUAUGGUGGCAUGGGAGAAAAUCUGCCUAUAGACUAUGGAACCAAGCUGCAAUCUGUAAGUUGCUUUGGGCUUUAAGUCUACACAGAGAGAAACUAUGGAUUGCUUGGGUUGACACGUUAUAAAGAGGCAGAAUAUAAACACAGGAACAAAUUCUUUGCUAGAGCAGACAAAAUGAUAAGAGGAGAUGUAGAAAAUGCGGCAUGGAGCCUAAGUGUGUUUUUAUCUUAUGUCUUUACUUUCAUGGGAGUUCGAUAAUGGACUAAAGAUGUUUUUAUCAGCUGAUAUAUGAAUGUAGAUCCUAUGUCUGUGUUUCGUAAAAGCGAGUCAAAAGAGCAUUUGUUCGUUGAAUGUAAGGCGAGUCUGUUAGUUCCAUUCUGAGAAGGGAAGUGUAUAGAAGUACCAUUCCUUGGUAAUUCAUGCAAUUCAUUUAAUUGGCAGAAGAAAAAAACAUUCUUCUCAGCAAUACAAUUAUUUAGCAAACAUUUUCAGCAAAAGAAGUUAUUUGGAACAAGAGUUGCCAAGAGCAUGCUCAACAUGUGAGAAGUUAUUCUGAUCUUUUGUAGCAUCCCUACAACAUCUUUCAUGUUUGUCCGUCUAGCUGGAGACUCAGCACAGCAAUCUAGUGCUACUUUAAUGAUUGAUGCCACACAAUCCAACUUCUUCAUGACGUGAUUAUCUGUUGGUGGAACCAAGUUGGCAUCAGCAACAUCUAUUACUACAUCAGGAAGUGAAUAACUCACCCAUUGUUUCAAGCUAAGAUCUUCCGCAAACUCACUAGGCUUUCUCCUGGUAAAGGUUUCCAGCAACAUGAUUCCAUAACUAUACACGUCACAUUUAGUAGACACCAAUCCAUCUCGUCCAUACUCUAGAAUAAAACAAUUAUUUAAAGAUGUAACAUGAUAACUUGGUGGAAAAAGAAAGGGAAAAGAAAUGUUCAAAGCAAAAUCAAGAGAAGUACCUGGCGCAAUAUAACCCAAUGAUGCUAAGGUUUUAGUGUAUAAUUCACUUUCAUCGUCACCAAGCAGUUUUGGGUUACCAAAGUCGCUUAGGUGGUCAACCAUAUCCUCAUCCAGCAAGACAUUACUCGGCUUCAGAUCACAGUGAAUCACAGGCGACGAGCAACCAUGGUGCAGAUAUUCCAAUGCACAUGCCACAUCUAUCAUUAUGCUUAGCCUUUGCAUGAUGUCUAAGAAGUAGUUGUGCGAAUACAAAUACUUCUCAAGGCUCCCAUUAGGCAUAUACUCGAGCACUAAAGCCUUAAAAUCAAGGUUGGAACAGCUAGUAAUGACUUUUACGAGAUUCCUAUUGCGAAGGCUGCGCAGAACUUCACAUUCUGUAUCAAAGCUCUUGAAUGCUGCAUCUAGUUGCAGAUUGAACACUUUAACUACAAUGGCAGUUCCACUUCUGAGAACACCUUUGUAAACAGAGCCAAAACUUCCAGAACCAAUCAGAUUACUCUCGCUAAGCGCAUCAGUUGCUUGUAUCAAUUCAUAGUAUGAAAUUCUUUCUCUUGUUAUUGCAGACAAUGAAUCAGCUUGUUGAGGAGCUCUUUUACCUUUUCUAUACCAUAUCCAGAAAAAAAUAAAGGUGCAAGGAACAACUACUAGUGCAAUUCCCAGCAAAAGAAAAAGAACUAGUAUUUUUUUCCUGUUUGAUUUGUGCGUUGAUGAAGUGGGGCAUGGAGGGACACUAAAUCUUGAAGAACCACACAAUGCUUCAUUGUAGAUGAAAAACUGGCUCGAGAGGUUCUUGAAAGGACCUCCCGACGGUAUUUCACCGUACAAUUUGUUUACAGAAACAUUGAAAUAUUUCAAGUUUUGAAGUUUCUCCAAAGACUUGGGAAUUAUUCCAGAUAUAUUGUUAUGAGAAAGGUCUAGGAUCCUUGCAACUUGUUGUGUUUCAAAGAAAGGUGUGCCAGAUUUUGCAAUCCUCCAAUUUCUCUUGGAAUUCUAUUUGAAAAUUUAUUCAUCGAUAGAUACAUCUUUGUUACAGCCAUUAGAUUUCCAAUUUCUGGAGGUAAAGAACCUACCAUAUUUUUUGACGAUAAGUCAAGAACCACUAGAUCGUGAAGGUUCCCUAAACUUGGUGAUAUAUUGGAACUCAAUUUGUUGGAAAUGAGACGUAUCUCCUAAGGGAAUUAAUAUUCCAUAAAAAAUUAGGAAGAGAUCCUGAAAGUUGAUUUUGAUCCAAGUAAAUAUCACCCAGAUGCUGCAAUUUACAUAUAUGAUCACCAACAAAUCCUGUAAGUUUGUUGUUACUCAAGUCGAAGCGCUGAAGGUUUCUUAAGUUGCCAAUUGCUGUGUGAAUUGAUCCAGCCAAGUUGUUUCCAGAAAGAUCAAGGAAUAAUAAGUUGUUUCCUUGGUCAAGUCGCUAAAACCUGGUUUUGCAUAAACACCAAAAUAUUCCUAAAAUCAUUUGUCUUUUCAAAAAUAAACUUUUUCAAGGUUUAUCAAAAGACGUUUUUAAACAGGUCAGAUAACCGUAAGUUAGCGGACGUUUUAGGUGCCUAACACCUUCCUAAAACGUUAAUAGGAAUCGCUUACUUAGAAUCUCUUAACUUAAAAUGAUUUUCUUGUUUUGAAUCGUUUUAAGUAACUCUCUAAAGGUUUCUUAAUUCCUUUUCAAAAUUAAGUGGCGACUUUCUUCAAAAGUCAAAAUUUCUCUGCAAAACAAUAACUACUGGUGAUAAAUUUUCUAAGAGAUGUGGAAAGGUUCCCCAUGGAGGCCGGAAGCAUGCCAUUUAGCGGGUUGAGAGAUAUAUCAAGAAAUGUUAAAUUUCUACAUUUGGUUAAGGAAGUCAGGAAGCUUAAUGAUGAGUCACUGGUCAAAUUGUUUCCCCCUAAACUUAGAUAUUGUAGAUGAGUCAAAUAUCCAAGGGAAUUGGGAACAAGCUAGUGAGUUGGUUGUUACUAAGGUCUAGAAUAGUAAGUUUUGAAUAAUUGGAGAUAGAAUGAGGAAUUGUCCCAACAAGAUUGGUUAAGCUACUCAGAUAAAGCUCUUCAAUGUUGGGUAUGAAAGAACACAUGUUUGGUGGGAGGCUUCCUGAUAGAUUGUUUUCUAAAAGAUCAAUUUCUCUCAGCCCGGAUAUGUUGAAGAUCUCCAUUGGGAGUGAACCACAUGAAACACCCCGUAUUUUUGGGCUAGAGUUUAGACCGUCGUUCCUACGUAUAUAGACUCGAACUGAAUUAUUCUUUAUUAACAUACGUGUGGUAAACACUCCUAUCGUAAUGCCCCGUAAAAUUCUCAAGUCGAUUUCAUUUUUAGUGUUAUGUUUGAGGGGCUAACAACUAGAAUAUUUUUCUAAGUGUAAUGAGGACUUAGAGUCAUUUUAGCUGGCAAUCUUCGGGAGACAACUUUUCAACCAUCCCGACAUCCGUUUUUAGAUUUUCUAGUUGAGUUACGAUCCAGAAAGCUCAUAGUAAAUCUCGGAUAGGUUUCGGAAUUUUUCGGAACGCAUAAGGCUGUGUUUGGAUUUCAAAACAGUAGCAAACCGCAUAGCCUAUUGCCCAGUUUUCAGAAUUUCAGGGUCAACUUCAAACGAUCAUAACUCUCUGAAUAUAAUAAAUUGAGAAAGAAGCUACCUAUCAAAUGAAAGAUCUUUGAGUCUUCUUUCCAAUGCAACUGGUUUCAUCCAAAUCAAACAUCUGAGUAAGGAGUUAUACCCAUUUUACUUCAGUUUAUCAGCUUAUCAACUGAGGGACAGUUUCAAAUUUGUUUGUUUUCUUAGGGGCAUUUUAGUGAUUUCACCACACCAGAUUUAGCCCCCAAUUCAUCAAACUAUAAUCCUUUUCUCAAAUUUUCUCUCAAAAACACCCCUUAGGAUUUCAAAAUAAAAAUCCCAAUAACUCAAGAUUCAACCAUGGGUUUUCAAAAUAAAUUGAAGAUUUGGAAUCCCCGUAACAUAGGCUUCAAGAAGCACGUAUCACAUUUGCAUAUAGAGGUAUGUGCGGUUAUCUCAAAAAUCUCAUGGGCUUAAAAAUUCAUGUUUUAAAAAUGGGAUUUUUGAAAUUAUGAAUAUAAACAUGUUUCAAGCAUCUUUAUGAUAUUGAUUUGAUCUUUAGGCCUAUUUCCGAAGUGAUUUGAUAUAUUAUAUAUGCAUAUUCUUGUGAUUCAAAAGAUGUUAACUUGAGAGCAUGCAUUAUAUAAAACCCCUCUCUUAAUAUGAAAUUGUUUGAAAUUUUCAUAUGAUGUGAAUUGUUUGAAAUCAUCUUGAUAAGCAUGACAUGAACUAUUUUGAAAGUGGAUAUGAUUUUCGACUUGCAAGGAGAGGGUUAUUAUGUUGAAAUAUGAUGAAUAUAAUGGUUGCAUGAAAGAAUAAUGUGAUAUUGAUGGCUUGCAAGUCGGGUAUGACGAUACUCUACAGAAUAUGAUAUGUGAUUGAAUCAGAUGAAAUUUGAAUGUAUUGAUUUUUCACGAGAUAGGUGGAUACUCAAAGAAGGCAUUUGAGUGUAAGGGCUUAUUGCUGGAAACCGUGUUUUCCGACAUGGGAACUUGGUACUAUGCUUUGUGAUCUUGCAUACCUGACUUUAUGUCAUUCCCAAAUUGGGACUAUGGUUAGGAGCCUUGCUUUGUUGUCUUGUGCACUACCAUUGGGUCGGGACACCCUGUUGUGUGAUCUUGUGUGUCUUCCCCUCACUUAUAGUCUAAUAUCCGCGGCAACUAAGGUUUGAUAGUUGGUGUAAAUGUGAUAUGUAGGGUAUUCCACCUAGCUCAGCUACAUUGCAUUAUUGUUGAAAACAAUUACAUUACACCCAUGUGUUUUCAAAUGAUUUUAUAUGAAACUGCUUUAUAAUGACUUUCAACUAUAUUUUGUAAAAAUAUUAUGUUUUGUUUUGAUAUCUCUGUGUACCAGUACUUUUGUAUUGACCCCUUUCCCUCCCACGUUCGGAGGCACAGUCUAGGGGUAAAGAAAAUCAGUAGAUUUCCUCAGACAGAUUCGCAGAGUCACUUGGUGAGCCUUCUAUAUUUUGAUAGUCCUUUCCGAUUGAGUCCUAUAAGAUUUUAAAAAUUGUGCAAAGACUCGAUAGGAGUCUGUUAGUGCAUCAAUAUGUGUUGAUUCUGAUGUAAAUAUUGAUCCUGAUGGAAUCGUGCAUUCCAGCUUAAGGUAUUAAGUGUAUGUAGUCCCUCUCAAAAUCUUAUUACAAAUGUGGACAAUGUAUAGCAGAAUGUUGGAACUGUAUUUCUACCCGAAUAGUAGCUUAAGUUAAAGUGUUGUUGUCAUGACCUAUUGGUAGUGAUAUUGGACCAAGAAGUUGGUAAUUUAAAGUCACAAAGUUAGAAGUUAGAAGUCAGAGUAAGGGUGAUUUUGUGUAAAUGAAUAUUUCAGUUGAAUAACCGAUGUUUGAGGAUGAUUUACCCCUUUAUAGUGAUAAACUAAUGUGGUAGCUAGCAGCAUGUGUGGACGGUAUGGUUGUCCAUGGAGGAAGUGUUUUACUCAUAUUUUUACUUAUACGGAAUAAUAUGUAUAUUCUUAGACCAUUAAAUAUUAUGUGUCAAUUUUCUAUCCCUUGUAAUAUGUAAUCUUGUUUUCAUGGUGUUUUUGAAAAAAAUUAAAAAAAAAUUUAAAGUCUAGUGAAGCCGUGUGGGGAUCUUUUGAUUCACUAGCAUAAUUGUCUUGUCAUCCAUCUCAUUUUCUUGUUCAAAAUACAAAACCAAAGUCUAGUGAAGCAGUGUGAGGCCUGUUUCGAUUCACUAGCAACUUGUUGUUCUUUCGUUGGUUUAAUAUAUGUAUGGCUGAAUCUGUUUGCAUGAGAUUGAGUUGGUAAAGAGGUAAUUCGUCCUUGUGAGUUAGUUUAGUAAGGUAGAGAAGGAGUUGUUAGUCAGGGUGAUUUGUUGGUUGCUUGAAUGUGAAAUGGCUAUAUUAGUGAGUAAGUUAUGAUUAUAAACUCAAGGUUGUUUGAAGAAUUUGAAGGCAGUCUAAAUGUAUGAUUGAGUGAGUAAAUAUGAGGUGAGAAAUCCGUAUAAGUAGAAAAGAUUAUAUAGGGUUAUAAUAUAAUAUUAAGGUUUAUUGUGUCUAUUAUGUGACCUUACCCCUUGACCUUUUUUUGUUGAUAGUUGUAAACUAGUACUACUUAUGAGAAGGUAUGUAGCAGAUUUUGAAGUAUUUGGAAUAGAAUGUUCCAAUUUGAUGGAUUAGUAUAUUAUGCUGCACUUGUCAUUGGUGGUAGAUGAUUGAUGCUAGACCAUUGUCUUGAAUUUAAUGUAGGAUGUGGAUGUAAGAAUAGUGGCAUGAGAUUAAUGAUGUAUAUUUGUGGGAAUAAAUAUUAGUAGGCUUGAUGUGUUGAAAUAGUACGUGCUAAUGAGUUAUGAUAAGGAAGACCAUAAGGUCAAGGUCGAUUAUUGUUGUUAUAAAGUUCUAGUGUACUAGUAUUCCUUGAUGUUUACUUCAUGGUUUACAAGUGAGAAUCAUGCGUAAGGUUGGGUUGUAAAAUCAUGUUUAGCACUAGACAUUAAGUUUGAACAGUUGAAGUUCAUAAAGGUGGAUAUGAUGAUUUCUUGAUCAAUGAUGUUAGUUAUAUGAAAGUGAUCUAAUAGGCUUGAACGGUAUAUGAAAUGGCUUAAGUUUAAAUUGAUUUGUAAUGAAGUAUAAUAUUGUAGGUAUGGUGUAGAAGUAUGCCAAGGUGAUAUGAGGUUGCGGUAUAUUUUUCUAAGACUAUUACAUAAUUUGUGUGGCUAGUGGUACCAUUGAAUNNNNNNNNNNNNNNNNNNNNNNNNNNNNNNNNNNNNNNNNNNNNNNNNNNNNNNNNNNNNNNNNNNNNNNNNNNNNNNNNNNNNNNNNNNNNNNNNNNNNNNNNNNNNNNNNNNNNNNNNNNNNNNNNNNNNNNNNNNNNNNNNNNNNNNNNNNNNNNNNNNNNNNNNNNNNNNNNNNNNNNNNNNNNNNNNNNNNNNNNNNNNNNNNNNAGUAAGUGUAGUUCAGUUAGAAUCUGGUAAGGUAUCUCCCAAACUCUAGAUGAUGACUUGAAGCUAAGGGAGAGAUGAUAGAAUGAAUGACCAAGUAAGGCUCUUAGAUUCUAGCAGUGAUGUAGUAUGAUUUAGAACAUCAGAAAGUGAGGGUGAAUCUCAACCUAUUCCUACCUCAGUAUGUUUUUUUUAGUUAUUCAGAUGCUUACUCAUGCCUUACGAUCUAGUUCCGUGAUCGUAGUUCAUGAUUCCUGUAUAUGAUAGAGAGUCACAUACCCUUCCAAUUCCAAGAUAAUGAGUUCUAGUUCGUUCAAGUAGUCGGAAUCACAUUCCUUAUGUUAUGAACUCUAGUUGAGGUCAUGCAACUCAUGACGCAUGUACUCACUCUUUAUAGUGUGCUUAGUCCCGUAUAAAAAUCUUUUCAUGCUUCAGGAUCUUAUGUUUAACCUUUUAGUGACCGUCCCUAUACAAUGAUAGUGGUGAUGAUGUAAAUAUUCUUGUUGAUGGAAGAUCAUAGUAUGCUUGCUUAGAUAAGGCCAUAAGUAUGAAGUAAGAGUUGGGGCUAAGUCUUUGAUACACGUGAUGGUUAGUGGAAAAGUUUGUGUGUGUUUGUGUUGGGGUAGCGCGUGGGAGUUAUAUUGACAAUAGUUUAAAAACUAUGUGAAGUAUGUAUUUAUGAGUGGUUUCCUUGAAGUCAACAUGUGGUUAUAAAAUAGGCUUGAAUGAUGUUUUGGGAUUGUAGUGGAAGGUCUCAAUAUGCAUUAGCGACUUCAUAUUAAGAGUUUAGAGUAGUCAUUAAAGUGGUAAGGCAUGUUAUGCUUAGGAUGUGAUCUUUAAAAGAGGUAUAGAAGGAGGCAUCAUAUGGUUUAGAAUAAUAGCGUGGUACAGCAUGUUGUAUUUUUGUGACUUAGAGUUAGGCUUGAUCGCGGUGUAAGGAUUAAGCUAUUUUAGACAUUAGUAGAAAAAAAAAUUUGUCAAUGCUCAUAUGAGAAUUUUAAGCUGAAUUGAAUGAAUAUGAUAUUUAUNNNNNNNNNNNNNNNNNNNNNNNNNNNNNNNNNNNNNNNNNNNNNNNNNNNNNNNNNNNNNNNNNNNNNNNNNNNNNNNNNNNNNNNNNNNNNNNNNNNNNNNNNNNNNNNNNNNNNNNNNNNNNNNNNNNNNNNNNNNNNNNNNNNNNNNNNNNNNNNNNNNNNNNNNNNNNNNNNNNNNNNNNNNNNNNNNNNNNNNNNNNNNNNNUAUACUAGUAAUUGCAAGUAUAGAUCAGUUCAUGCGUCAUGCAUUAGAUUCAGAUUCCAGAGAUUCAGUUAUGAUUCAAUUCGUAGGUGCCCUGUGCAUCGCCUCAGUUCCCCGAGUAUCUUAGUGAAUUGAGUAUUCAUAGAGGGACAUAGGAUCCCAAGGGGGAGAUACCUCAUUCAGUUGCAUGCAUAGAUUCUUAUUACAAGCCUCGCACCAGCUAUCAUUGGUAUUCAGUCAUACAUUCAUACGUCAGUUAAGUCAGAUAUGCAUGCGCUAGAAAUGCAUGUUCAAUAGAAAAAGUUCAGCUUAUCAGUGUAUUUAGUCCUGCGUUCAUGAGAACAACUCAGUCAUAGAUCCAUGCAUCAGAUAUGCAUGUUCAUUAGGAGAAUUCAGCUUAUGAAUAGCUUCAGUUGUGUAUUCCAUGCAUCAGAUAUACACAUUCGGUAUAAGAAUUUAGAACAUCAGUAGUUCCAGCCUUAUAGUCAUGUUUCAGAUCAGUGUAUUCUUUCUUAGAGAAAAAUAUCAUGUCCGCAUUAUUCCAUACCUCUAAGCUUCAAUAUGUUCAUGUAACAUCCCGUAUUUUCGGGCUAGAGUUUAGACCGUCGUUCCUACGUAUAUAGACCCGAACUAAAUUAUUCUUUAUUAACAUACGUGUGGUAAACACUCCUAUAGCAAUGCCCCAUAAAAUUCUCGAUUCGAUUUCAUUUUUAGUGUUAUGUUUGAGGAGCUAACAACUAGAAUAUUUUUCUAAGUGUAACGAGGACUUAGAGUAAAUUUAGCUGGCAAUCUUCGGGAGACAACUUUUCAACCUUUCCGACAUUCAUUUUUACAUUUUCAAGUUGCUUUACAAUCUGGAAAGAUCAUAGUACAUCUCAGAUAAGUUUUGAAAUUUUUCGGAAUGCAUAAGGCUGCGUUUGAAUUUCAAAAAGUAGCAAAACGCAUAGCCUAUUGCCCAGUUUUCAGCAUUUCAGGGUCAACUUCAAACGAUCAUAACUUUCUGAAUAUAAUGAACUGGGAGAGCUUCUACCUAUCAAAUGAAAUUUCUUUGAGUCUUAUUUCCAAUACAACUGGUUUCAUCCAAAUUUAACAUCUGAGUAAGGAUUUAUACCCAUUUUACUUCAGCCUGUCAGCUUGUCAACUGAGGGACAGUUUUGAAUUUGUUUGUUUUCUUAGGGGCAUUUUAGUCAUUUCACCUCACCCAAAUUUCGUUUAUAACACCAGAUUUAGCUCCUAAUUCAUCAAAAUAUAAUCCUUUUCUCAAAUUUUGUCUCAAAACACCCCUUAGGGUUUCAAAAUAAAAAUCUCAAUAACUCAAGAUUCAACCAUGGGUUUUCAAAACAAAUAGAAGAUUUGAAAUCCCCGCAACGUAGGCUUCAAGAAGCACCUAUCACAUUCGCAUAUAGAGGUACGUGGGUUAUCUAAAAAAUCUCAUGGGCUUAAAAAUUCAUAUUUUAAAAAUGGGGGUUUUGAAAUUAUGAAUAUAAACAUGUUUCAAGCAUCUUUAUGGUAUUGAUUUGGUCUUUACGCCUAUUUCCGAAGUGAUUUGAUAUAUUAUAUAUGCAUAUUCUUGUGAUUCAAAAGAUGUUAACUUGAGAGCAUGCAUUAUAUGAAACCCCUCUCUUGAUAUGAAAUUGUUUGAAAUUUUCAUAUGAUGUGAAUUGUUUGAAAUCAUCUUGACAAGCAUGACAUGAACUAUUUUGAAAGUGGAUAUGAUUUUUGACUUGCAAGGAGAGGGUUAUUAUGUUGAAAUAUGAUGAAUAUAAUAGUUGCAUGAAAGAAUAAUGUGAUAUUGAUGACUUGCAAGUCGGGUAUGAUGAUACCCUACAGAAUAUGAUAUGUGAUUGAAUUAGAUGAAAUUUGAAUGCAUUGAUUUUACAUGAGAUAGGUGGAUGCCCGAAGAAGGCGUUUGAGUGUAAGGGCUCAUCGUUGGAAACCGUGUUUGCCGACAUGGAAACUUGGUACCAUGCUUUGUGAUCUUGCGUACCUAACUUUAUGUCAUUACCAAAAUGAGACUAUGGUUAGGAGCCCUGGUUUGUGAUCUUGUGCACUACCAUUGGGUCGUGUGAUCUUGUGUGUCUUCCCCUCACUUAUACUCUAAUCUCGGCAGUAACCGAUAUUUGACAGUUGGUGUAAAUGUGAUAUGUAGGGUAUUCCACCUAGCUCUGCUGCAUUGCGUUGUUGUUGUAAACAAUUACAUUACGCCCAUGUGUUUUCAAAUGAUUUUAUAUGAAACUACUUUAUAAUGACUUUCAACAAUAUUUUGUAAAAAUAUUAUGUUUUGUUUUGAUAUCUCUAUGUACCAGUACUUUUGUAUUGACCCCCUUCCCUCCCAGGUUUUAGAGGCACAGUCUAGGGGUCUAGAAAAUCAGUAGAUUUCCUCAGAUAGAUUCGCAGAGUCACUUGGUGAACCUUCUAUAUUUUUGAAGGCCUGAUAUCUGGCAGUUUCAUUUAUCAUUUAUUAGUUUUGGGUCUACUGUGGGCCUUGUCCCAGUUUUCAGAUAGAUAUUUAUUUUAGUCAUGUAGUAGAGAUUUCGCAGACGUAAUAGAGAUGUUGAUUGAGAUUGUGGGACAUUAUUCCCCAUUAUUGUUUUCAUAUAAUUCUUGACCAUGUUUCCGUUAUAUAGUGUAUCUUCCGCAUUUUUUUUCAUAUAAGUCAUGUGCAUGAUUACCAGAUAGAUAAGGGGUGUUUCGACCUUGAUGGUUCGGAAUACUCGUCACGGCCAGGUCCUCGAUUCGGGUCGUGACACCACUAAACCUAUUAAACUCAAGAGCAAGUACCUCGAACUCAAUGAGGUUGCUUAUCUCUUUGGGUAUUUCACCUGGAAACACAUAUAGUGGAUUACUGGUGAGUUUAAAUAGUUGGUUCCAUCUAUUUUUUGCUAAGAUAUAAGAAUUGCUUCUUGUUUAUGUUGUCAAUCUCCCAUGAUAUAAUCCACUAAGAUAUUAACUUUUAUAUUGUUGGUCAUACGAAAGUAUUAAAAGAAAAAAGAAAAAAAAAAUAUGUAUAGAAGAUAAAUAUAUCUGAACAGAGCCAUUAAUCUGGCUUCGCUCUCCAUGCCUAAUACCCCCAAACUUAGAUACCUCAAUUAAUUCAAUAACUGAAAUUACCCCUGCAGUUACUGUGUAGUCAAAUAAAAUACCGAAGCAAUUAGAUACAAGCAUUCAUAAGAUAAAACAUACCUGUGAAAUGGUCAGUUCCGAGAAACAAUUGCUGCAAGUUACUAAAUCUUCCAAUUUCACUAUGUAUUGGUCCAUCAAACUCAUUUUCCGAUAAACCUAGUAGUUGAAGUUGUGAGCAAUUUGACAAGCUCGUCGGCAUAUGACCAUGACGCUUGUUAUCGGAUAGAUAAAGCCCUUUGAGUAUUGGGAGACCAUUGCAUAAACCAUUGGGCAGAUAUCCGAUAAGCUAUUGCCUGUAAAUGCAAUGACUUCGAUUCUUGAGAUAUUGAAAAUUGUGAAUGGUAUAGACCCCGUAAGUUGAUUAGCUUGUAUGCCCAACAACUUCAUGUUGUGAAGAUUGCCGAUCCCUUCUGGAAUAUUCCCUUGAAGUGAAUUAAAAGAUAUAUCUAAAGUCUCCAACCUCGAGACAUUUGAGAGUGAUAGAGGAAUAGAAGCUAUGAGCUUGUUACCUCGCAACCUUAAUUCUCCAAGGUUUAUAAGACUUCCAAUCACUUUUUGUAUUUGUCCCUCAAUUGAAUUUAAAUUCAGAUUCAAAAUCUCAAGUGUGGACACAUUAGAAAAUGUAGAAGGGAUGGAACCAGUGAAACUAUUAUUUCUAAUAUUAAUAACUUGAAGUUGGUGUAAAAACCCAAAACAACAAGGAAUCGCCCCUCUGAAGUUGUUGAAACUUAAAUCAAGAAACUUAAGCCGACGUAAGCGUGCCAUUUCAUGAGGCAAAUUUCCAUGGAAAUUGUUGCUUCCCAAGUCAAGAGAAACAAGAAAUGAGAGGUUUCCAAAUUCACAAGGAAUCUUGCCAGUAAGAGCCAUGUUAGAAAGAUUCAAGGAUUUCACUCAUUGGUGACGAGAACAACAAGUGACUCCAACCCAAUGACAAACAAAAACAGCGGGAGACCAGUUUUCAUCCAAGAAGUUGGAGGGGUUGGAAAUGAUUUGAGAUUUUAAGGACAAAAGAGCUAAUUGAUCAGUGGUAAUGUUGGUUUGAGUCAUGGCUGAACUAGCCAUAAGCAACAAGAGUGUUGAAGAGAAAAAAUGUGAAGAUUUUCUCCAUUAUUGCAUAAAUUUGUAGGUAGGCUCCAUAACAUGUGAUUUUGAGACUUUAAAUAGCAAUGAGGUCUCCCUUUUGGUCUUCAUGAUUUUAAAAAAAAUACUUUUCCUCAUUCAUUCUCUUAUAUUUAGUGGCUGAAUCAAAAUUUUCAACAAAAAAAUUCAAAAUAUAAAGAAGUAAAUUCAUCAAAAAAUCAAAGAGUAUCAUUAUGUAAUAUAUACAUAAAAAAUAUUUUUACAUACCUACACAAUGUAUUUUUUAGACUAACAUGUGGCUCCGCCAUUGGUCAUAUCAAUUUUAAUUUCACCAAGUUUUGCACGUUUCAAUCAGCCCAAGACUUGUGCAAGUCAUCAACCAAGUCUUGCUUUAUCUUUUCUGGACUAGACUUUAUGUUCCUCUAAUAGAUUAGUAAAAUUAACUUAUACUAUACGCUCGAGAAAUAUUUUUACAAGAUUUGCAUAGUUUACAUCUUUAUAAUCCUUUUAUCUCUAGCUAAGAAAGAAUAUGUUGUUAAUUUAGAUCAUUUUUGUAUACAAUGGUAAUAAAAGGAGCUUUUAAUUAUAGUUUAUAAUGUUAGAAUUUUUUUCCUGAUUUUCUUACCAAGUUUAAGUUUUUCUUUUCUUGAAAAAAAAAAAUAAUACCAUAAUUACUUUUACUUUUCCUAAAAAGAAAAUAUAAAUCUUUUUCAUAUUUGGCAAACGUCUUUCUUGGAGGAAAGGUUUUGAAUUUGAACAUGUGGUAGUUCAUUACUAUAACACAAUAACCUCCACAAGGUAGUUCAUUAAAUAAUUUUGUUUAGAGGGAUAUUUUCUCCUAAUAGGUUUUAAAUUUUUCAUUAUUAUUUUAAUAUGUAGGUCAUUUGACCAAAUCAUAUUAAUAAUAUAUUUUUAGUAUUUGUUUUUAAUUUAGUAUCAUCUUAUUUAUCAUUUCUAUAGUUUGCAACUAUUAGCUUCCGCAUGAUUCCCUCUCGAUUUCGAACCCAACAUAUAAUUUGUUUGAAAUUUUGAUUUGUUUUAUAAUAAAUUUGUAUGAACUUUUUUUUUAUAAAAGAAUUCACAACAUUAAGAGCCCAUUUGAAUAGGAUUAAAAUCAGGUCAAAUUAAUUUUUAAACUUUUAUUUUUAGUUUUUUUUUAAAAAAUAUUUGAUAAAAUUAAAAAGUGCUAAAAAAAUGAAAAAACUAUUUUUUUUUUAAAUAAAAAUAAAAAAGUGGGAAGCUGUGUACCCUCACCUUUUUAUUUUUUGGAUUAAAAUUCUUGGAGGUUUUGAUAAAAAUAUUUAUCUUUUUAUCCCUUAUAUUUUCCUUUAAUUCCAAUGAUACCAUGAACUUGUAGCCCAUGAAUAUGUGAUUUUUCUUUCUUUUUUUCCCUGGUUCUUUUUGUCUCUUUCCUUCAAUUUUCUCUUCAUCUUUCUCCUUUGUUUUGAGAAAAUUCAUCAUUACAUCGGAGGUUUGUUCAUGAACUUUUCUUAAGUGUCGUAUUUUCUAGACAUGUUCUAUCUCUUUUAUUUUAAAUAUUUUUUAGUUAGUUUAAAAUGAAGGAUUCUCUUGUUAUCUCGACAUUGUAUUUUUCUCCACAAAUUUUUCAAAUGGAAUAAGUCAAAAGAAACAAGAAAUGUGAGGCUUCCAAAUUCACUGGAAAUCUUGCAAGAGUUAUGUUGGAAAGAUUUAAGGAUCUCACUCUCUGGUGAUGAGAAUCACAAGUAACUCCUACCCAAUGGUAAACAAAAGUACCAGAAGACCAACUCUUUUUUUAUAAAUAUAAAUAUACAUGUCAAGCAAGUCUAGAAGAUAUAUAUAUAUAUAUAUAUAAAGACUUGUACAAAUCAACCAAGUCAUGUUUUAUUUCACAUUGGGCUUAAAUUCUUUGUAAAUAGUCUCGCUUUCGCAUUCUCUAGAAUACUUACUACUCUCUUAGUCCUAUAAUAAGUUUGACCUUAAUAAACAAAAACUAUUAUUACCUAAGGAAUUCUAGAAAAAAAAUCUUAUGUUUUUCCAAUUAUACUCUUGUACUCCAUCUUCUUGACAGUGUCCAAUUUUCAAGAGAAAUUUAUUAAAUUGGGGUAAUUUAGUAAAUUAAAUAUCUUUUUUGUCUUGAUUUCUUGAAGGGAGUGAUUUUUGCUAUGAUAACAUUUUUUCUUUUUGGGGCGGCUGUUACCACUAUUAAACAAUAAAUCAAUAAUUAUUGUUUAGUUGGCUUGGAAAAAAAAACAGUUAGACGGUUUCCUAUUGGAUGGUUUUAAAAAUAUUUCUCCAUAUUACCAACUUUCAGCAAGCAAAGAAGAAAAUUUGCUUUCACGUUCUACAAUUGGUGUUGAAUUUGGUACAAGAACUAUUCAUGUUGAUGACAAAAUUGUCAAAGUUCAAAUUUGGGAUACUGCUGGUCAAGAAAUGUGCCAUUUCCUUUUCCUUUAUUCUAUUAUUAAAUCGUGAUGGAUCUAGAAUUUUAAGUUGAUAUGUAAUUGUGAUUAAUGCGCGCACACACAUAUAUAAUGUUUGACCAUAUUUUGGUGUUCGCAGGUAGGUAUUUAAACUUGUAUACAAUUGAACAAGUAGAAAUACACAUCAUAUGUGACAACUACGUCGCAUCUACAUGGCAAUCUCAUACGAAUUACCACAUAGAUGACACAUAGGGCGUGUGUGUUUACUUGUUCAAUCUAACACAAAUUUAAGUGUCUAUUUGUGCACAUCCAAAGUUGGAGGACAUAGAUGCGAGCUGAAGUCAAGUUAAAGGGCAUACUUACGUAUGAUGCCAAAUUUGUAUGUUGAAAGAAUUCGAUGGUGAAAUAUAUGCUACGAAAGAAGUGGUUAUGUUGACCUUAUGCUACGAUUCUUCGUUCUCUUAAUAAAUUUCUAGUUAGAUGAUCACUGUGUCCACUAAUUUUACAAUAUCCGCGCCUCUCCCUGAAUUAUAUCUGAUCGUUUUUCAUGUCUCAUAAAAAGGUAUCGAUCCAUCACUAGUGGAAAUUAUCGCGGAACAGUGGGUGCCUUACUGGUUUACGACAUAACACGCCAUGUUACAUUUGAGAAUGUAGCAAGAUGGCUCAAAGAAUUGAGAGACCACACAGACCAAAACAUCGUUUUAAUGCUCGUGGGGAAUAAGGCGGAUCUUCGCCACCUCAGAGCUUUCCCCACGGGCGAAUCAAGUGGUUUUGCAGAAAGAGAGAACACUUUCUUCAUGGAAACAUCUGCACUUGAGGCACUCAAUGUAGAAAACUCCUUCACAGAAGUACUCACUCAGAUUUAUCAAGUGGUUAGUCGUAAAGCUCUUGAUAUAGGAGAUGAUCCUGCAUCUAUACCAAGAGGACAGACAAUUAACAUCGGAAAAGAUGAUGUAUCUGCUGAUAAGAAAGGUGGAUGUUGUUCAGAAUGAGUAUGAUCCCUUUUUCCGUAUACACAAAGGUGGACUCUCCCUAGAUCUGCCUCUGGAUGAAAGCAUAUAAUACUCAAAACUAAUCUCAUUUUCAACAAAUGUAAGUUGGACAAAAGAACUAAUAGCACAGUAUAUUGUUGAGGAAACUAAAGGGGGAUGGAAUUUGUAAAAGGGGAAUUUCAGCUAAGCAAAACUUCUUGUUUCCAUAAGAUACUUGCAAUAGACUGAAUGUCUAUGUUGCUCGGACUCUUCAAAAAUGUAGAUGUGUGCGUGUUUGAAUCUUCUAAAGUAGUGUAUUUUUUAAGUAUUCUGUCAUAAGGCUGCAACAGUCAGAUUUAUUGCAACCAGCUAGAACUGUUGAAAACAGAAUCAUGCCCAAAUCAAGUGCUAAAAGAUAAAAGCGAACCACUAUAAAAAUUUGCAACAUUGUUCAACAUGCAAGAAGUUGAACAUUGAUCUUCUGUAGCAUUCCUAUAACAUCGCUCAUGUUAGUCCUUCUUGCCGGAUUUUCAGCACAACAAUCCAAUGCUACAAUCAUGAUUGAUGCCACAACAUCUAGUUUCAUUUGUAAGCGACUACCCAUUUGGGUUACCAAGUUGGCAUCUACGACGUCCAUUACAGCAUCUGGAAGUGAAAAACUCACCCAUUGCUUCAAGCUAAGAUCUCCCUCAAACUCAUUGGGCUUUCUCCUAGUAAACGUUUCCAGCAACAUGACCCCAUAACUAUAGACGUCGCACUUUGCUGACACUAGUCCAUUCAGUCCAUACUCUACAGUCAAACAAUUCAUUUAAAGAUACAAUAAACUUUCUUGGUAGGAAAAAAGGAAAGGAGUAAUCAGCAAAACUAAGAGAUGUACCUGGAGCAAUAUAACCUAAUGUUGCUAAGGUUUUAGUGUAUAAAUCACCCUGAUCUUCACCAAGCAGUUUUGAAAUGCCAAAGUUGCUUAGGUGGGCAACCAUAUCUUCAUCCAGCAAGACGUUACUAGGCUUCACGUCACAGUGAAUCACAGGCAACGAGCACCCAUGGUGAAGAUAUUCCAAAGCACAUGCCACAUCUAUCAUUAUGCUUAGUCUCUGCUUGAUGUCGAGGAAGUAGUUGUGUGAAUACAAAUACUUCUCAAGAUUCCCAUUAGGCAUAUAAUCAAGAACUAAAGCCUUGAAAUCAUGAUUGGAACAACUAGUAAUGACUUUUACGAUAUUCCUAUGGCCAAGGCUACGCAAAAUUUCACGUUCCGUAUCAAAACUCUUGAAUGCCGCAUCCAGUUUCAGGUUGAACACUUUAACUGCAAUGACAGUUCCACUUCUGAGAACGCCUUUGUAAACAGAGCUAAAACCUCCAGAACCAAUCAGAUUACUCUCACUAAGCGCAUUAGUUGCUCGGAGAAGUUCAUAGUAUGAAAUCCUUUCACUUGCUUCGGUAGACAAUGAAUUAGCUUGUUGAGGAGCACUUUUACCUCUUCUAUACCUUAUCCAUAGGAAAACAAAGGUCAUAGGAACAAAUACAACUGCAGUUGCGAGCAAAAGAAUAAGUACUAGCAAUUUUUUUCUAUUUGAUCUGAGCUUUGAUGAAGUGGGGCAUGGUGGGACACUAAAUCUUGAAGAACCACACAAUGCUUCAUUAUAGAUGAAAAACUGACUCGAGAGGUUCUUGAAAGGACCCCUCGAGGGUAUUUCACCGUACAAUUGGUUGUGUGAAACAUUGAAAUACUUGAGGUAUUGAGGUUUCUCCAAAGACAUGGGAAUGAUUCCCGAUAAAUUAUUGUGAGAAAGGUCUAGGAAUUCCAAACCUACCAUGUUGAUCAUUGAGUCAGGUAUAGCUCCUUGCAACUUGUUGUGUCUCAAAGAAAGGUACGCUAAAUUUUGCAAGCCUCCAAUUUCUCUAGGAAUUUCAUUUGAGAAAUGAUUUAUCGACAGAUCCAUCUUUGUUAUGGCCUUUAGAUUUCCAAUUUCUGGAGGUAAUGAGCCUACCAUGUUGUUUGACGAUAAGUCAAGAACCACUAGGUCAUGAAGGUUCCCUAAGCUUGGUGGUAUAUUAGAACUCAAUUUGUUGGAACCGAGAUGCAUCUCCCUAAGGGAAGUAAUAUUCCCUAAACAAUAAGGAAGAGAUCCUGAUAAUUGAUUUCGACCCGAGUAAAUAUCACCCAAAUGCUGCAAUUUACAUAUAUGAUCUCCAAUAAAUCCUGUCAAUUUGUUGCUAUUCAAGUUGAACCGCUGAAGGUCUCUCAAGUUUCCAAUUGAUGUUGGAAUCGAUCCGACCAAGUUAUUCCCAGAAAGAUCAAGGUCUAAUAAGAUGCUUAAGUUCCCAACUUCAUUUGGAAUUCGCCCUUUGAUUUUGCCAUUGUUGGCAUAAAAAUUUCUAAGGGAUGUGGAAAGGUUCCCUGUGGAGGCCGGAAGCAUAUCAUUUAGAGGGUUGGAAGAUAUAUCAAGAAAUGUUAAAUUUUUACAAUUGGUUAAGGAAGUCAGGAAGCUUAAUGAUGAGUCGCUAGUCAAAUUGUUUCCCCCUAAAUUUAGUAACUGUAGAUGAGUCAAAUAUCCAAGAGAAUUGGGAAUCAAGCCAGUGAGUUGGUUGAUAGAAAGCUCUAGAUGAGUAAGUUUUGAACAAUUGGAAAUGGAAUAAGGAAUAGUCCCAACAAGAUUGGUUAAGUUGUUCAUAUAAAGCUCUUCAAUGUUGGGUAAGAUAGAACACAUGUUUGGGGGGAGGUUUCCUGAUAGAUUGUUGUCUGAAAGAGAAAUCAGUUUCAGCCCUGAUAUGUUGAAGAUCUCCAUUGGGAUUGAACCACUAAAUCUAUUAUUGCUAAGACUAAGUAGCUCCAACUCAAUGAGAUUGCUUAUCUCUUUGGGUAUUUCACCUGGAAACAUAUAUAGUGGAUUACUAGUGAGUUCAAAAAGUUGGUUCAAUCUAUUUUUGCUAAGAUAUAAGAAUUGCAUCUUGUUUAAGUUGUCAAUCUCCCGUGGUGAGAAUCCACUAAGAUAAAAACAUACCUGUGAAAUGGUUAUAUCCGAGAUACAAUCGUUGCAAGCUACUCAAUCUUCCAAUUUCACCAUGUAUUGGUCCAUCAAACUCAUUUUUUGAUAAAGACAAUACUUGAAGUUGUGAACAAUUUGACAAGCUUGUAGGCAUACGACCGUGAAGCUUGUUAUAAGACAGAUAAAGCCCUUUGAGUAUUGGGAGACCAUAGCAUAAACCAUUGGGAAGACUUCCUGAUAAGCUAUUGCCAGUAAAUGAAACGAUUUCGAUCCUAGAAAAAUUGAAAAUUGUGAAUGGUAUAGAACCCGUAAGUUGAUUAUAUUGUAUGGACAACCAGUUCAUGUUGUGAAGAUUGCCAAUUCCUUCUGGGAUGUUUCCUUGAAGUGAAUUAAAAGAUAAAUCUAAAGUCUCCAACCAUGAGGCAUUCGAGAGUGACAGAGGAAUAAAGCCUAAGAGAUUAUUACCCCUCAAGUUUAAUUCUCUAAGGUUUCCAAUCAUUUUUGGUAUCUGACCCUCUAUGGAAUUGAAAUUCAGAUUCAAAGUACCUAGUGUGGAUAUAUUAGAAAAUGAAGAAGGGAUGGACCCAGUGAAACUAUUAUUCCUAAGAUUUAGAACUUGAAGUUGGUGUAAAAAUCCAAACCAUGAAGGAACCUCCCCGCCAAAGUUGUAGACACUUAGAUCAAGAAACUUAAGCCGGCGCAACUGUGCCAUUUCUUGAGGCAAAUUUCCAUGGAAAUUGUUGCUUCCCAAGUCAAGAGAAACAAGAAAUGUAAGGUUCCCUAUUUCACGGGGUAUUACACCCAUAAGAUUCAUGUUGGAAAGAUUCAAGAAUCUCACUCUUUGGUGACGAGAGCCACAAGUGACUCCAUCCCAAUGGCAAACCGACGUAGCUGGAGACCAACUUUCAUCAAAGAGGUGAAGGGGUCUGACAGGAUUUGAGAUUUCAGGGAAAGAAGAGCUAAUUGAUCAGUGGAGAUAUUAAAUUGGGUCAUGGCUGAGCUACUUAUAACAAAGUACUGAAGCAACAAGAGAAAACAGGUGAAAGGAACAAGUUUCUCCAUAAUUGCAUAUAUUGGUAAGAAUGUGGAUAUGGAUUGUAAUGAUGUGGUUUUGAGACUUUAAAUAGGAAAGAGGCCUCUUUCUCUUUCUGAUUUUAAAAUCUACAAAAAUCUCUUUUAUGAGAAUUUUCCAUACAUACAUAUUUUAAGGAAAGAAGGAACAGCUUUCCUUUAUUCAUUAUUUUAGUCAUUUGAAGACUAAUAAUACAACUAAAGAAACAAAAAAAAAAGUAACUUUAAUUUGUUUAAGUAGCAGAUCAAGAAAGAAGACUCAAAAAGGAGUCUUCCACGAAGUUUGUCACCUCUACUGCAAAAGCAAUAUAAUAUCAAAAGUUUAUUUAACUAACUGCCCAUUGUCAGAUAAUAUCAAAAGCUUAUUUAACUAACUGCCCAUUGUCAGAUGAUAAGCAUACUGUUUCUUAUCAAAAUUAAGUUUACUUUUCUUAUAAGAAAAAUAAAAGUAAUACCAUAAUAACUUUUAAUUUUCCUGAAAGGAAAAGAUAAAACUUUUUCAUAUUUGGUAAACCUCUUUGUAAUAUGAAAGGUUUUGGACCUCUAUAAAUAGAAACCCUUCUUAUACCUUAACAACACAGUAACAUCCAUAAUGUAGUCUUUAAAGAAUUCAGUUUAUUGGGAGAUUUCUCCCAAUAAAUUGAAUAUUUUUUUAUAUUAGAUUUUUAAUAUGUAGGUCUCUUGACCAAAACAUAUCAAUAAUAUUAUGUUUUUAAUUUAGUUUUCUUUUGCGUUGAUUUAUCAUCUCAUGGAUUGCAAACUUUAAGCUUACGCAUGACGCCUUCUUGAUUUCGAUCCCAACAAGUGCUAUCAAAGUUUAUGGUUCAAUGAUCCGGUGGUUCAGAUUGAGGACAUAUUAAGAUCAAAGUUGCAAUCAGUUUGAUGAUGAUGAAGAUCUUUGUCUAGCUACAUGUGGAGAAGUAGUUUAAAACAUAUUUUCAACAUUUCUGCUGCUGCAUCUUUAAAAAUAAAAAUAAGAUAUUUUUUAAAUAAUUUUUAAACUUUAUUUUUAACUAUGGCAAGCAACAAUUAUGAAGAUUAUAUCAAGAACGAAGUUUAUGCCUGUGAUGUGAAGAAGACAGAUCAAGUGAAGAAAAUAAUGUCAAAAAGAGGAAAUUUGUUAGGGGUUUUUGCUCUGAUUUUCUUACCAAAAUUAUGUUUUAAGAAAAAUAAAAGUAAUACCAUAAUUAAUUUUAUUUUUCCUAAAAGGAAAAUAUAAAAAUUUUCCUUCGCAAACCUCUUUCUAUGAGGAAAGGUUUUGGAACUCUAUAAAUAGAAGGACCCCCUUCUUAUACCAUAAUAUAGAAGCAUCCACAAUGUAGUCUUUAAAGAACCUUUGUUUAGGGGGAGAUUUCUCCCAAUAAAUUUAAUGUUUUUCGAUAUUAGAUUUUCAAUAUGUAGGUUUCUUGACCAAAACAUAUUAAUAAUAUUAUGUUUUUAGUUUAGUUUUCUUUGUUGUCUGAUUUAUCAUCUCAUGGUUUGCAAACUUUAAGUUUUCGCAUGACGCCGUCUCAAUUUUGAGUCCAACACAUAGUGAGUCAACAUAAUGGGCAAUGAAGAAUGUCUGCAAUCUCAAAAACACACACAUGAACACUGUUAAAGAACAUAAAAUAAUAAACCAUUAAAUCCAUAUUAAAAAUAGCAUUUCCCAUUUAUUAACCUUUUCUUUUUUUCUUUUGGUGAAAUAUGCACGUGGCAAUAGGAAAUGAAAAAUUGACAAAUAUUUAUGCAGACACUCAAAAUAAAAUAUAAUAAUAAUGUCACAUUAUAUGUGGCCCCCCCAAUUACAUCAGUCAAGUCAAACUCUCCCUCACUUGACAGUGGUUUUGUUUGCCUCCCCUCUCACUGCUCUUCCCCUAUGCUUUCUCUCAUCCUUAUUACUUCUGAAAGCAGCACCAAAGAGGCAAAAAAGUAGGAAGGGGGCGACAAGGGUACAGAAUGUGAAUGGAGGAGUUGCAAAGGCGGCAGCAAGGGUGAUGAAAGGGAGUGUAGGAGUUGUGAAAGCGGAGGAGAAAGUGAAGGGGGUUGCGGAGGAGAUGCAAUACCGGGGAGAUGCAAUACUGGGGAUUACGGAAGAGGCCGUCGGGGAAAUACACUGCAACCACUAGAGAUCCGAGGAAAAUAUGCAACUAUUUUUAUAGAUUCGUUAAAACAAUUAAAUUUCUAUUAAAAUAGGUGUGUAAUGAAUAAUAAAAGGCAACAAUUACAAAUAAAUCUAUAUAAGUAUGACAAGAAGCAAUAAUUCAGGGUGUAUUUUAAUAUGACAAGAAGAAAUAAUUCGGGGUAUAUUUUAUGUUUAAAAUUAAUUUUUAAUUUUAAGCAAUGAACUGUAAAUUGUGAACUUUAAUUAGUAGUUGGCAAAUUUUAAAUAAAGUCACAAAUAACUAUUUUGAGCCCAAAUAAAAAUAGAGACUUUCUAUAGAAAUUCAAAGAAAAUUAAAUUUAAGAAGCGUAAUAGACAGAAAAAAUAAAACAGAGAAGGAAAAAUACAAUAUUCACAUCCUUCUUAAGACUUUAUUCAUAACAAUAUAAAUGGAAAAAGAAAUAUAGAAUCGGUACAUGGUUGAUUGAGCUCUUGUCGGCACUAUCUCACAUAAUCAAUCAAAUUUCAAGAGUCUUCUUCAACGAGUCAAACUAAAACAAGAAUCAAGUAGUACAAUAAAAAAAAUGUCUUUCGCUACUAUAACUAUUGAAUGAAAAAGUUAAUUUUGUGGGGAAGGAGUCUCAUGAAAUAAAAAAGAUGAAUUUAUAUAGAUAAAGUUUUGAAUUAAAUAUUUAUAUCAAUACUAAUACCACCAAAUCAACCAAGUCUUUUACAUCCCAAUCAGAAUUAUAAAUAUGGUGGCAAAAUUCCUCUAAUUAGCCAAAGACUUGGCAAGUCAACCAAGUCUUUCUUUAUUUUUUGUGUGCUUAAUUCUUUGUAAAUAGUCUUGCUUUCAUAUUCUCUAGAGUUGUGCGGUGAAAAGUAAUGUCAGUUUACUAACUUAUACUAUAAUGUCUUCUUAAUAUUAAUCAAGUUUAAUCCAUUUGGCACUACUGGAUUUAUCCCAGGCAAUGAGAGCCUUUCAAGAUAGUCAAGUUUUGUCUAGUGAAUUACCUUAUAUAAUGAUGAAUAAUUCCAUUCACUAUCAUCACUCACUUAAUUAUACUAUUAUUUUUCUAGGUAAAGGCAACUCUCUAGAUCUUAUGCUAUGAACACAUCUCUGGCCAAAUAGUGAACAUGAACAAAACUUGCUAUAUGGUGGCUCCAAACAUGUCACGGUCCGAACAGGGGCCCUCACCGUGACAAGCAUUCCGAAUCAUGAAGGCCCAAAACACCCCUAUCUAUCUGGUAAUCAUGCACAUAAUUCAUGCGAUAAAAUGAAAUGCGGAAGAUACACAAUAUCACAGAAACAUGGUCAUGAAAUCUAAUGAAAUCAAUAAGGGGAAAUAACGUCCCACAACAUCUAUCGACAUCCGAAAACCGUUUGCGAAAUCUCUACUAAUGACUAAAACAAACAACUAUCUGAAAACAGGGACAAGGUCCCCAGUAGACCCAAAACUAUUAAAUGAUAAAUAAACUGCCAGACAUCAGGCCUUCAAGAAUAUAGAAGGCUCACCACUCGACUCUGCAAAUCUGUCUGAAGAAUCUACUAAUUAUCUGAACUGCAAGACUGUGCCUCCGAACCUGGGAGGGAAGGUGUAAUGCCCUGCAAUUCGGACUACAAUAUAGACCAUGAUUUCGAUGCGUUGUUAAUUCUGAAGCCAUAAAAUUCUAUGCCAAUACGGCAUGUUAAUUAUCGUGUAGCAUAUGAAAUCCACUCAAGCUUCAAUUUAGAUCAUAGAGGUCCUACAAUUCAAGGACGAGUCAAAACUAUUUUGAUCGACUAAGUUUUAGUGGACGUUGUAAAGUGUGUCAUCUUCCUUCAACCAUAACUCUCUGUAUAUGUCGAAUUAGGAAACCUACUAUGUGUCAAAUGAUAGGUAUUCGAGUUAGCUUUCCAACGACACCUAUUUGGCUAAAAUCCGACACCUGAGCAAGAAGUUAUAACCUUUUAAAGUGAUAAGCGAUGCCUAACCAAUCGCCCAUGGCCACUGGAAAGCAUAGACGAUAGCCUAGGCGGCACCUAUGUGAUAUCAGGCGAUAGCCUAGGCGGCACCUAUGUGAACAUAGGCGAUAGCCUAGGCGACGCCUAUGUGAAAAUAGGCAAUGAGAUGGGCGGCGCCUAUGUAAGGAAUUCUAAUGAUUUAAACACUCCGUGUUGAGGAUAAAGUGGUCCUUUUCCACCCUUACUUAGCCCUAAAACACGAGAUUUAGUUCCAAGGAUCCCAAAAUACAUAUUCUUUCAUCAAAAGUGCUUAAGAUUCUCCUUAGGGUUUUAAAAAUAAAAACCCAAAUAGUUCAAGAUUUGACCUUAGGUUUUCAAAGAUAACUACAUAUUCGGAAUCACCAAUCUGCAAUCUUCACGAAGCAUUUAUUAUCCUUGGAAAUAGAGGUACAUGGGGUUAUCCAAAAAUAUCAUGGGUGUAGUUUUAUGAACAUGCAUGCUUUUAAAUGGGGUUUUCAAUCAAAUGCUAAUAUCUUGCUUUCAAUAUGAUUUCUAAGUCAUUUUCUUUAUGUUAUGGGAAUUGUUUGCCUAUAUACUUCAAUGGUUGAAAUCAUGCACAUGUGAUUUGAGAUUUUCCAUGGAAGUUGAUAAAUAUGAAUGAUAAAUUAUUUUAAAAUUCCCAUGAUAAUGUUUCGAUACUCCAUAUUAUAUUGUGAUCAACAAAAGAGAGCAUGAAUUUGAAAUAAAUAUUGUUCACCACUCGUAAAUGAUGAAGCACCUUGGUUUUUACAUGGUUAUGCAUAUGUGGAUGUGACAUUGGUGACUUGCAAAUAGGGUAUGAUGAUACCCUUCAAAAUACAAUAUGUGAUUGAAAAAAAAUUUAAAUUUGAAUGCAUUGAUUUUACAUGAGAAAAGUGGAUGCCCGAAGAAGGUGAUUGAGACACAAGGGCUCAUCGCUAGAAUAACGUGUUUGCCGACACGAAAUAUUGGUACCAGGCUAAGCGAUCUAUGUACUUGACUUCAUGUUGGGACUAUAGGUAGGAGCCUGAGCCAAGUGAUCUUGGGCACUAUCAUAGGGUUGAGACACCAUGCUGUGUCGUCUUGAGUGUCUCUCCCUAACUUAUACUCUAAUCUCGGCGGCAAUCGAGGUUUGACAGUUGGUGUAAAUUAUGUAGGGUAUUCCACCUAGCUCAGUUGCAUUUCAUUACUGUUGAGAAAAAUUAUUGUAUUACACCCAUGUAUUUUCAAAUUAUACGAAAUUGCUUUAUAAUGGCUCUCAUCUAUGUUUUGUAAAAAUAUUAUGUUUUGCUUUGAUAUCUCUGCGUGCCAGGACUUUUAUGCUGACCCCCUCCCCUCUCCAACCUCUUAGGUUCAUAGGCCCAGUCUAGGGGUCAAGAGAACCAGUAGAUCUUUCAGACAGAGUUGCAGAGACAAGUGGUGAGCCUUCUAUGUUUUUGAAGGUCUUAUGUCCUGUAGUCCUUUUAUCUUAUAUUAGUUUUGGGUCUGCUGGGGGCCUUAUCCCAGUUUUUAGAUAGUUAUUUGUUUCAGUCAUAUAGUAGAGAUUUCGUAGACGAUUUUCGAGAUGUUGAUUUAGAUUGUGGGAUAUUAUUCCCCAUUAUUGUUUUCAUAUGAUUCUUGACCAUGUUUUCGUUAUAUUGUGUUUCUUCCACAUUACUUUGAUCAUAUAAAUUAGGUGCAUGAUUACCAGACAGAUAGGGGUGUUUUGGGCCUCCAUGGUUCGAAAUGCUCGUCAUGUCCAGGCCCUAGUUUGGGUCGUGAUAAACUUGGUAUCAAAGCACGGUUCAUGGUCCCAGGGUGUCUGCAAAAUCAUGUCGAGUAGAGUCUUAUUUAUGGGUGUAUAGCGCACCACACUUAUAAGCAGGAGGCUGCUAGGUGUUUAGGAAAUAUUUUCCUUCUUUGUGAUUUAGUUCAUGCUUCAGAGUCUGAACUGUCCCCUAAUCAAUGAUCACUUGUGUUUCAGAAACACAGUUAUGCCUCCGUGUCGUAUCGUCGAUCAGAAUGCUCAGGCGGAUGAGGUUCGUCCCACCUAUGGGAUGCAAACCCAUAAUAGGGCUCACACUCUAGAAUUUAUCCCUACUCCGGGGUUCCCUCUAGUCCCAACUAGUCCACCUCGGGCUCCGCGGACUAAUGUCAACCAUCCCUCAACUGCGCUAGGAGAUAUUUCAAAUGUAGAAUUCAAAUGGUUUAUUCAUGUGCUAACACAGUUGGUAGCCAACCAAGCUCAACGAUCGUAUGAUGUUGGGUCUGCAUCUAUUACAUCUGAGGCUACUAGAGUCGGACAUUUUAUGAAGAUGAACCCACCUAAGUUCACUGGCACCAAGCUGGAGGAAGAUCCACAGGAGUUCGUGGAUGAGAUGGAAAAGAUCUUCAAGGUGAUGCAUAUGGAUGAGGUUGAAGGGGUGGAGUUAGCAACCUAUCAGCUCAAAGACGUUGCGAGUCAGUGGUAUGUCGAAUAGGAAGAUGAAAAAGGUGAAAGUGCUGAGUCCGCAGUUUGGGGUGAAUUUUUGGAAGCCUUCCUUGAUCGAUUCUUUCCUCUGGAGUUGAGGGAGGCCAAAGUGGAAGAGUUUAUGAAUCUGAAGCAGGGCAGUAUGAGUGUCCAGGAGUACACUUUGAAGUUUAAUAAACUGGCCUUCUAUGCACCAGAGUUGACUAGUAAUAUGAGGGCCCGAUUGAGGAAAUUUGCAUCUGGCCUUGCUGAUAACCUGGUACUUGAGUGCCAGGGGGAUAUGUUGAAUAAGGAGUUAGACUUUGAUUGACUGACCGCUCAUAUACAUUAAGUGGAAGAGAAGAAGAAAAAGAUUGUUGAAUUUAGAGAGAAAGAUAGACAGGCUAAGAGAGCUAGAUCUGCGGACCAGCACCAGAGUCAGCCGCAGAGUGGUAAAUAGGGUAUUAAGUGGUCGAAGAAGAAGAAGUUUUGGAAUAAUGCACUGUCAGCAGCCAGCGCCCCAACAACCAGACCACCGACAGACAGACAAACUCAGAGUUUUCAGACUCCUCAUGGGUCCAAAGCUCUAGGUACACAUUCUUAAGGCAGUGUGGCCCAGCAACGUUAUACUCGUUUGCAGUGUGAGGUUUGCGGAAGGAAUCAUCUAAGAAAGUGCUGGUUUGAGGGGAAAAACUACUAUACUUGUGGCUAAGUGGGUCACCUUCAAAGAGAUUGUCCAUUUGCUGGAGUAAAUGCGGGGGGAGGGGGGCUAAGUCCCAAGUCGCCUCCACAGCCCCUUUCCCUAAGGGUGCCCCUUCAGCUACCGGAAGUGGUCUUCUUUGACUAACCGCUAGGAGGCGGAAGCUUCACCAGAUGUUGUCACUGGUAUGUUACAAAUGUUUUCUUGUGAUGUUUAUGUUUUUCUUGAUCCCGGGUCUACUUUAUCUUAUGUGACCCUUUAUGUGGCUGUUGGUUUCGGGUUUGAGCCCGAAGUUAUUGUAGAAACCUUUUCUGUUUCUACUCCAAUAGGUGAUUUUGUUGUUGCUAGAAGGGUAUAUAGAAAUUGUGUCAUGUCUACUCAUAUUAGGAAAACUGUGGCAGACCUUAUAGAACUUGAUAUGAUAGAUUUUGAUGCCAUCCUUGGGAUGGACUGGCUCUAUUCAUGUUAUGCCACCCUUGAUUGCAGAACCCAAAAGGUCACUUUUUCUUUCCCGAAUGAGACACCAGUUGUUUGGGUUGGGAGUUCUGUGGAACCUAAAGGUCAUUUUAUCUCUUAUCUUAGAGCCUAAAAACUUAUCUCAAAAGGUUGUAUGUAUUAUCUAAUCCGAGUAAAGAUUCAAAAGUUGGAAACCUUCCUCUGCAGUCAGUCCCUGUAGUGAAUGAAUUCCUAGAAGUCUUUUCCGAAGAUCUCCCAGGGAUACCCCCUGAUAGGGAGAUAAAUUUUGGCAUUGAUGUGUUGCCAGACACUCGUUCUAUUUCUAUUCCGCCAUGUAGAAUGGCUCCCGCAGAACUAAAGGAGUUAAAGGAACAGCUUGCAGACCUCCUAGACAAAGGUUUUAUUUGUCCUAGUGUUUCCCCAUGGGGUGCACCCAUGCUCUUCGUGCAAAAGAAGGCUGGGUCCCUUCGGAUGUGCAUAGAUUACCGUCAGCUGAAUAAGGUCACCAUUAAAAAUAAAUAUCCUCUUCCUAGGAUUGAAGACCUUUUUGACCAGCUUCAGGGUGCCAAGUGUUUUUCCAAAAUAGACCUUUGUUUGGGUUAUCAUCGGUUAAAAGUUAGGGAGUCAGACAUACCCAAGAUAGCCUUCCGAACCCGAUAUGGUCACUACGAAUUUCUAGUCAUGUCCUUCGGGUUGACUAACGUCCCUGCAGCCUUCAUGGAUCUUAUGAAUAGAGUGUUUCAUCAGUUUCUUGACUCGUUCGUCAUUGUAUUUAUUGAUGAUAUUCUAAUCUAUUCUAAGAAUAAAGAGGAUCACGCCAAUCACCUCUGAAUUAUCCUUCAGACCCAUAAGGAUCAUCAACUGUAUGCCCAAUUUUCUAAGUGUGAAUUCUGGUUAGAUGCUAUUGCCUUCCUGGGGAGUAUUGUGUCCAGUGAGGGGAUAAGAGUGGAUCCCCAGAAAGUUGAAGCAGUGAGAAAAUGGCCCAGACCCACGACUCCAACCGAUAUUCAGAGCUUCUUGGGUUUGGCGGGGUUUUACAGAAGGUUCGUAGAGAGUUUUUCUUUCAUAGCUUCUCCGCUUACUAAACCGACUUAGAAAAAGAUGAAUUUUGUGUGUUCUGACUUGUGUGAAAAUAGUUUUGAGAAAUUGAAGGACAAGAUGGCUACUGCUUCUGUUUUGACCCUUCCCGAGGGUGUAGAUAUUUUAUGGUUUAUUGUGAUGCGUCCCAUGUGGGACUUGGUUGUGUAUUGAUGCAGCGUGGUAAGGUGAUAGCUUAAGCAUCUAGGCAGCUAAAGGUGCAUGAGCACAAUUACCCCACUCAUGACUUGGAGUUAGCAGCCGUGGUGUUUUCACUUAGAAUUUGGAGGCACUAUCUCUAUGGAGUACAUGUUGAUAUUUAUACUAACCAUAAGAGUUUACAGUAUGUUUUCUCACAGAAAGAAUUAACCCUCAAGCAUAGGCGUUGGAUGGAACUUUUGAAAGUCUAUGAUAUGAGUCUGCAUUACCCUCCGGGUAAGGCAAAUGUUGUAGCCGACGCCCUCAGCAGAUUGUCUAUGGGCAGCCUUUCUCAUGUAGAAGAAAGAAAGAAAGAUAUGGUGAAGGAUAUUCACUGCCUUGUAAAUCUGGGAGUACAACUCUUAGAUUCCGAAGAUGGAGGGGUGAUUGUUCAUGAGUUAGCUAAGUCAUCUCUUUGUGCUGAAGAUAAGAAGAAGCAGGUUGAAGAUCCCAUCUUGAUGCAAAUAAAGAAAGAUGUGGGUCAACAAAAGGUUAUGUCAUUUGAAAUUGGUUGCGGUGGUAUUAUGAGAUUUCAGGGUAGGUUGUGCAUUCCAAAUAAGGCACACACUUUGAGGUAUGUCGUUCACCCAGGAUCUAAUAAGAUGUACCAUGAUCUGAAAACCUUGUAUUGGUGGAAUAACAUAAAACAUGAUGUAGCUGAUUUGUGUCCAAGUGUUUGAAUUGUCAGCAAGUGAAGGUGGAACACAUGAGGCCGAGUGGUACUUGCCAAGAGAUAGCCCUGCCUUUAUGGAAGUGGAGAUGAUAAAUAUGGACUUCAUUACAGGACUUUCGAGAUCCCGAAACCAGUAUGAUUCUAUAUGGUUGAUUGUAGAACGGUUGACCAAGUCAGCACACUUUUUGCCUGUGAGUACUAGUUAUUCGAGAGAGGUUUAUGCUAAGAUUUACAUUGAGGAGAUAGUUCGAUUGCAUGGGGCACCAGUGUCCAUUAUAUCCGAUAGAGGUACGCAGUUUUCAUCUUAGUUUUGGAGAUCUUUUCAGAAGGGUUUAGGUACACAAGUGAAUUUGAGCACAACUUUCCACCCUCAGACGGAUAGGCAAGAUGAGCGUACCAUUCAGACCCUCGAAUAUAUGUUGAGGAAAUGCGUCUUUGAUUUCAAAGGUAGUUAGGUAGAUCACCUUACACUGGUUGAAUUUGCUUACAAUAAUAGUUACCAUCCUAGCAUCAAGAUGGACCCUUUUGAGGCUUUGUAUGGGAGGAGAUGUAGGUCUCUAAUAGGAUGGUAUGAAGUGGGUGAGACUCAGUUUUAUGGAACUGAUCUUGCUCAUCAGGCGAUGGAGAAAGUCAAGAUCAUUAGAGAACGACUUAAGACUGCUCAGAGUCAUCAGAAGUCCUAUGUCGAUGUUUGGAGAAGAGAACUAGAGUUUGAAAUUGGUGAUUUGGUGUUUCUCAAGGUUUCUCCUAUGAAAGGAGUUAUGAGGUUUAGAAAAAGGGGUAAAUUGAGCCCUUGUUAUAUAGGACCAUAUCAGAUUUUGAAAAGGAUUGGUACAUUUGCGUAUGAGUUUGAAUUGCCUACAAGUUUGGGUUCCAUUCAUCCGGUAUUCCAUGUAUCCAUGUUGAAGAAAUGCAUUGGAGAUCAUUCUAUGGUAUUGCCAGUAAAGGGUAUCAAAGUGAUAGAUUUCUUGUCUUAUGAAGAAGAGCCCGUUGAAACUUUAGAUCGCCAAGUUCGAAAGCUGAAGAGCAAAGAGAUAGCCUCAGUAAAGGUACUAUAGAGGAAUCAGAAAGUCGAAGAAGCAGCUUGGGAGUCCGAAGAUGACAUGAGAAUUAGAUAUCCCAAUUUGUUUGCUUCGAUGGAGGACAAGACAGAAGGUACUAUUCUUAUCUUAUCUUUCCUAGUCCUUUAUUAUUCUUAAAAUCGUGUCUGUCUGUGUCCCGCAUCAUCAUUCGGGGAUGAAUGAUCCUAAGGAGGGGAUAAUGUAACGCCCCGCAAUUCGGACUACAAUAUAGACCAUGAUUUUGAUGCGUUGUUAAUUCCGAAGCCAUAAAAUCCUACGCCAAUAUGGCAUGUUAAUUAUCGUGUAGCAUGUGAAAUUCACUCAAGCUUGAAUUUAGACCAUACAGGUCCUACAACUCAAGGACGAGUCGAAACUAUUUUGAUCGACUAAGUUUUAGUGGACGUUGUAAAGUGUGUCAUCUUCCUUCAACCAUAACUCUCUGUAUAUGUCGAAUUAGGAAACCUACUAUGUGUCAAAUGAUAGGUAUUCGAGUUAGCUUUCCAACGACACCUAUUUGGCUAAAAUCCGACACCCGAGCAAGAAGUGACCUUUCAAAGUGAUAAGCGACGCCUAACCAAUCACCCAUGGCCACUGGAAAGCAUAGGCGAUAGCCUAGACGGCGCCUAUGUGAACAUAGGCAAUAGCCUAGGUGGAGCCUAUGUAAACAUAGGCUAUAUCCUAGGCGGUGCCUAUAUAAACAUAGGCGAUAACCUAGGCGGCGCCUAUAUGAACAUAGGCAAUGAGAUGGGCGGCGCCUAUGUAAGGAAUUCUAGUGAUUUAAACACUCCGUGUUGAGGACAAAGUGGUCCUUUUCCUCCCUUACUUAGCCCUAAAACAGGAGAUUUAGUUCCAUGGACCCCAAAAUACAUAUUCUUUCAUCAAAAGUGCUCAAGAUUCUCCUUAGGAUUACAAAAAUAAAAACCCAAAUAGUUCAAGAUUUGACCGUAGGUUUUCAAAGAUAAUUACAUAUUCGGAAUCACCAAUCCGCAAUCUUCAAGAAAAAUCUAUUAUCCUUGGAAAUAGAGGUACAUGGGGUUAUCCAAAAAUCUCAUGGGUGUAGUUUUAUGAACAUUCAUGCUUUUAAAUGGGGGUUUUCAAUCAAAUGCUAAUAUCUUGCUUUCAAUAUGAUUUCUAAGUCAUUUUCUUUAUGUCAUGGAAAUUGUUUGCCUAUAUACUUCAAUAGUUGAAACCAUGCAUAUGUGAUUUGAGAUUUUCCAUGGAAGUUGAUAAAUAUGAAUCAUAAAUUAUUUUCAAAUUCCCAGGAUAAUGUUUCAAUACUCCAUAUUAUAUUGUGAUCAACAAAAGAGAACAUGAAUUUGAAAUAAAUAUUGUUCACCACUUGUAAAUGAUGAAGCACCUUAUUUUUUACAUGAUUAUGCAUAUGUGGAUGUGACAUUGAUGACUUACAAGUCGGGUAUGACGAUACCCUUUAAAAUACAAUAUGUGAUUGAAACAAAAAUGAAAUUUGAAUGCGUUGAUUUUACAUGAGAAAGGUGGAUUCCCGAAGAAGGCGUUUGAGACACAAGGGCUCAUCGCUGGAAUAACGUGUUUACUGACACGGAAUAUUGGUACCAGGCUAAGCGAUCUGUGUACUUGAUGAGCCAAGUGAUCUUGGGCACUAUCAUUGGGUCGAGACACCAUGUUGUGUGGUCUUGAGUGUCUCUCCCUCACUUAUACUCUAAUCUCGAUGGAAACCGUGGUUUGACAGUUGGUGUAAAUUACAUAGGAUAUUCCACCUAGCUCAGUUGCAUUUCAUUACUGUUGAUAAAAACUAUUGCAUUACACCCAUGUGUUUUCAAAUGAUUUGAUACGAAAUUGCUUUAUACUGGCUCUCAACUAUGUUUUGUAAAAAUAUUAUGUUUUGCUUUAAUAUCUCUGCGUUCCAGUACUUUUGUGCUGACCCCCUCCCCUCUCUAACCUCUCAGGUUCAGAGGCCCAAUCUAGGGUUCAAGAGAACCAGUAGAUCUUUCAGACAGAGUUGCAGAGACAAGUGGCGAGCCUUCUAUGUUUCGGAAGGUCUUAUGUCCUGCAGUCCUUUUAUCUUAUAUUAGUUUUGGUUCUGCUGGGGGCCUUGUCCCAGUUUUCAGAUAGUUACUUGUUUCAGUCAUGUAGUAGAGAUUUCAUAGAUGAUUUUUGAGAUGUUGAUUUAGAUUGUGGGACAUUAUUCCCCAUUAUUGUUUUCAUAUGAUUCUUGACCAUGUUUCCAUUAUAUUGUGUUUCUUCUGCAUUACUUUGAUCAUAUGAAUUAGGUGCAUGAUUACCAGAUAGAUAGGGGUGUUUUGGGCCUCCAUGGUUCAAAAUGCUCGUCAUGGCCAGGCCCUGGUUCGGGUCGUGGCAGAAGGGGAUCAAUACAAAGUACUGGUCCGUAGAGAAAUCCAAAACAAAGUGGAGAAUUUUUUAUAAAAUAAAUGAGAGCUGUUAUAAAUCACAUUGUUGCAAAAUGAUUUCGAAAAUACAUGGGCAUAGUAUAACGAUUUUUCAACGACAAUGCAACACAUCUGAGCUAGGUGGUACACCCUACAAUUUUAUAUUUUCACCAACUGUCAAAUCUCGGUUGCCGCCAAGAUUAGAAUAUAAGUGAGGGAAAGACACACAAGAUCACACAGCAGGGUGUCUCGAUCCAAUCAAGUAUGGUAGUGCACAAGAACACAAUGCAGGGCUCCUAACCAUAGUCCCAAUUUGGGAUGACAUAAUGUCAGGUACACAAGAUCAACAACAGGGUACCAAGCUCCCGAGUCGGCAAACACGAUUUCCAGCGUAGAGUCAUUUGACUCAUUCUUUCUUUGGGUAACCACCUAUCUUACAAAAUCAAUGCAUGAAAACUCAUUUUUAAUCAAUCGCAUGUUAUUCUCUGCAGGAUAUCGUCAUACCCGACUUGCAAGUCAUUAAUAUCACAUCAACUUCUCAUACCAUUUACAACAUGCAUAUAUGAAUGACUUUCACACCAUUAAAACAUAUACACCAUGGUCCUCAACAUGCAAUCAUUCAAGAAGUUUAAUCAUUUAUGAGUAAUGUCAUAUCAAUUGUAAAACUCAUGCUCUCAAUGGUUUUAACACAAGUAUAAUAUGGGAUAUAAAAAUUAUCACGGGGAAUUUAGAAAAUUCACAACUCAUGUACAUCGCAUCCUUUUGAAAUUUCAGGUCACAUGUUCACAAUUUAACCAUUAAAAUACAUUCAAACAAACAACCUCAUGAUAUCUCAAUAUUUCUUUCAAAAUCAUAUAUCAAAAGAUGUUAUUCGUAUCAAUUGAAAACCACCAUUUGUAAAAAAUAUAUAUAUACUUAUAUAAAUUUAAAGUCUUGCGUAAAUUCCUUUUCGAAAACAUGCCCAUGAAAUUUAGGACAACCCCACGUACCUCUAUUUACGAAAUUAGCGGGUGCUUCUUGAAGCCUACGUUGCGGGGAUUCCAAUUCUCCAAUUUGUUUCGAAAACCCACGGUUAAAUCUUGAACUACUUGGGUUUUUAGUUUGAAACGUUAAGGUGAGUUCUUGAAUAAAAUUUGAUGAAAGUGAUGAUAUUUUGGUGCUUUAGGGAUUAAAUCCUGUGUUAGAGAGGAUAAAGGUUUCGAAAAUUACCAUUAUGCCAUUAAUGAGACAGCACUUAAAUGCUGAAAAAUUCUCAGGCGUGCAACAGACCAUGCGGCGCAUGCUAUUUUCCACCGCACUGGAGCAUGCGACGCAUGCUGCCACCAUGCGUUGGACCAUGCGAUGCAUGCAUAUCACAUGAGGCCACUAUUUUGGGCAUCCAAGCAUGCCCUAAACGACGUCCGAAAAUUUCGUAACUCACCCAAUAUGUACUACGACCUUUCCCCAUCAUAACGCAAAAAGAAAAUCUAAAAUUGGACGUCGGGAAGAUCGAAAAUAAAAUCUCCGAAGAUCAACAGCUAAAAAUGAUACUAAGUCUCUUUGAAACUUAGAAAAUUUUCAACCUUUCAAGUCUAAGAGUACGCUACUAGGAGCUAAUACAUGCACGACUUUUACGGGGCGUUACAAAACACUAAGCUGAUAGAAUAGAAGAAUUAAACCAACUCAUUGACGUAACUGGUAAAGGUUCUUCCAUGUGAUCAGGAGGUCACGGGUUCGAGCCAUGGAAACAGUCUUGCAAAGGGUGAUUGUGUCAUUAACAUGUUUUACACAAAUUCACCGGAAAUCAAGUAAAGCUGUCAAUAAAAAUGUAACACUGAACCUUGAGCAGUGGGGAGUCAGAACUUGAAUUUUAUGGGUUAAAAUUCAAAAAUAUUGACAUGUGUUAGGCAUUGAUAGCCUGGUUCUGAAUUAAAAUUUUUACAUAUUUAGAGAAUAUUAUUAAUUAAAAUAUUUAAUCUACACUAAAGCUACUGAGUUUAGUCGAACCUGUAGGCAAAGUUCUACCUCCGUUCCGGCACAUGCUAUAGUGUGGACACAAAUGUGCGUUUUUACUUGCUUGUGUGGGCACAUCAAGAAUUCAACUUUCUUGACAUUCUUUUGGUGUGUGUCUCACAUUGUUGAAAAUGAGAAUGCAUCAGUCCAUUAGUUCAAACCAUAAAAAAGGCAUUAUAGUUUACAUAUAACUGCAUGCAUUAGAAAUUACUGACCUGCCUGACAAUUUUAUUAUACUUAAAGAAUAUUUGACCUUUAAGAAAAAUAGGCAGUUCUGUAAAACUAGAAAACCUCUAAACUUCACACAAAAAUCUAUGUCAUCUACAGGAAUAAAAUUACGCUGGAGAAUUAACAGUUGUAAGCAAAAGUAUUACAAACUGUAAUGAAUUUUCUUCCAUUCAAAUUAUUCGUUCGUGUUCUCCCGCCAGAUAACACAGAGAACAGAACAUCCCUCAUGUUCCAAACAGUCGUAUUUAUUUCUAUAUAUUUAGCAAUGUACAGACAUUCUCAGCGUAGCUAAAAUGUAAUUCUGAUAGGUCCCUCUUAGACGGGGCGGGUUGUUUAAGCAAACUUGUUGGACUCAGCUAUAUAAAUCCUCCACAUUCCAAUCAAAUAGUGGAAAAUUGCCAUCUAUUAUUGAGAACUAAAUAAGGACCAACACAACAUGUGGGUCCAAACACACAGACUACAUAGGGCAAGGAAUAACUUUUAAAGGGAGCAAUGCAGAAGUCGGAAAUUUCACUAAGAUAGUUCAAGGGUUAAUUUAUGUGAUACUAAUUGACCUCUGCACACUAUAAUUUUUGCUUCACUUGCAGGUUCAUCUCAUCUAAUAGUUUAAUUUGAGCACCUGUACUUUAUGUGGCUUCUCCUUUGUGACCAUCUUAGCUAAAAGUUCAAUAUUUUUGUGGCAUAAUACAUAGACGUCCUUUUAACUUGGCCUAAUCUAGCAUCUAUAUAUGCCCUCCAACUUCUGGUGUACACAAGUAGACAUUUAAACUUGUAUAAAGUUGAACAAGAACAAACAUACUAUAUAAAUAGGGAUGUAUCUAGAAGAAUUUCUAGAACCAUCCAUAAACUAGUAUAAAUAGGGAUGGGUCGUGUACAUUUGUAACCAUCCCAAAUAAACAAAUCCAAUACAAGCAAAUUCAAGUAGUCUUCUUCCAAAUCUAAGUUCUUCCUUUCAAUAGCUUCCUCUUCUUAGUUAAAUCUUGCGAUCAUAGUAAUCCAUCUUGGGCUAGCAGAAGGUCUCCUCAAUUACACCUUUCUUCUGCUAAUUCUCUAUACAUAAAAUAGAGACCUAAACUCCUUUUUGAUCACAAAACAGAGACCCAAAUUCGGCAACAAAAGAAAUGGAAACACAAUCGAUUUGCUUUUCUAAACUUCCAUGAUCGAUUACUCUGAUACCAAAUUAAAACUACAAAAACAUAUUACACAUUCAUUCCAUACAAAAGACCUACAGAAGCAAAGCUUCAUUCGAGGGAGAAAAAGAAAACUGCAUUUUUAUUGAAUGAAAAAACUCUUACAAUAAGGAUCCUAGGAUGGAUAUUUAUAGACUCACAUGAGCAUCGCAUGACCUUCUAGAAUCUUCUUAACUACCUCUAACAACUUGAUCAAGUACCCUACUAAUUGACUAACUAUUUCAACUAACUGAACAGUAAAUCAAUCAAACAGUAAAUCAACAGUGAUCUAAACUAAUACAUUUUAACAAAGUCUACACAGAGAGAAACUAUGGAUUGCUUGGGUUGACACGUUAUAUAAAGAGGCAGAAUAUAAACACUGGAAUGCACUGGGGGACAUCAGCAAGCUAGUUCUGCUAGUUCAUAAGAACUAAUUCUUUACUAGAGCAUAAAAAGUGAUAAGAGAUGUAGCAAAUGCGGCAUGGAGCCUAAGUGUGUUUUUAUCUUAUGGCUUUACUUUCAUGGGAGAUCGAUAAUGGACUAAAGAUGUUUUUAUCAGCUGACAUAUGAAUGCAGAUCCUAUGUCUGUGUUACGUAAAAGCGAGCCAGAGUCAAAAGAGCAUUUGUUCGUUGAAUGUAAGGCGAUUCUGUUAGUUCUAUUCUGAGAAGGGAAGUCCAGGGGCACUAUUCCUUGGUAAUUCAUAAAAUUCCUUUAAUAGCCAAAAAAGAAAAAAAUCGCCUCAUCAAUAAAAUUAUUUAGCAAACAUUUGCAAUAAAACAAGUUAUUUGGAACAAUAGCUUCCAGGAGCAUGUUAACAUGCGAGAAGAUGAAUUCUGGUUGUCCGUCUUGCAGGAGAUGCAUCACAGCAAUCUAAUGCUACUUUCAUGAUUGAUGCCACAAAAUCCAACUUCUUCAUGACGUGAUUAUCGGUUGGUGGAACCAAGUUGGCAUCUGCAACAUCUAUUACUGCAUCAGGAAGUGAAUAACUCACCCAUUGUUUCAAGCUAAGAACUUCCUCAAACUCACUAGGCUUUCUCCUAGUAAAGGUUUCCAGCAACAUGAUUCCAUAACUAUACACGUCACAUUUAGUAGACACCAAUCCAUCUUGUCCAUACUCUACAAUCAAACAAUUAUUUAAAGAUGUAACAUGAUAACUUGGUGGAAAAAAAGAAAGGGGAAAGAAAUGUUCAAAGCAAAAUCAAGAGACGUACCUGGCGCAAUAUAACCCAAUGAUGCUAAGGUUUUAGUGUAUAAUUCACUUUCAUCACCACCAAGCAGUUUCGAAAUACCAAAGUCGCUUAGGUGGGCAACCAUAUCCUCAUCCAGCAAGACAUUACUCGGCUUCAGAUCAGAGUGAAUCACAGGCGCCGAGCACCCAUGGUGCAGAUAUUCCAAUGCACAUGCCACAUCUAUUGUUAUGCUUAGCCUUUGCAUGUUGUCUAGGAUGUAGUUGUGCGAAUACAAAUACUUCUCAAAACUUCCAUUUGGCAUAUACUCGAGCACUAAAGCCUUAAAAUCAAGGUUGGAACAACUAGUAAUGACUUUUACGAGAUUCCUAUGGCGAAGGAUGCGCAAAACUUCACAUUCCGUAUCAAAACUCUUGAAUGCCGCAUCCAGCUGCAGAUUGAACACUUUAACUGCAAUAUCCGUUCCACUUUUGAGAACGCCUUUGUAGACAGAGCCAAAACUUGCAGAACCAAUCAGAUUACUCUCACUAAGCGCAUCAGUUGCUUGGAGCACUUCAUAGUAUGAAAUUCUUUCUCGUGUUAUGGUAGACGUUGACUCUGCUGAUUGAGGGGCUCUUUUACCUCCUCGAUACCUUAUCCAUACAAACACAAAUGUAGGACCAAAUAACAGUGUGAUUCCCAGCAAAAGAAAGGAAAGUAGCAACUUUUUCCUAUUUGAUCUGUGUUCUGAUGAAUUGGGGCAGGGCGGGACAUUAAAUCUUGAAGAACCACACAAUGCUUCACUGUCGACGAAAAACUCACUCGAGAGGUUCUUGAAAGGACCCCCCGUGGGUAUUUCGCCAUACAAUUUGUUGUCAGUAAUGUUGAAAUACUUCAAGCUUUGAAGUUUCUCCAAAGACUUAGAAAUGAUUCCUGAUAUAUUGUUAUGAGAAAGGUCUAGGAAUUCCAAACCUACCAUGUUGCUCAUUGAGUCAGGUAUAGCUCCUUGCAAAUUGUUGUGUCUCAAAGAAAGCUGCACCAGAGUUAGCAAUCCUCCAAUUUCUCUAGGAAUUUUAUCUGAGAAUUGAUUCAUUGACAGAUCUAUCAGGGUCGCAGCCUUUAAAUUUCCUAUUUCUGGGGGUAAAGAACCAACCAUGUUGUUUGACGAUAGGUCAAGAACCACUAAAUCUUUAAGGUUCCCUAAGCUUUGUAGUGUAUUGGAACUCAAUCUAUUUGAACCCAUACGUAUCUCUCUAAGGGAAGCAACCUUUCCUAAACAAUAAGGAAGAGAACCCGAAAGUUGGUUUUUGAGUCGAGUCGAUGACAUCUAAGCACUGUAAGUUACAUAGAUUAUCACCGAUAGAUCCUGAAAGUCUGUUAUUACUCAAGAACAAGCCCUGCAGGUUUCUCAAGUUGCUAAUUGAUGUGGGAAUCGAUCCAGCCAAGUUGUUUCCAGAAAGUUCAAGGUCUAAUAAGCUGCUUAAGUACCCAACUUCAUUUGGAAUUCGCCCUUUAAUCUUGCAAUUGUUGGCGUAAAAUUUUCUAAGAGAGGUAGAAAGGUUCCCCAUGGAGGCUGGAAGCAUGCCAUUUAGAGGGUUAAGAUAUAGAGUAAGAAAUUCUAAAUUUCUACAAUUGGUUAAGGAAGUCAAGAAGCUUAGCGAUGAGUCACUCAUUAAAUCGUUUGCCCCCAAGUCUAGGAUUUGUUGAUGAGUCAAACAUCCAAGAGAAUUGGGAAUCAAGCCUGUGAGCUGAUUGAAUGAAAGCUCUAGAAUAGUAAGUUUUGAAAAAUUGGAGAUUGAAUGAGGAAUAGUCCCAAAAAGAUUGGUUAAGUUGUGCAGAUAAAAUCUUUCAAUGUUGGGUAAGAUAGAACAUAUGUUAGAUGGGAGCGAUCCAGAUAGAUUGUUGAAUGAAAGUUGAAUUAUUCUCAGACCUGAUAUGUUGAAGAUCUCCAUAUCUAGUGAACCACUAAAUCUAUUAUAAGUUGUAUUGUUAACUGCAACUUCUACUACAUACCAGUAAACCUAUUAUCGUCAAGAUGUAAAAAUUGCAUCUUGGUUAAGUUGCCGAUUUCACGUGGAGAAUAUCCACUAAGAUAGUUCCUCGACAGUGACAAAAUUUGCAGUGACGAGAUAUUGAAUAUGGAGAUUGGGACAGAGCCGGUAAUCUGGUUUUUAUUCAUCCAUAACUCCACCAAAUUAACAAGAUUUCCAAUUUCUUGAGGCCUCAGUUAAUGUAUAAUAAAAUGCAAUUCUAAAGUAAUUAGAUACAAUAGUAGUAGCAUUCAUAAGAUAAAGCAUACCGGUGAAAUGGUAAUCUCCGACAAUCAAUUACUGCAAGUUGCUCAAUCUUCCAAUUUCACUAUGUAUAGGUCCAUUAAUCUCAUUUUCCAAUAAAGACAAAAUUUGAAGUUGUGAACAAUUCGAUAAGCUUGUAGGCAUAUGGCCGCGAAGAUUGUUACCUCACAACCUUAAUUCUCUUAGGCUUGUAAGACUCCCAAUUACUUUUGGUAUUUGAUCCUCUAUAGAAUUGAAUUUUAGAUUCAAAAUCUCAAGUGUGGACAUAUUAGAAAAUGAUGAAGGGAUGGAACCAGUGAAACUAUUGUUUCUAAUAUUACGAAGUUGAAGUCGGUGUAAAAACCAAACAAAGAAGGAAUCUCCCCUCCGAAGUAGUUGAAACUUAAAUCAAGAAACUUAAGCCGACGCAAGCGUGUCAUUUCUAGAGGCAAAUUUCCAUGGAAAUUGUUGCUUUCCAAGUCGAGAGAAACAAGAAAUGAGAGGUUUCCAAGAUCACAGGGAAUCUUGCCAGUAAGAGUCAUAUUGGAAAGAUUCAAGAAUUUCACUCUCUCGUGGCGAGAGCCACAAGUGACUCCUACCCAAUGGCAAACGGACCUAGCGGGAGGCCAACUUUAAUCCAAUAAAUGAAAGGGAUCUGAAAUAAUUUGAGAUUUCAAAGAAAAGAGAGACAAUUGAUCAGUGGAAAUGUUGGUUUUGGUCAUGGCUAAACUAGCCCUAACAUAGUGAAGGAACAAGAAUGUUAUUAAGAGAAAAGAGCUGAGUGUUUUCUCCAUACUUGCAUAAAUCAGAAGGAAUUUAUUGUGGCCAAUAACUUGUUAUUUUGAGACUUUAAAUAACAACGGGAUCUCCAUUUUAGAAUAUUUUUCAUUCAAAACUUUGUUAUGGAAAAAAGUAAAAAUGUGACUUUGUUUAACCACAUAACAUUUUUUUCCACAAUUGUUUACAAAUUACUUUCUGAAACCUCCAUUAGUUGCAAAGAUGUUUUUAUGAACUUUUAUUACGAAAAAGAGGGAAAAAUUAAUUUGUAUUGGCCGUUAUCAUUUGAUUUAAAAAUGCAUCAAGAUAUAAAUUUUUUGUUUGAAAUUCUAGGAUAUUGAUAGUAACUGAGAUCGAAAUUAAUUAUUCUACACCGUUAAAGAAUUUUUAACUCAUAUAGAGUUUGAGCUAAAAUUGUUGAAUCAAGCCCCCUAAUUUUACAUGUGUGGAGCAAGGGAUGGGGUGAGUUAAUUAGGUAAUAAUCACAACUUUCGCAAAAGUCAAUCGUGCGCAUUUUUAUUAAAAUUCUGAUAUCAAGUUCAUUUGAAUUUAGUAUUUUUAAUGUAAAGAUAAAUUUAUGUAUAAAAUUUUAUUAAAAUUACACCAAAGAGUAAAUCUAAACUCAUAAUUUUAUAAAUACAAUAGGGUUAAUACUAAAACAUUUAAAAGAUUAAACUCAUCAAAUUUUAACCCGGAAUCCACCUAUGUCAUUAAAUGUAAGGAUCACAUAUAGUUAGUGUUUGACUAGGAAAAAAAAAUUUAAGUGGCAGACCAGUUAGUAAAUAUAGCUAGUGCUUGACUUGGAAAGAAAACUCAAAAUAUAGUGUUCAAUUUCUUAUAAGUUUUCCAAUUGGUUGAACAUUUCUUACUGAUGGUUUUUAAAAUGAUGCUUCAUAUUACUGUUCUCAUCAAGGUAAGAAGAAUAUUCAAGUAGUUAAUUAUUUUUGUAUUGAUAAAUGUAAGGGUGUCAAAUAUGACUCAAAAAUUGAUGACCGGUCCCAUUCACCCAAAAUUUUAGGGGUUAAACAAAAUAUAAUUUCAUAUUAUCUGAUUUUAGCUCAACCCAACAUAAGCCUUAUCAAAGAAGUUAUUUGCACAAAUGUAUUAUUUUGGGUGAUAUUCAAAUUUUUGCCCUUUAGCACUUGAAAUAAUAUUAAUGUACCUGAAAAUGCCCUUGAAAGCGACCCCCCCACCUCCCAAGAAACCAUAGCAAGGCCAAAAAUUUGCGAGGCAUAAGUUUAGUGGCACAAGCUAUGCCCUAAGGCAAAGUUCUCUAAAAGUUCUUCCCUGCGAAUUUGAUAUCACUCCCUCCAUUCAUGUAUACUUAUCCAGUUUUGACUUUUCACUACCCUUAAGAAACAACGACUAAUACGAGUUUUUUUUUUCUUUUUACCACAAUACCCAUAUUAUUGAUGUAUAGUCUUAAGUCCAUGAAAAUGAUUAGGAAAGUAUGUAAUUCAUGUUGAGGUUAAAAUAACAAAAAAAAUAAUUGUCUUUUCUUUGAUAUUUUAAAAGUGACAAGUAAAAGUGAAACUCCAUUUUUGAAAUAUUAGACAAGUAAAAGUGAAAGAAGGGAUUAUUGAACAAACACUCACAAUAAACAUUCUGUAAAGAAUUCUGCCUUUGUGAAACUAAGUCAUAGUUAAAUGUAUUUGAACCACAUUUUUUCCUUAAAUUGCCCACUUUUUAAGCAAUUAGUAGAUGGUAGAAAGGUUUGAAAUUUUGCUAUCUCUUUGAAUGCAUACCAGUACAAAUUUUGGAAAUAACAAAUUUUCAUUUCAAUGUAUAAACCUCAUAAUAUUUUGGAAGUUCAUCUGGAAUCUGAUUAACAAUACUUGCUAUACGAUCCUUGGUUAACACCCACCGAAAGUAGUAGAAACCUGAAAUUCCUCAUGUUUCUCUCUACUACACACACACACACCCCAUGUGAUUAUAUGUGUACCUAUAAGCUUAUAAUAACUAAGCUGUAGAAUCUGCAUCAUAGUUAAGCCAAUCUCCCAUGGUAAGAAUCCACUAAGAUUGUUCUGCCAUGCUGACAAAAUUUGCAGCGGCGAGAUCGGGACAGAGCCAGUAAUCUGAUUAUCCUCCAUGCCUAAAUCUACCAAAUUAACAAGAUUUCCAAUUUCUUGUGGAAUUAUCCCUGCAAUUAAUGUGUAAUAAAAUAAAAUUCUGAAGUAAUAAGAUGAAACGUACCAGUGAAAUGGUUAGUUCCGAGCUCUAAUAUCUGCAAGUUACUCAAUCUUCCAAUUUCACUAUGUAUUGGUCCAUCAAACUCAUUUUCCGAUAAAGACGAAGUUUGAAGUUGUGAACAAUUUGAUAAGCUUGUUUAUGGAUAAAUAAAGCCUUUUGAGUAUUGGGAGACCACUGCAUAAACCAUUGGGAAGACUUCCUGAUAAGCUAUUGCCAGUAAAUGCAAUGAACUCAAUUCUUGAGAUAUUGAAAAUUGUGAAUGGUAUAGAACCCGUUAGCUGAUUAUGUUGUAUGGUCAACAGCUUCAUGUUGUGAAGAUUGCUGAUCUCUUAUGAAAUGUUUCCUUGAAGUGAAUUAUAAGAUAUUCUUAAAGUAUCCAACCUUGAGGUAUUAGAGAGGGAUGGAGGAAUGUGACCCAUAAUAUUGUUCCCGGCCAAAUUUAAAUAUCUCAGGUUUGUAAGACUCCCAAUCAAUUUUGGGAUUUGACCCUCUAUGGAAUUGAAUUUCAGAUUCAAAGUCUCAAGGGAUGGAACCAGUGAAACUAUUAUUUCCAAGAUUUAGAGCUUGAAGUUGGUGUAAAAACCCAAACCAAGAGGGAAGCUCCCUGCUGAAGUUGUUGACACUUACAUCAAGAAACUUUAGCCGACUCGAGCGUGUCAUUUCUUGAGGCAUAUUUCCAUGGAAAUUAUUGCUUCCCAAGUCCAGAGAAACAAGGAAUGAGAGGUUUCCAAAUUCACGGGGAAUCUUGCCUGUAAGAGCUAUGUUAGAAAGAUUCAAGGAAUUCACUCGUUGGUGACGAGAACCACAAGUGACUCCAACCCAAUGACAAACACAAACGACGGGAGACCAGUUUUCAUUCAAGAGGUGAGAACGGUCGGAAAUAAUUUGGGAUUUUAAGGAUAGAAGAGACAAUUGAUCAGUAGUAAUAUUGGUUUGGGUCAUGAAUGAACUAGCCAUAAGCAAGAAGAGUGUGAAGAGAAUAAAUGUGAAGGCUUUCUCCAUUACUGCAAAAAUUAGUAGGUAUGCUCUAUAACAUGUGGUUUUGAGAUUUUAAAUAGCAAUGAGGUCUCCCUUUUGGUCUUCAUGAUUUUGGAAAAAAAAUUACUUUUCUUCAUUCAUUCUGUUAUAUUUAGUUGCAGAGUUAAAAUUUUUAUCAAGAGAUUUCAAAAUAUAAAGAAGUAAAUUCAUGAAAAAAAUUAAGGAGUGUCAAUACGUAAAAUAUAUUUUUACCUACAUACACAAUGUAUUGUUUCGACGAACAUGUGGCUCCGCCAUGGUCAUCUCAAUUUUAAUUCCACCAAGUCUUGAACGUUUUAAUCAGCCAAAGACUGGUGCAAGUCAACCAAGUCUUGCUUUAUUUUCAGCAAGCCCAUCACUACAUCAGAGGUUUGCUCAAAAAUUUAUUUUGAGUAAAGCAUUUAGUUCCCUGAACUAUGACUGAAUUUUUCAUAAUACACUCCAACUUCACGGGGUCCUAUUACCCCCUGAACUAUAUUUUAGCGAGUUUUGGUGUAACACUCCGCAUUUCGGGCUAGAAUAAAAACCAUCAUUUCUAUGCAUAGAUGAUCCAAAAGCCAUAAAUCCUAUACAAAUUUUUUCAUGUUAAUCAAUUAUGUAGUGUGUGAACCUAUUUAAGCAUAAAUUGAGAUCAUAGAGGUCCCCAAACUCAAGGACGAGUUGAAAGCUUUUCUAUCGUUCGAUUUUGAGUGAGCGUCAAAACUUGGGUCAGAUUCAAUCAACCAUAACUCCUUGAAUAUGACGAACUGGGUAACCUACUAUAUAUGAAAUGAAAUAUCUUCGAAUUAUCUUUCGAACAAUAUCAAUUUCGCCAAAAUCCGAUACUCGAGCAAAGAGUUAUAGCAGUUUUCGUGAGAGGCAGUAAGCCAAGGCGAUAAAUUCCUGCCAGUGUAAUUUCCUGCAGUCAAGCUCCGCGUCCAAGAGGGGUAUUUGGGUUAUUUCCCACCCUUAAAUAGCUCCAAUAACACAAGAUUUAGCCUCUAAUAACCACAUUAUACCCUCAUUCUCUCACAUUCUCUCGAGAACACUUCUUAGGGUUUCAACCCAAAGAUCAUAAUAACUCAAGAUUCAACCGUGAGUUUUCAAAAUCGAUUAGAGAUUCGAAACUCCAAACCGCAAGCUUCAAGAAUCAUCCAUUAUUCUUUGUAAUCGAGGUACGCGGGGUUUUUCUAAAAUCUCAUGGACAUAGAAAUCAUGUUUUAAGAAUGGGGUUUUGAAGUUUAUGAAUAUAAUCAUGUUUUAGAAGUUUUGACGGUAUUGUUUUGGUUUUUAGACCUUUCCCCCAAAUUGAUUUGAAAUUAUAUAUAUAUAUGUACGUAUGUAUUCAAGAAUGAUUAUUAAAUUGAGAGCAUGAAUAAUAAUGAAUCCCUCUCUAGUUAUGAGUUUUCCCAUCUUCGUAUGAUAUGAAUUGUUUUGAAUGCAUUUUGAAAAGCAUGAUAUGAAAUACUUUGUCUUGUGCUAUUGUUUGAAUAUGAUUUUUGAAUACGAAAGAGAGGGUUGUGAAUGUUGAAUAUACAUAUAAUGAAAGAGUGCAUGGUUUUGCCAAAAUCAUAUGACCACCAUAUAUUUGAUGAAAGUUUUUGCAUGGUUUUGACUUGAGCUUCGGAACAUGAAAUCCUUUAUGCAAAUUACAUGUUUGGGUGGUCUGAAACCAUAUUUUUAUGAAAGAUCGUGCUUAUGACACUAUGGCCCAGAAAUAGGAUUUGCAAGUCUUGGUGUGGCGACACCAACUCAGAUAAUGCCAUGAUAAAUUCAGAAUAGAAUAGAAUGUUUUUUUUGAAAUCAGACUUUAUCAGAUUUUUAUGUCUUAGAACUUCAGAGUAAUGCAUGUUCAGAAAAGGAUAAAAUAGGGCAUAAAGACAUGUUAGGUGGUUCCCCGAAGAAGGCAUGAGUUCAAACAACUCAUUGCCCAAAACCGUGAUUCGCUGAUCCGGGUAUAUAUAUUAUGCUGGCCUAGAGCCAUGUGGCGUAUCAGAAUCAGAGACUCCAACCCUUGUGGCACACUCGGGUUGGGGGAUUUUCUGCCUAGUCAAUGGUGGAUUCCAUAUAGCCCGUAGAAUAUCGGACUUGUAGGGGAGCGCCACCUAACUCAGAAGUAAUACAAAGAUCAGAAACGGUUUUGACAAAAAUGUCCUAGAAUGUUCAAAAUGAUGCCCAUGUGUUUUGGAAACUAUUUUAUGUAAGGUGUUUUGUUAAAUUUCCCUUAUCUACUUUAUACAUAUACAAAUACACUAUUUUGGAUUGCUUCGCGUACCAGUAUAUUUGUGCUGACCCCCCCUCCUUCCAGGUUCUGAGGCUCAGCCUAGGGGUCCAAGUAAAUAGUAGAUAUUUCAGAUCGCAGAUCAGAUUGUGAAGUGAUGAGCCUUGUUUAUUACAGAAGGUAUGUUUACUUUCAGACGACUAUUAUUAGACAUGAUUUUUGGUCUACUGGAGGUCUUGUCCCAGUUUUCAGAUUAUGUUAGAAAUCAUAUAGUAGAGAUUUCGCAGACUGAGUCAGAUAUUUUUUUGGAUAUUGUUGGAGUUUUCCUUCAUUGUUAAACUAAUUUCAGAGUAUGACCAUGUUUCCGUAUUUGAUUAAUAAUUCUGCAUUUUUCUUUUAUUAUAUGAAUGUUGUGCAUGAUUACCAGAUAGAGUAGGACGUUCAUACCUUCAUGGGUCGGAUGUCCGUCACAGCCAGGGCCCCAGUUCGGGUCAUGACAAACUUGGUAUCAGAACACAGUUCAUGGUCCCAGGGUGUCUGCAAAAUCACGUUGGGUAGAGUCUUGUUUAUGGGUGUGUAGCGUGCCUCACUUAUAAGGAGGAGGCUACUAGACAUUCAGCAUUUAGGAAUUUCACUCUUUCUUCAUGUUAUAGUUCGUGCAAUAGAGUCAGAAUGUUCCUUUUUCAUACUCGAAUUCGUGCUACGGUGUUGCCCAUACGAAAGUAAAAGUCAUCCCAAAUUCUUUCCUUACUCUGAUAUUCUUAGACAUGUCCUAUUAUUGGGGUGAUUCAAGUGCAAAGAGUUUAGAAUCUACAUGAUAUAGCCCUUUCCGAUUGAGUUAUAUAAGAUUUUAAAUAUUGUGCAAGGACUUGAGAAUCCGUUUGCUUCAAAGAGUAUUGAUGCGAGUGUGAACCUUGAUAUUGAUGAAAUCAUGCUUUUUAGCCUAUGGUAUUGAGUGUAUUCAGUCUCUUUUUAAAAAAAUUUAUGUUACGGAUGUCAUGCUUCAGGGGAUUGAUGUGUAACAAAAUGUUGGAACUGUAUUUCUACCCGAAUAGUAGUAUGAGUUAAAGUGUUGUUUUCAUGACCUAUUGGUAAUAAAAUUAGACCAAGAAGUUGGUGAUGUGAAGUCACAAGGUUAGAACUCAGAGUGAGGGUGACUUUUGUGUAAAUAAAUAUUUCAAUUGAAUAACCGAUGUUUGAGGAUGAUUUACCCCUUUAUAGUGAUAAACUAAUGUGGUAGCUAUAGCAUGUGUGGAUGGUAUGGUAGUCUAUGGAGGAAGUGUUUGACUCUAAUUUUAUUUAUACAGAGUAAGAUGUGUAUUCUUAGUUCAUUGGAUAUUGCGUAUUAAAUUUCUAUCUCAUGUAAUCUUGUCAUCAAGGUGUUGUUGAAAAAUAAAGUCUAGUGGGGCUCUUUCGAUUCACUAGAAUAGUUGCCUUGUCAUUCAUCUCGUUUUCUUGUUCAAAAAUACAAAAUCAAAGUCUAGUGAAGCCGUGUGAGGUCUAUUUCGAUUCACUGGCAACUUGUUGUCCAACUUGUUGUUCUUGUGUUGGUUUAGUAUAUGUAUAGCUGAAUGUGUUUGCAUGAGAUUGAGUUGGUAAAGAGAUGAUUCGUCCUUGUGGGUUAGUUUAGUAGAAGGUAGAGAAGGAGUUGUUAGUCAGGGUGAUUUGUCGGUUGUCUGAAGUGUGAUAAUAGCUAUAUUAGCCAGUAAGUUAUAAUCAUAGACUCAUGGUUGUUGUGGACAUUGAAGGUAGUCUAAAUGUAUGAUUGAGUAAGUAAGUAUAAGGUGAGAAAUCCAUAUAAGUAGAUAAGAUUGUAUGGGGCUAUAAUAUCAUAUUUAGGUUGAUCAUGUCUAUUAUGUGACUUUACCCCUUGACCUUUUUUUCGUUGGCAGUUGUAAACUAGUACUACUUAUGAGAAGGUAUGUAACAAGUUUUGAGGUAUUUGGAUAGAAUAUUCUAAUUUGAUGGAUUAGUAUAUUAUGUUGCACUCGUCAUUGGUGGUAGAUGAUUGAUGCUAAACUAUAGGCUUGAAUUUAAGUGUAGAAUGUGAUGGUAAAAAUAGUGGCAUGAGAUUAAUAAGGAAUGUUUUGUGGAAAAAAAAUAUAUUAGUAGGCUUGAUGUGUUGAAAUAGUACGUGCUAAUGAGUUAUGAUAAGGAAGACCGUAAGGUCAAGAUCGAUUAUUGUUGUUAUGAAGUUCUAGUGUAUUAGUGUUUCUUGAUGUUUAUUUCAUGGUUCCAAAGUGAGAAUUGUGUGUAAGGUUGGGUUGUAAAAUCAUGUUUAGCACUAGACAUUAAGUGUUGAACAGUUGAAGUCCAUGAAGGUAGAUGUGAUGGUUUCUUGGUUAAUGAUGCAAGUUAUAUGGAAGUGAUCUAAUAGGCUUGAACGGUUUAUGAAAUGGCUUAAUUUUAAGUUGAUUCGUAAUGAAGUAUAAUGUUGUAGGUAUGGUGUGUAAGUAUGCCCAAGGUGAUAUGGGGUUGUGGCAUUUCUCUAAGAUUAUUACAUGUUGCGUGUGGCUAGUAGUACCGUUGAGUUGCUAGAUGGAGAAAGACUAGUAGAUGUUAUAUGGGUUCUAAAUAGCCAGGUUGAAGAGUUUUGAUUGAUAGUGUUGAGCCUUUUUAUAUGAUCUUGAUUCUCAUAGUAAUGAGACAUAAGUUUGGAGUCGCGAUAUUAGUACGCUAUGUCGAAAGUAGUAUGAUUCAUCAAAGACUUGGUGAUAUCGAUAUUAUGUGUUAGAAUCUAAGUUUGAGUUUUGAAGGUUGAACCGAUAGAAAUAAGUGUGCAAGCAUUAUACUAUGACCGUUGGGGCUAUCAAAAUAUAAAGUGUAUCUCAGAAAGUAGUAUUAGCAGUGGGCUUUCCACUUUCAUGUGUGGUCUUUCGGGUUAAGUUCUAUUAAUUUUGCAUAUUGUCAUAUUUCAUACCCUGGAGUGUAGUGAGUGUAGUUAAGUUUAAAGUCUAGUAAGGGAUCUCCCAAACUUAAGACGAUGUCUUAAAGCCAAGGGGGAGAUGAUAGAACAAGUAACCAAGUCCGGCCCUCAGAUUUUAGUAAUGAUUCCAGUAUGACAUAGAACAUCAGAAGGGAAGGGUGAGGCUCAAUCCAUUCCUGUCUCAGUAUUUUUCAGUUAUCCUAAUACCUACUCAUACCUCACGUUUUAGUUCCAUGAUCAUAGUUCAUGUUCAUGUAUAUGAUAGAAAAUCACGUGCUCUUCCAGAUUCCUAAAUAAGGAACUUCAGUUCAUUCAGCAGUCGGAAUCACAUUCCAUAUGUUAUGAACUCUAAAUUGAGGUCAUGCAGCUUAUGACUCAUGUAUUCACACUUUAUAGUGUGUUCAGUUCCCAUAAUUCAUGCUAUACUCUUUAUGAUGGGCGAAAUAUAGUUCAUAGCCAUGUAUGCCCCAAUUCAGAUUUUUCUUUGAUAAAUUCCGGAUUUUGAUUUUCUAUUCCUCAGGCCUCAGUUAAGUGUCAAGUUUCAUAUAAUAUCCUUCCAUGCUUCAAGAUCUUUUUUUCUAAUCUUUAGUGACUCCUCUUUAUGUGAUGGUAGUAGUGAUGAGUAAAUGUUUCUUUUUGAUAGAAGCUCAUAGUAUGCUUGUUUUAGUUAAAGCCAUAAGUGCAAGUAAGGUUGGGGCUAAGUCUUUGAUGCAUGUGAUGGUUAGCUGAAAGGUGUGUGUAUAUUUUCUUAGGGUAGCAUGUGGGAGCUAUAUCGAUAGAUGCUUAGUAGAAUAUGUUAAGUAUAUCUUUAUGAGUGUUUGCUUUGAAGUUCAUAUGUGGUUAUAAAGAUAGACUUGAAUGACAUGUUGGAAUUUUUGUAAAGGAACGCGAUAUGCGUUAGCGACUUCAUAGUAAUAGUUCAGAGUUAGCCAUUGAAGUAGUAGGACAUGAUAGGCUUAGGGUGUGAUCUUCUAAGAGAUAUAGAAGGUUGAAUCUUAUGGUUUUGACUUGUAUCGUGGAGUGGAAUGUAGUAUUUUGUAAGUUGGAGUUAGGCCUGAUCCCGGUGAAGAGGAUUUAAGUUGCUAUAGACAUUAGUAGAAAGAUUUAUAAAUGCCAAUGCGAGAACAAAUAAGUUGAAUCGAAUGAAUGUAGUAUCUACGAGAAAUAGUAUAGUUAAGGGAGUAUUCAAGGAGUGUGCUAAUCUUGAAAGUAAGAAGUCGCAUUGACUAAGGCCUGGUAAUUCUAUCGUGAUUUAUGAGUUAUAUGUCUAUAUUUCAGGCUGCAAAGUAAUGUCAAUGUUGGGAUCCUAUAGUCGGAUGUCUUGUGUGACUCAUGCCCAAGAUUCUUUUCUCCCGAAUGAUACUAGAACUUCUUUAGAAAGAGUGNNNNNNNNNNNNNNNNNNNNNNNNNNNNNNNNNNNNNNNNNNNNNNNNNNNNNNNNNNNNNNNNNNNNNNNNNNNNNNNNNNNNNNNNNNNNNNNNNNNNNNNNNNNNNNNNNNNNNNNNNNNNNNNNNNNNNNNGACUCAUGCGCAAGGUUCUUUGCUCCCGAAUGCUACUAGAAAUUCUUUAGGAAGAGUGUUGAAGAGAAACUCCAGUUAAGUAUAAGUUUCCAGAAUAAUUUAGACAGUAUAACCACCAGUUUAGUUCAACAGUCAGGUAGACAAGUUACUGUGGUUUUCCACCUUUACACCCAGUCCUGCUAUCCGAAGUCCCAAUGUGUAUGACUUCCAAGAGAUAAUCUAUUCCAUCCAUGUAAAUUGCGAAUUCAGUUCAGUCCGAACAUCAUGUUUCAGAUUCAGCUAUUUAGUCAUGACUCAGUUCAUAAGAGUUCAGUGCAUAGUCUCAAAUCUCUCUAGGCAUUUUAGCUCAGACAGUGUAAUACCUUUGUACGAUCUAAAUAUUGUUGUCUCCAGAUUCGUACUUACAUAAGUUACCACUUCCAAAUUCAAUAUGUAUGAUUGGAUCAUGAACAUUUCAAGGAAAUCCUAAACUUUCAUCACGAAUCAGCUUCUUGAAGCAAGGAAAUUCAAGCUCAGAAUUCAAUUUCAUGAUAGAAGUUUAAAAUGUUUCAAAUCAGUUAUAUCCUCUCUUAGAAGACACAUCAUAUCCACGCUAUUCUAUAACUUUAAGACCACAGCAUUCUUAUCCAUCAUUCGGGGACGAAUGAUCCCAAGGGGGAGAUAAUGUAAUACCCCGCAUUUUGGGCUAGAAUAAAAACCAUCAUUUCUAUGUAUAGAUGAUCCAAAAGCCAUAAAUCCUAUGAAAAUUUGGCAUGUUAAUCAAUUAUGUAGUAUGUGAACCUAUUUAAGCAAAAAUUGAGAUCAUAGAGGUCCCCAAACUCAAGGACGAGUUGAAAGCUUUCCUAUCGUUCGAGUUCGAGUGAGCAUCGAAACUUGGUUCAGAUUCAAUCGACCAUAACUCCUUGUAUAUAACAAACAGGGUGACCUACUAUAAUCAAAUGAAAUAUCUUCGAAUUAUCUUUCCAACGAUACCAAUUUUGUCAAAAUUCUAUACCCGAGCAAAGAGUUAUAGCAGUUUUCGUGAGAGGCAGUAAGCCAAGGCGAUAAAUUCCUGCCAGCAUAAUUUCCUGAAGUCAAGCUCCGCGUCCAAGAACACUUCUUAGGGUUUCAACCCAAAGAUCAUAAUAACUCAAGAUUCAACCUUGAGUUUUCAAAAUUGAUUAGAGAUUCAGAAUCCCCAAUCUGCGAGCCUCAAGAAUCAUCCAUUAUUCUUCAUAAUUGAGGUACGCGAGAUUUUCCAAAAAUCUCAUGGACAUAGAAAUCAUGUUUUAAGAAUGGGGUUUUGAAGUUUAUGAAUAUAAUCAUGUUUUAGAAGUUUUGAUGGUAUUAUUUUGGUCUUUAGACCUUUCCCCCAAAUUUAUUUGAAAUUGUAUAUAUAUGUACGUAUGUAUUCAAGAAUGAUUAUUCAAUUGAGAGUAUGAAUAAUAAUGAAUUCCUCUCUAGUUAUGAGUUUUCCCAUCUUCGUAUGAUAUGAAUUGUUUUGAAUGCGUUUUGAAAAGCAUGAUAUGAAAUACUUUGGCUUUUGCUAUGUUUUGAAUAUUAUUUUUGAAUACGAAAGAGAGGGUUGUGAAAGUUGAAUAUACAUAUAAUGAAAGAGUGCAUGGUUUUGCCAAAAGCACAUGACCACCAUAUGUUUGAUGAAUGUUGUUGCAUGGUUUUGACUUGAGCUUCGGAACAUAAAAUCCUUUAUGCAAAUUACAUAUUUGGGUGGUCUGAAAUUAUAUUUUUAUGAAAGAUCAUUCUUAUGACACUAUGGCUCAGAAAUAAGACUUGCAAGUCUUGGUGUGACGACACUAACUCAGAUAAUGCCAUGAUAAAUUCAGAACAGAAUAGAAUGUUUGCUUGAAAUCAGACUUUAUCAUAUUUUCAUGUUUUAAAACUUCAGAGUAAUGCAUGUUCAGAAAAAACUAAAAUAGGGAACAAAGAGAUGUUAGGUGGUUCCCCGAAGAAGGCAUGAGUUCAGACAACUCAUUGCCCAAAACCGUGAUUCGCUGAUCCGGGUUUAUAUAUUAUGCUGGCCUAGAGCCAUGUGGCGUAUCAUAAUCAGAGACUCCAACCCUUGUGGCACACUCGGGUUGGGGGCUUUUCCGCCUAGUCAAUGGAGGAUUCCAUAUAGCCCGUAGAAUAUCGGACUUUUAGGGGAGCGCCACCUAACUCAGAAGUAAUACAAAGAUCAGAAAUGAUUUUGACAAGAAUAUCUUAGAAUGUUCAAAAUGAUGCCCAUGUGUUUUGUUAAAUUGCUCUCAUCUACUUUAUACAUAUACAAAUAUACUAUUUUGGAUUGCUUCGGUGCCAGUACAUUUUUGUUGACCCCCCCUCCUUCUAGGUUCUGAGGCUCAGUCUAGGGAUCUAAGUAAACAGUACAUAUUUCAGAUCGCCGAUCAGAUUGUGUAGUGGUGAGCCUUGUUUAUUCUAGAAGGUCUGUUUACUUUCAGACGACUAUUAUUAGACAUGAUUUUUGAUCUACUGGGAGCCUUGUCCUAGUUUUCAGAUUGUGUUAGAAAUAAUAUAGUAGAGAUUUCGCAGACUGAGUCAGAUGUUGUUUGGAUAUUGUUGGAGUUUUCCUUCAUUGUUAAACUAAUUUCAGAGUAUGACCAUGUUUCCGUAUUCGAUUUAUAAUUCUGCAUUUUCCUUUUAUUAUAUGAAUGUUGUACAUGAUUACCAGAUAGAGUAGGACAUUCGGGCCUUUAUGGGUCGGAUGUCCAUCACGGCCAGGGCCCCAGUUCGGAUCGUGACAUUUGGUCAACCUUUUUAGCUGAUGUGUCAUCUUUGGUCCCAAUCACUUGUUUACUGAACAAAUCAACAACUUUUUUUCAGUUUCAACACUUCUAUUCAAACACUUAUAUGCUUAAUCACUUAUUUUAAGCUUUUAAUUAUAUAAGCUAAAAAAAAUUAUUUUAUAAAAGUACAUUUGGUGAAAAAGUUAUUCCUCUAAUCAUUCCAAACAAUCUCCAGGUUGCCUUCUACUAAAGUUAUGUACAUUAGCUGGUACAUAAUUAUAGUUGAUUCUAGUCACUAAUGUUUAGGUAAUAUAUAUGUCACAACAUGAAAAACUAUUUACAUUCUCAAUCAAAGACAACGCAGUUAGCAAUUAUUCAGUGUAGUUUAAUAUCUUUACUUUUAAUUUUUAGGAUGUUUUUACAUAUUGUUUUUAUAAAUUCUAACAAAGUAAACAACAUUCAGAGCAUGUUUAGAUUGUCUUAUUUUAAAUGUUUUUAUGUCAAAAUAUCUUUUAAGUACUUUCUUUGUGAACUUUUCAUAAGUGUCGUGUUUAUUAGAAAUGUUUUAUCUCUUUUAUUUUAAAUGUUCUUUAGUUAGUUUAAAAUGGAGGAUUCUCUUGUUAUCUUGAAAUUAUUAUUGAUUUAUUUUAAUUAAUGAUGUAAACCUCAAAUAAAAGGUCACCUGACAAAGCUAUUUUUGCAAAUUCACCAUUAAAAAGUAAUUGCAUGAAUGAGCUAGUUUUGUAACAGUGACGACAUGAAUGAGACGAACUUUUAACUGAUAGCAUAAAUGAGACAUUCUGAUAGUUCAAUGAAAUAUCUGAGUCUUUCUUCUUACUUUAAUUAAUGAUGUGGACCUCUAAUAAAAAGCCACGUGGUAAAGCUGUUUUUGAAAAAUCACCGUUAAAAAAAAUGAUAUGGAUGAGAUAAUUUUGUAAUGGUGAUGGCAUGAAUGAGACGAGCUUUUAAUUGAUGGCAUAAGUGAGCAAUUUUUGAUAGUUCAAUGGUAUAUUUGAGACUUUACCCUUAUUUUUGUCACUUCAUUUAAGCAUAUAUAACUUUUAUAUUGUAAAAUGUUUAAAAGUUAUCUUUGUUUUAAUUGAUAUAUAAAAUUUAAAUUUUUAAGUGACAAAAGACUAUUUAAUUAAAAAUAUGUAAUUAAGUAGUGGAGUCAAUAUUUUUAUAAAAAAAAUAAAAUUAUAACUAAACAUAAGCAUUAGGCAACAAAUUCAACGUAUAAUAUAUUCAUAAAUAAAAAUUAUACUUAUAGAAUAAUUUAUUAAUAGAAAAAUAUAUUACCAAAAAAUAACGAGUAGCGAAGAAAAUAGUAUUAAAAACUAUGGGAAUAUAUAUGGAUGUGAAAAGUGAUAUAUAAAAGCGGGUUUAAGGAGGGUAUUUUUGUUAGGGAAAAGGCUCAAAUAUGACAUUGAACUAUCAGAAAUGACUCAUUGAUGCCAUCAGUUAAAAGUUUAGCUCAUUCAUGCCAUCGCCAUUACAAAAUCGGCUCAUCCAUGCCAUUAAUUUUUAAGGGUGGUUUUAAAAAACAGCUUUGCCACGUGGCCUUUUAUUAAAGGUCCACGUCAUUAAUUAAAAUAAGGAAAAAGACUCAAAUAUGCCAUUAAAUUAUCAGAAAUGGCUCAUUUAUGCCAUCAGUUAAAAGUUCAGCUCAUUCAUGCCAUCGUCAUUAUAAAAUCAGCUCACCCAUAUCAUUACUUUUUAAUAGUGGGUUUUCCAAAACAGUUUUGUCAUGUGGCCUUUUAUUAGAGGUCCGCGAUAUAAAUUAAAAUAAAUCAAUAUUAAUUUCAAAAUAUCUUAUACCCAUUAAAAACAGCCGAUUCAUUUAAUAUAACCCGACCCACACCCAUUAAAAUAUUUUUUCCUACAACAACAACUAUUUUUCUUAUCAGAAAAAAUAGUGAUUAAUGUAUAUCCUUUGGCUAUUUCUAGUUCAUUCUAAAUCAUUAUAAAUGCUAUGCUUAACAGAAACCUAAAAAAUUCUAUCUUACAGUAAUUAAUUAGUUUUAAUUCCAGUGACUACAAUAUAUACUCUGAAGUUGCAAGAAAAGAAAGCAAUGAACGAUGAGGGCAAGCAAGAAAAAGAAAGAGGCGUACCAAUAGAACUUCUCAACUCUCCCAUCACGAAUUACGGGAGUAUACAUUAUUGAAAAAAUUAUUUUCAAAUAACAACUUAAAAGAAGUCUGUUAUCCCAAUUAUCCCGCUAUGCAUACAGAAUAACUUGUCCCAUCAUGAAUUAGUGGAGCAUACAUUGUGGAAAAAUUAUUUUCAAAUAACUGCUUAAAAGAAGUCUGCUAAUCCAAUUAUCCCGCCAUCUAUAUGGGAUAACUUCUCCCAUCUUUAUGGUAUAAAUGUUGGAAUAAAUAAUCCUGAUACUAACUAAUUUCACAUAUUUUGAAAUUAAUAUUGAUUUAUUUUAAUUAAUGGCGUGAAUUUCUAAUAAAAGACCAUGUGGAAAAACUAUUUUUAAAAACCCAUCAUUAAAAAGUAAUGGCAUGAGUGAGUUGAUUUUAUAACGGUGAUGGCAUGAAUGAGCCAAACUUUUAACUGAUGGCAUAAAUGAGUCAUUUCUAAUAGUUCAAUGGCAUAUUUGAACCUUUUUGCUUAUUUUAAUUAAUGACGUGGACCUCUAAUAAAAAACCAUGUGGCAAAGUUGCUUUGAAAACCACCGUUAAAAAGAAAUGACAUGGAUGAGCUGGUUUUGUAACAACGAUGGCAUGAUUGAGCUCAACUUUUAACCGAUGGCAUAAAUGAGUCAUUUUUGAUAGUUCAAUGGCAUAUUUGAUCUUUUUCCCUUUUUGUUAUUUUACACAUUUUAUCCCAGUAUAAGUUAUCUCAGUACUACUAUACCACCCUAAGAUAGGGAUAACUUAUCCCAGUACUAACUAUUAAUCCUUGGAUAAGUUAUUUCACACUUCUAUAACUAACAAAGGAUUAAGGGGUACUAAAAAGUUAUCCCGAAAUUAUUUUUCCUUAUCCCUCGUGCCAAACGAUCCCUUAAACAUUAAAUUCACAAAAUUUUAAUCUGGUAUCCGCCUAUGUCAUUGUAAGAAUGACAUAUAGUUGGUGUUUGACUUGGUAAAAAAAUUAAGUGGCAGACCAAGAAAGAAAUAUAGUUAUUGCUUGACUGGGAAAAGGAGUCAUCCAAUAAUUUUACAAUCAAAUGUACAGUUAGUGCUCAUGAUAUGGUGUACAAUUUCUUGAAAGUUUAUAUUUGAAAAUGGUUGAACUUUUUCCUAUUGGUUAAUUUUUCUAAUGUUGUUCUCAUCAAGCUAAGAAGAAAAUUUUAGUUGCAAACCAAGUAGUUAAUAAUUUGCUAGGGAUAAGUUAAGUGAAACAAGUUAUGAUCUAAGGCAUAGAUUCAGUGACAAAAGUUAUGCCCCAAAAUAAAGUUCUCUACAAGUCUUGCCUUGCGAAAUAGAUAUUACUCCCUCCAUAAAUUUUUACUUGUCCAAUUUAGACUUUCCACUUCCCUUAAGAAACAAUGAUUAAUAUGAGGUUUUUUUUUUAUUACCACAAUAUACAUAUUUAUUCAUGUAUGUGGUGGAAAGGUUUGAAAUUUUGCUAGUGAUCGAUGAUGAAUCUGUGUGAAAUGAAUGUGCAGCUGACCACAUGAUUUACUGACCAAAUGAAUUUGGUGCAAAUUGUUAGUGUCUCUGCUAUGUCUCAUGGGUUCAACGUCUGUAGUGCACAAGUAAUUUGGGAAGAUUAUUUUGUUUUACUGUCCAUAUAAUGUCUCGUGCUCGAGUAAAUAGGUGUUUAGUCUACUUUGAGACAACAUAAAUGAAAAUAUAUUUGAUGAUCAUCAGGCUACCCUCCGAUUCUUCCCAAUAGAUAUCAUGAGGUGGACAGAAAUGACUGUAAUUAUCCUCAGUACUAAUAACCAACACAGUAAUAACUAGUAGUUCCACAGCCUAUGAUGAGCACCACAGUUUGUAAUGAGUUCCACAGCCUAUAAUGAUACGCAUAGUGAGAGCACAAUGGGGAAUAUAAUGAAGAAUGUCUGCAAUCUCGAAAACGAACACAUGAACAAAGGAGCAGAAAAAAAGAGUACAACACAAGCCAAUGAAUAUCCUUCCCUGGAAAUUAUGCCGAGAACACUCGCAGAGAAAUUUCUAUCUCAAGGCUUCAAAUUUCUAGCUGAAACUUUGCAACCAACUCAGCUAAAAGCUUUGUGUGUUGUAUACAUAACAGCAAUCAAACAUUUGAUACAGGUCUAAAUUUAAUUUCCAUGUUCGUAUCAGCAAUCAAAUCAUUUGAUAGUCUGCUCUCACCAGAUAACUCAUGAACUAUCUUUUAAAACAUUUGUAUUACUUUCCUAUAUGUUUUAUUAAAAUUCUCCACCAUGAAAAGCAAAAAUGAUUUCCAUUGUUAGUGAUGGAUACAUCACAGAGAUAUCAAGUUUAUCUGAAUUCAAUAUUUUUAAUGUAAAGACAAAUUUAUGUAUAAAAAUUUAUUAAAUUUACACCAAAAUUAAGUUCUAACUCAUAAUUUUACAAAUACAAUAGAUUCAAUACUAAAACCCUUAAAGAUUAAGUUCAUAAAAUUUUAAUUUGAAAUCUGUCUAUGUCAUUAAAUGUAAGGAUGACAUAUAGUUGGUAUUUGACUUGGCAAAGAAAAAAAAAUUAAGUGGCUGACCAAGAAAUAUAGUUAGUGCUUGACUUGUAAAGGAGCCGUCCAGUAAUUUUACAAUCAAAUGUACAGUUAGUGCUCGUGAUAUGGCGUACAAUUUCUUGGUAGUAGAUAUUUCAAAAUGGCUAAACAUUUUCCUAUUGGUUGAUUUUUCCCAUGUUGAUGAUCCAUCCAAUUUGCCCAAAAUUUGAAGGAUUGAGCACAAUAUAUUUUCAUAUUGACUGAUUAUAGUUCAACCCAACAUAACCCUCAUCCAAGGGGUCAUUUGCACAUGAAUUAUUUUGGGGUAAUAUUUAAUUUGUUUUUCCUUUAGCACUUUAAGUUUUAAAAAAAUGGCUGAAAUGCCCUUGACCGCGAAAAAAGAAAAAAAAAAAACUCAAGGCAAAAUGAUUUGCUAGACAUAAGUUCAGUGGCACAAGUUAUGCCCCAAGACAAAGUUCUCGUCUUGCCAUGCAAAAUAGAUAUUACUCCCUCCAUUAAUUUUUACUUGUCCACUUUAGACUUUCCACACCCUUAAGAAACAGUGAUUAAUGUGAGUUUUUUUUUUUACGACAAUAUACAUAUUAAUUCAUGUAUAUGGUGGAAAGGUUUGAAAUUUUGCUACCAAUCAACGAUGAAUCUGUGUGAAAUGAAUAUGCCUAGUAGUAGUAGGUGAUCUUCCAAUAAAGUGAGCUAAGGGGAUCAGCCUAGAGUUAGACCGAUAAUAUGGCAAAGGGCCCCGAAGAGCAAAGAAUACGUUUUUAGACUUGUCUCUCACACCAUCAGCUGUACCAAAAACGGACUGUGAGACAUUACUCGAACAGAAGGUAGAAGAUUAACAGGAGGCAUACCUGGAGCUAAUUUAACGAACUGCUUAGUGUUAAAUUUGCGGGGUCAGGUUGGUAUGGCCGCGACAAAGACUCGGUUUCAGAUGGGAAACUUAGUGAGUCAGCAUAGUGGGGAAUCCAGCGAAUCGUUGAAAAUAACAGAUCCCUUCUGCAGUGUAGGAACAAACAAAAUCCAUUCCUCUCUAAUCAGGAUAUUUUGUUAUACUAACCAUUUAUAUUACAUGCCUAUCCGUAUUCAUACAGUUAAUUCCUCUAAAAUAUUUUGGUUUUACUUAUUCAAUUUACAAGUUCCCCCCUGUUGCAACAAUAAUACUAAGAGGAAACAGUGAGAUUUAUUGCAACCAUCUAGCAUUUCUGAAAACAGAAUCAUGCAAAUCAAUUGCUAAAACAAAACAAUACAAAACAAUACAAAACAAUAAUCUUUACAUGAAUACAACAAUUUAGAAAAAUUUGAAACAAACAAGUGACUCAGAUUCCAAAAACAUGCUCAACAUGCAAGAAGUUGAAUCUUGAUCUUCUGCAGCAUCCCUACAACAUCUUUCAUGUUAGUCCUUCUUGCCGGAGAUUCAGCACAACAAUCUAAUGCUACUUUCAUGAUUGAUGCCACAACAUUUAACUCCUUCUGUAAGUGAUUACCAGUUGAUGUUACCAAGUUGGCAUCCAUGACGUCCUUUAUUGCCUCUGGGAAUGAAUAACUCACCCAUUGCUUCAAGCUAAGGUCACCCUCAAACUCAUUAGGCUUUCUCCUAGUAAACGUUUCCAUCAACAUGAUUCCGUAACUGUAUACGUCGCACUUUGUUGAGACUAGUCCAUCCAGUCCAUACUCUACAGUCAAACAAUUCAUUUAAAGAUGCAAUAUACUUUCUUGGUGGGAAAAAAAGAAUGGAGUAAUCAGCAGAACAAAGAGACGUACCCGGAGCAAUAUAACCCAGUGUUGCUAAGGUUUCAGUGUAUAAAUCACUCUCAUCGUCACCAAGUAGUUUUGAAAUGCCAAAGUCGCUUAGGUGGGCAACCAUAUCCGCAUCCAGUAAGACAUUACUAGGCUUUAGAUCACAGUGAAUCACAACCGACGAACACCCGUGAUGGAGAUAUUCCAAUGCACAUGCCACAUCUAUCAUUAUGCUUAGUCUUUUCCUGAUGUCGAGGAAGUAGUUGUGCGAAUACAAAUACUUCUCAAGACUCCCGUUAGGCAUAUACUCGAGAACUAAAGCCUUGAAAUCAAGAUUGGAACAACUAGUAAUGACUUUUACGAGAUUCCUAUGGCGAAGGCUACACAAAACUUCACAUUCCGUAUCAAAACUCUUGAAUGCUGCAUCUAGUUGCAGGUUGAACACUUUAACUGCAAUGGCAGUUCCAUUUCUGAGAAUGCCUUUGUAAACAGAGCCAAAACUUCCAGAACCAAUCAGAUUACUCUCGCUAAGUGCAUUAGUUGCUCGGAGAAGUUCAUAGUAUGAAAUCCUUUCUCUUGCUAUGGUAGACAAUAAGUCAGCUUGCUGAGGAACACUUUUACCUCUUCUAUACCUUAUCCAUAGGAGCACAAAGGUCAUAGGAGCAAAUACAACUGCAAUUGCGAGCAAAAUAAAAAUAACUAGCAAUUUUUUCCUAUUUGAUCUGUGCCUUGAUGAUGUGGGGCAUGGCGGGACACUAAAUCUUGAAGAACCACACAAUGCUUCAUUGUAGAUGAAAAACUGACUCGAGAGGUUCUUGAAAGGACCUCCUGUGGGUAUUUCACCAUACAAUUUAUUGACAGAAAUAUUGAAAUAUUUCAAGUUUUGAAGUUUCUCCAAAGACUUAGGAAUGAUUCCAGAUAUAUUGUUAUUAGAAAGGUCUAAGAAUUCCAAACCUACCAUGGUUCUCAUUGAGUCAGGUAUAGACCCUUGCAACUUGUUGUGUCUCAAAGAAAGGUGUGCCAGAUUUUGCAAUCCUCCAAUUUCUCUUGGAAUUCCAUUUGAGAAUUGAUUCAUCGAUAGAUCCAUCUUUGUUAUAGCCUUUAGAUUCCCAAUUUCUGGAGGUAACAAACCUACCAUGUUGUUUGACGAUAAGUCAAGAACCACUAGAUCUUGAAGGUUCCCUAAGCUUGGUGGUAUAUUGGAACUCAAUUUGUUGGAACCCAGAUGUAUCUCCCUAAGGGAAGUAAUAUUCCCUAAACAAUUAGGAAGAGAUCCUGAAAGUCGAUUUUGAUCCAAGUAAAUAUCACCCAGACGCUGCAAUUUACAUAUAUGAUCACCAACAAAUCCUGUAAGUUUGUUGUUACUCAAGUUGAAGCGCUGAAGGUUUCUCAAGUUGCCAAUUGUUGUGGGAAUUGAUCCAACCAAGUUGUUUCCAGAAAGAUCAAGGAAUAAUAAGUUGCUUAAGUUCCCAACUUCAUUUGGAAUUAGCCCUUGGAUUUUACAACUGUUGGCGAUAAAUUUUCUAAGAUACGUCGAAAGGUUCCCCAUGGAGGCUGGAAGCAUGCCAUUUAGAGGGUUUAAAGAUAUAUCAAGAACUGUAAAAUUUCUGCUAUUGGUUAAGGAAGUCAGGAAGCUUAAUGAUAAAUCGCUGGUUAAAUUGUUUCCCCCUAAAUUUAGAUACUGUAGAUGAGUCAAAUAUCCAAGUGAGUUGGGAAUCAGGCCAGUAAGUUUGUUGUAUGAAAGCUCUAGAAUAGUAAGUUUUGAACAUUUGGAGAUGGAAUAAGGAAUAGUCCCAACAAGAUUGGUAAAGGACAUAUAAAAUCUUUCAAUGUUGGGUAAGAUAGAACACAUGUUUGGUGGGAGGUUUCCUGAUAAAGUAUUGUUUGUAAGAGAAACUACUCUCAGCCCUGACAUGUUGAAGAUAUCCAUAUCAAGUCGACCAUUAAAACUAUUAUCCGCAAGAUCAAGUUCCUCCAACUCAAUGAGAUGGCUUAUCUCUUUGGGUAUUUCACCUGUAAACACAUAUAGUGGAUAAUUAGUGAGUUUAAAUAAUUGGUUCAAUCUAGUAAACCUAUUUUUGCUAAGAUAUAAGAAUUGCAUCUUAUUUAAGUUGUCAAUCUCCCAUGAUAGAAUCCACUAAAAUUUUAACCUUUAUAUUGUUGGUGAUAUGAAAGUAUUAAAAGUAGGCACAAUAGAUAAAAAUGCACUUUAACUUGGCCUCAGAUCACAUCUAUGACCUCCAACUUUGGGUGUGCACAAGUAGGCACUUGAACAAAUAGACACAUAUGUCAUUUGUGGCAUCCUACGUGGCCAAUUCUUGUCUUAGAUUAUGCCACAUAGGACGUGUGUGUUUACUUGUUCAACGUUUUACUAGUUUAAGUGUUUACUUAUGCACACCCAAAAUUGGAGGUCAUAGAUGUGAUUUGACGUCUAGUUAAAGGGCAUAUUUAUGUAUUAAAGGGAAAAAAUACGUAUAGGAGAUAAAUAUAUUUGAACAGAACCAUUAAUCUGCCUUCUCUCCAUGCCUAAUACCACAAAACUUAGAUACCUCAAUUAGUUCAAUAACUCAAAUUAUACCAGCAGUUACAAGCAUUCAUAAGAUAAAAAAUAUACCAAUGAAAUGGUUAUAUCUGAGAUGCAAUAACUGCAAGUUAAUCAAUCUUUCAAUUUCACUAUGCAUUGGUCCAUCAAACUCAUUAUAUGAUAAACCCAAUAAUUGAAGUUAUGAACAAUUUGACAAGCUUGUAGGCAUACGACUGUGAAGCUUGUUAUAAGACAGAUAAAGCCGUUUGAGACCAUUGCAUAAACUAUUGGGGAGAUUUCCUGAUUAUGUUAUAUGGAUUGCACUUUCAUGUUGUGAAGAUUUCCAAUCCCUUCUGGAAUGUUUCCUUGAAGUGAAAUAUAAAACAAAUUAAUUUUAAACAUUAAAAGGCACUCCUUAUAUGGUGUUUCUUGUCAUACGCUUGAAGAUUAAUUUAUAAUUGUUACAUUUUAUUACUCAUUACAUGCAUAAAUUCAUAGAAUGUUAAUAGUUCUAAUGGAUCUAUAAAAAUUAACAUGAGACACCAUUAGAAUAUAUAUGUACCUAUAAGCUUAUUUCCAUUAAUCCGUAGAUGUCGCAUUUUGGUUAAGUUGCCAAUCUCCCGUGGUAAGAAUCCACUAAGAUUGUUAAACGACAGUGACAAAAUUUGCAGCAAUGAGAUAUUGAAUAUGGAGAUUGGGAGAGAGCCAGUAAUCUGGUUUUUCUCCAUCCAUAACUCCCCCAAAUUAACAAGAUUUCCAAUUUCCUGUGGAAUUAUCCCUGCAGUUAAUGUAUAAUAAAAUGCAAUUCUUAAGUAAUUAGAUACAAUAGUACUAGCAUUCAUAAGAUAAAGCAUACCAGUGAAAUGGUUUUCUCCGACAAACAAUAACUGCAAGUUGCUCAAUCUUCCAAUUUCACUAUGUAUUGGUCCAUCAAAUUCAUUUUCCGAUAAAGACAGAAUUUGAAGAUGUGAACAAUUCGAUAAGCUUGUAGGCAUAUGACCGCGAAGCUUGUUUGUGGAUAGAUAAAUCCCUUUGAGUAUUGGGAGACCAUUGCAUAAACCAUUGGGAAGAUAUCCUGAUAAGCUAUUGUCUGUAAAGGCAAUGACUUCGAUCCUAGAAAUAUUGAAAACCGUGAAUGGUAUAGAACCCGUAAGUUGGUUGACUUGUAUGGAUAGAAUUUUCAUGUUGUGAAGAUUGCCGAUCCCAUCAGGAAUGUUUCCUUGAAGAGAAUUGUAAGAUACAUCUAAAACCUCCAACCUUGAGGCAUUCGAGAGUGACAGAGGAAUAGAGCCUAUGAGCUUGUUACCUUUCAACCUUUAUUCUCUAAGGUUUAUAAGGCUUCCAAUCACUUUUGAAAUUCAGAUUCAAAAUCUCAAGUGUGGACAUAUUAAAAAAUGAAAAAGGGAUGGAACCAGUGAAAUUAUUAUUUCCAAGAUUUAGAACUUGAAGAUGGUGUAAGAAUCCAAACCAAGAGGGAACCUUCCCUCUGAAGUUGUUGACACUUAAAUCAAGAAACUUAAGCCGAUGCAAGUGUGCAAUUUCUUGAGGCAAAUGUCCAUGGAAAUUGUUGCUUCCCAAGUCAAGAGAAACAAGAAAUGAGAGGUUUCCAAGUUCACCGGGAAUCCUGCCUGUAAGAGACAUGUUAGAAAGAUUCAAGAACUUCACUCGCUGGUGGCGAGAACCACAAGUGACUCCCACCCAACGGCAAACAGAAAUUGUGGGAGACCAACUUUCAUCCAAGAAGUGAGAAGGUUCUAAAAUGAUUUGGGAUUUCAAAGAGAGAAGAGCCAACUGAUCAGUGGUAAUGUUGGAUUGGGUCAUAGCUAAACCAACCAUAGCAUAAUGAAGCAACAAAAGUACUAUUAAGAGAAAAGAGGUGAAAGAUUUCUCCAUAAUUGCAUAAAUUGGUAGGAAUAUGAAUAUGGCUUGCAAUAAUGUGAAUUUGGGACGUAAAUAGCAAAUAGAUCUCUUGCCCUUUCUUUUAGAAUAUCUUUUCAUUCAUACAUCUUUUAUGGCAAAAGAAAAAGCUUCCUUUCUUUAUGUCAUCUCAAGAGUAAUAAUACAACUAAAGAAAGAAAAAGAAAGUAACUUUAAUUUGUUCAAGUGAAAGACCAAGAAAGAAAUAUAACUCAUAUGGACUCGAAAAGGAGUCUUCCACUAACUUUUAUAACCAAAUGUAAGAUGUGAAAUAGCACAGAAAGAAUGAAUUCCGUAAAAUAUUUAACAAACAAAAUUUUAGUAUUUGAAAAAUGUUAAAAAGUUGCUUUAACGAAUAAUGCACUGAUUUAUUUUUUAUUUUUCUCCAACUUUUUUUACAAACAACUCUUAGUCAAAUUGAGAUUUCUAUUUUUGGUAGGAAACUGAUUAGUCUUUUCUGUCAUUUUUGGUAGAAAAUAUGUUGUUUUUUAUGGUAAGUUUAAUCUAUUUUUGGUUUUAAUAGCGACUCUUUAAGAAGGAGUUGAUGAUCAAUAAAAUAUGCAGCUUUAUCAGAAAAGAAAAACAAACUUCUCUGCAUCUCUUCUCUUCUAACUCAUCUCUAUUUUCUACUGCUAAGUUUUUGGCUCUCCUUGCUAUGUUAUUUUAACAGUAUUAGUAUUGAAGCCAACAGUUGGUAUCUAGAGCUAUUUUUAUUGAAGGACCUGUGAGUGAAGAGAUAGAUUCUGAAAAUAGUUUUUCACGAAUAGCUCCACUCGUUUUUUAUGGUGAAAAUUAUCAAUUAUGGGUUGUGAGAAUUAUAACUUACUUGAAGGUUCUUGAUCUAUGGGAAACUAUGGAAACGGAUUAUGAAAUUAAUCUGCUGCCAAAUAAUUCCACCAUAGCCCAAAUUAAAACUCACAAGGAAAAGAAAACCAUGAAAUCUAAAACAAAGACAACUCUAUUUUGCUUCUAUUUCAAUAACUAUUUUUUCAAGAAUUAUGUCUCUCACAUCACCAAAAGAAAUUUGGAAUUAUCUGAAGAAAGAAUAUGUUGGAGAUGAAAGAAUCUGAGUAAUGUAAGUUCUAAAUUUAAUAAGAGAGAUCGAGUUGCAGAGAAUGAAAGACUCUAAGAUAGUUAAAGAGUACUCGAACAAAUUAUUUGGCAUUGUUAACUAGGUAAGAUUACUAGGCAGUGAAUUUAAAGAUUCAAGAAUUUUUGAGAAGUGAGAAGGUUCUAAAAUGAUUUGGGAUUUCAAAGAGAGAAGAGCCAACUGAUCAGUGGUAAUGUUGGAUUGGGUCAUAGCUAAACCAACCAUAGCAUAAUGAAGCAACAAAAGUACUAUUAAGAGAAAAGAGGUGAAAGAUUUCUCCAUAAUUGCAUAAAUUGGUAGGAAUAUGAAUAUGGCUUGCAAUAAUGUGAAUUUGGGACGUAAAUAGCAAAUAGAUCUCUUGCCCUUUCUUUUAGAAUAUCUUUUCAUUCAUACAUCUUUUAUGGCAAAAGAAAAAGCUUCCUUUCUUUAUGUCAUCUCAAGAGUAAUAAUACAACUAAAGAAAGAAAAAGAAAGUAACUUUAAUUUGUUCAAGUGAAAGACCAAGAAAGAAAUAUAACUCAUAUGGACUCGAAAAGGAGUCUUCCACUAACUUUUAUAACCAAAUGUAAGAUGUGAAAUAGCACAGAAAGAAUGAAUUCCGUAAAAUAUUUAACAAACAAAAUUUUAGUAUUUGAAAAAUGUUAAAAAGUUGCUUUAACGAAUAAUGCACUGAUUUAUUUUUUAUUUUUCUCCAACUUUUUUUACAAACAACUCUUAGUCAAAUUGAGAUUUCUAUUUUUGGUAGGAAACUGAUUAGUCUUUUCUGUCAUUUUUGGUAGAAAAUAUGUUGUUUUUUAUGGUAAGUUUAAUCUAUUUUUGGUUUUAAUAGCGACUCUUUAAGAAGGAGUUGAUGAUCAAUAAAAUAUGCAGCUUUAUCAGAAAAGAAAAACAAACUUCUCUGCAUCUCUUCUCUUCUAACUCAUCUCUAUUUUCUACUGCUAAGUUUUUGGCUCUCCUUGCUAUGUUAUUUUAACAGUAUUAGUAUUGAAGCCAACAGUUGGUAUCUAGAGCUAUUUUUAUUGAAGGACCUGUGAGUGAAGAGAUAGAUUCUGAAAAUAGUUUUUCACGAAUAGCUCCACUCGUUUUUUAUGGUGAAAAUUAUCAAUUAUGGGUUGUGAGAAUUAUAACUUACUUGAAGGUUCUUGAUCUAUGGGAAACUAUGGAAACGGAUUAUGAAAUUAAUCUGCUGCCAAAUAAUUCCACCAUAGCCCAAAUUAAAACUCACAAGGAAAAGAAAACCAUGAAAUCUAAAACAAAGACAACUCUAUUUUGCUUCUAUUUCAAUAACUAUUUUUUCAAGAAUUAUGUCUCUCACAUCACCAAAAGAAAUUUGGAAUUAUCUGAAGAAAGAAUAUGUUGGAGAUGAAAGAAUCUGAGUAAUGUAAGUUCUAAAUUUAAUAAGAGAGAUCGAGUUGCAGAGAAUGAAAGACUCUAAGAUAGUUAAAGAGUACUCGAACAAAUUAUUUGGCAUUGUUAACUAGGUAAGAUUACUAGGCAGUGAAUUUAAAGAUUCAAGAAUUUUUGAUAAAAUUCUUCUUACAGUGCCCAAAAGAUAUGAAGCAUGUAUAACUACCUUGAAACAUACACAAGAUCUGUCCAAGAUUUCCUUGGCAGAGUUGUUAAAUUCAUUUCAGGCACUGGAAUAAACAAAACCUAUGAUGCAAGAUGAGCCUUAGUAGCCAACCACAAAAUUCAGAGAAAUAGGUAAAAAUUUUAAAAAUUAUCCACCUUGUGAGCACUGUGGAAAAAUGCAUCAUCCACCAUACAGAUGUUGGAAAACACCAGAAGCAAAGUGCAUUAAGUGCAAUCAACUUGGCCAUGAAGCAGUGAUUUUAAAAAACAAAUUUGAGAACCAUGAAGCAGAUGCACGUAUGGUCAAUAAAGAAGAAGAAGAUCAUCUUUUUAUUGCAACAUGUAUCUUAAUUGAUGUUUUGUUGAAAAGAAGAAGAAGAUCAUUUUUUUAUUGCAACAUGUAUCUUAAUUGAGGUUUUAACAAAAUUUUUGGUUGAUUGAUAGCAGUUACACCAACCACAUGACUUAUAACAAGAGUUAGUUUAAAGGAUUAAAGUCUACUGAAAUAUCCAAAGUUAGGAUCGGAAAUGGGGACCAGGUUAUUGUUGAAGGAAAAUGAAUUGUUGUCAUCAAAAUAAGUUCAGGUAAUAAAGCAAUUUCAAAUGUUCUUUGUGUACCUGUUACUGAUCAAAACUUGUUGAGUAUUUGUCAGUUGGUAAAACGAUACAAAGUAUCCUUUGAGGAUAAGUAUUACUUCAUCAAUGAUGGUGUUCGAAAAAAAGUUCUAAACAUCAAGAUGAGAGGUAAACAUUUCUCAUUUGAUCCAAUGGGAGAUAUUUCUGUAGAACAUGAAAAAGAUCAUAGGCUGAAAAAAUUAGAAGAUGGUCCUCUAAUUGAAAAAGCACAAGAAAUAUAUGAACCUUCUAGGUUUAAAGGAGAUUUCAAUGUUCCUAAAGGAAUUGAAGCAAUGUAGGAGUUACCAAUGUUUCAAAAAAUAAAGCGGAUACAUUUAAAUUCAACAUGCAAAUGAAGCAGGAAGACAUACUAAAAAAAUUUAAUAGUCAAAGGUUGCAUUCAAGAUGAGAAGUGAAUUAAUUAGUUCACUACAAAACAAAAGAUGAAUCUGCAAUUUAUUCACAAGGUCACUUUCGGUGUGGAGAUCCCAAUACAGAAAACCAAAACUUUACAGUUCCUAAAGCAAGGAGGAGUGUUAAAGUUUUUUUAAAGAAUAAUUCACGUGAUUUAUUUUUCAUUUUUCUCCAACUUUUUUAACAUACAACUCCUAGUCAAAUUGGAAUUUUUAUUUUUGGUAGAAAACUUAUUAGUUGUUUCUGUCAUUUUUGAUAGCAAAUAGGUUAUUUUUAUGGCAUGUUUAACCUAUUUUUGGUUGUAAUAGCAAUUAUUUAAGGAGGAAUUGAUGAUUAAUACAGCAAGAAUGAAAUAAUUUAUAAGAAAGAUGUUCAUGUUUAAUGUCUCUUCCUUGCAUAAAGUUGCCAAUAAUUUCAAUAUUAUAAGAAAGAUUUUCACGUUUAAAAUGUUUCUUUCUUUCAUGAAGCACCAAUAAUUUCCCUCAUAGACCUUUAUAGGGAAUAGGAAAUAAAGCUGUGGGCUCCAUAACAACAUUACGAAAAAGGAAACUUAAGGGACAGAUAUGAAAUUCACACUUUGAAUACAUUUUCUUGGUUGGAGUAUUAUUUUUGAUUUACAUCAUAGCACUACUGACUUAGUUUUGGCAAACCAAAAUCUAACUAGUGUCAGCUAUGGGUUCAUUCGGGAUUUGUAACUUUCGAUACAGAGUGUCAUGCCAUGUUUUUGCCAAAGGCUAAAUAAAACAUGACUCAUUGGACUUUAAAAGAAUUGAAAUUUUGUACAGAGUUGCCACCCAAUUUUUAAGGGAAAUAAGGAAACAUAAAUGAUUAAUAUUUUUUUUAGUCUAUGAAAACCAAUUUAAGAUUCUUGGUAAGGGUUCAAGUUAUCCCAAAGGGAAGGGAUUAGUCACCUUUCAAGAUCCACAAAUGUGGCACCCGACUAAACAAAAUUUAUCAACGAGAGAGGAAGUAUAUUUAAAAUAAUGUAAAAGAUAUAUUAAGUGUAAAAUAAUUCUUUUGAAAAAAAUCUAAAUGUUUAAAAUUAUGUAAAUUAUGAAUAUAAAUAAAAAUAAAUUUAUUGUUAUAAAAAAAUGUAAAAGUAUGUAUAAAAAUGUACAAAUUUCAUGUGAAAAGUAAAUGUAUUUUGUGAUGGGUGAAAAGAAAGUAUCUUUAUGUACUAAAAAGAAAUGGAAAAGGCUAAAAUAUGCCACUGAACUAUCAGAAAUGACUCAUUUAUGCCAUCCAUUAAAAGUUGGGCUCAUUCAUGCCAUCGUCGUUAUAAAACUGGCUCAUCCAUGCCAUUACUUUUAAUAGCCAAUUUUUAGAAAACAGCUUUGCCACGUGGCAGCAUAUUAGAGGUCCACGUCAUUUUUUAUAAUUUUUAAUUUUUUUAAAAAAAAUUAUAAAUUUUUUUUUAAAAUUUUUUAUUUAAUUUUUUUAAAAAAUGGUGUUGGUUACAAAGUUUAGAGAUUACAUAUUUCUAUGCUUUUAUUUAUCAAAUAAAGAAUAAUAAAUUUUGCAUAUAACUAAUGUUCAUGUUUUUUCUGGAUUCUUAUUUUUAAAAAUAAUUAUAUAUAUAUUUGACCAAUCUUCUAGGUAUUUGUUUAUACAUGAACCCAAAACAUUCAAACCUGAAAUUAUAGUUCAUCAUAACCAUUGCUAGUCCUUAUAUGCAAUGAUAAUAAAGGACGAAAUCCUAUUCUUGUCAUAUUUUGCCAAAUGAAAAAGGUGACCACAUUAAAAUGAUCAAUUAAAGACCUAAAUGGUUAAUCCUUCUUAACACUUUGAAAAGUACAUGAUAGAGAAAGAAAAAGAAUGCAAAAAUGUGAACAAUUUCUUCUGUUGGUGCAUUCUCUUUUCCUUACUUUUCUCUCCCUCUUUGUGUGUGCAUGCAAAAUGUAAGUAGUAAAGUAUUGUGUGUAGAUGUGUACAUUAUCAUUUAUUCUUUUUUGAUAAUCAUUUAUAUGCAUGCAUGCAUGGAUCAUAUAUUAUAUCAAAUCUCACUUCAAAUUUAAUCAUAACAAAGAUUUGAAUACUCUAGUAUUACAACAACAAAUGUAAAAUAAGAGCAACUCCACUUCAUAAUAUUGGAAUUGAAUUUCACAUAAUUGUGAUAUUAUAUUAUUUAUAGAAAGGUAAAGGGUUACCUUUUGGAAAAAUAGUUGCCAACAAAAGAAAGAAGAAGCAGCGAACUCGAAACCAUGAACCAAACCUCAAACUCCAACUCGUUGUCUACCCGUUUAUAUAUGUUAUUUGCUUUUUGUUUCUGUCAAAUGUUACUCCCUUUUCUUGUUAACUCUUCUCUUUUCUUGUUUUUCUCUCUCAAUCCAUGUUUUUUUUUCAAGGUUCCUCUCCCUUUCUUCUUGCUUUUGUCCUUUUUAUUUCCCUAAUUCUCCCUAUUCGUUCCCCUUAUCUUUGUGUUUUUCUAUGUUCCCAUUUGUGUCUGUGUGGGUGUACCAUAUAAUGUAUAAGGUUGGGAAGUUGAGGGAGUUGAGGGGGUUGAGGAAAAGGUGGGGAUGAUUGGGAUAGUUUUCUUUAGGAUAAGAUUUUUUUUAUAAAUAUACAAUGUAUAAGGUUGAAAAGUUGAGGGAUUUUUUUUUUUUAAAUAUUUAUAAAAAAAAUAUUUAUAAUAAUUUUUUUUAAUAAUUUUUUUAAAUUAAAUUUAAAAAAAAAUUAAAAAAUAAUGUGGACCUCUAAUUAGUUGCCACGUGGCAAAGUUAUUUUCUAAAAACUGGCUGCUAAAAGUAAUGGUAUGGAUGAGCCAGUUUUGUAACGGCGAUGGCAUGAAUGAGCCCAACUUUUAACGGAUGAUAUAAAUGAGCCAUUUCUGAUAGUUCAAUGACAUAUUUGAGCCUUUUCCCAAAAGAAAAUGUAUUUUCAAAUAAUAUUUUUGAACUUGAUCAAAAUCAUGGAGAAAAAUAAAAAUUCAUUUGAAAAGAAGAGACUACAUAAUGUGCAAAUUAAUUGUGUAAUUAAAUUUCUUUAUGUGAAUAUUAACGGCCUAAAUCUUGCCUAACGUGCGACGAGAAUUAUGUAAAUAGAGAAUAUCUCCGUCCGACGCCCCAAAAGUAAAAUUUUAACUAUACUUUAUCUUUAUGUAUAAUUAUACAGAUGAAAAUAAACAUCAACCUCGAGAUUUUCUUUCAAGCAGUACUUUGGAAUGCAUUACCGAAACAUGUAUAGUUGCUUGAUAGAAGUAAUAAAAAUGAACAAAUAAUCAUGAAAUUAUGUGUACACAUAUGUGUAUAUAAAAUAGAAUUUUGUUAUAAAGUGGGCUCAAAUUAAGAUUUGGACGCGCUGUAGCUACAAAAUGGUUGCUUGAUUUAUUGAUCAUCCUAAAUCACCUUACCAAGAUAUGAAUCAUAAGACCCUUUGUGUUGCCGCAAAAUUAAAAAGAUUUCAUCAUCGUCCAAAUUAAUUUAUUUUUGUUAUGUAUUUGUAUAUGUAAUGCCCGUCUUUUAUUUGGGAAGGCCUUAAAAAUCGACGGAGAAUUUCUUCAUCGUCCAUGUAUUAGUACUUGAUAGAAAUAAGUAAAUUUGAGAUAAUAAAGCCCAUCUUUUGAAAUGGGGUGGCAUCCGAUGGGAAAGAUAUUUUCAUCGGCCAAAGUAUUUAUUUUUGAUGUAAUAGAUAAAAUUGAAAAAUAAAAAUCCGUCUUUUAUUGUGGGGUGGCCUCAAAAAUCUGACGGAGAGAUAAUUUCAUCGGCCGAAGUAUUUAUUUUUGAUAUAAAAUAAUACAUUUGAGAAAGUAAAGUUUGUCCUUUAUAAUGUGAUGGUCUCAAAUAUCUGACGGUGAGAUAAUAUCAUUGGUCGUGUCUUUAUUUUGAGUAUAUGUGUGUGUUCCUGAGAAAAAAAAAAAAGAUGAACAAAAUUUGUGUAUGAUAAAAAUAUAUGUGUGGUGAAGAAUAUGUGUGUGUAGUGAAAAAAUGUUUCUUUGAGAGAGAAAAAAAAUAUGUGGGGAUGAAAAAUGUGUGUAUGCAUUAUAAAAAAAUGUAUUGUGUGUUUUUAUAAGAAAAAUGUAUGUGUGUAUUUGUGCAUUCGAGAGGGAUGAGAAAGAAGAAAAGUAUUUUUAUGAAUGGUUAAAAUGUGUUUUGUUUUUUUGUGAAUUUGUGUAUUUUAGAAAACGAGGAGUAGGAAAAAUAUGUGUAUUUUUUGUGUUAUUUUGUAAGAGAAAAAUAUGAAAAUGAGGAAAUAUUUUUGUGUCUUUGAGAGAAAAAUAUGAACAAGACUUUUUUUCAUUUUUGUAUAUGUAUUUGAGAGAGAAAAAAAUAUAUGUUUUGGGAGAAAGGAUGAAUAUGUGUGGGUGGUAAAAAUGUGUCAUUUGUCUUCCACCCUCCACUAUUUAUAAUGAAAAUUGACACCCCUUAUUAUCCAAUGGAUAAAGGGGUGUCCGUACUCAUUCUUAAUAGAACAACUUUGGUCCUUAGGAUAUUGACCAAAGGAUUUUCAUCCUUUUAAUCAAUGGAUAAAGUUGUUGUCCAAAGGAUAGUGUCACUGAGUUGUCAUUGUCAAAAGUGACAAGACAUUACAUGUAGUCAUUGUCGGAUUUGAGACCUCAUUGUGUAGUCAUUGUCGGAUGUGACAAGACAUAAUUGUGUAGUCAUUCUCGGAUGCGACAAGACAUUAAUGUGCGGUCGUUGUCGGAUACAAAAAGACAUAAAAUUAUUAUACUGUGUAAAAAUAAUUCAUCCGACUUAUCAUUUGUGGAUCAUAAAAUAUAUAUACAAAAUGCAGGUAUUGAUUUAUAAUUACGAAAAAUGUAAAGAACGUUGAAAAUGUAUAAACAAUAUAAUUAAUAUAAAAAAUAUUGUAAAAUAUAAUAUCAUGUCGUGUACGGGUGCAGAUGAUUGUAAAAUAUUAAAAACGAUAAUGAAUUGAUAAAAAUACUAAUACAAGAAAAAUUAUUAAUAAAUCAUGAAAAAUAAAAAUAUGACAACAAAUUGAUAAAACACCCAAAGUAAGGAUUAUCAACAAUUGUAAAAAGAUAUGAAAAUUAUACUUUGUUCCCUUUAAUGGUCAGUAAGCCUGAAAAUAUUAAUUUUCAGCACGAAGAGUGAAAAUUGGGUGUCAAAAGUUGCCCCUUUUCGUUUGACGAUGAUGUAGAAGUCUUCAAACGAAAAAGUUGACGUGUAAUCAAUUUUGGUCGAUAAAAAAUAAUUUAUUCAUUUAUUAUUUUAUUAUUUUUUUGAAGAAAAUUUGACCGAACUUCAAUUUAAAAUUUCCUACAUACCUCGAGUUAUGUAAGGAUCAGGUUGGAUUUAGUUCAAAAAAAUAGGCAGAUUGUCUCUUGCCUUGUUAUUGGGGCGAGUGACUAUGUAGAAUGACUGUUGAGAGAUGAAUCAUUUGGGAAUGAAUGUAUUUACAUAUUUCUGAUGACGCUUUUGAAAUUUCUCAAGUAUCGAGCUGUGAGAUGCUGGGGAUGCAAGAUUGUGUACUUGUUAGGAGAAAGAGUGAUUAUGUUGUUGUGAUGAUCUAAUUCUGCAUAGAGCUUCCUAUAUAUCUCGAGUGUCAUGAGAAUUAGAUCGAUAUAGUUCGAAAUGAGUAAAUAGAAAAAUUUUAGGGCGAUUCUCAAAAUUUUCCCUAGUGUAUGUUUUUGACUCUUUGAAUGAAAUUUGAAAAAUGUUAUGUUGUUUUGAAAUCUAUUUUGAUUGAAAAGAUGCAUGGUGCCUCCGAUUUUGUACGGAGACUUGAGGAUGAAUGACGUUACCGAUUGUUUAUAGGGACGUGAAGAUGAAUGACAUCUUCGAUUGUUUAUGGGGACUUAUAUGAUGAAUGAAAGAUGUCUUUAAUUAUCUAUGAAGACAUAAUGCAUAGCAUCUCCAAUUAUCUAUGGAGACUGAUGUUGAUUAUUGUCUUCGAUUGUCUACGAAGAUUGAUAUUGAAUAAUGAUGUCUUCGAUUGUCUGCGAAAACUUGAUGACAUCUCCAAUUGUCUAUAGAUAUCGAUGUUGAUUGUCUUCAAUGAUUGUUCAAUGUAACGUACUGAUUUUCUGAACCGAAAUGCUGCACGGCGCCCAUGACCCCAAAGGAACACAAGCUAACCCAUGACUUAUAUCUGUACCUGAGCACUGAAUAACCAUACUGUAAAAUAUGCGAAAACAUAAUACUGUAAGGCCAUAAGGUUCAAAUCGAAAUAAACAUCUGAUAAAAUAAUAUCUAAAAAUGGUAUAACAAUACCAACAUAAAUCUGAAAUAAUUGUUUGAAAUGCUGUAGUCUGAAAACCUCUAAACUGAACUGAAUAAGGGGUUGAGGGAAUAUGUUCCCAACUAACUCCGUCUACUGAAAUAAACUAAUAACUGAAAUAGUGAUAUGAAUAAUAACAUAAUUGUCCUCGAAGGAUGAGGACUUACUGUUAAUUACUGCUGCUGGCUGACUCUGAAAUUGCUAAGGGAGCUCUGGAUCCCGUGUGUCCAAACCUAUGGUAUAAGACACCAUAGCAUGAGAAAAAUAUGCGUCAGUACUUUGAAUGUACUGGUAUGUAAGUGAGGUAGGCUGAAUGUAUGGGGUUCAUAUGUAUAAACAAUACUGACUAACAUGAACGUGAGAAUACAUGCAUGAAUACAUAAUAGCUAUAACUGAAACUAUACUAGUACUAGAUACUAAAUUCUGUGUACUGAUUUACUGACAUCUGAGUUUACUGAAUAAAGAGGAACUGAUGUUAUAUUACUGAUAAAGAAAAUGAUUGUUUCUGAUAGUUCUGAUUAUGAAGAACUGAUCUGAUUGACCGUAUAUAACAGUCCUGAAACUGAGUUCGUGAUAACAUGACUACUGAGUAUGAAUACUGAUGACAUCUAUUUACUGAUAACAUAUCAUUACUGAUAACUUAAUUGUGAUAAUUGAUACAUCUGAUAACAUGAGUUCUGAUAACUGAUAGCAUGAACGACUGUAUCUGACAGUCCUGAAUCUGAUGGAACUAGCUGAGUUCCAUACUGUAUCUGAGUUGACUGUAUCUGUCAGUCCUGAUAUCUUGAAGAACUAUCUGAGUUCUUUUACUGAGACUGAUACUGAAACUGUGCGAAGUAGUUAUAUAACCGACAUGCCCCAAAUACGCUAUAAUAGUUAAGCUAGGGUCCAAUCUCUUCCUGUAACGCCCCAAAAAAUGGGUCUCGGAGCCUCACACGGUGCUUGAGACUAUGAGUAGCCCCAAGCUAACCCUUUGAGACAUUUUCAUUCAGUUCAACACAAAUCAAUGGGGUUUCCAUAAAUAACUCUCAAAUAUCAACAGAGUAAUCAUCAUCCAAGAAUAAAAGAAUUUUAGAAAGAUAACAAAAUAUGACUUAUUAGUCAACUCCAAACAUCUAUACUAGUCUGACAAGCCUCUAAGUCAAAAAAGCCAACGAGCCAUUGAGACAUGCCCCAACUGACUCAUAGUCAGUAAUCAAAUGUAAAUAAUUCCGUGAAACCAACAUCAGACAUCACAUCCUCGGAACAUGAGGACUCACCACAAUAGAGGAUUUAGAACAACGUGCCCGAAGAAUCACUGUCAAACCUGGAACUGAGUACCUGAACCUACAUUUCGAGAAAAUACAGCCCACAUCUGAAGAUGUGACUCAUUACCAUGAAAAGGAACCGAGUAUAUGGGGGUGUAUGCAGUUUUAUAAACAUCAUCAUCAUACAUAUUUAUAAGAAAUAUACAGGAUGUAUGAAAGACUCACAUAUCCCAAAAAAAUCAUCAUAAUCAUGAGAGGAUGAAAUAAGUACAAUAACACAUGUGACUCAACAUAUAAUUUGUCAAUCACUUUCAUUUCAUCAAUAAUAUCAAUUCUCAUAAUGUAAAUAUCAUUUUAAUCUUUCGAAAGAAUAACUUUCACAAUUCCACUUUCAAAUCACUUCACCAUUCACCAUAGACACAAGGAAACACACACAUACUGGGAGAUCCUAUAAUCAACAUAAACCAUGUGAGCUACAUGGAGUCCACCAUACAAUUCACGUUGGGGAGAGCCGUCCUAUCCUUUCUAUCAGAGUAGGACUAUCGAUAUUAAAUCCACACAAACUAGUGAUCACUAUAUAAAUUAGCCUUAGGCUCUCUCCUAUGGGGGCACGUAGUUCUAGGAAAGUAAGGUCGCUUUAUACCUCCCACUAGGUGCUAAAGAUUUCUUCCAAACUUAGCUCAGAUCAUUUCAAAGACAAUCCACAACAAAAUAAUUUCAGUAAAACAACGUUGUGAAUUUCUUUCACACUCGAGUUCAAAACAACUUCAUUAAUACCAAAAGUUCAAAUCAUUCAAAAUAUCUUAAAUAUUCAACAUCAACGUGCUUAUAACACACACUUUCUCAAAAAAAUAUAAUUUCCAAUGGGGAUUCACGACCCAAAUAUCAAAAUCAUGAUAAAUAUCGUUCGAGAUUCAUGCUUUAUAUCUCCACACAUGUAAAUUCAUCUUUCAAAAUCAUAAACAUCAGUAUUUCAUAAUAAUCAUCAUAAGAUAUGGGUUCAUGCUUCAAAUUCGUAAAAAAAUAAAAUAAAAAUCAUGCCAUUGUAAAGAAAAUUACUUUUGGGCACAAGAACGAAAGAGAGUUCUUGUUGAAAAACCCCACAUACCUUGAAUGGUGAACUUUAGAUCGAUACUCAUUUUUGAGAUAUUAAUCGUGCCUAUGAAUGAUGGUUCUUGAAGUUCUUGAACUAGGAACUUGAAAUCUUGAAUAAAUUUGCAGAGUUAAUGGUGAACUUUGGAGGUUCUUGAAGUUGGAUGUAGGUUCUUAGGUUUUUUUUUUUGAGGGAAUUUGAUGAAAUAUAACAUAUAAUGCUUCUAAUAUGCUUUAAUAUAGGGUUUGGAUGGAUUUUGGGUGAGGGGGAAUGAUCAAAACGCCCCUAAAAGAUCAAAUAAUUCUCGAAUCUGUCCUUUGGUGGACUAUUUUGAUAGUCUGAAGUAGAUCAACGAUAAUGUUUUACUCUGAUAUCCAAAUUGGAUUAAACAAAUUUCAUUAGAAAGAGGACUCUCAUAUAUUUCCGUUGAUAUAUAGUAUCUCACCCAGAUCAUUGUGUAUGAGGAGUUAUGAUCAUUUGAAGUUGACCCAAAAAUUCACUUUUGAUAGGCUGAAGUAAAUCGAUCAUAACUUUUUGCUCCGAUAAACAAAUUGGAUGAAACCAAUUUCAUUGGAAAGAGGACUCGCAGAGAUUUCCAUUGAUAUAUAGUAGAUCACCCAGAUCAUUAUGUACAAGGAGUUAUGAUGGUUUGAAGUUGGAGCAAAAAUACGCCAGCCUCAGUACUUUUUCCUGCAGGUUUUACUGUUCACUACUAUUCAUGGUUCGAUCAGAAUGUUGAUAACUCGUCGCUCGGGUGUCCGUUUUUGAUGAUCCACAUAUCGUUGGAAAUAUUAUUUGAUACUCUACGUCAUGAUGGGUCAUAAUCUAAGACAUUCCACAUAGAAAAUUUAUAAUUCAUUCUAGAAGAUAGAACCCAACACGUUUACACACAGAAUUUCAACAAAAAAAUUCCCUGGGUAUUACAUCAUCCCCCCCUUGGAAACAUCCAUCCUCAAAUGACGCUAGACAUGCCAAUAUUAGAUAGGGAAUGGAGCAUACAGCUGAAACCAUUCGUUAGACUCAUCACCACAUCGUUUUUCACUCCGAAUGCAACAUAGAAUGCAUAAAUUCAAGAAACUACAGCUGAACACAUAAUAAAUGACAGCUGAACUGCUGCAACUUUUAUCAAAAGUGAAUGAUUUAGGAAAGAACGAUACCUUCGGCUUGAUCGGAGUGGAGUUCGCAGAAAAGAGGUGCGGGUACUUGGAUCGCAUAUCCGCCUUAGCUUCCCAAGUUGCACCCUCAACAGAUUGGUUUCGCCACAACACCUUGACCAAGGGAACUUCUUUGUUCCUUGGUCUUCGGACACUGAAAUCAAGAAUCUCUAUGGGAAUCUCAUCAAAAGAAAGAUUUUCUUGCAUGUCAGCAAUCGCAGAGGAAUCCACUACCACAACAUCACUAAUAUGCUUUCUAAGCAAGGAGACAUGGAAUAUUGGAUGAACAGAGGACAACUUGGAAGGCAACUCGACCUCAUAAGCUACCUUACCAACACGGCUAAGAAUUUUGUAAGGAACAACAUAACGGGGACUAAGCUUCCCCUUCUUUCCGAAUCUCUUCACCCCCUUAUGGGUGAAACUUUUAGAUACACUAGGUCACCAACUUCAAACUCAAGGUCUCUCCUUCUAACAUCCGCAUAUGACUUCUGACGACUCUGCGCAGUUUUUAACCUUUUCCUAAUCAACUUAACUUUUUCCAUAGCCUCAAAUACCGAAUCUGAACCACUCACAACCGCUUCACCCACCUCGAACCAACCUAAGGGUGAUCUACACUUCCUUCCAUAUAAGGCUUCAAACAGAGCUAUGCCAAUACUAGAGUGGAACCUGUUAUUGUGAGCAAACUCUAUCAACGGUAAGUGAUCAUUCCAACUUCCCUUAAAGUCAAGUGUACAAGCUCUCAACAUAUCAUCUAAGGUCUGGAUGGUCCGCUCAGCCUGAGGUCUGCGGAUAAAAAGUAGAACUCAAAAGCACUUAGGUACCAAGACCCUUCUGAAAAGCUUUCCAAAAUUGUAAAGUGAACUGAGUAGCCCUAUCCGAAAUGAUAGACAAGGGAACUCCAUGCAGUUUGACUAGCUCUCGGAUAUACAAUCUACCAUAAUCCUCAGAAGUAUAUGAAGUAUGAACAGGAAAGAAAUGGGAAGACUUAGUCAACCUAUCAACCAUAACCCAAAUGGAAUCAUGAUGGUGUCGGGAAGGAGGUAAACCAAUCACGAAGUCCAUAUUUAUCUCUUCCCACUUCCAGGUGGGAAUACUAAACUCUUGCAUCAUACCNNNNNNNNNNNNNNNNNNNNNNNNNNNNNNNNNNNNNNNNNNNNNNNNNNNNNNNNNNNNNNNNNNNNNNNNNNNNNNNNNNNNNNNNNNNNNNNNNNNNNNNNNNNNNNNNNNNNNNNNNNNNNNNNNNNNNNNNNNNNNNNNNNNNNNNNNNNNNNNNNNNNNNNNNNNNNNNNNNNNNNNNNNNNNNNNNNNNNNNNNNNNNNNNNNNNNNNNNNNNNNNNNNNNNNNNNNNNNNNNNNNNNNNNNNNNNNNNNNNNNNNNNNNNNNNNNNNNNNNNNNNNNNNNNNNNNNNNNNNNNNNNNNNNNNNNNNNNNNNNNNNNNNNNNNNNNNNNNNNNNNNNNNNNNNNNNNNNNNNNNNNNNNNNNNNNNNNNNNNNNNNNNNNNNNNNNNNNNNNNNNNNNNNNNNNNNNNNNNNNNNNNNNNNNNNNNNNNNNNNNNNNNNNNNNNNNNNNNNNNNNNNNNNNNNNNNNNNNNNNNNNNNNNNNNNNNNNNNNNNNNNNNNNNNNNNNNNNNNNNNNNNNNNNNNNNNNNNNNNNNNNNNNNNNNNNNNNNNNNNNNNNNNNNNNNNNNNNNNNNNNNNNNNNNNNNNNNNNNNNNNNNNNNNNNNNNNNNNNNNNNNNNNNNNNNNNNNNNNNNNNNNNNNNNNNNNNNNNNNNNNNNNNNNNNNNNNNNNNNNNNNNNNNNNNNNACACUCAUAUCAUAGUCCUUUAACAAUUCUAACCAUCGUCUCUGCCUAAGAUUCAAUUCUCUCUGGGUAAACACAUACUGCAGACUCUUAUGAUCAGUGAAAAUAUCACCAUGGACACCAUACAAAUAGUGUCUCCAGAUUUUCAAAGCAAACACAACAUAGCAACCAACAAGGUCAUGGGUGGGGUAAUUUUUCUCAUGGGGUUUCAACUGUCUAGAAGCAUAAGCUAUCACCUUACCCUUCUGCAUCAAUACGCAACCCAACCCAACUCUCAAAGCAUCACAGUACAGCACAAAACCAUUAACACCAUCAGGCAAAGUCAAAAACCGGGGCUGAAGUGAGUCGAGUCUUCAACUCCUGAAAACUCUUCUCACAAGAUUUGGACCACAAGAACUUUACUUUCUUUUGGGUCAACCGAGCCAUAGGAGACUCUAUAGAGGAGAAACCCUCAACAAAACUGCGGUAAUAGCCAGCUAAACCCAAGAAACUUCAGAUAUUAGUCGGAGAAAUAGGUCUAGGCCAAUUUCUAACAGCUUUGAUCUUUUGGGGAUCAACUUUAAUACCCUCGGAAGAAAUGAUAUGACCCAGAAAAGCAACUGACCUUAGCCAAAACUCACACUUACUGAACUUGGCAAACAACUUAUGAUCUCUAAGGGUUUGCAAGAUAGUUCGGAGAUCAGAAUGUUCAUCCUCACUACGAGAGUACACCAGUAUAUCAUUGAUGAACACUAUGACAAAUAUAUCUAGAUAUGGUCUGAACACUCGAUUCAUGAGGUCCAUGAAAGCUGCUGGGGCAUUAGUUAACCUGAAAGACACAACAAGAAACUUAAAAUGGCCAUAACGAGUUUGGAAGCGGUUUUUGGGAUGUCACACUCCCUAACUUUAAGUUGAUGAUAGACGAAACGAAGGUCUAUCUUUGAGAAAUAACUUGCACCUUGCAAUUGGUCAAACAAAUCAUCUAUUCUCGGAAGGGGGUACUUAUUUUUGACGGUGUCUUUAUUUAGUUGGCGGUAAUCAAUGCCCAUACGUAAAGAGCCAUCUCACAAACAACACAGGAGCACCCCAAGGAGAAACACUAGGCCUUAUGAAACCCUUAUCUAGUAGAUCUUUGUGUUGUUCUUUCAACUCCUUAAGUUCUGCAGGGUCCAUACAGUAAGGUGGAAUAGAAAUAGGCUGAGUAUCGGGAAGAAGACAAUCCCGAACUCUAUCUCUCUAUUAGGAGGUAUCCCUAGGAGAUCAUCCGAAAAGAAAUCAGAAAACUCAUUGACGACGUUAACAGACUGGAGAGUUGGAGUCUCAGGCUUAGUGUCUUUGACUUUAACCAAAUGGUAAAUACACCCCUUGGAAAUAAGCUUNNNNNNNNNNNNNNNNNNNNNNNNNNNNNNNNNNNNNNNNNNNNNNNNNNNNNNNNNNNNNNNNNNNNNNNNNNNNNNNNNNNNNNNNNNNNNNNNNNNNNNNNNNNNNNNNNNNNNNNNNNNNNNNNNNNNNNNNNNNNNNNNNNNNGAGGCAUAAGAAGAAUACAACCAGUCCAUACCCAGAAUCACAUCAAAAUCUACCAUGUCUAACUCAAUCAGAUCAGCCAACAAGACUCUAUGAAGAACGGUAACAGGACACUUUUUAUACACUUUCUGGGCAAUAAUCGAAUCACCCACUGGGGUAGAAACUAGGAUAGGCUUAGGAAUAAUCUCAGGACUCAUUUCAAAAUUCACAGCAAUCAAAGGUGUAACAUAUGAGAAACUGGAUCCAGGAUCCAACAAAGCAUACACAUCAAACUAAAAUAUACUAAGCAUAGCAGUAACAACAUCGAGAGAGUCCUCCUAUUCCUAGAGGGACAGUAAAGCAUAGAAUCUAUUCUGGCGCUGCCCGCCAGCAUUGCUAGAAGAGGCGCCCUGAUUUGGGGAUGGGUGAGUCGCUAGAAUUGGAGCACUAACAGUCUGAGUCUAGGUCUGAGGGCAAAAACGCUCUUGUCCAUCCUGUGGACAAUCUCUAACUCUGUGACCCAUGUCACCACACCAGAAAUAACCCUUCUUCUCAUCUCAACACUCACCCAAAUAAACCCUACAUCACUUAGGACAUAAGGGAUGAUUUGGAUUACUGGCAGCACUGUAUUAGGACCUGGAUGCAUAUUACCUACUACCUUGCUGCUUCCUACCUCUAGGCAUAGGAGCACUAGAAGAUAACGGUGUUUGCAUAGAUGAACGAUCCUGAUACUAAGGGCGACUCCCUUCCUGUGAUCUAGUCUGACCCUGUUUGUGCUGCUCAGACCUAGCUCUCUUAUUCCUUCUUAUUUUAUCUCUCUCUUUAAUCUUGUCUGCCUCAUCUAUUAGGCAUGAUUCAUCUGCCUAGAAAGAUUUAUCUCACUAUUUAGCAUAGCAAACCUACACUCCUUAACCACAUAACUAGACACUCCAAUCACAAACUUACUCAUACUAUCCCGAUUAUCAGCCACUAAGUCAGGAUCAUACUUGGCCAACUGAUUGAACUUUAGACAGUACUCCCUAACAGUUAUAGAGCCUUAUUGCAGGUUCAUAAACUCUUCCACCUUCGUCUCUCUCAUCUCCAAAGGGAAAAACUUAUCCAAGAAUACAUCCUAGAAGGGACAGCUCCCUCACCUCUACCUUUCCUCCAAGCAACAACCCAGUCAUAAGCAAGGUCUUUCAACCUAUACGCAGCCAACUCUACACUAUGUUCCUUAGAUAAAUGCAUCAACUAAGUAAUCUUCCACACUUUCUCUAAAAACAACCAUGGAUCCUCAUCAGACUUGGACCUAUAGAAUUCCAGCGGAUUCAUCCGUAUGAAAUCACGGAUCCUGGCAGCAGCUGAAUCACCCCCUACUGCUGUGGAGCCAGGGAUGGAUUGGCCUAAACAUUUGCAGUAAUAGCUUGGGCCCAUGCUUGAAAGGUUGCCUGAAAUUUAGUAUGAGACACGUUUUCAUUCAAUGGGUCAGCGGAUUGAGGUUGCUGGCCAUCAUUAUUUCUUCUCGCUCGAUGAGGAGGCAUACUUCUGAAAGAGGAGAGCACGAAUGAAUAGCAGAGAGAGAUACUUUAAGCACGAUAGGCUUCUGAAAGAAAGAAUCACACUUUUUCCUAAAAUGUCUUGUAGCCUUUUGCUCAUAGAUGUGGCAUGCUACACACCGAUGAUCAAGACUCUACUUAACACGGUUUGUCAGACUCCUUAGGAUACCUUAAAACCUUAGGCUCUGAUACCAAGUUUGUAACGCCCUAGAAAAUGGGUCCCGGAGCAUCACACGGUGCUUGAGGCUAUGAGUAGUCUCAAGCUAACCCUUUGAGCCAUUUUCAUUCAGUUCAACACAAAUCAAUGGGGUUUCAUAAAUAACCCUCAAAUAUCAACAGAUUAAUCAUCAUCCAUGAAUAAAAGAAUUUCAGAAAGACAAUAAAAUACAACUUAUUAGUCAACUCAAAACAUCUAUACUAGUCUGACAAGCCUCUAAGAAAAUCAAUAAAACCAGCGAACCAUUGAGACAUUCCCUAACUGACUCAUACUCAGUUAUCAAAUGUAAACAAUUUUGUGAAACCAAUAUCAGACAUUACAUCCUCAAAACAUGAGAACUCACCACAACAGAGGAUGUAGAAUAGCGUGCUCGAAGAAUCACUAUCGAACCUGGAACUGAGCACCUGAACCUAUAUUCCGAGAAAAUGCAGCCCAUAGACGAAGAUGUGGGUCAGUACCAUGGAAAGAAACCGAGUAUAUAGGGGUGUAUGCAGUUGUAUAAACAUCAUCAUCAUAAAUAUUUAUAAGAAAUAUGCAGGAUGUAUGAAAGACUCACGUAGUCUGAAGAAAAUCAUCAUAAUCAUGAGAGGAUGAAAUAAGUACAAUAACACAUGCGAGUCAUCAUAUAAUUUGUCAAUCACUUUCAAUUCAUCAAGAAUAUCAAUUCUCAUAAUGUAAAUAUCAUUUUAAUCUUUUGAAAGAAUAACUUUCACAAUUCUACUUUCAAAUCACUUCACCAUUCACCAUAGACACAAGGAAACACACACACACUGGGAGAUCCUAUAACCGACAUAAAACAUGUGAGCUACAUGGAGUCCAACGUACAACCCACGUUGGGGAGAGCCAUCCUAUNNNNNNNNNNNNNNNNNNNNNNNNNNNNNNNNNNNNNNNNNNNNNNNNNNNNNNNNNNNNNNNNNNNNNNNNNNNNNNNNNNNNNNNNNNNNNNNNNNNNNNNNNNNNNNNNNNNNNNNNNNNNNNNNNNNNNNNNNNNNNNNNNNNNNNNNNNNNNNNNNNNNNNNNNNNNNNNNNNNNNNNNNNNNNNNNNNNNNNNNNNNNNNNNNNNNNNNNNNNNNNNNNNNNNNNNNNNNNNNNNNNNNNNNNNNNNNNNNNNNNNNNNNNNNNNNNNNNNNNNNNNNNNNNNNNNNNNNNNNNNNNNNNNNNNNNNNNNNNNNNNNNNNNNNNNNNNNNNNNNNNNNNNNNNNNNNNNNNNNNNNNNNNNNNNNNNNNNNNNNNNNNNNNNNNNNNNNNNNNNNNNNNNNNNNNNNNNNNNNNNNNNNNNNNNNNNNNNNNNNNNNNNNNNNNNNNNNNNNNNNNNNNNNNNNNNNNNNNNNNNNNNNNNNNNNNNNNNNNNNNNNNNNNNNNNNNNNNNNNNNAACUAGGAACUUGGAAUCUUGAAUAAAUUUGCAGAAUUAAUGGUGAACUUUGGAGGUUCUUGAAGUUGGAUGCAGGAGCUUAGGGUUUUCUUUUUGAGGGAAUUUGAUGAAAUAUAAUAUAUAAUGAUUCUAAUAGGCUUUAAUAUAGGGUUUGGAUGGAUUUUGGGUGAGGGGGAAUGACCAAAACGUCCCUAAAAAUCAAAUAAUUCUCAAAUCUGUACUUUGGUAGAUUGUUUUGAUAGUCUGAAGUAGAUCAACCAUAAUGUUUUACUCCGAUAUCCAAAUUGGAUGAAACUAACUUCAUUAGAAAGAGAAGUCUCAUAUCUUUCCAUUUAUAUAUAGUAUCUCACCCAUAUUAUUGUGUACGAGGAGUUAUGAUCAUUUGAAGUUGACUCAAAAAUUCGUUUUUGAUAGGCUGAAGUAGAUCGACCAUAACUUUUGCUCUGAUAGACAAAUUGGAUGAAACCAAUUUCAUUGGAAAGAGGACUCACAGAUAUUUCCAUUGAUUUAUAGUAUAUCACCCAGAUCAUUACGCACAAGGAGUUAUGAUCAUUUAAAGUUGGAGAAAAAAUAUGCCAGGCCUCAGUACUUUUUCCUGCACGUUUUACUGUUUACUACUAUUCACAGUUCGAUGGGAAUGUUCAUAACUCGUCGUUCGGGUGUCUGUUUUGAUGAUCCAAAUAUCGUUCAAAAGAUUAUUCGAUACUCUACGCAAUGGUGGGUCUUAAUCUAAGACAUUCUGCACAGAAAAUUUAUAAUUCAUUAUAGAAGAUAGAACCCAACACGUUUUUGCACAAAAUUUUCACAAAAAAUUUCCCGAGGUAUUACACUGCCCUGAUUGGAAGGGUGUCAAUACCGCACCACUGGUAAGGAGAAGCUGUGAGUGACCCUCAUCUGGUAGGUACUCAAAUGAGAACGGUGAGAACCUUCAUCUGACAGGUUAAGCCACCUCAUCUACCCUCAACUGACAGGUAUUGAUGUCUCAACCUAUGCUGGCUACAUAGUUUUGGAAUGCUAGGACUGCUUCUAAGAAUCACACCCUCUAUUUGCAGGUGAGUUCCCAUCCUUGGGUUCGUUCAGUGCUAAAUCCUGUUUUGCAGAGAAAUUUUGACUUUUUGAGAGUCGCCACUUAAUUUUGAAAAGGAAUUAAGAAACCUUAGAGAGUUACUUAAAACGAUUCAAAAUAGAAAAAUUGUUUUGAGUUAGAAAUCCCGGGUAUGUGGUUCCUAUUAACAUUUUAGGAAGGUGUUAGACACCUAAAACAUCCGCUAAUUUGCGGUUAUCCGGACUAUUUGAAAAUUGUCUUUUGAUUAACUUCGAAAUGAUUUAUUUUGAAAAGUGUUUGCUUUUUUGGAAAGAAAGCAAUUUUAGAAAUAUUUUGAUGUUUAUGCAAAACUAGUUUUUUAGCGACUUAACUAGGAAUUUGGCUAGGUUCGCAAAGCACAUAAGGAAAACAAACAUAAAGAACAGGGAAAGGGGAGAAAUUAAGGGAUUUAGGCCAUUAGGCCCAAAUCGAUAAGAGCUGUCCUAAUCUACUUGGGCUUUCGACCCUUAACCUGUUCUAAUCUAGUUUUCAAACCUUUAGCUCGAGUCUCGCUUCACCUGUAUUAAAUACAACUUUGGCUUCGAGGCCCGAAUGAAUGGAUAAAGAAAUAAUUACAUAAAUAAAUAAUUAAAGGAAACAAUGAAAAAUAACAGGACUUUAAAGCCCCCUUUGCCGCUUAGAAGAUGAGACUUUAACCCGCUUCUUCUUAUUCCGACUCCAUCCAUGUUUAUACUAUAUAAUGGACAUUCAAUGCUUUCUAAAGAGGUGGGCCUCAAUGGCCCCAUUUCCUAAUGCGAGAGUAAAGAGCCCAAUUGGCCUCCCGAGUAAAUUCAUACAAAGAAAAGAUGAGUGAAUUAAUGCCUAUUCUGAAUUUUCAACUGACAUGCAAAAUAUUAAAUGAUUUAAAGAAACAUCUACCAACCAGAGGAUUUAAAAUUGAUAGGAAAUAAAUUAGCAUCAAUCCAUGAUUGGUGACCCUAACUAACCACUAAAGCACUUGAGCAAUCAACAAAAUAAUGUGCCAUUGGAUAUUAACCAGUAUAUUCCUGCUAUAAUCAUACAUUAUGACAAGAGUCCUUCAUUUUAACAAGUUGUCAAUGGCAUCCGCCCAGGAAAACUCAUACAUACACUUAGGACAAUAAGACAUAUUCGAAAGAAACAUGCAAAGAUUUGACGCUUAGUUUAACACUAGGAGAAAGGAAUCUCGGGACUUGAUUUUUAGAGCAUUUUAACCAUCCGGGAUGAUAUCAUCAGUAGGUGUCAAAUUCAUAAAUAAAUUGAAGGGAUAAAGAUCAUUCCUAAUUCAAAAAGUUUAACAUGGAGCAGGCAUGACUCAUUUUUAGGCGUGACUUAUGAAAUUCAUCCAAAUAAUGCACAACUUAAAUUAUCGUAGAUAAAAUAUUGUUGCAAGCUCAUAGAUUAGCCUCAUAGAUUAGCCACGUGAAUGGACGAGUAAUACUCUAUAUUUGUCAUUCGAAUUAAUGGACUAAAAAAAAGAAAUCUGAACUACAUGCUUUAAUAACGUCUUUUAUUAUCAAAUGCUCAAGUAUCAGUGAUUUGAUUUUCUUAACAUCAUGCAUGUUGUUGAAGGAAAAAAGAAACAUUUGAACUACGAUUUUCCAGAGAAGACUUCAUUAAUUAGUCUAUUUCCAUAACCCAAAACAUCAGAAAUUACAUUGAUUCGAGUAAAGUUACAAGAGAGCAGUCCUUAAACUGGUUCAAACUAUUCAAUUAGCUCACAAUUUUGAACAAGUAGUUCCUCAUUUUUGUCAAAUAAAGUACAAGAACAAAAUAUAGGACCGAAGAUCCUUGGGAAUGGUAUUGUGCAGACUGACAGGCCCCUUUAGAUUUCUUGAAUCUAAAGGACCACUCAAGUUGCGGAUAAAUCAUACAAACAAACAGUAAGCAUAAAAACUCAAAGAUAACACAAAUUCUCAGAAUCCCCCCAUCUGAAUCCCCAACUAAAAAAUUGAAUUACACGGCCAUGAUGCCAACUUUGGUAGUGUGUAUUCUUUUCUUCCCUCCUUCCCUUUCGACAAACUCAGAAAUGAGUACUUAAUAGUCAAAUGGUCAUCGAAGAAUCAAAGGAUUUUUACUAACUUUUGUUUAGACGCAUGCUUGUUAUCCUUUGUCACUUGAGAAGCCACAGAAUUCAAGAGAAAAUCCCAACAAACAAACAAUGUCAAAUACUAACAACACAGUGAAGACACCCUCAUUCGAAACUAUCGGAUGAGAUUAGAGUAAAGAACUUUAACAGUGAGACCAGCUAUAACCAAAUACCACCAAGCCAAAAUGAUUAAAGCAUGAAAUUUCAAUGCGAAGUCAACUAUAACGAACUACCAUCAAUCCAAAAAUGAAAUAAAGCAUGAAGAUUUUCUCCAUCAAAUAAGCCACGACAGACCACCAUCAAAUCAAAAUUAGCUAAACAUGAAACUUUAACAAAGUCGGCCGCGUAGAUCAGUGGUAUAGACCGUAAACAGUAUACCAAAAAUGAGAGUAUUUAAAUUGAAAACUCCAUCAACAAUGUCUUUUGGACUACAUAACAUACCAUGAAUGAAACCUAUGGCUACCACAGCCAUCUACAAGCAAACAAUCCAGCAUACAAUCACACGAAAAAUUUAGUCACGACUAUAGAAGAUAUAGAUGAAGCAGAAGCACUCGAGAGCUUAGAGGAAGGAUGUUACCUUUUGGGGAGCAGCAAAACAGGACAUACGAGCUAUCAGCAUGGCUAUCACCAUUGUGAGCUUGAUGUUCUCGACUCGGGUACUCCUAAUUGGUCGACUAGCUUACCAGAAGUAAUGGAUGAGAAAGUUUUAGCACGAUGAACUCUUUGCUUUCAGAGUUUCCAACCCAAAAUUCGAACCAACCAUUUGAACCAGCCUAAAAAAAAAUUUCCUUCUUUCGUUUCUCUCAAAAAGACCUUAGAAAGAAAGAAAAAAUUCUACAAAAUUUCUCAGAAAGAAACCCUAACUUCCCCCUUUUGAAAAAUCCCCCCCAAACAGAGAUCCCAAAUCCUCUUAUAUAGAAGAAGGAAAAAUAAUGGGGGGAAUAUCUUUUUCGCUUCAACUUUUUAAAUUUCCAAAUCCCCCUUUCGUUUUUGAAAUCAUCAACAAAUGCACCCCUUUUUGGAAUAUCCCUUGGAUGAUUCCAAAAUAGGUGGACCAAUCACCAUUGGAAAAAAUGAAUCCCCCCUUCCAACCACUAAAAAAUGCCCAAAUAUGUACCAGAUUCGUACUCCUAUCCCAAAAAUUCACGGAAUUGAACGUUGGAGGACACCUCGACACUGUUCUAGAAGGUUCGAAUUUCCUCAACGUACGCAUUCACAUGGGGGUAAUGCAAUCCAUAUGAACUGAUGGUGAAAGGAUGUAUUUGGGUUUUUUUGGGUUGAAAACAGGUCGAUGGGUUUGGGUUUUACGGAAUAUGGGUUUUUGGGGCUAUAUGGUUGUUGGCUCAGGUUGUGGAUGGGUUAUCAUCACCUAACUGGGUGAAAACGUUAAUACUAAAGGCCAUCGAUGUUGAAAUUGUUGGUGUUAUCGAGGUUUCAAGUUGUUGAAUUAUUGAUGAGGUUGUGCGCAUGGUUAGUCUAUGUUCUUUCCCUUGGUUUGAAGAGAAGAAGAUAAGGGUUAAAGGAAUUGGGCCGUACCGGGUCAUAGGGGAUUGGUGUAGGCCAAUUUGAGAAUAAGGAUAAAAAAAAAUAGGCUGAUGGGGAUGCUGAGAUUGGGCCUUAAUUCAUUGGGUUAGGAGAGAUUUAGGCAGAUUUUAAUGGGUUGCUAAGUUGCUGAUUUGGGCCUGGUAAAUAAUAGAGGUGUUGGGCUGGUAGAAAAAGAUAGGGAUGGCUAGUUGCUUUUUAAAUUGGGCCGUUUUUUUGGGGUAGAUUUAGGAUUUUAAUGAUGUGGAGAUUUAGGCUAUUUAUUAAAUAGCCGAAGGGUGAAAAUUUAGACAACCAAAUUAAAAUUUUAGCCUAAUUCAAAUUAAAUUGACCCAUUACCUUGCCAUUAUGGUCAAAUUAAUUCCAAUUAAGGUAUAAUUUAAUAAAUUGACUAAAUUUAAACACCCUUUGAAAUGACCCAACAACCAAUUUGAAUCCGAAGUUCCUUGAUUCAAUAAAAUCAAACUCAUAUUUAUCUAAAUACAUUAUUUAAAUUGAGAUCUUAAUCAUUUUAAAUUAUUUUCCACACAAGCCUAGAUUAAGACCCGAUAUUUUGUAACAUAAAUAUUUAAGUAUCAAAAUUAUAUAAUUCCGUAUGAUAUCGCUACUCAAAAUGCCAAAAUUAUGUACAGAAAAUAUUUUAAAAAUCCUUAUUCAAAUGGGAUAAAUGUUGUAAUUUUAUUUGAAAAAUGAAGAAACUCUGAAUUAAACUUAGUUAUGGAGGGCAAAAAAUUAGGUGUCACAAUUCCUACUCACAACUGAGUGACACUGAACUGAUUAUACUGAACUAAUUUCCUAGUUCAUACUAGAAUUAACUGAACUGUUACUUAUUGUUCUGUUUAACUGAACUGAACAUGGACUGAGUUUAUGGAGUUCCGAUGACUAGCGGAACACUACUGAAUUCUGUUAACUGACUAAAUUUUAUUGAGUUCUGUUAACUGACUGAGUUUACUGAUGUCUGAACUGAAUACUGAACAAAAUUGUACUUAAAAUGAGAUUUACUAAAUUCCAUAGACUGACAGAAUAUUACUGAGAUUACGUAGAUUACUGAGUAAUGAGUAAAAAUGAACUGAUACUGCCUUUACAUGAGUUUUCCUGAGUCAUGAGACUGACUGAAGUCUACUGAACAUGGCUUGAUUGAUAGUAUUAUGAAAACAUGACAUGGCUCUAGGCAUCCAGCUAUAUUUUUUGGGUACAACUACCCCCAGGACUCGAUGGAAGGAAACUGAUACAUCAUGAAAAUUCUUGAUCAUAGGACUAAAGUCCGCAAUUCAUAAUACCAUAAGUUGAGGAUUUCCUGAAAGCACUUGUAAUCAUAAUCUUGUACAUGAUAGGAAUGUAUCCUACCAUAUCAUAAUUUCACAAUUUUAAUUUCACUUGCAUGACAUGAACUUGUAUACAUGCUAACAUAAUGUAGUUUCAUUACUUAACUUUCAUGAACCAUUUGUCAAACACUUGCAAGACAUAGCAUCAACAUGGAAAUCAUUUAGAUCAUGUAGUAUUAACAUGAAUUCAUUACUUAGAUCACCAAUGGAUCACAAGGCACAAUUCAUUCACUUGAAUAUUUUCACAAACACAUGAAAGGCAUGAUUUUAUACUUAGGCAUAUAUAACAUGCUCCCAAUUCAUGACCAUAACCACCAAUUCACAUCUCAAGGUUUUCAACAUAUGAUGGUUAUGAUUCAACACACAUGGAAAACAUGGAUAUUUCAUUCAUCAAUUAACAUAUAUCAAUAUUAUGGGUAUAACAUCCAACUUCCAAAUCCAAAGAACUCAACAUAAAUCUCAUAUGAAUAAUAGAACAAAUAAAUUAGUUUUCAUGAUUCUUGAUAUAACUCAUGGAAUUAAAACUCAAUUUAACAUCAACAACAUGAUUAUAAACAUACCACAAUAAAAUAUUCAUGAUACAUAACUUAAAACUUGAUCCUUGAGCUCCAUGGAUGAAAAGAAAGAAUCCAUGAAUUAACACUAUGCAUGACUUAGGUUGAUUAUCCGUGAAAGUUAACGGUGAAAUUGGCUUGAAUGUUGAAACCCCCAAUUGAACCCUUACUUGUUCUUGAAAUUUUUUUAGAGAAUUUGAGAAAAAGUGAGUAUAUUCUGCUCUAAAUUAGGCUUAAUGCCGUGUUUGAGCAGAUAUAUAGGAUGGGAUAAAUAUUAAAAUACCCCUGGAGAAAGAGAGAAAGACACAGCUUUCCUAUGUUGUUUUUAGGCUGAUAGGGUGAAGUAAAUUGAUAAUAACUCUUUGCUCCGAUGUUUAAAUUGGAUAAAACCAGCUUUUUAGAAAGAGGAGUCAAAUAUAUUUUCAUCACUAUGUAGUAGCUCUCACAGUUCAAAAUAUUCAAGAAGUUAUGAUCUUUUGAAGUUGACCCUAAAAUGCUAAAAAUUUCUGAAGCAUGCUAUAGAGCAUGCGACGCAUGCAAAUUGCUUGGUGCUUCUGUUUUGAAAUCCAAACAUGCCCUAAACGAACUCCAAAAAUUUUGAAACUCACUCGAGAUGUACUGUUGACUUCCCCGAUCACAACACAACUUGAAAAUCCAAAAACAGAUGUAUGAAAGGUCGUCAAAUAAAUCCCCGAAGUUCGGAGGUAUAAAUGAAACUAAGUCUUUCUAACACAUAGAAAAAUUCUUCUAAGUGUUAGAUUUCCUUAUCAAUCCUUAAGGAGCUGAAUUUGACUUAGAAUUUUUAUGGGAUCUUACAAUAUCUCCCCCUUGGGAACAUUUAUCCUCGAAUGAGACUUACUAAGAUUUGAUGAAGAGACCAACUGAGGCAUAAACUGAACAUGAAUGACUGAAAUAUGAUUUCAUGACUUACAUGACUAAUAAGCUGAAUUUGUAUCAAACUAAACAUACAUAUCUGAUGCAUGUGUAACUAAUUUAUGAAUGAAGGACUGAGUGUUCUGAUGAACUAAGUUUCUAAAAAUAAGAAUACAUAUCUGGUGCAUAAAUGAUAAGCUGAAUCCAUGCAUAUCUGAUGCAUGAUUAUAUGACUGAACUGGCUCGUGAACAUGCGACUGAAUAUGCAAUAGUAAAAGAUGCCAUGUUUAACUAAAAACUAGGCAUGAAACUAAAUACCAAGUUUGGUACUGAAAUCUGAAUAUGAAAAUGAGUAAUUUUAAGGAAGACUGUUACAUUGAACUUAAAAUACCGAUAAGUUUGAGAUUAAUUACUCAAUAUGCAUCAGCAGAAACAUGAGGACAUAACUGAGUCUAAAACGUGAUACAUGAACUGAAUAUCAUGAUAUGAACUGAACAUGAUACAUGAACUGAAUAUCAUGAUAUGAACUGAACAUGAUACAUGAACUGAAUAUCAUGAUAUGAACUGAGUCUGUAAUGCAUGACAUGGAUAGAGUAUCGUGAACUAAACUGAGCCAUUGAGUACAUGGCUUACGAUUGAGAUUUGGAGUUACAAGGCCAUCUUGUAAGUAACCCUUCUUCUAAGCUGGAUUCAUGAUGUGAAGAGAGACCGGUAUGUUCAUGUCAUAAAAGUUUGAAGGAUUAGAGUGUAUCUCUCCCUCGGGACACUAUCCCAUGAAGAAUGUUGGACUGCCUUUGCUGAAAUAUUGAGGAAAACUAAGGCGAUGCACAAGGCAUGUAGGAAUUGAAUAGUGACAUAAUUAUCUGAUAUCUGGAACUAAGGCAUGAUGCGUGAACUGGGUUAUACUCGCAUCUACUAGGAUACUCUAUCUUGGAAUAGUUACAUUCAACCGUAUCAUUAAUACUACACCCUUGUAUAAAAUAAGCAUACAUCAAUCUUCUCUUAACAUAAAAUAUUUUCUCUCUUCUAUUUAAGCAACCGUUCAUCACUACACUGUUUUCAUAAAGAGAGCUGACUGAAGGGUUAAAUCAGGAGGACCUGAAGCAUGAAUCGAUACAAACUGAACUUGACACAUGACUGAAACCUGAGGAAUAGAAUGUCAACAACAUGAAUUUACCAAAGAGGUAUGAACUGAGGAUAUACAUGACGUAGUCUAAAUUUAUCUAAUCUGUAGGGGCAUAGCAUGAGUCAUGAAAGCUGAGUAUACUGUAAAGCAUGAUACGUGUACAUGAGUCAUGAGCUGCAUGACCUAAUAUUUGAAUUUUUGUAUUCGUGAGACAUGAUUCGAGACACUGAGUGAUUUAGAUCUGACUGCCUAUGCUGGGAACUGAAAGCGCACACGAUUCUAUGGAAAACAUGUGAACAUAAGUCGUGUUCAUGGAGUUGAUUCAUACUGUUGGGUAAACUAAGAUCUUUUAUAUUGGGAACUAAAAUCAUACAUGAUUUAUGAAAAAGUGAAUGAUUGUGGUUCAUGACAUUAGAGUUGAUAUGUAAGACCUUAGUGGAUUUCGUGAUAGCUGAAGUACAAAUCUUUGUACUGAGAAGAGGAUGGGUUGGGAAUCGUCUUCCCUUACUGCUUUUCUAUACAUACUGGCACUAUUACUGGAAUCUGAGAAUCUUACUUGGUCACUUAAUCUAUCAUCACAUACUUAUACUCUGUUCAACACCUGCCCAUCCUACUAAACACAUCACUUGCUUCUGUUUCCUCAUAUACUACUAAUAUCUCAUCUACAGCUUCAUUCUUAAUUUCAAGUAAAUAAACUUAAAUUCUAGCUUACACUGUUCAAGCCUCCUAGUUUACCUUGGUACAACUAUCCCCAUGAAUAAAUAAUCUAAUCAAACUGUAUAAUACUAUCCCAACUCUUCUACUACUAAACUCUUGGGUCCAUGCUUAAAAUUCUAGGUAUAUACUAUCAUAGGAUUCUGAGAAGGGAUCUAAUGGCAUAUCAAAAAUUGGAUUUGAGUUACAAAGGAGUUCUCAUGAUCAUAAAUGAAAUCUGUACAACUUUGGAACAUGACUGAACUGAGGGGAUAUUGUCUGAGUAUGUGGCAAAUCACAGAACUAUCUCCAGGGACUGCAUAGGAAAGCCCUAUCUUUAGGAUUUAAGCUUCACUGUUUUUGUUACCUUGAAAGUAAGGUAAGGUUGACAUGAGGGGAGCCUAAUGUGAAUCUACAUGGGUUCCUUAUAGAACCUUGCUAUAGCACGAUCUUGAGACAUGAAAAAAGGGAAACUAUUCCUAAAACAUCUCAUAGCCUCCUACACAUAGGUGUGAUGCACAACACGCCCAUGUACAAGACUCUACUUGAUGCAGCUUUCAAACUUCCUAGGACACUGCUGCACCUUAGGCUCCAAUACCACCUUNNNNNNNNNNNNNNNNNNNNNNNNNNNNNNNNNNNNNNNNNNNNNNNNNNNCUGAAACGUUACACGGUGCCCAUGACUUUGAAGGACCACAAGCUAAUACAUGACUUAUAUCUGUACCUGAGCACUGAAUAACCAUACUGUAAAAUAUGCAAAAACAUAAUACUGUAAGGCCAUAAGGUUUAAAUCUGAAUAAAUAUCUGAUAAAAUAAUAUCUAAAAAUUGUAUAAUAAUGCCAACAUAAAUUUGAAAUAAUUGUCUGAUAUACUGUAGUCUGAAAACCUCUAAACUGAAUUGAAUAAGGAGUUGAGGGGAAAAAUUCCCAACAAACUUUAUCUACUGAAAUAAACUGAUAACUAAAAUAGUGAUAUGAAUAAUAACAUAAUUUUCCUCUAAGGAUGAGGACACACUAUUAAUUACUGCUGCUGGCUGACUCUGAAAUUGCUAAGGGAGCUCUGGAUCUUGUGCAUCCAAACCUAUGGUAUAACACACCAUAGCGCGAGAAAAGUAUGCGUCAGUACUUUGAAUCUACUGGUAUACAAGUGAGGUAGGUUGAAUGCAUAGGGUUCAUAUGUAUGUACAAUACUGACUAACAUGAACGUGAGAAUACAUGCAUGAAUACAUAAUAACUGUAACUGAAACUGUACUAGUACUGGAUACUGAAUUGUGUGUACUGAUUUACUAACAUUUGAGUUUACUGAAUAAAGUGGAAUUGAUGUUAUAUUACUGAUAAAGAAAAUGGUUGUUUUUGAUAGUUCUGAUUAUGAAGAUUUGAUCUGAUUGACCAUAUAUAACGGUUUUGAAAUUGAAUUCAUGAUAACAUGACUACUGAGUAUGAAUACUGAUGACAUGUAUUUACUGAUAAGAUAUAUCUAAUAACAAGAGUUCUAAUAACUGAUAGCAUGAAUGACUGUAUCUGACAGUCCUAAAUCUGAUGGAACUAGCUAAUUUUCAUACUAUAUCUGAGUUGACUGUAUCUGUUAGUCCUGAUAUCCUGAAGAACUAUCUGAGUUCUUUUACUGCGACUGAUAUUGAAACUGUUGGAAGUAGUUAUCUAACCGAUAUGCCCCAAAUACGGUAUAAUAGCUAAGCUGGGGUCUAAUCUCUGCCCUGAUUGGAAGGGUGUCAAUACCGCGCCACUGGUAAGGACAAAUUAUGAGUGAUCCUCAUCUGGAAGGUACUCUAAUGAGAAUGGUGGGAACCCUAAUCUGACAGGUUAAGCCACCUCAUUUACCGUCAACUAACAGGUAUUGAUGCCUCAACGUAUGCUGGCUACAUAGUUCUAGAACACAAGGACUACUUCUAAGAAUCACACCCUCUACUAGCAAGUGAUUUCCCAUCCUUGGGUUUGCUCGGUGCUGAAUCCUACUCCCAACUGAAUGACACUGAACUAAUUAUACUUAACUGAUUUCCUAGUUCAUACUAGUAUUAACUAAACUAUUACUAAUUGUUCUGUUAAACUUAACUGAACAUGGACUGAGUUUAUUGAGAUCCGAUGACUAGUGGAACACUACUGAAUUCUGUUAACUGAUUAAAUGGUACUGAGUUCUAUUAGCUAACUGAGUUUACUGAUGUCUGAACUGAAUACUAAAUUAAACUGUACUGAUAUUGAGAUUUAUUAAAUUCCAUAGACUAAUGAAAUAUUAUUGACAUUAUGUAGAUUACUAAGUACUGAGUAAAACUUAACUGAUAUUGCCUUUACAUGAGUUUUCCUGAGUCAUGAGACUGACUGAAUUCUACUGAACAUGUCUUAACUGAGAGUAUCAUGAAAACAUGACAUGGCUCUAGGCACCCAGCUAUAUUUUUCGGGUACAAGUACCCCAGGACUCGAUGGAAGGAAACUAACGCAUCAUGAAAAUUCUUGAUCAUAGAACUAAAGUCCACAAUUCAUAAUACCAUAAGUUAGGGAUUUCAUGAAAGCACUCGAUAAUCAUAAUCUUGUACAUGAAUAUGAAUGUAUCGUAACAUAUCAUAAGUUCAUAAUUUUAAUUUCACUUGCAUGACAUAAACUUGUAUACAUGCUAACAUAAUGUAGUUUCAUUACUUAUCUUUCAUGAACUAUUUGUCAAACACUUGCAAGACAUAGCAUCAACAUGGAAAUCAGUUAGAUCAUGUAGUAUUAACAUGAAUUCAUUACUUAGAUCACCAAUGGAUCACAAGGCACAAUUCAUUCACUUGAACAUUUUCAUAAACACAUGAAAGGCAUGAUUUUAUACUUAGGCAUAUAUAACAUGCUCCCAAGUCAUGACCAUAACCACCAAUUCACAUACCAAGGUUUUCAACAUAUGAUGGUCAUGAUUCAACACACAUGGGGAACAUGGAUAUUUCAUUCAUCAAUUAACAUAUAUCAAUAUUAUGGGUAUAACAUCCAACUUUCAAAUCCAAAGAACUCAACAUAAAUCUCAUAUGAAUAAUACCACAAAUAAAUUAGUUUUCAUGAUUCUUGAAAUAACUCAUGGAAUUGAAACUCAAUUUAACAUCAACAACAUGAUUAUAAACAUCCCACAACAAAAUAUUCAUGAUACAUAACUUAAAACUUGAUUCUUGAGCUUCAUGGAUGGAAAGAAUCCAUGAAUUAACACUAUGCAUACCUUAGAUUGAUUAUCCGUGAAAGUUAACAAUGAAAUUGGCUUGAAUCUUGAAACCCCCAAUUGAACCUUUACUUGUUCUUGAUAAUUUUUGAGAGAAUUUGAGUAGAAGGGAGUAUAUUCUGCUCUAAAUAAGGCUUAAUGUUGUGUUUGAGCAGAUAUAUAUGAUGAGCGAAACACUAAAAUACCCCUGGAGAAAGAGAGAAAGACUUAGCUAUCCUAUGUUGUUUUCAGGCUGAUAGGCUGAAGUAAAUGGAUCAUAACUCUUUGGUCCAAUGGUUUAAUUGGAUGAAACUAAUUGCAUGGAAAGAUGACUCAAAGAUCUUUUCAUCAAUAUAUAGCAGUUCUCACAGUUCAAAAUAUUCAAGAAGUUAUGAUCAUUUGAAGUGGACCCUAAAAUGCUGAAAAUUCUUGGAGCAUGCUAUAGAGCGUGCGACACAGGCAAAUCGCAUGGUGCUUCUAUUUUGAAAUCCAAACACGCCCUAAACGGAUUCCAAAAAUUCCAAAACUCACUCGAGAUGUACUCUUGACUUUCCCGAUCACAACGUAACUUGAAAAUCCAAAAAUGGAGGUCGGGAAGGUCGUCAAAUAAAUCCCCAAAGUUCGGAGGUAUAAGAUGAAACUAAGUGUUUCUAACACUUAGAAAAAUUCUUCUAAGUGUUGGAUAUCCUUAUCAAGCCUUAAGGAGCUGAAUUUGACGUAGGAUUUUUACGGGGUCUUACAAUAUCUCCCCCUUAGGAACAUUCGUCCUCGAAUGAGACUUACUAAGAAGGGGAGAAGAGACCAACUGAGGCAUAUACUGAACAUGAAUGACUGAAACAUGAUUUCAUGACUUACAUGACUGAUAAGCUGAAUUUGUAUCAAACUAAACAUACAUAUCUGAUGCAUGUGUAACUGAUUUAUGAAUGAAGGAUUGACUGUUCUGAUGAUCUGAGUUUCUCAAAAUGAGAAUACAUAUCUGGUGCAUAACUGAUAAGCUGAAUCCAUGCAUAUCUGAUGCAUGAUUAUAUGACUGAAUUGGCUCGUGAACAUGCGACUAAAUAGUCAAUAAUAAAAGAUGCCAAGUUUAACUAAAAACUGGGAAUGAAACUAAAUACCAAGUUUGGUACUGAAAUCUCAACAUAAGAACAAGUAAGUUUAAGGAAGACUAUUACAUUGAACUUAAAAUAUCGAUGAGUCCAAGAUUAAUUACUCAAUAUGCAUGAGCAGAAACAUGAGGACAUAACUGAGUCUGAAACGUGAUACAUGAACUGAAUAUCAUGAUAUGUACUAAGUCUGUAAUGUGUGACAUGGAUAGAGUAUCGUGAACUAGACUGAGCCAUUGAUUACAUGGCUUAUGACUGAGAUUAGGAGUUAGAAAGCCAUCUUAUAAGUAACCCUUCCUCUAAGCUUGAUUCAUGACGUGAAGAGAGACCGGUAUGUUUAUGUCAUAACAGUUUGAGGGAUUAGAGUGUAUCUCCCCCUUGGGACACUAUGUCCCUUGAAGAAUGUUGGACUGCCUUUGCUGAAUUAUUGAGGAAAACUAAGGCGAUGCACAAGGCAUGUAGGAACUGAAUCGUGACAUAAUUAUCUGAUAUCUGGAACUGAGGCAUGAUACUUGAACUGGGUUAUAUUUGCAACUACUAGGAUACUCUAUCAUGGAAUAUUUACAUUCAAUCCUAUCAUUAAUACAACACCCUUGUAUAAAAUAAGCAUACAACAAUCUUAUCUUAACAUGAAACAUUUUCUCUCUCCUAUCUAAGAAACCGCUUAUCACUACAUUGUUUUCAUAAAGAGUGCUGAAUAAAGGGUUAAAUUAGGACGACCUGAAGCAUGAAUCGAUACAAACUAAACCUUACACAUGACUGAAACCUAAGGAAUAGAAUAUGAACAACAUGAAUUUAACGAAAAGGUAUGAACUGAGGAUAUACAUAACGUAGUCUAAAUUUAUCUGAUCUAUAGGGGCAUAACAUAAGUCAUGAAAGCUGAGUAUACUAUAAAGCAUGAUACAUGUACAUGAGUCAUGGGCUGCAUGACCUAAGUUUUGAAUUUUUGUAUUCGUGAGACAUGAUUCGUGACACUGAGUGAUUUAGAUCUGAUUCCCUAUGCUGGGUACUAAAAGCGCACACAAUUCUAUGGAAAACGUGUGAACAUAAUCCAUGUUCAUGGAAUUUAUUUAUACUGUGGGGUAAACUGAGAUCUUUUUUACUGGGAAUUGAAAUCGUACAUGAUUUAUGGAAAAGUUCAUGAUCGUGGUUCAUGACCUUAGAGUUGAUAUGUAAGACCUGAGUGGAUUUCAUGAUUGCUGAAGUACAAAUCUUUGUACUGAGAAGAGGAUGGGUUGGGAAUCGUCUUCCCUUACUGCUUUUCUAUACAUAUUGGCACUACUACUGGAAUUUGAGAGUCUGACUUGGUCACUUGAUCUAUCAUCACAUACUUAUACUCUGUUCGACACCUGCCCAUCCUACUAAACACAUCAGCUGCUUCUAUUUCCUCAUAUACUACUAAUAUCACUUCCACACCUUCAUUCUUAAUUUCAAGUAAAUAAACUUAAAUUCUAGCUUACACUGUUCAAGCCUCCUAGUUUACCUUGGUACAACUAUCCCCAUGAAUAAAUAAUCUAACCAAACUGUAUAAUACUAUCCCAACUCUUCUACUGCUAAACUCUUGGGUCCAUGCUUAAAAUUCUAGGUCUAUACUAUCAUAGGAUUCUGAGAAGGGAUCUAAUGGCAUAUCAAAAAUUGGAUUUGAGUUUACAAAGGAGUUCUCAUGAUCAUAAAUGAAAUCUGUACAACUUUGGAACAUGAUUGAACUGAGGGGAUAUUGUUUGGGUAUGUGGCGAAUCACAGAACUAUCUCCAGGGACUGCAUAGGAAAGCCCUAUCUUUAGGAUUUAAGCUUCACUGUUUUUGUUACCUUGAAAGUAAGGUAAGGUUGACAUGAGGGGAGCCUAAUGUGAAUCUACAUGGGUUCCUUAUAGAACCUUGCUAUAGCACGAUCUUGAGACAUGUCAUAGCCUCCUGCACAUAAGUGUGGUGCACAACACGCCCAUGUACAAGACUCUAUUUGAUGCAGCUUUCAGACUUCCUAGGACACUGUUGAACCUUAGGCUCUGAUACCAAGUUUGCAAUGCCCCAAUUUUCUGAACCGAAAUGCUACACGGUGCCCAUGACCUCGAAGGACCAAAAGCUUACCCAUGACUUAUAUCUGUACCUGAGCACUGAAUAACCAUACUGUAAAAUAUUCAAAAAAACAUAGUACUGUAAGGCCAUAAGGUUCAAAUAUGAAUAAACAUCUGAUAACAUAAUAUCUAAAAAUGGUAUAACAAUACCAACAUAAAUCUGAAAUAAUUGUCUGACAUGCUGUAGUCUGAAAACCUCUAAACUGAACUGAAUAAGAAGUUGAGGGGACAUGUUCCCAACUAACUCCGUCUACUGAAAUAAACUGAACACUGAAAUAGUGAUAUGAAUAAUAUCAUAAUUGUCCUUGAAGGAUAAGGACUCACUGUUAAUUACUACUGCUGGUUGACUCUAAAAUUGCUAAGGGAGCUCUGGAUCCCAUGCAUCCAAACCUAUGGUAUAAGAUACGACAGUACUUUGAAUGUACUGGUAUGCAAGUGAGGUAGGCUGAAUGCAUGGUAUUCAUAUGUAUGAACAAUACUGACUAACAUGAAUGUGAGAAUACAUGCAUGAAUACAUAAUAACUGUAAAUAAAACUGUACUAGUACUGGAUACUGAAUUAUAUAUAUUGAUUUACUGACAUCUGAGUUUACUGAAUAAAGAAGAACUGAUGUUAUAUUACUGAUAAAGAAAAUUACUAUUUCUGAUAGUUCUGAUUAUGAAGAACUAAGUCGAUUGACCAUAUAUAACAGUCCUGAAAUUGAGUUCGUGAUAACAUAACUACUGAGUAUGAAUACUGAUGACACAUAUUUACUGAUAACAUAUCAUGACUAAUAACUAAAUUCGGAUAACUAAUAUAUCUGAUAACAUGAGUUUUGAUAACUGAUAGCAUGAAUGAUUGUAAUUGAUAGUCCUAAAUCUGAUGGAACUAGCUGAGUUCUGUACUGUAUCUUAGUUGACUGUAUCUGUCAGUCCUGAUAUCCUGAAGAACUAUCUGAGUUAUUUUACUGACAGGUAUUGAUGUCUCAACCUAUGUUGGCUACAUAGAUCUAGAAUGCAAGGACUGGUUCUAAGAACCACACCCUCUACUGAUAGGUGAGUUCCCAUCCUUGGGUUUACUCGGUGCUGAAUCCUACUCCCAAUUGAAUGACACUGAAUUAAUUAUAUACUGAACUGAUUUCCUAGUUCAUACUAGAAUUAACUAAACUGUUACUGAUUGUUCUAUUAAACUGAACUGAACAUAGACUGAGUUUAUUGAGUUCCGAUGACAAGUGGAACACUACUGAUCCUGUUAACUGACUAAAUACUACUGAGUUCUGUUAGCUGACUGAGUUUACUGAUGUCUGAACUAAAUACUGAACUAAACUAUACUGAUACUGAGAUUUACUAAAUUCCAUAGACUGAAAAAAUAUUACUGAGAUUACAUAGAUUACUGAGUACUGAGUAAAACUAAACAGUUACUACCUUUACAUGAUUUUUCCUAAGUCAUGUGACUUACUGAAGUCUACUGAACAUGGCUUGACUGAGAGUAUCGUGAAAACAUGACAUGGCUCUAGUCCCCUAGCUAUAUUUUUCGAGUACAAGUACCCCGGGACUCGAUGGAAGAAAACUGACACAUCAUGAAAAUUCUUGAUCAUAGGACUAAAGUCCGCAAUUCAUAAUACCAUAAGUUGGGAUUUCAUGAAAGCACUUGAUAAUCAUAAUCUUGUACAUGAAUAGGAAUGUAUCCUAACAUAUCAUAAUUUCACAAUUUUAAUUUCACUUGAAUGACAUAAACUUGUAUACAUGCUAACAUAAUGUAGUUUCAUUACUUAACUUUCAUGAACCAUUUGUCAAACACUUGUAAGACAUAGCAUCAACAUGGAAAUCAUUUACAUCAUGUAGUAUUAACAGGAAUUCAUUACUUAGAUCACCAAUGGAUCACAAGGCACAAUUCAUUCACUUGAACAUUUUCACAUACACAUGAAAGGCACAAUUUUAUACUUAGGCAUAUAUAAUAUGUUCCCAAUUCAUGACCAUAACCACCAAUUCACAUCUUAAGGUUUUCAACAUAUGAUGGUCAUGAUUCAAAACACAUGGAAAACAUGGAUAUUUCAUUCAUCAAUUAACAUAUAUCAAUUUUAUGGGUAUAACAGCCAACUUGCAAAUCCAAAGAACUCAAGAUAAAUCUCAUAUUAAUAAUACCACAAAUAAACUAGUUUUCAUGAUUCUUAAAAUAACUCAUGGAAUUAAAACUCAAUUUAACAUCAACAACAUGAUUAUAAACAUCCCACAACAAAAUAUUCAUGAUACAUAACUUAAAACUUGAUUCUUGAGCUCCAUGGAUGAAAAGAAUCCAUGAAUGAACACUAUGCAUACGUUAUAUUAAUUAUCCGUGAAAGUUAACGACGAAAUUGGCUUGAAUCUUGAAACCCCCAAUUGAACCCUUACUUGUUCUUGAGAAUUUUUGAGGGAAUUUGAGAAAAAAGGAGUAUAUUCUGCUCUAAAUUAGGCUUAAUGCCGUGUUUGAGCAGAUAUAUAGGAUGGUCCAAAGAUGAAAAUACCCUGGAGAAAGAGAGAAAGACACAACUGUCCUAUGUUGUUUACAGGCUGAUAGGAUGAAGUAAAUUGAUCGUAACUCUUUUCUAUGAUAUUUAAAUUGGAUGAAACUAAUUUCAUUGGAAAGUGAACUCAAAGAUAUUUUCAUCGAUAUAUAGUGUCUCUAACAAUUCAAAAUAUUCAAGAAGUUAUGAUUGUUUGAAGUUGACCCUGAAAUGCUGAAAAUUUUUGGAGCAUGCUAUAGAGCAUGAGCAGUAACGCCCCGGAAAAUGGGUCUCGAACAGUUACACGGUGCUUGAGGUUACGAGUAGCCCCAAGCUAACCAUUUGAGCCAUUUUCAUUUAGUUGAACACAAAUCAACCGGGUUUCCAUAAAUAACCCUCAAAUAUCAACAGAAUAAUCAUCAUCCAAGAAUAAAAGAAUUUCAGAAAGAUAACAAAAUAUGACUUACUAGUCAACUCCUAACAUCUAUACUAGUCUAACAAGCCUCUAAGAAAAUCAAUAAAACCAGCGAGGCAUUGAGACAUGCCCCAACUGACUCAUACUUAGUUAUAAAAUGUAAACAGUUCUAUGAAACCAACAUCAGACAUCACGUCCUCGGAAUAUGAGGACUCACCACGACAGAGAAUGUAGAACAGCGUGCCCAAAGAAUCAUUGUCGAACCUGGAACUGAGCACUUAAACCAACAUUCUGAGAAAAUGCAGCCCACAUCCGAAGAUGUGGGUCAGUACCAUGGAAAGAAACUGAGUAUAUAGGGGUGUAUGCAGUUUUAUAAAGAUCAUCAUCAUAAAUAUUUAUAAGAAAUAUGCAGGAUGUAUGAAAAACUCACAUAGCCCGAAGAAAAUCAUCAUAAUCAUGAGAGGAUGAAAUAAGUACAAUAACACAUGUAAGUCAUCAUGUAAUUUGUCAAUCACUUUUUGUUCAUCAAGAAUAUCAAUUCUUAUAAUGUAAAUAUCAUUUAAAUCUUUCGUUCUCAAUUCCACUUUCAAAUCACUUCACCAUUCACCAUAGACACAAGGAAACACACACACACUGGGAGAUUCAAAAACCGACAUAAACCAUGUGAGCUACAUGGAUCCAACGUACAACCCACGUUGGGGAGAGCUAUUCUAUCCUUGCCAUCGAAGUAGGACUAUUGAUAUCAAAUCCACACAAAAUAGUGACCACUAUAUAAAUCAGCCUCAGGCUCACACCUACGGGGGAACGUAGUUCUAGGAAAUUAAGGUCUCUUUAUACCUCCCACUCGGUGCUAAAUAUUUCUCUCGAACUUAGCUUAGAUCAUUUCAAAGACAAUCCAUAACAAAACAAUUUCAGUAAUAUAUAAAAAUACAUCGGGAGCCAUCAUGCUUCCCAUCUAUCAAAAUCAACCACGUUGUGAAUUUCUUUCACACUCGAGUUCAAAACAACUCCAUUAAGACCAAAAGGUCAAAUCAUUCAANNNNNNNNNNNNNNNNNNNNNNNNNNNNNNNNNNNNNNNNNNNNNNNNNNNNNNNNNNNNNNNNNNNNNNNNNNNNNNNNNNNNNNNNNNNNNNNNNNNNNNNNNNNNNNNNNNNNNNNNNNNNNNNNNNNNNNNNNNNNNNNNNNNNNNNNNNNNNNNNNNNNNNNNNNNNNNNNNNNNNNNNNNNNNNNNNNNNNNNNNNNNNNNNNNNNNNNNNNNNNNNNNNNNNNNNNNNNNNNNNNNNNNNNNNNNNNNNNNNNNNNNNNNNNNNNNNNNNNNNNNNNNNNNNNNNNNNNNNNNNNNNNNNNNNNNNNNNNNNNNNNNNNNNNNCCGAUACUCAUUUUUGAGUUGUUAUCGUGCCUUUGAAUGAUGGUUCUUGGAGUUCUUGAACUAGAAACUUGGAAUCUUGAAUAAAUUUGCAGAAUUAAUAGUGACCUUUGGAGGUUCUUGAAGUUCUUGAACUAGAAACUUGGAAUCUUGAAUAAAUUUGCAGAAUUAAUGGUUUACUUUGGAGGUUCUUGAAGUUGGAUGUAGGAGCUGAGGAUUUUAUUUUUGAUGGAAUUUGAUGAAAUAUAACAUAUAAUGCUUCUAAUAGGGUUUAAUAUAGGGUUUGGACGGAUUUUGGAUGAGUAGGAAUGACCAAAACACCCCUAAAAAUCAAAUAAUUCUCGAAUCUGUCCUUUGGUGGACUGUUUUGAUAGUCUGAAGUAGAUCAACCAUAACGUUUUACUCCGAUAUCCAAUUUGGAUGAAACCAAUUUCAUUAGAAAGAGGACUCUCAUAUAUUUCCAUUGACAUAUAGUAUCUCACCCAGAUGAUUGUGUACAAGGAGUUAUGAUUUGAAUUUGAGCCAAAAAUUCACUUUUGAUAGGCUGAAGUAGAUCGACUAUAACUUUUUACUCCGAUAGAAAAAUUGGAUGAAACCAAUUUCAUUGGAAAGAGGACUCGCGGAUCUUUCCGUUGAUAUAUAGUAGAUCACCUAGAUCAAUAUAUACAAGGAUUUAUGAUCGUUUAAAGUUGGAGAAAAAAUACGCCAGGCCUCAGUACUUUUUCCUGCAUGUUUUACUGUUCACGACUAUUCACGGUUCGAUCGGAAUGUUCAUAACUCGUCACUCGGGUGUCCGUUUUGGAUGAUCCAUAUAUCGUUGGAAAUAUUAUUCAAUACUAUACGCAAUGGUGGGUCAUAAUCUAAGAGAUUCCAUACGAAAAAAUUUAUAAUUCAUUCUAGAAGAUAGAACCCAACAUGUUUACGCACAAAAUUUCAACAAAAAAUUUCUCAGGGUAUUAUAUCAUCCCCCCUUGGAAAAAGUCGUCCUCGAAUGAUGAUAGACAUGCCAAGAUUAGAUAGGGAAUAGGGCAUACAGCUGAAACCAUUCGUUAGACUCAUCACCACAUCGUUUCUCACUCCAAAUGCAAAAUAGAAUGCAUAAAUUCAAGAAACUAUAGUUGAACACAUAAUGAAUGACAGCUGAACUGCUGCAACUUUUAUCAAAAGUGCAUGGUUUAGGAAAGAACGGUACGUUUGGCUUGAUCAGAGCUCGUGGAAAAUAGGUGCGGGUACUUGGUUUGCAUAUCCGCCUCAGCUUCCCAAGUUGCACCCUCAAUAGAUUGGUUUCGCCACAACACCUUGACUAAGGGAACUUCUUUGUUCCUUAGUCUUCGAACACUGAAAUCAAGAAUCUCAACAGGAAUCUCAUCAAAAGAAAGAUUUUCUUGAAUGUCAGCACUCACAGAGGAAUCCACUACCACAACAUCGCUAAUAUGCUUUCUAAGCAUGGAGACAUGGAAUAUUGAAUGAACAGAGGACAACUCGGAAGGUAACUCGACCUCAUAAGCUACCUUACCAACACGGCUAAGAAUUUUGUAAGGAUCAACAUAACGGGGACUAAGCUUCCCCUUCUUUCCGAAUAUCUUCACCCCCCUCAUGGGUGAAAUUUUCAGAUACAUUAAGUCACCAACUUCAAACUCAAGGUCUCUCCUUUUAACAUCCGCAUUUGACUUCUGAUGACUCUGCGCAAUUUUCAACCUUUCCCUAAUCAACUUAACUUUUUCCAUAGCCUCAAAUACCGAAUCAGGACCACUCACAGCCGCUUCACCCACCUCGAACCAACCUAUGGGUGAUCUACACUUCCUCCCAUAUAAGGCUUCAAAUAGAGCCAUGCCAAUACUAGAGUGGAAACUGUUAUUGUAAGCAAACUCUAUCAACGGUAAGUGAUCAUCCCAACUUCCCUUAAAGUCAAAUGUACAAGCUCUCAACAUAUCCUCUAAGGUUUGGAUGGUUCGCUUGGACUGACCAUCGGUCUACGGAUGAAAAGAAGAACUCAAAAGCACUUGGGUACCAAGACCCUUCUGAAAAGCUUUCCAAAAUUGUGAAGUGAACUGAGUACCCCUAUCCGAAAUGAUAGACAAGGGAACUCCAUGCAGUCUGACUAGCUCUCGGAUAUACAAUCUAGCGUAAUCCUCAGUAGUAUAUGAAGUAUGAAUAGGCAAGAAAUAAGCAGACUUAGUCAAUCUAUCAACCANNNNNNNNNNNNNNNNNNNNNNNNNNNNNNNNNNNNNNNNNNNNNNNNNNNNNNNNNNNNNNNNNNNNNNNNNNNNNNNNNNNNNNNNNNNNNNNNNNNNNNNNNNNNNNNNNNNNNNNNNNNNNNNNNNNNNNNNNNNNNNNNNNNNNNNNNNNNNNNNNNNNNNNNNNNNNNNNNNNNNNNNNNNNNNNNNNNNNNNNNNNNNNNNNNNNNNNNNNNNNNNNNNNNNNNNNNNNNNNNNNNNNNNNNNNNNNNNNNNNNNNNNNNNNNNNNNNNNNNNNNNNNNNNNNNNNNNNNNNNNNNNNNNNNNNNNNNNNNNNNNNNNNNNNNNNNNNNNNNNNNNNNNNNNNNNNNNNNNNNNNNNNNNNNNNNNNNNNNNNNNNNNNNNNNNNNNNNNNNNNNNNNNNNNNNNNNNNNNNNNNNNNNNNNNNNNNNNNNNNNNNNNNNNNNNNNNNNNNNNNNNNNNNNNNNNNNNNNNNNNNNNNNNNNNNNNNNNNNNNNNNNNNNNNNNNNNNNNNNNNNNNNNNNNNNNNNNNNNNNNNNNNNNNNNNNNNNNNNNNNNNNNNNNNNNNNNNNNNNNNNNNNNNNNNNNNNNNNNNNNNNNNNNNNNNNNNNNNNNNNNNNNNNNNNNNNNNNNNNNNNNNNNNNNNNNNNNNNNNNNNNNNNNNNNNNNNNNNNNNNNNNNNNNNNNNNNNNNNNNNNNNNNNNNNNNNNNNNNNNNNNNNNNNNNNNNNNNNNNNNNNNNNNNNNNNNNNNNNNNNNNNNNNNNNNNNNNNNNNNNNNNNNNNNNNNNNNNNNNNNNNNNNNNNNNNNNNNNNNNNNNNNNNNNNNNNNNNNNNNNNNNNNNNNNNNNNNNNNNNNNNNNNNNNNNNNNNNNNNNNNNNNNNNNNNNNNNNNNNNNNNNNNNNNNNNNNNNNNNNNNNNNNNNNNNNNNNNNNNNNNNNNNNNNNNNNNNNNNNNNNNNNNNNNNNNNNNNNNNNNNNNNNNNNNNNNNNNNNNNNNNNNNNNNNNNNNNNNNNNNNNNNNNNNNNNNNNNNNNNNNNNNNNNNNNNNNNNNNNNNNNNNNNNNNNNNNNNNNNNNNNNNNNNNNNNNNGAGUCUUCAACUCCUGAAAACUCUUCUUACAAGAUUCGGACCACAAGAACUUCACUUUCUUUUGGGUCAACCGAGUCAUAGGAGACGCUAUAGAGGAGAAACCCUCAACAAAACGACAGUAAUAGCUAGCUAAACCCAAGAAACUUUGGAUAUCAGUCGAAGAAAUAGGUUUAGGCUAAUUUCUAAUAGGUUCGGUCUUUUGGGGAUCAACUCUAAUACUCUCGAAAGAAAUGAUAUGACCCAGAAAAGCAAUUGACCUUAUCCAAAACUCACACUUACUGAACUUGGCAACAACUUGUGAUGUCUAAGGGUUUGCAAGACAGUUUGGAGAUGAUCAAAAUGUUCAUCCUCACUACGGGAGUACACCAGUAUAUCAUCGAUGAACACUAUGACAAACAUAUCCAAAUAUGGUCUGAACACUCGAUUCAUAAGGUCCAUGAAAGUUGCUAGGGCAUUAGUUAAUCUAAAAGACAUAACAAGAAACUAAAAAUGGCCAUAACAAGUUUGGAAAGCAGUUUUUGGGAUGUCACACUCCCUGAAUUUGAGUUGAUGAUAGCCGGAACGAAGGUCUAUCUUUGAUAAAUAACUUGCACCUUGCAAUUGGUCAAACAAAUCAUCUAUUCUCGGAAGGAGGUACUUAUUUUUUAUGGUAACUUUAUUCAUUUGGCGCUAAUCAAUACACAUACGCAAAGAGCCAUCUUUCUUUCUCACAAACAACAUAGGAGCACCCCAAGGAGAAAUACUAGGCCUUAUGAAACCCUUAUCUAGUAGAUCUUUGAGUUGUUCUUUCAACUCCUUAAGGUAUGCAGGGGCCAUACAGUAAGGAGGAAUAUAAAUAGGCUGAGUAUUAGGAAGAAGAUCAAUCCCAAACUCUAUCUCUCUAUCAGGAGGUAUCUUUGGGAGAUCAUCUGGAAAGACAUCAGAAAACUCAUUGACGACGUUAAUAGACUGGAGAGUUGGAAUCUCAGACUUAGUGUCUUUGACUCUAACCAAAUGGUAAAUACACCCCUUGGAAAUAAGCUUUCUAGCGGAGGCAUAUUUCUAAAAGAGGAGAGAAUGAAUCAAUAGCAGAGAGAGACACUUUAAGCACGAUAGACUUCUGAAAGAAAGAAUCACACUUUUCCCUAAAACGUCUUGUAGCCUCUUGCUCAUAGAUGUGGCGCGCUACACACCGAUGAUCAAGACUCUACUUAAUGUGGCUUGUCAGACUCCCUAGGAAACCUUAAAACCUUAGGCUCUGAUACUAAGUUUGUAAUGCCCCAGAAAAUAAUUCCUGGAGAGUCACAUGGGGCUUGAGGCUACGAGUAGCCCCAAGCUAACCCUUUGAGCAAUUUUCAUUCAGUUCAACACAAAUCAAUGGGGUUUCCAUAAAUAACCCUCAAAUAUCAACAGACUAAUCAUCAUCUAAGAAUAAAAGAAUUUUAGAAAGAUAACAAAAUAUGACUUAUUAGUCAACUCCCAACAUCUAUACUAGUCUGACAAGCCUCUAAGAAAGUCAAUAAAACCAGUGAGCCAUUGAGACAUGCCCAACUAACUCAUACUCAGUUAUCAAAUGCAAACAAUUCCGUGAAACCAACAUUAGACAUCACAUCCUCGGAACGUGAGGACUCACCACGACAGAGUAUGUAGAACAGCGUGCCCGAAAAAUCACUAUCGAACUUGGAACUGAGCACCUGAACCUACAUUCUGAGAAAAUGCAGCCCACAUCCGAAGAUGUGAGCCAGUACCAUGGAAAUGAACCAAGUACAUGGGGGUGUAUGCAGUUUUAUAAACAUCACCAUCAUAAAUAUUUAUAAGAAAUAUGUAGGAUGUAUGAAAGACUCACAUAGCCCGAAGAAAAUCAUCAUAAUCAUAAGAGGAUGAUAUAAGUUCAAUAACACAUGUGAGUCAUCAUAUAAUUUGUCAAUCACUUUCAAUUCAUCGAGAAUAUCAAUUCUCAUAAUGUAAAUAUCAUUUUAAUCUUUUGAAAGAAUAACUUUCACAAUUCCACUUUCAAAUCACUUCACCGUUCACCAUAGACACAAGGAAACAUACACAUACUGGGAGAUCCUAUAAUUGACAUAAACCAUAUGAGCUACAUGGAGUCCAAUGUACAACCUAUGUUGGAGAGAGCUGUCCUAUUAUUGCCAUCGGAGUUGGACUAUCGAUAUCAAAUCCACACAAACUAGUGAUCACUAUAUAAAUUAGGGAAGUAAGGUCGCUUUAUACCUCCUACUCGAUGCUAAAGACUUCUCCCGGACUUACCUCAGAUCAUUUUAAAGACAAUCCACAACAAAAUAAUUUUAGUAAUAUAUAAAUAUACAUCGGGAGCCAUAAUGCUUUUCAUCUAUUAAAAUCAAUCACGUUGUGUAUUUCUUUCACACUCAAGUUCAAAACAACUCCAUUAAGACCAAAAGGUCAAAUCAUUCAAAAUAUCUCAAAUAUUCAACAUCAACGUGCUUAUAACACACACUUUCUCAAAAAAACACAAUUUCCAAUGGGGAUUCACGACCCAAAUAUCAAAAUCAUGAUAAAUAUCAUUCAAGNNNNNNNNNNNNNNNNNNNNNNNNNNNNNNNNNNNNNNNNNNNNNNNNNNNNNNNNNNNNNNNNNNNNNNNNNNNNNNNNNNNNNNNNNNNNNNNNNNNNNNNNNNNNNNNNNNNNNNNNNNNNNNNNNNNNNNNNNNNNNNNNNNNNNNNNNNNNNNNNNNNNNNNNNNNNNNNNNNNNNNNNNNNNNNNNNNNNAGUUCUUGAACUAGGAACUUGGAAUCUUGAAUAAAUUUGCAGAAUUAAUGGUGAACUUUGGAGGUUCUUGAAGUUCUUGAACUAGAAACUUGGAGUCUUGAAUAAAUUUGCAGAAUUAAUGGUUAACUUUGGAGGUUCUUGAAGUUGGAUGUAGGAGCUUAGGGUUUUCUUUUUGAGGGAAUUUUAUGAAAUAUAACAUAUAAUGCUUCUAAUAGGAUUUAAUAUAGGGUUUGGACGGAUUUUGGGUGAGGAAAAUGACCAAAAUGCCCCUAAAAAUCAAAUAAUUCUCGAAUCUAUCCUUUGGUGGACUGUUUUGAUAGUCUGAAGUAGAUCAACCAUAAGGUUUUACUCCGAUAUCAAAAUUGGAUGAAACUAAUUUCAUUAAAAAGAGCACUCUCAUAUAUUUCCGUUGAUAUAUAGUAUCUCACCCUGAUCAUUGUGUACGAGGAGUUAUGGUUGUUUGAAGUUGACCCAAAAAUUUUCUUUUGAUAGGCUGAAGUGGAUCGACCAUAACCUUUUUCUCCGAUAGAAAAAUUGGAUGAAAAUAAUUUCAUUGGAAAGAGGACUCGUAGAUCUUUCUGUUGAUAUAUAGUAGAUCACCCAGAUUAUUAUGUACAAGGAGUUAUGAUCGUUUAAAGUUGGAGUAAAAAUACUCCAGGCCUCAGUACUUUUUUCUGCACGUUUUACUGUUCAUUACUAUUCACGGUUCGAUCGAAAAGUUCAUAACUCGUCGCUCGAGUGUCUGUUUUGGAUGAUACACAUAUCAUUCACUACUAUUCACGGUUUGAUCCGAAUGUUCAUAACUUGUCACUCGAGUGUCUAUUUUAGAUGAUACACAUUUCAUUGGAAUUCUUAUUCGAUACUCUAUGCAACGGUGGGUCAUACUCUAAGACAUUCCACACGAAAAAAAAUUAUAAUUCAUUCUAGAAGAUAGAACCCAACACAUUUUCGCACAAAAUUUCAAUGAAAAAUUUCCUGAGGUAUUACAACGACGCAUGCAAAUCGCAUGGUGCUUCUGUUUUGAAAUCCAAACAUUCUCUAAACUAUUUCCAAAAUUUCUAAAACUCACUUGAGAUGUACUCUUGACUUUCCCGAUCACAACGCAACUUGAAAAUGCAUAAAUGGAGUUUGGGAAGGUUGUCAAAUAAAUUCCCGAAGUUCGGAGGUAUAAGAUGAAACUAAGUGUUUGUCACGACCCAAACCAGGGCCUGGCCAUGACAAGCAUUUCAAACCAUGGAGGCCCAAAAUACCCCUAUCUGUAUGAUAAUCAUGCACAUAAUUCAUAUGAUCAAAAGUAAUGCAGAAGAAACACAAUAUAACGGAAACAUGGUCAAGAAUCAUAUGAAAACGACAAUGGGGAAUAGUGUCCCAUAAUCUAAAUCAAAAUCUCUAAAACUCGUCUACGAAAUCUCUACUACAUGACUGAAACAAUGUCUAUUUGAAAACUGGGACAAGGCCCCAGUAGACCCAAAAACUGAACAUAAGAUAAAAGGACUGCAGGACAUAAGACCUUUCGAAACAUAGAAGGCUCACCACUUGUCUCUACAGCUCUGUCUGAAAGUUCUCCUGAUUCUCUUGACCCCUAGACUGGGCCUCUGAACCUGAGAGGUUCGAGAGGAGAGGGGGUCAGCACAAAAGUACUGGCACGCAGAGAUAUCAAAGCAAAAACAUAAUAUUUUUACAAAAUAUAAUUGAGAGCCAUUAUAAAGCAAUUUUCGUAUCAAAUCAUUUGAAAACACAUGGGUGUAAUGCAAUAGUUUUUCUCAACAAUAAUGAAAUCCAACUGAGCUAGGUGGAAUACCCUACAUAAUUUACACCAACUGUCAAACCUCGGUUGCCACCGAGAUUAGAGUAUAAGUGAGGGAAGACACACAAGACCACAAAGCAUGGUGUUUCGACCCAAAUCAAAUAUGGUAGUGCAAAAGACCACAAAGCAUGCCUCCUAACAAUAAUUCCAAUUUGGGAUAGUAUAAUAUUAGGUACGCAAGACCACAAAGCAUGGUACCGAUAUUCCAUGUCGGCAAACACGUUCUUCCAGUAAUGAGCCAUUUUUUUCUCAAACGCCUUCUUCGGGCAUCCAUCUUUCUCAUGUAAAAUCAAUGCAUUCAAAUUUCACCUUAUUCAAUCGCAUAUCAUAUUUGGUAGGUUAUCGUCACACCCGACUUGCAAGUCAUCAGUAUCACAUCCACAUAUUCAUAAUCAUGUAAAAACCAAGGUGCUUCAUCAUUUACAAGUGGUGAACAAUAUUUAUUUCAAAUUCAUGCUCUCUUUUGUUGAUAAUAAUAUAAUAUAGAGUAUCGAAACAUUAUCAUGGAAAUUUGAAAACAAUUUAUCAUUCAUAUUUAUCAACUUCCAUGAAAAAAUCUCAAAUCACAUAUGCAUGGUUUCAACCAUUGAAGUAUAUAGGCAAACAAUUCCCAUGACUUAAAGAAAAUGACUUAGAAAUCAUAUUGAAAGAAAGAUCUUAGCAUUUGAUAGAAAACCCCCAUUUAAAAGCAUGCAUGUUCAUAAAGACUACACCUAUGAGAUUUUUGGAUAACCCCACGUACCUCUAUUUCCAAAGAGAAUAGCUGUUUCUCGAAGCUUGCGGAUUGGUGAUUCCAAAUAUGUAAUUAUCUUUAAAAACCUAUGGUCAAAUAUUGAACUAUUUGGGUUUUUAUUUUGAAACCCUAAGGAGAAUCUUGUGCACUUUUGAUGAAAGAAUAUGUAUUUUGGGGUCCUUGGAACUAAAUCUCGUGUUUUAGGGCUAAGUAAGGGUGGAAAAGGACCACUUUUUCCUCAACACGGAGUUUUUAAAUUUCUAGAAGUCCUUACAUAGGCACCACCCAUCCCAUCGCCUAUCUUUACAUAGUCGCCUCCUAUGUUCACAUGGCCGCCUAGGCUAUCGCCUAUGCUUUCCAGUGUCCAUGGGCGAUUGUUUAGGCAUCUCUUAUCACUUUGAAAGGUCAUAAUUUCUUGCUUGGGUGUUGGAUUUUAGCCAAAUUAGUAUCAUUGGAAAGCUAAAUCGAAUACCUAUCAUUUGACACAUAGUAGGCUUCCUAUUUCGACAUAUACAAAGAAUUAUGGUCGAUGGAAGCUAACACACUUUACAACGUCCACUAAAACUUAGUUGACCAAAAUAGUUUCAACUCGUUCUUGAGUUGAAGGACCUCUAUGGUCUAAAUUCAAGCUUGAGUGAAUUCACAUGCUACACAAUAAUUAACAUGCCGUAUUGGCAUAGGAUUUUAUGGCUUCGGGAUUAGCAACGCAUCGAAAUCAUGAUUUUUACUCUUGCCCAAAAUGCGGGGCGUUACAGUCUUUCUAAUUAUUUAUAGAUACUGAUGUUGAUUGUCAUCUUCAAUUGUCUAUGGAGGUUGUGUGAUGAAGGAUGAUGUCUUCGAUUGUAUAUGAAGACUUGAUUACAUCUUUAAUUGUCUAUGGAGACUGAGGUUGAUUGUCGUCUCUGAUUGUCUAUGGAGACUGUACGAUGAAGGAUGAUGUCUUUGAUUGUCUAUGAAGACUUGAUAUAUGAAAUCUCUAGUUGUCUAUGGAGACUGAUAUGGAUUGUUGUCUCCGAUUGUCUACGGAGUCUGUGAUGAAUGAUGAUGUCUUCGAUUGUCUAUGAAAACUUGAUGAAAUCUCCAAUUGUAUAUGGAGAUGGAUGCUAAUGAUGAUGAAAUCAUGGGUGAGUUUCAUAAUUUUUGGAGUAGAGUAAAGGCAUAAUUGGGUGCCCAAAAUAGAAGCCCGGGGGAUUAGCCCCCGCAGCCUGCUAACUCCAGUGCUUGCCCAGUUUUUUCAGCAUUUCUGGGUCAACUUCAAAUGAUCAUAACUCCCAAUAUAUAAUGAACUCUGAGAUCUUCUAUAUAUCAAUUGAAAUAUAUUUGAGUCUUCUUUCCAAUGAAAUUAGUUUUAUCCCAUACAGACAUCUAAAUAAAAAGUUACGAUCAAUUUACUUCAACCUAUCAGACAGUCAAUUAGGGACAGAUUUGACCUUAAUUGUUCCUUAGGGGUAUUUUGGUCAUCUUCCACCCCUAUAUAUACCCCAAACAGGGGAUUAAGGCUUAUUUGAAGCAAAAUAUACUUUUCUCAAAAUCCUCUCAAGAACUCAACCUAGGGUUUCAAUUUGAAGACCCAAAUCCCAUCAAUUGAAGAACAUAACUCCUCAUUUAUCUUCAACAUCAAAAGAAGGGUUUCUCUCAAGAUCAUAACCUAUAAAAAGAAUCAAAUCCUUCUUCAAGAAUAUAUGAUAUUCAAGUUUUUCAAAAUCAAGAGCCAAUUUAUUUUCUCUCAAAGGAACAAGAACCCUAGUCAAGGAAUCAAGAACAUGUCUAAAAAUUUCUUCAAGAAUCUUCCACCUAAGGUAUGCAUAGUGUUCAUCCACGGAUUCCUUUCAUCCGUAGGAGUCCAAGAACCAUGUUUNNNNNNNNNNNNNNNNNNNNNNNNNNNNNNNNNNNNNNNNNNNNNNNNNNNNNNNNNNNNNNNNNNNNNNNNNNNNNNNNNNNNNNNNNNNNNNNNNNNNNNNNNNNNNNNNNNNNNNNNNNNNNNNNNNNNNNNNNNNNNNNNNNNNNNNNNNNNNNNNNNNNNNNNNNNNNNNNNNNNNNNNNNNNNNNNNNNNNNNNNNNNNNNNNNNNNNNNNNNNNNNNNNNNNNNNNNNNGUGUGAAUAAAGUUCGAAUCUUUACAUGUUGUUCAUGACACCAUGAUCUUUUGUGGAUUCAAUUGGUGGAAUUGAGUUGAAUUAUGGUGUUAUGGUGUAUAAAAUUGAUCAUUAGGACUAUGCCCUAAAUAAUGCAUGCAAGGUGUUUGUUAAAAUACCAAAGUGAAGAAAAAUUGAGCACUUUGACCUAUUUGUGAUCUAAAUGAUAAUUCCAUGCUAUAUCCAUGUGCUUAAGUUGACUCCCAUGCUAAAGCUAUGCCUACCAUGUGUUUGAUAAUGUGCCUCAACGAACAAAUGAUGAUCAAGUACCUAGUCUUCAUGCUCCAAAAUUUUUCCAUGUCUCUUAAGUUAUGCCAUGUCUACUUGAUCAAGAAGAUUUCUAUGCUAUUAAUGUGCUAUGAAUAUGUUGUUGGCUUGUCAUGAUAUUAGAAUUGACCAUGAUGUUAGCUAUAUGAAAAGGUUAUGAAAACCACAUGAUUUAUUAAUUCCCCGUAGAUGCUAUAUUAUGGAUUAUUAAUGUUGGUCAAGUACACUUGUAUGUCAAGUCAUGUCAGUUUCCUUCCAUCGAGUCCUGGGGGUAUUCGUACCCAAAAUAUAUAGUUGUGUGCCUAGAGCCAUGUCAUGUUUUCACGAUACUCUCAGUCAAGCCAUGUUCAGUAGACUUUAGUUAGCUAACAGAACUCAGUAACAUUUAGUCAGUUAACAGAAUUAAGUAGUAUUCCGCUAGUCAUCGGAACUCAAUAAACUCAGUCAGCUAACAGAACUCAGUAGCAUUUAGUCAGUUAAUAGAAUUCAGUAGUGUUUCGCUAGUCAUCGGAACUCAAUAAACUUAGUCCAUGUUCAAUUCAGUUAAAUAGAACAAUCAAUAACAGUUUAGUUAAUUCUAGCAUGAACUAGGAAAUCAGUUUAGUAUAAUCAGUUCAGUGUCAUUCAGUUGGGAGUAGGAUUCAGCACCGAGCGAACCCAAGGAUGGGAAGUCACUUGCCAGUAGAGGGUGUGAUUCUUAUAAGAAGUUCUUACGUUCUAGAAAUAUGUAGCCAGCAUAGGUUGAGACAUCAAUACCUGUCAGUUGAGGGUAGAUGAGUUGGCUUAACCUGUCAGAUGAGGGUUCCCACCAUUCUCAUUAGAGUAUAGACACCCUCCAAUUAGGGCAGAGAUUGGAUCCAAGCUUAGCUAUUAUAGCGUAUUUGGGGCAUGUUGGUUAGAUAACUACUUCCCACAGUUUUAGUAUCAGUCUCAGUAAAAGAACUCCGAUAGUUCUUCAGGAUAUCAGGACUGUCAGAUACAGUCAACUUAGAUACAGUACGAAACUUAGCUAGUUCCAUCAGAUUUAGGACUGUCAGAUAUAGUCAUUUAUGCUAUCAGUUAUGAGAACUUAUGUUAUUAGAUAUAUCAGUUAUCAGAAUUCAGUUAUCAUUCAUGAUAUGUUAUCAGCAAAUACAAGUCAUCAGCAUUCAUACUCUGCAGUCAUGUUAUCAUAAGCUCAAUUUCAGGACUGUUAUAUACAGUCAAUCAAAUCAGUUCUUCAUAAUCAGAACUAUCAGAAACAAUCAUUCCUUUAUCAUUAAUAUAGUAUCAGUCUCCCAGUAUUCAGUAAUACAGUAUCAGUUCCUCACUUAUUAGUGAAUUACAUAUCAAUAUCAGUAAACUCAGUUAUUCAGUGUUUCAAUAUCUGUAAACUCAGUCAUUCAGUAUCUCAGCAUUAGUAAACUCAUGUUUUCAGUAUUCAGACUCAGUAGUCAGUAUGACCACGAGUUUAGUUGCAGUUACGUAUGUAUGUAUGUAUUCUCACGUUCAUAUCAAUCAUCAUUGUUCAUGCAUAUAAAACCAUUUGCAUUUAUCCUACCUCACUCGUAUACUCAGUACAUUCAGUCGUACUGAUGCAUUCGCAUUGUGGUGUUUUAUUUGAUACCAUAGGUACAGAGGCACGAGUUUUAGAGCAGUAGUAGCAUUGUAGAUUUCAGUAGUCAGUGCUCCUUUUCAUUCGAGGACACUAUUAUUAUUACUUUAUAGCAGUAUUUCAGAUUAGAUUUUUAGUUCAUGGAAUUAGUUGGAGACAUGUUCCUUCAACUCCUUAUUCAGUUCAGUUAGAGGCUUUCGGAAUAGAUGUCAGAUUAGAUGUUCAGACUUCAGUAUUUAUGUUUCUUUCUAGUAUUGUUAUACCAUGUUUUUCAGAUAUGUAUCAGUAUUGAACCUUUUGGCCUUACAGUUUAUGUUUCCACAUAUUUUAUGAGAUUUUAUGCAGUUUACAGGUACAGAUAUCAGUCAUGCAUUAGCUAGUGGUCCUUCGGGGUCAUGAGAACCUGUAGCGUUUUGAUUCAGAAAAUUGGGACGUUACAACCCCCCACCCAUCAAGCUGGAAAUUGGUAGACAUCCAGUAAUCCCACCGCCUUUGGUGAGAAAAUCUGCAAUUUGGGAAUGAGUUGCCAAAUAUUGAGGUUGAAUCAGCAGUUGUUUGAUUUUCUCCCCGACGAAAUGAAAAUCUAUGUCAAUAUGCUUAGCCCUCACAUGCAAAAUAGGAUUAUAGUAUCUUUAUAGAAGCCUUGCUAUCACAGUGUAAUCUCAUUGGAGUAUGAACUGGUACAACUCGACAAUUGAAUAUCCUUCCCCGCAAAUUACUGAGUGAUUUGGUUUUUUUCCCACAAAUCAAAAGAUUAAUAAACCAUUAAACCCAAAUUGAAAAUAGCAUUUCCCAUUUAUUAACUUUUUCUUUUUUUCUUUAUGUGAAAUGUGCAUGAGGCAUUAAGAAAUAAAAUAUAGACAAAUAUCCAUGCAGACAUUUAAAAUAAAAUAUAAUAAUAAUGCCGCAUCACGUGUGGCCUCCACAAUUACAUCAAUCAAGUCAAACUCUCCUUACCUUGACAGUGGUUUUGUUUGCUUCCCCCACCACUGCUCUUCCCCCUAUUCUUUCUCUCAUCCUUGUUACUUCUGAAAAUAACAAUGAAGAAGCAAAAAAAUAAGAAGGGGGCUACGAGGGUAGAGAAUGUGAAUGGAGGAGUUGCGAGGGUAGAGGCUAGGGCGGUGAAAGUGAACAGAAGGUGGAGGAGAAAGUGAAGGGGUUUGUGGAGGAGGUGCAUUACCGAGUACGAAAGAGGCUGUCGGGGAAAUACACGGCUGAGACUAGAGAUCCGAAGAAAAUAUGCAAUGUUUUGUUAGGUACGUUUGAUACAGCAGAGGAGGAGGUGCAACCAUAUGAUACGAUGGAUAUUGAGUUUCGUGGUGUGAAAGUCAAGAUGAAUUUUCUGAAUCUGAUGGACAAAAUGAAUCGGACUUCCAGUAACGUUGGUACUGUUGAGUCAUUGAAUAUGGUGGCUGUGGUGGUAAUUCAACCAUCACCACUGCCUUUGCCUCCACCUCAACCACCGCCAUAGGCACUACAUUCGAUGACUCACCAUUAUUGGUCUGACUGUGACUUCGACAGAGAGGUCAUAAUUGUGUGGCCCAUCCAACUCGUCUAGACUUUAACGGGUCAGGUUCAACUACAAAAUGAUUUUAAUUUGGGCGGAUAAUUGGGUUAAUACACAAACGAAACCCAUUUUGACUCUAUUCAUCCAAACAAUAUUUAGGUUGAUUGGGUUAUGACAUGUUCAUUAACACAGCCCAUUUUGACCUAUAAUUCUCAUGUAUUCAACUUUCGCACACCUAGACUAAUUCCCAGUGAACCUGCCACCUCCCACCAGUGCACUCUAUUUUACAUGCCACUUACAUAAAGAAGUCCGGGGACCCUUAUUUUCCCUUUUCUUUCUUCUAUCCUUUCUGUUCUCAUUUCAAUACAGCAAAUGCCUUACUGUUUAUUGGUUCAAUUUUGAACUUGCCUUAACUGUCCUCUGUUUCUUUUAUUUCUUACACUGUGCACAGGUCAUAAUUGACACUCAUGAAGCAAUUAGUACAAUGUCCAAAGGUUAGAAAUUUUGCUACUGAUGAUGAAUCCCUUUGUGGCAGAAUGAAGAAGGCCCCCUGGAAGCUGUGUAUGGAAAAUAGGAACAUUGGUAAUAAUUUGAAGCUUUCCUGCAUAAGAUAGCUGAUUAGCAUAGGCUGUUUGGAUGUAUUGAUCUUGUGCAUGAUCAUGAGGACAAGUUGAUGAAAAUCAGGUUUAUUCCACUUCUUUGAUAGGAAAUGUACCAACAUCAAAACCAGUCUUUGCAAGCAACGACUCCUUUGUGGGAUCGUCUACUCUGGCCAUGACAAUACUAGACUUCUCCAUGUCUGAACUUAGACCAGUGACUUUACUGAAUUGAUUCAGUGCUUCCAUGACACUGGAAGGAAAUCCAUAAACAAUUCCCAACUGACCGUUUCAUAUGCUUUUCUCAAAUGUGUCUUCAUUAAACAGCUGGGAGAAGUUUUCCACUUAUAGUGUUCGAGUAUAACAAAUCAAGAUAUUGUGCAUCAUAGACCUUCCUUGAACAAUUUCAGCUUGAUUUCCUGCUACUAUAUGCUUUAAAGUCCUUUAAGCCUAUUACACAUAAUCUUAGAGAUGCAUUUAUAUAAAACAUUACAACACGAUAUAGGCCUGCAUUGGAUCGUAAAGUUAUGGGCAUUUACCUUAGGUAGGAAAGCAAUCCACGUGAGUCAACAGCUUACCGUUAGGAAAGAAGUCCAUCACUGCAUUUGUGACAUCUUUACCCACUAUAUCCCAUGAUGCUUUGAAGAAGCCACUUCCAAAACCAUCGGGGCCCGGGCCCUUAUUGCUUUCAAUCUGAAAAAUUUCAUCAUAAGGAUGCAACAACUCAAUUUGUUGUUCAAUUCUAAGCAACGGACCAAAAAUCUUUGAUUCUGUCCUCCAUUUUCCUCCCCAAUAAAUCUUGAUAAUAGUUCACAAAAAUUCCAUAGGAUAAGACUUCCACUCCUCCCUUUCAUCCUUCAGUUGUGUUGUGGCAUGAUGCAAUCAGUUGUACUUAAUAACAAAGAAGAAAUAGUUAGUGUUAUAUUCUCCUAGUCUUGUCCAAUUUACUUUACUUCUUUGUUGCAGAUACACCUCAGCCAUAUAGAAUGAACUUCUAAAUUUUUGAAACUUCUCCCUUUCAUAAGCUUGUAACGCUAAGUUUUGAGGGUCAGACUGUAAUUGUUUUUGGGCUUGAAACAGCGUGUCUCUAUCUUCAUUUUCUUCCUUAAGUGACUUUUUCAUGAGUUUUAAUAUUGUGUGUGUGAGAGAAAGAUCGUCAUUUAACUAGAUUUAGCUUAACAGUUUACUUGUUUUAUAUUUUCAUGUGUAAUUUGUAAAUCAAGGGAAUUUUAGCUAAGAAAACUUUCUUGUUGCCACAAGAUAAUUGCAAUAGACUAAAUGUCUAUGUCGCUCGGACUUUCAAAAAUGUCGAUGGGUGCCUGUCUGAUCCUCCAAAAGUAGUGUAUUUUUGAAGGAUUCGACACGAGUGCAACAACUUUUUUGGAUAGUCCAAGCAACAUAGCUCAAUCACAAUAAGUUGCAGUUUGCUUCACCAACGAAAACAAGAAUUGGAGGCAUUUUUUUCUGGAUGAACAAAAAAAUGCAUUCUCUUUCUUUAUCUUCUUCAGCAUUAAAUAGGACGAUGCUAUGCUCGAAACAAAUCCACAAGUGUUCUUUUUUGGGUGAGUAGGAACCUAUGUUGCUCAAAAUUAAUGUCGAGUUUAUGUUGGAUACUUCAAAAAGAAAUACAGUUUUGCAAGCGUGGGGCGACAUUUUUGAAAUGCUCGAGUAACAUAGCUAGGAAUUUGAAACAGGUAAUAAGAGGUCUUGGAUAAAAACACAGAUUAGUUCAACUAACUUUACUACAACAUACCCAGUAAAAUCUAACAAGUGAGGUCUGGGGAGGUAGAGCGUAUGCAAACCUUACCACUGCGACGUGAGGUAGGAAGGCUACCGCGAAGGGUGUAAUGACCUGUACGGUCAUUUUACUGUAUUUUUAUAUAAUUUUAGUAUUAUCUAAACGUUUUGUGGUUUAUUUAAUUUAAUUUGGCUUUUGAUAGGAAUAUAAUUUAGUACCCUUAUAGAAUAUUUUCGAUAUUAAUAAAAUUCUUUAAGUGACGAUAUAUUCAUAUCACUUUAUAAUGGACUUUUAUGAUUUAUUAAUAUUUUAGGUGGAGAUAGUAAUUUUAGAUAUGUUUAAAUAUUAUUAUUAUAUAAUAGAGGUUUUAUUUAGAAAUAAUUUUCUAUCAAUUAUGGUAUAUUCUAAAUAUUAUAAUUAUUUUACCAAGAAUUUAUACAAUAUCUGAAUAUCUACGCGGAGUAGAAAAUUAUUACUUGUGGCUAAUUACCACCACUCGUGUGGGAAGGAUGUGGACAACAACAUGUUGUUAUUUGGCAACCGUACACAUGUCCCUUGACCAUUUGAAUAUGUCUUUUUCUUCUUUCAUAUAUAUCGACUCUUAUGUAUAUAUAUAUAUACACAUACUUAGUAGUAGUGCUAUUCAAUAAAAAUUUUCUUUGAACAAAAAGGCUAAUCAAGUGCUCUUAUACAUGCAUGUUUAUUUAUAUUUUGUAGCAAAGUUUUUGGGUGAAAAUAUUUUGCAUCAUUUCACCAUCAAAUUAAAAUUUAUUAUUUAAGUUCGGAUCUUAGUAGCGCUAUUUAGAGACUUCGCGGACAGAUAUUAUAGCUUUGGCAUCCAGUUAGACUAGGUUUACCCUUUUUUUUAGAUUGAGCUUACUUACCCAAAAUGUUAACUAUUAUGUUAGCUUUGGAUAAGUGCUUGUAGAUACAUAUUAUUUGUUAUGUCUAAACUGUCUUAUUUAUGCGGAUUGGGACCCCGUUGUAGUAGAUUUUGGUAUUUUACCUUUCGAUAUAAUAUAGCACCUAUCACUUUGGGUCAUAAAAUUUAAUUGCAAAAUCUUUAAUUUAGCCCUUUUUAAAAUUGGUGGAUGAUUAUUUAGACGUUGACAUUGUUAUAAUAUAGAAUGGAUUUUAAUAUUAUCGGUGGGUUAUGGUUACUGUAAAUUCCGGUUCGAGUCUGGCAAUUGAUUAUUAUGAUUACUAUGAGUCCCGGUUUGAGUCCGGCAAUUGACUAUGAAUGUUAUUAUGAGUUCCGGUUUGAGUCCGGGAAUCGACUAUUAUUGUUACUAUGAGUUCCGGUUCGAGUCCGGCAAUUGACUAUUAUUGUUACUAUGAGUUUCGAUUCGAGUCCGACAUUUGACUAUUAUUAUUACUAUGAGUUCCAGUUCGAGUCCGGCAUCUGAUUAUAGUUGGGGUUACUCUGAGUUCUGGUUCGAGUCCGGCAUCUGAUUAUUUAUGUUUACUUUCAUCACUUGUGUGUCCCACAGGCUUAUGGGGGUAUGGUUGGGUUAAUGGUCUUCUUCAGUGUGCAUAGCAGGCUUAUGGGAGCUCAGUUAGGUUAUGUUUGAUUUAAUUAUUAUUACUGGAUUAUUAUUUUUCUGUACCGUACACGUUUAUUCCUUUAUAGUCGUUGCAUAGCUUGGUAGUUGUUUACCUUUCCAUCCUAUUUACUAAUAACUCAAAUUACGUCCUUGCAUUGUUGUUACACCUUUUCUAUAUUAAGCUCAGUCGGCCGAUGAUGCCUACUCAGUACCCGUGGUUUUUGGUACUCAUACUACACUUCAGCAUCUUUUUCCUAAUGCAGAUCUAGGUACUAGCAGUCUGCAUUAAUGUGGUUCCUACCUUUCAGUAUUGGUUUAGAGCGGGGUGAGCUUACUGUUGUCCGAGGCUGAUCCUCCUCUAUCUACUCUAGUUAGUUUUUUUCACUCUAGACUACUUGUGUAUAUUCUAGAUUUUUCGUCUAGUACUCUGGGUACCUGUUAGUAGUGGCUCUAGUACUAACCUUAUCAGGUCUUGGGAGGGAUUCAUUUGUAUAGUUGGUCCUUUUUCCUCCUCUCGUUUUGAUAUAAUACAUAUGCUUUCUUCUUAGUUUUAACUUAUUAUUGUGGUUGUUAUUAUCUUACACGAUCUUUUAUUUUGUCUCUGCCUAUUAUCCCAUUACCUAUCAUUCCAGGCUAUAGGCGGUGGGAUAAGGUACGCGCCAUUACAACUUGAGAAAUCGGGUUGUGACAAGUUGGUAUCAGAGCAUAUGUCACACUGGUAGUACUGGAGCCGAUGUUUAGUAGAGUCCUGCGGAUCGGUACAGAGACGUCUAUAUCCUAUCCUUGGGAGGCUAUAGAGCAUUUCUAGGAAAAAAAAUUCUCAUUUUCUUGAUCUAUUUUGUGUUUUGAGUCUAGGUUGGUUGUAAUCUUUUUAUUGGUUCACUCUUUACGAAGAUAGCUAGGACACGAGGUUCGAGAGCAGGGGUCGGGACCGUUGGUCCACUUAUAGAGUUCUAUCUUAUGGUAGAGGUCGACGAAGAUAUCAGGGGCAGGGUAGAGCAGUAGCCUCUAUUCGAGAUCAGGUCGGGGAUCCAACACCUAAUCCUAUUAUACCUUCGGGGAUUGAGAUAGCUCCAGGUAUUCUGUCACAUCAGCAGGUGGGCCAAGGGGCUGCCUAGGCUCCACCCAGCUUUAUAUCUUCUUCGGUUAUUCAGGAUACAUUAGUUUGGUUCUUUGGGUUAGUUAGCGGUCUACCAGUCAUGGGAGCUCAGCCAGCAUCACAAGGUGGUGUAGAUUUAGGAGUACAGCCUGCGGCAGCGGCGCCUAGGGUAGAGGUUCCACCAGCACCAGUAGUCCUACAACCGGUAGUAGCUCAACCACUUAUAUCUGCAGAGGAGCAGAAGAUGUUGGAUUGAUUUUUGAGAUUGACUCCACCCAUGUUUGUCGGGACCCCGAGAAAGGAUGCUUAUGAGUUCCUAUCCAGUUGCGAGGAGCGGUUGCAGAAUUUAGGGCUGGUUGAGGCGGGAGGAGUAGACUUUGUUUCUUAUCUUUUUGACAUAGAAGCAAGGAGGUGGGGGAGAGGUUAUCUUGAUUCUAGGCCAGCUGGAUCUCCACCAGUGCCUUGGACUUAGUUCUCCGAGGCUUUCUUAGGGAAGUAUAUGCCGCGUAGCGUGCGUGAGCGUCUCCAGGAUGAGUUUACCGCAUUGAGUUAGGGUUCUAUGAUUGUGGCAGAAUAUGAGGUGAGGUUUCAUGAGUUAGCCCGACACGCCACUAUGAUUCUGGAUACAGAGUACGAGCAGAUUCGAUGCUUUAUUAAGGGAUUGAGAUUAUCACUCCGUAGGGCUACUCAGAGUUUGGUGACUUUAGGAAAGUCUUCUUCUGAGAUAGCCGAGCAUGUUUAUUCCAUAGAGGAGAUGGAUCGUGAGGCCUAAAGGUGCAGCGAUAAGAGACCACGCUACCAGGGUAGUUACAGUGGUUCACAAUCCUCAGGCAGAGGAUUUCACGAUCGGUACCCUCAUCAGCAGCCUUCUCAGUAUCAGGGUCAACCUAGUCGGCCAGUUUAGGCAUCAAUUCAAUUAUCUAAUAGGGGUCAGCUCAUCUAUUCUAGUUCCAAUGGUCAGAGUAGCAGCCAGCCGCAGAGGGUUGUUCAGUCAGGAUCGUCAAGUAGGGGUGGUCAUUCUGGAUUCGCUGGACUUUCUAGUCAGAGAAGGUGCCCUGGACAUGUUAUGACUGUAGAGUUGUUGGUCACUUUACCAAUGAGUGUCCUCCGCGUACGAUGAUUUAGCCUCCAGUUCUCGCUGUGUAGCCGAUCAAAUGAGUGCCUUCGUUAGGUAGGGGUGGUAUACAGGGUCGUAAAGGUAGUUCCUAGGAUUCUAAAGGUGGUCCACAGGGAGGUAGGGUAGGCGGUUGGGCAGGUACCCAGUCUAGUAGUGGACAGGGUAAUUUGUAUGUUGUUCCAGGUAGAUCAGGGGCUGAGGCUACGAAUACUGUAAUUACAGGUACGAUUUCCGUGUUCCAUCAGCCAACUUCUGCUUUAUUUGAUCCCAGUUCCAGCUUUUCAUAUAUUUCUACUUAUUUUGCAUUGUGAUUGGGUUUAUGUUCAGAGUCUUUAUCUGUGUUGUUAUGUGUGGCUACCCCAGUGGGUGACUCUUUAGUAGUGGAUCAGGUAUAUAGAUUUUGUUUGGUCACUAUUCGGGAGUUUGAUACUCAUAUUGACCUUAUUGUAGUAGAUAUGGUUGAUUUUGAUGUGAUUCUAGGUAUGGAUUGGUUGUCUUCUUACAAUGUGGUCUUGGAUUGUUUUGUUAAGACCGUUACUUUAGCUUUUCCUGGCAUACCCCUAGUUGUGUGGCAGGGUUCUGUUAGCCACGCACCAAUGGGGAUUAUUUUGUACAUCCAGGCUAGAAGACUGAUACCGAGAGGUUAUGAGUCAUUUCUUGCAUAUAUUUGGGAUGUUAGUGCUGAGAGUCCCCCACUUGACUCCGUCCCUAUUGUUCCCAAGUUUUCUGAUAUAUUUUUGACUGACCUACCUAGCCUUCCUCCUAAGUGUGAUAUAGAGUUUAUUAUUGACCUCGAGCCUGGCACCCGACCUAUUUCUAUGGUUCCGUAUCGUAUGGUUCCUGCUAAGUUGAAGGAGCUAAAUAGUCAGCUUCAGGAUCUUCUGGGUAUAGGAUUUAUCAGACCGAGUGUAUCUCCUUGGGGUGAUCUAGUUUUAUUUGUGAAGAAGAAAGAUGGCUCCUUGCGUAUGUGUAUCGAUUAUAGGUAGUUGAAUGAGAUUAUUAUGAAGAAUAAGUAUCCUAUGCCUCCCAUCAAUGAUUUGUUUGAUCAACUUCAGGGUGCGGCUUUGUUUUCUAAGAUUGAUUUAAGGUUCGGUUACCAUCAGUUGAGAGUUAGGGCUGUGGACAUCCCUAAGACAAGCUUCAGGACUCCUUAUGGUCAUUAUGAGUUCCUGGUGAUGUCUUUUGGGUUAACCAAUACUCCAGCAGCUUUUAUGGAUCUGAUAAAUUACGUGUUUAGGACAUAUUUGGAGUUCUUCGUGAUAGUAUUUCUUGAUGACAUUUUGGUACAUUCGAGGAGUAAGGAGGAGUAAGAGCAGCAAUUGAGGACUAUACUUUGCACUUUGAGAAACCACAGGCUUUAUGCCAAGUUUUUAAAAUAUGAGUUUUGGCUUGAGUCUGUAGCUUUCUUGGGGCACGUAGUGUCCAAGGACGGUAUUAUGGUGGUCCUAGCCAAGAUUGAAGCUAUUCGUAGUUGGGCUAGGCGUACGUCACCUUCUGAGGUUCGCAGCUAUAUUGGGUUGGCAGGUUACUACAGGCGGUUCAUUGAGGGAUUUUCUUCUAUUGCAUCCCCUAUUACUAGAUUGACCAGGAAGGAGGCUCCGUUUCAGUGGUCUAUGAUUUGUGAGGCGAGCUUUAUGAAGCUCAAGGAUUUACUUACUUCAACUCCUAUUCUGAUUCUUCCUGUUGAGGGCGAGGGUUUUACUGUUUAUUAUGAUGCAUCUAGUGUUGGUUUGGGGUGUGUUCUGCAUGUCCGAAUUAUUGGAUAUGCAUCUAGGCAGUUGAAGGUGCAUGAGCGCAACUACCCUACUCAUGACUUAGAGUUGGCAGCGGUAGUAUUUGCACUUAGGAUUUGAAGGCAUUAUUUGUAUGGGGUUCGCUGUGAGAUAUUUACUGAUUACCUCAAUCUUCCGUAUAUUAUGACCUAGAAGGAGCUUAAUUUGAGGCAGCACAGAUGGAUUGAGUUGCUGAAAGACUAUGAUAUCUCUAUUCUCUACCAUUCUGGUAAGGCGAAUGUGGUAGCGGAUUCCUUGAGUCGAAAGUUAGUAAGUAUGGGUAGCUUAGCUUUCAUUUCAGUUUCUUAAUGGUCGUUUGCUUUGGACAUUCAGUUCUUAGCUAACAUGAUGGUUCGUUUGGAUAUUUCUGACCCUCGGACAAUUAUUGCUAGUGUUAAGGAUAGAUCCACCUUGUUGGAGCAGAUUCGAAGUCGUCAAUAGGCUUCGCAGCCUUACUCGAUUUGAUCCAAUUGAUUCUUUGUAAGGCUUAUAGCUCCAGAUACUCUAUUCCCCUGGAAGACCUCUUAUGUAUAGGGAUCUGAGGUAGCAUUACUGGUGGAGUGGUAUGCGGAGAGAUAUAGUAGGGUUUUUGGCUCGAUGUCUUUGUUGUCAGCAGGUAAAGGCCGAGCAUCAGAGGCCUGGUGGAUUAUUGCAGCAGCUACCUAUUCCCGAGUAGAAAUGGGAGUGAAUUACUAUGGAUUUCGUAGGUGGAAUGCCUCGUAUGUCGCAUGGUUUUGAUAGCAUUUGGGUCAUCGUGGAUAGAUUGACCAAGUCUGCACAUUUUAUCCCCGUUCAAGUUUCCAACAGUGCCGAGAAGUUAGCUCGUGUUUACAUUCAGGAGGUGGUUCGCCUAUAUGGGGUCCCUAUGUCCAUUAUUUCCGAUCGAAGCUCUCAGUUUAGUUCUAGAUUUUGGAGGGCAUUUCAGGAGGUGUUGGGGACCCAGGCUGACCUUAGUACAGCCUUUCAUCCCCAGAAGGAUGGGCAGUCAGAGGGGACUAUCUAGGUCUUAGAGGAUAUGCUACGCGCUUAUGUGUUGGUUUUGGAGGUCAGUGGGACCAAUUUCUACCUUUGGAAGAGUUUGCUUAUAAUAACAGCUUUCACUCGAGUAUUCAGAUAGCCCCAUUUGAGGCAUUGAGAGUUCUGAGGCUACACCUCGUGGAACAGAUUUGCUUUGUGAUUCGUUGGAUCAGGUUCAAGUGAUUCAGGAUAGGCUACGAGCAGCUCAGAGCAGACAGAGGAGUUAUGUUGAUCAUAGACGUCGUCCAUUGAGUUUCAGAGUUGGUGAUAGGGUCUUCCUGUGAGUAUCACCCAUGAAGGGCAUGAUGAGGUUCAGGAGGGGGGGGGGGCAAGCUUAGCCCUAGAUAUAUUGGACCUUUUGAGGUCCUACAGAGAGUUGGGGAGGUAUAUUAUGUGUUGGCAUUGCCACCUGCCUUCUCAGCCAUUUACCCUGUAUGUCAUGUAUCUAUUUUGCGGGAGUAUAUGCCAGAUGAGUCACACGUACUUCGGUGGGACUCAGUUUAGUUGGACGAGGGAUUGACGUUUGUAGAGGAGCCAACGUCUAUUUUGGCGAGGGAUGUCAGGCGGUUGCGCUCCAGGGAUAUUCUGAUAGUUAAGAUUCAAUGGCGUCACCGUCCAGUUGAGGAGGCUAGUUGGGAGAUCGAGCAUGAUAUACGAGCCCAUUAUCCCUAUCUGUUUGAGGCUUCAGUUAUUUAUUCAUCUUUUACUUUCGCGGACGAAAGUCCUUUUAGUAGUGGAUGUUGUAAUGACCUAUACGGUCAUUUUACUGUAUUUUUAUAUAAUUUUAGUAAUAUCUAAACGUUUCGUGGUUUAUUUAAUUUAAUUUGGCAUUUGAUAGAAAUAUAAUUUAGUACCCUUAUAGAAUAUUUCGAUAUUGAUAAAAUUCUUUUAAGUGAUGAUAUAUUUAUAUCAGUUUAUAAUGGACUUUUAUGAUUUAUUAAUAUUUUAGGCGGAGAUAGUAAUUUUAGAAAUGUUAAAAUAUUAUUGUUAUAUAAUAGAGGUUUUGUUAGAAAUAAUUUUCUAUCAACUAUGGUAUAUUCCAAAUAUUAUAAUUAUUUUACCAAGAAUUUAAUAUCUUAAUAUGUACGCGGAGUAGAAAAUUAUUACUUGUGGCUAAUUACCACCACACGUGUGGGAAGGAUGUGGACAACAACACGUUGUUAUUUCGCAACCGUACACAUGUCCCUUGACCAUUUGAAUGUGUCUUUUUCUUCUUUCAUAUAUAUCGACUCUUAUGUGUAUAUAUACACACACUUAGUAGUAGUGCUAUUCAAUAAAAAUUUUCUUUUUUGUCUCUUAUGUGUAUAUAUAUAUACACACUAAGUAGUAGUGCUAUUCAAUAAAAAAUUUCUUUUAAAAAAAAGGCUAAUCAAGUGCUCUUAUAUAUGCAUGUUUAUAUAUAUUCUAUAGCAAAGUUUCUGGGUGAAAAUAUUUUGCAUUAUUUCAUCAUCAAAUUAAAAUUUAUUAUUUAAGCUCGGAUCUUAGUAGCGUUAUUCACAGGCUUCGCGGACAGAUAUUAUAGCUUUGGCGUCCAGGUAGACUAGGUUUACCCUAUUUUUAGAUUGAGCUUACUGACCGAAAAUGUUAACUAUUAUGUUAGCUUUGGAUAAGUGCUUGUAGAUACGUAUUAUUUUAUAUGUAUAAGUUGUCUUAUUUAUUCAGAUUGGGACCUCGUUGUAGUAGAUUUUGGUAUUUUACCUUUCGAUAUAAUAUAGCACCUAUCACUUUGGGACAUAAAAUUUAAUUGCAAAAUCUUUAAUUUAGCCCUUUUUAAAAUUGGUGGAUGAUUAUUUAGACGUUGACAUUGUUAUAAUAUGGAAUGUAUUUUAAUAUUAUUAGUGGUUUAUGGUUACUGUAAAUUCAGGUUCGAGUCCGGCAAAUGAUUAUAAUGAUUACUAUCAGUCCCGAUUCGAGUCCGGCAAUUGACUAUUAUAGUUACUAUGAAUUUCGAUUUGAGUCCGACAAUUGACUAUUAUUGUUACUAUGAGUGCCGGUUCGAGUCCGGCAAUUGACUAUUAUUGUUACUAGAGUUUCGGUUCGAGUCCGGCAUUUGACUAUUAUUGUUACAAUGAGUUCUAGUUAGAGUCCGGCAUGUGAUUAUAGUUGGGGUUACUCUGAGUUUCGGUUCAAGUUCGGCAUCUGAUUAUUUAUGUUUACUUUCAUCACUUGUGUGUCCCACCGGCUUAUGGGGGUACGGUUGGGUUAAUGGUCUUCUUCAGUGUGCCUAGCGGGCUUAUGGGGGCUCAGUUAGGUUAUGUUUGAUUUAAUUAUUGUUACUGCAUUAUUAUUUUUUUGUAUCGUACAAGUUUAUUCCUUUACAGUCGUUGCAUAGCUUAGUAGUUGUUUACCUUCCAUCCUUAUUUACUAAUAACUCAGAUUACGUCCUUGCAUUGUAGUUACACCUUUACUGUAUUAAGCUCAGUCGGUCGAUGAUGCCUACUGAGUACCCGUGAUUUUUGGUACUCAUACUAUACUUGAGCAUCUUUUUCCUGAUGCUGAUCUAGGUACUAGCUGUCGGCGUUGACGUGGUUCCUACCUUUCAGUGCUAGUUUAGAGUGAGGUGAGCUUACUGUCGUCCGAGGAUGACCCUCCUCUAUCUACUCUAGUUAGUUUUUUUCACUUGAGACUACUUGUGUACAUUUUAGAUUUUUUUUUUAGUACUCUGGGUACCCGUUAGUAGUGGCUCUAGUACUGACCUUAUCAGGUCUUGGGAGGGAUUCAUUUGAAUAAUUGGUCCUUUUUCCUCCUCUCGUUUUGAUAUAAUACAUAUGCUUUCUUCUUAGUUUUCACUUAUUAUUGUGGUUUUUAUUAUCAUACGUGAUCUUUUAUUUUGUCUCUUCCUAUUAGCCCAUUACCUAUCAUUCCGGGCUAUAGUUUGUCUUGCAUACUGGUGGGAUAAGGUAGGCACCAUCACGACUUGAGAUAUCGGGUCGUGACAAAGGGGUGGCUUUUGGGGAUACAGUGCAGGAUUAAACAAAGGGCAGAAGCAAUUUUCAAGUUCCACCCUUAUGCAAUAUUCAUAUCAAAAGGAAACAGUCAGAUUUAUUGCAACCAGCUAGAAUUUCUGAAGACAGAAUCAUACACAAAUCAAGUGCUAAAAGAGAAAAGAGAACCAUUAUAAAAAUGUUCAAUGUUCAAGAAGUUGAAUCUUGAUCUUCUGCAGCAUCGCUACAACAUCUUUCAUGUUAGUCCUUCUUACCGGAGAUUCAGCACAACAAUCUAAUGCUACUGUGAGGAUUGAUGCCACAACAUCUAGCUCCUUCUGUAAGCCUUUACCUAUUGCUGCUACCAAGUUGGCAUCUACGACAUCCAUUACUGCCUUUGGGAGUGAGUAACUCACCCAUUGUUUCAAGCUAAGAUCUCCCUCAAACUCAUUAGGCUUUCUCCUAGUAAACGUUUCCAGCAACAUGAUCCCGUAACUGUAUACGUCGCACUUUCUUGACACUAGUCCAUCCAUUCCAUACUCUACAGUCAAACAAUUAAUUUAAAGGUGCAAUAGACUUUCUAGCUGGAAAAAAAAAAAGGAAAAUCAACAAAAAUAAGAGACGUACCCGGUGCAAUAUAACCUAGUGUUGCUAAGGUUUUAGUGUACAAAUCACCCUGAUCUUCACCAAGCAGUUUUGAAAUGCCAAAGUUGCUAAGGUGGGCAACCAUAUCCUCAUCCAGCAAGAUGUUACUAGGCUUCAGAUCACAGUGGAUCAUAGGCGACGAGCACCCAUGGUGAAGAUAUUCCAAAGCACACGCCACAUCUAUCAUUAUGCUUAGUCUCUGCUUGGUAUCGAGGAAGUAGUUGUGUGAAUACAAAUAUUUCUCAAGACUCCCAUUAGGCAUAUACUCGAGAACUAAAGCCUUGAAAUCAAGAUUGGAACAACUAGUAAUGACUUUUACGAGAUACCUAUGGUGAAGGCUAUGCAAAACUUCACAUUCCGUAUCAAACUCUUGAAUGCCGCAUCCAGUUGCAUAUUGAACACUUUAACUGCAAUGGUAGUUCCACUUUAGAGUAUGCCUUUGUAAACAGAGCAAAAACUUCCAGAACCAAUCAAAUUACUCUCACUAAGACCAUCCAUUGCUUGGAGCAGUUCAUAGUAUGAAAUUCUUUCUCGUUUCUUUGUAGCCAAUGAAUUUGCUUGUUGAGUAGCUCUUUUACCUCUUCUAUACCUUAUCCAUACAAACACAAAUAUGACAGGAACAAAUAAAAAGAUAUAGAACUAACAAUUUUUUUCCUGUUCGAUUUGUGCUUUGAUGAAGAUGGGCAUGAUGGGACACUAAAUCUUGAAGAACCACACAAUGCUUCAUUGUAGAUGAAAAAUUGACUCGAGAGGUUCUUGAAAGGACUCCCCAAGGGUAUUUUACCAUACAAUUGGUUUUCUGAAACAUUGAAAUACUUGAGGUAUUGAAGUUUCUCCAAAGACAUGGGAAUCAUUCCCGAAAUAUUAUUGUGAGAAAGGUCUAGGAAUUCUAAACCAACCAUGUUGCUCAUUGAGUCAGGUAUAGAUCCUUGAAACUUGUUGUGUCUCAAAGAAAGGAGUGCCAGAUUUUGCAAUCUUCCAAUUUAUCUAGGAAUUUCAUUUGAGAAUUGGUUCAUUGAUUGAUCGAUCUCUAUUACAGCCUUCUGAUUUCCAAUUUCUGGAGGCAAAGAACCUACCAUGUUGUUUGAUGAUAAGUCAAGAACCACUAGAUCCUGAAGGUUCCCUAUGCUUGGUGGUAUAGUGGAACUCAAUUCAUUGGAACCCAGAUGUAUCUCCCUAAGGAAGUAAUAUUUCCUAAACAAUUAGGAAUAGAUCCUGAAAGCUGAUUUUGACCCAAGUAAAUUUCACCCAAAUGCUGCAAUUUACAUAUAUGAUCACCAAUAAAUACUGUAAGUUUGUUGUUACUCAAUUUGAAGCACUAAAUGUUUCUCAAGUUUCCAAUUGUCGUGGGAAUCGAUCCAGCCAAGAUGUUCUCAGAAAGAUCAAGGUCUAAUAAACUGCUUAAGUUCCCAACUUCCUUUGGAAUUUGCCCAUUGAUUUUACAACUUCUGGCAUUAAAUUUUAUUAGAGAUGUGGAAAAGUUCCCGACAGAGACUGGAAGCAUGUUGUUUAGAGGGUUGAAAGAUAGAUGUAGAGUUGUUAAAUUUUUGCAAUUGGGUAAGGAAGUAAGGAAGCUUCACGAAGAGUCCCUGGUUAAAUUAUUUUCUCUCAUGUUUAGGAACCGUAGAUGAGUCAAAUAUCCAAGAGAGAUAGGAAUCAAGCCAGUGAGUUUGUUGUAUGAAAGAUCUAGAAUAGUAAGUUCUGAACAAUUGGAGAUAGAAUAAGGAAUAGUUCCAACAAGAUUGUCGAAUGAAAUACAAAUCUCUUCAAUGUUGGGUAAGUGUAACGCCUCGAUUUUCUGAACUGAAAUGCUACACGGUGCUCAUGACCCCGAAGGACCACAAGCUCCCAUGACUAAUAUCUGUACCUAUAAACUGCAUAAUAUCUCAUAAAAUAUACGAAAACAUGAACUGUAAGGCCAUAAGGUUCAAUACUGAUACAUAUAUGAAAAACAUGGUAUAACAAUACCAAAAAGAAACAUAAAUACUGAAUUCUGAACAUCUAAUCUGAAAUCUAGUCCAAAAGCGUCUAACUGAACUGAAUAAAGAGUUGAAGGAACAUAUCUCCAACUAACUCCAUGAACUGAAAAACUAGUCUGAAAUACUGUAAUAAAGUAAUAAUAAUAUUGUCAUCGAAUGAAGAGGAGCACUGACUGCUGAAAUCUGCAAUGCUACUACUGCUCUGAAACUCGUACCUCUGUACCUAUGGAGUCAAAUAAAACACCAUAGCGCGAAUGCAUCAGUACGACUGAAUGUACUGAGUAUACGAGUGAGGAAGGCUAAGUGCAAAGGGUUUUAUAUGCAUGAGCAAUGCUGACUAUAUAAAUGUGAGAAUACAUACAUACAUAUGUAACUACAACUAAAAUUGUGGUGAUACUAACUACUGAGUCUGAAUACUGAAAACAUGAGUUUACUGAUGCUGAGAUACUGAAUGACUAAGUUUACUGAUAUUGGUAUGUAAUUCACUAAUAAGUGAGGAACUGAUACUGUAUUACUAAAACUGGGAGACUGAUACUAUAUUACUGAUAAAGGAAUGAUUGUUUCUGAUAGUUUUGAUUAUGAGAACUGAUUUAAUUGACCGUAUAUAACAGUUCUGAAACUGAGUUCGUGAUAACACGACUACUGAGUAUGAAUACUGAUGACAUGUAUUUACUGAUAACAUAUCAUGAAUGAUAACUGAAUUCUGAUAACUGAUAUAUCUGAUAACAUGAGUUCUAAUAACUGAUAGCAUGAAUGACUGUAUCUGAUAGUCCUAAAUCGAUGGAACUAGAUGAGUUCCGCACUGUAUCUGAGUUGACUGUAUCUGACAGUCCUGAUAUCCUAAAGAACUAUUUCAGUUCUUUUACUGAGACUAAUAUUGAAACUAUGGGAAGUAGUUAUCUAACCGACAUGCCCCAAAUACGCUAUAAUAGCUAAGCUGGGGUCCAAUUUUUGCCCUGAUUAGAAGGGUGUCAAUAUCACACCAUUGGUAAGGACAAGCUGUGAGUGACCCUUAUCUGGCAGGUACUCUAAUGAGAACGGUGAGAACCCUCAUCUGACAGGUUAAGCCACCUCAUCUAACCUCAACUGACAGGUACUGAUGUCUCAACCUAUGCUGGCUACAUAGUUCUGAAAUGCAAGGACUACUUCUAAGAAUCACAACCUCUACUAGCAGGUGAGUUCCCAUCCUUGAGUUCGCUCGGUGUUGAAUCCUACUCCCAAAUGAGUGACACUGAACUGAUUAUAACUUUUUGAAUAUUUUAAACUUUGAGAGAUGCUAUAUGUUAAUGGAAAGAUCUUUUAGUCUUCUUUCUAAUGAAAUUGGUUUCAUCCAAAUCCAACAUUUGAGUAAAAAUAUAUGAUCAAUUUACUACAUCCUAUAAAAACUGUCAAUAGAGGGACAACUUCGUCUUUUUUUUCAUAAGGGUAAUUUGGUCAUCCUCCACCCCUAUAAACACCCCAAACACGGGAUUAAGGCUCAUUUGAAGCAAAAUAUACUCUUUUCUUCCAUUUUCUCUCAAGAACUCAAGAUAGGGUUUCCAUAGAAGAUCCAAGUUCAAGCAAUUCUCUCCGUCAAUCUUCCUAAAAUCAAGAACUAAGGUAUGCAUAGUGUUCAUCCAUGCAUUCCUUUCAUAAAUCAAGAACUAAGGUAUGCAUAGUGUUCAUCCAUGCAUUCCUUUCAUCCAUGGAGCUCAAGAAUCAAGUUUUAAAUCAUGUAUUGUGAAUACUUUGUUCUGUUAUGAUUAUGUUAAUGUUUAUAGUUGUUGUAUGGUUUCAAGUUAGGAUCUUUAUGUAUUUCCAUGAAACUAUGUUAGCCUAUAAAUUGAAAUAUAUGAAUUAUGUUGUUUAUGUUGUGGAUUGUUGAUGAUCAUGUUGUUGAUGUUGAAUGAUUCCCAAGUUGAAAUCUUUUUGUGUUAUUAUGAAUCUAUGACAUCAUAUGAGUUGGAAAUAUAUAAAUUUGGUUGUCUAUAAUGUAUAAUUUAAUGAUUUCACCUAUGCCUAAGAUGUGCAUGUAAGGUGUUUGAUAAAAUGCCUAAGCAACUAGAAAUCAUGCAAUAUAGCUAACUUGUGACUAAGUGAAAGAAUUCAUGAUAUGCCCUUAUAUUCCAAUGACUUCCAUGUUGAUACUAUGUCUUGUAAAUGUUGUUGGAUUUCUCAUGAACUAGUCUUAUGAGAUUAUGCUAUGCUUACUUGCAAAUACUACUUAUGCACAAGAUGUAUGAUAAAUAUGUAUUCCAUGAAAUCCCCCAAGUUAUGGUAUUAUAGAUUGUUAAUGUUGAUUAUGUACUCAAGAAUGUUAAGUCAUGUCAGUUUCCUUCCAUCGAGUCCUGGGGGUACUUGUACCCGAAAAAUAUAGUUGUGUGCCUAGAGCCAUGUCAUGUUUUCAUGAUACUCUCAGUCAAGCCAUGUUCAGUAGACUUCAGUCAGUCUCAUGACUCAGGAAAACUCAUGUAAAGGCAGUACCAAUUCAGUUUUACUCAGUACUCAGUAAUCUACAUAAUCUCAGUAAUAUUUCGUAAGUUUAUGGAAUUUAGUAAAUCUCAGUAUCAGUACAGUAUAGUUUAGUAUUCAGUUCAGACAUCAGUAAACUCAGUCAGCUAACAGAACUCAGUAGCAUUUAGUCAGUUAACAGAAUUCUGUAGUGUUCUGCUAGUCAUCGGAACUCAAUAAACUCAGUCCAUGUUCAGUUCAGUCAAACAGAACAAUCAGUAAUAGUUUAGUUAAGUCUAGUAUAAACUAGGAAAUCAGUUCAGUAUAAUCAGUUCAGUGUCAUUCAGUUGGGAGUAGGAUUCAACACCGAGCGAACCCAAGGAUACGAACUCACCUGCCAGUAGAGGGUAUGAUUCUUAGAAGCAGUCCUUGCAUUCCAGAACUAUGUAGCCAGCAUGGGUUGAGACAUCAAUACCUAUCAGUUGAGGGUAGAUGAGGUGGCUUAACCUGUCAGAUGAGGGUUCCCACUAUUCUUAUUAGAGUACCUGCCAGAUGAGGGUUACUCACAGCUUAUCCUUACCAGUGGUGCGGUAUUGACACCCUUCUAAUCAGGGCAGAGAAUAGACCCCAGCUUAGCUAUUAUAGCUUAUUUGGGGCAUGUCGGUUAGAUAAAUACUUCCCACAGUUUCAGUAUCAGUCUCAAUAAAAGAACUCAGAUAGUUCUUCAGGAUAUAUGGACUGUCAGAUACAGUCAACUCAGAUAGAGUUCGGAACUCAGCUAGUUCCAUCAGAUUUAAGACUGUCAGAUACAGUCAUUCAUGCUAUCAGUUAUCAAAACUCAUGUUAUCAGAUAUAUCAGUUAUCAGAAUUUAGUUAGCAUUCAUGAUAUGUUAUCAGUAAAUACAUAUCAUGAGUAUUCAUACUCAGUAGUCAUGUUAUCAUGAGCUCAGUUUUAAGACUAUUAUAUACGGUCAAUCAAAUUAGUUCUUCAUAAUCAGAGCUAUCAGAAACAAUCAUUCCUUUAUCAGUAAUAUAGUAUCAGUCUCCCAGUAUUUAGUAAUACAGUAUCAGUUCCUUACUUAUUAGUGAAUUACAUAUCAAUAUCAGUAAACUCAGGCAUUCAAUAUCUCAAUAUCAGUAAACUCAGUCAUUCAGUAUCUCAGCAUCAGUAAACUCAUGUUGUCAGUAUUCAAACUCAUUAUUCAGUAUCAACACGAGUUUAGCUGCAGUUACAUAUGUAUGUAUGUAUUCUCACGUUCAUAUCAGUCAGCAUUGUUCAUGCAUAUAAAACCAUUUGAUUUAGUCUACCUCACUCGUAUACUCAGUACAUUCAGUCGUACUAAUGCAUUCGUGCUAUGGUGUUUUAUUUGACGCCAUAGGUACAGAGGUAUGAGUUUCAAAGCAGCAGUAGCAUUACAGAUUUCAGCAGUCAGUGCUCCUCUUCAUUCGAGGACAAUAUUAUUAUUACUUUAUUACAGUAUUUCAGAUUAGUUUUUUAGUUCAUGGAGUUAGUUGGAGACAUGUACAUUCAACUCCUUAUUCAGUUCAGUUAGAGGCUUUCGGACUAGAUGUCAGAUUAGAUGUUCAGACUUCAGUAUUUAUGUUUUUUUUGGUAUUUUUAUACCAUGUUUUUCAUAUAGGUAUCAGUAUUGAACCUUAUGGCCUUACAGUUCAUGUUUCCAUAUAUUUUAUGUGAUAUUAUGCAAUUUACAGGUACAGAUAUCAGUCAUAGGUUAGCUUGUGGUCCUUCGGGGUCAUGAGCACCGUGUAGCGUUUCAGUUCAGAAAAUCGGGGCGUUACAAUAUGAAGUGGGGUGGGGUGGUUUAGGAAGAUGAUACAAGGUGGGGGGGGGUUUAUUAAUAUUUUUUAUUUAAAUUAAUCAUAUAAAAAUUAUUUUUAUAAAAAUGACAAGUGUCUUUUUAUAAUUGGUCCUUUUUUAUAUGUUUUAGUGUUUUUUCAAAAAAAAAAUUAUAGGUGGAUAUAUUGAUGUGGCAAUUUAAAUAAGUUGACACAAAUUAAUUGGUCGUUUGUUCACGUUGGCAGCGAGUGAGACACACUUACUGGUGCUGGUAUCGAAAGGUGUCAAAGUGACACGCUUUAUAGCUUCUUGAGGUGCAAAAAGUGAACAACGUCCAUUUGAGGUGUCUAAGUGAAAGUUCGUGCCAAGUUUAGAGGGUCACCGAUGGGUUUGGCCUAAAAAAUAACUCACUUCUACCCUUAAUUAUCCGAUUUCUCUCUAAAAGAAAUUAUAUUUCUCAGUUUUCUUCUACUCCAAAGUAGUGAAAGGUUGAAUUUUCGUCGAUCAAGUAAGCUAUUAUCUAAAAAAAUUUAUUUUUUGGUGUAUGUUAAAAAUAUGAAAUUAUUUUUUUCUAGUUAGUGUUUCAUAGUAGUUUUCGAUUAAGGUUUUGAGGAGACUUACAUGCACAACUACGUUUCUUAUUAUAAUUAACGAGGUAAGAAAUUACAAUUUAGGUUAGGGGCGUGCAAAAAUCAAACCGAUAAAAAUGUUAUUGAUUUAUCGUUAUAGGGUUAAUGAUUUUUUAAUGAUUUUAUAAAAAAAAAAUUAUUGGAUCAUUGAUUCUAUUUUGAUUUUUAUUAUUGGAUUAUCGAUUAAACCGAUAAUCCAAUAAGUUUAUGCUAAAUUAUUAUUAUUUUAUAUAUAUAUAUAUAUAUAUAUAUAUUACACCCAAUAAGUAGGAUUUUGGUUGCGACUAAGAUUCGAUUUCUUUUAAUGUUAGUUACUACUUUUUCUAUUUUUUUAUUUUAUGAGUAUUUUUUUAUCGGUUAAAUCAAAAAUUAAAUCUUUAGAGACUAAAAAUCGAUAAUCAAUAUAACUACAUUCUCUUUAUUAUAAGUAUGAGUCUUAAUUUCUUUAGUAUUUAUUAAAAUAUCUGCGUUGAUAUUUAGUACAGUUUUUUAGUUACAAUAACUCAUAUGAUAUGUAUAAUUAAGAUUACAAAAUUGAAAGAGUUUCAUAUGAAUGGAAACUGAAGUUUUAGAUUGGAUUAAUAAACAGAUGAAUUUUCUUUUUAGAUUAAUAAAUGGAAUUUUUACAAAAUUAAUAAAUGGAUGAAAUUUCUAUUUCAUAAUGUAAUUAAUAAACUGGAGUUUUAAAAAACUAAUAAAUGGAUGAAUUUUUUUUUAGAUUGAAAGUAAUGGAGGAAGAGGGAUAGUUAAAUUUUUUGAAAAAAUUAAAGAAAAAUGAUUGUUUUUCUAUUUUUAAUCAUGAAAAAUGUUGAUUUGGCCCAAAAAUACUCCAUCACGCGCGUGAUGGAUUUGGCCCAAAAAAUACUCCAUCACGCGCGUGAUGGAGUGUGACUACAAAUAUUUUGCCACAUCAGCAAAAAACGGCCACACGACCUACUAAAACAACAAGUUCAGAAGGGUACUUAGAACAAGUCAAAGUUGAGGUGUAACAUGAAUAAAACUUGACAAGUUCAAGGGUAAUAGAUUCUUCUCUCUAUAUUAAAUAUACAUGCUUGGUAUGGCCGGGAAAAGGUCUCGGUUUCUGGGGACGUUAAGUCAUAUAAUAAUCAUAGUGAGUCAGCACAAUACAUAAAUAAAAUUGCACCAGAGAGACAACAGUUGUAAACAAGAGCAUUUCAAACUGCAAUGUUUUACCAUUCUAAUCAUUUGAUGGUCUGCUCCCAAUAUAACAGAACCGGAGCAGGUCUCAUGUUCCAAACACUCCAUUCUUUCGUUAUCUUUCCUCCAGUCUAACUAAAUAACACUUGUUCUAACUUCAUGUUCUCUGAGGCCUCUGGUUUGAAAGCAAAUGUAGAUAAGAGUCGAGUCUAUUCUGGUGGGGUAAAUGACCAUACCAAAAGAAGUAUCCUAGCUCUGCUUGGCUAUGAGGGUAGUGAGCUUCCUUUCAAGUAUAUAGGUAUUUCAUUAUCCAUUAAAAUACUCACCGUUCUGCAACGCAAACCCCUACUGUCAAAGAUUACUGCCAAGAUCAAUACAUAGAUGGUCAAAUUCUUAUGAUGCCAAAGAAAGCAAUCAAGUUGAUAGAGGCUAUCCUGGGGAAGCUACAAUAACAAGGAAUUCUGUUUGGCCCGAUCACCCUACGGGAAUGACUCUCCUUUUCCUAAUAUGAACCUUGAGUCAUCAAAGCCUUUCUGACCAGCCUGGCCCGAUCACCCUACGUGAUUGGUGCUUCAAAAGACGAAACUCUCAAUCGUAGUUUGGUAGGCCACUCUAUGCGACUGGAACUUCAAAAGACGAAACUUUCGAUCGUAGUUUGGCGACCUAUCUUUAGUAGGGCCUUUAGUCUUUUGAUUAGAGUAGGGGUUGCAAAAAAGCAGAGCGUGCCACUUAGCCAUAGUCACUCAAAAAAUAAAUGAAAUGCCUAGUAACUGAACUAUCAGCUCCAGCAUGUCAUAAAUGACUUGAGGUAGCUAUGAGAAAGAUAUAAAUGGCCAAAUAGUGCAAAAUUUAGAAAAUAAGCUGGAGUGUCAUUAAAACCUUCAACAUGGAGCCUUCCUCUUUUGAACGGUCUUAGAAUGAGAUAAGACAUAGAAAUAUAGAAUUUGCUAAAACUUACAAAUAUAGAAUCUAUACGUUAAAAGGAAGCUAAUGAUACCCAUAUCAUUUAUAUUUAAGAUGGGUCGAAAAUGAGUUAAAAAAAACAGUCUAAAAUGAAAGGACUAAAAUCAGAAUUUUAUUUUAGAAAUAUGUUACCAAGAUUAUAGGAGUCUAAGUUGAAAAUUCAAGUGAAAACGAGUAAAAAAUGAGGCUUAAAUUGAAGGGGAAAAAACCAUUUUAAAGCUUUACUGAUAAAAGUUCUCGUAUUCUAGUUUGAAAUCAUGAUUAAAAGGCAUUUUCAAAGAUAUAAUCAAUAGAAAAUGAAAGAACAAUGAAUUAGAAUCUUACCCAAGCAAGAAUAGUGAGGAAAAAUCCUAGAAAUCGCCUAUUCCUGAAGCUCCAAGUUCAAAAAAUGUUGGAAAUCGCGAAAAAAAAAGAAGCAUUUAUACUGUUCAGUGAAUAAUACUUUGUGAUCGCAAUUCCCACCUCGCGAUCGCGAAGGUGAACAUUCACUAGAACUUAAGUUGGCCACCGUAGAGAGAGACUUUACGACCGCGAUGGUCAAACCCGACUCGGUCCAUCAAUUUACCUAUUGCGAUUGCGGCACCACCACCACGCAAUCACAAUGAAGGAGAUCAUCGAUGUUUGCGGUCAUGACAUGUGUUCAUGCAAUCAGGAUGAAGAACCUGAUGCACCAGAAAAUGCAACAUCAUCAGAUUUUCCAAGUAAAAGAAAUCACUUCGAACGGUCCCUCUCGGGACCCCACAGAAACAAAUCAUAACUGUAAAAGAUUCUGAAUAUUAACCAACCCCUCUACUCACCCAAAAUUGAUGUUCUGUAUCUAAUGAAAAUGUCCAAAUCGCCGUUAGAUACUCAAAUCAUAAAAUAUUGAUUGAAGUCAAAUUCAUGGCUUUCAAAGACUCUAAAAGUCUCCAACUCUGAAAUCAUUUCAGAAUGCAUGGGAGAUUGUGCUAACCAUCCCCACACCUCACAAUCUGCUUGUAACGACUGUGAGAAAAGCCACAAUAAUCAAAACGUACACAUAAAAAUUGAAAAUUUUACAUAGCAGGUUGUUACAAGUAGCAGGGUUAGUAAUUCUAGGACUGCGUCCACAGGUAGGAGACUCUAGCAGGAGAAUUUGGGUGGGGUGGGUGUCUUUAGGCUUGUGAUUGUAUGUUACUACUAGGUGGGUGUCCUAUUUCUUAUUUCUUACUUCCUAUUUCGUAUUUAGUAUUGCUCGUAUUUCUCUUAUUUAGUAUUGCUCGAUCAGGAGGUAACGGGUUCGAGCCUCUGAAACAGUCUCGUACAGAUAUGCAAGGUAUGGUUAUGUACGAGCUAGAACUUUGUUGACCAGGCUGCCCUUCUAUUGGCUUCAACAACAAUUACUUUCCUCAUAAAUCUGUUAUAGUUCUCUGAGUUUACGCCCCUUGUACAGUCAAACAGUGAGAUUUAUUGUAACCAUCUAGCAUACCUGAAAGCAAUUAAUUUAUAUAAUAUUAAGAGGAAUUAACACCUUGCAAACAAUAAUACUAAGAGGAAACAGUGAGAUUUAUUGCAACCAUCUAGCAUUUCUGAAACAAAUCAAGUGCUAAAACAAAACAAAACAACAAUCAUGUGAUUUGGAACAACAGAUUCCAAAUACAUGCUCAACAUGCAAGGAGUUGAAUCUCGAUCUUCUGCAGCAUCCCUACAACAUCUUUCAUGUUUGUCCUUCUUGCCGGAGAUUCAGCGCAACAAUCUAAUGCUACUUUCAUGAUCGAAGCCACAACAUCUAGCUCCUUCUGUAAGUGAUUACCCAUUGGUGUUACCAAGUUGACAUCUACAACGUCCAUUACUGCCUCUGGGAGUGAANNNNNNNNNNNNNNNNNNNNNNNNNNNNNNNNNNNNNNNNNNNNNNNNNNNNNNNNNNNNNNNNNNNNNNNNNNNNNNNNNNNNNNNNNNNNNNNNNNNNNNNNNNNNNNNNNNNNNNNNNNNNNNNNNNNNNNNNNNNNNNNNNNNNNNNNNNNNNNNNNNNNNNNNNNNNNNNNNNNNNNNNNNNNNNNNNNNNNNNNNNNNNNNNNNNNNNNNNNNNNNNNNNNNNNNNNNNNNNNNNNNNNNNNNNNNNNNNNNNGAGAACACCUUUGUAAACAGAGCCAAAACAUCCAAAACCAAUCAGAUUACACUCACUAAGGUCAUCCGUUGCUUGGAGCAGUUCAUAGUAUGAAAUUCUUUCUCGUGUUACCGUAGAAAAUGACUCAGCUUGUUGAAGAGCACUUUUACCUCUUCCAUACCUUGUCCAUAGGAGCACAAAGGCCAUAGUAACAAAUACAACUGCAAUUACGAGCAAAAGAAAAAGAACUAGCAAUUUUUUCCUAUUUGAUCUGUUCUUUGAUGAAGUGGGGCAUGGCAGGACACUAAAUCUUGAAGAACCACACAAUGCUUCAUUGUAGAUGAAAAACAGACUCAAGAGGUUCUUCAAAGGACCUCCCAAGGGUAUUUCAUCAUACAAUUUGUUGACAGAAACAUUGAAAUACUACAAGUUUUGAAGUUUCUCCAAAGACUUAGGAAUGAUUCCAGAUAUAUUGUUAUGAGAAAGGUCUAGGAAUUCCAAUCCUACCAUGUUGCUCAUUGAGUCAGCUAUAGCUCCUUCUAACUUGUUGUGUCUCAAAGAAAGAUACGCCAAAGUUUGCAAGCCUCCAAUUUCUCUAGGAAUUUCAUUUGAGAAUUGAUUCACUGAUAGAUCUAUCAGUGUCGCAACCUUUAGAUUUCCAAUUUUUGGAGGUAAAGAACCUACCAUAUUGUUUGACGAUAAGUCAAGAACCACUAGAUCUUGAAGGUUCCCUAAGCUUGGUGGUAUAUUGGAGCUCAAUUUAUUGGAACCCAGAUGUAUCUCCCUGAGGGAAGUAAUAUUCCCUAAACAAUUAGGAAGAGAUCCUAAAAGUUAAUUUUGACCCAAGUAAAUAUCACCCAGAUGCUGCAAUUUACAUACAUGAUCUCCAAUAAGUCCUGUUAAUUUGUUGUCACUCAAGUUGAAGCGCUGAAGGUUUCUCAAGUUGCCAAUUGAUGUUGGAAUCGAUCCGACCAAGUUAUUUCCAGAAAGAUGAAGGUCUAAUAAACUGCUAAAGUUCCCAACUUCAUUUGGAAUUCGCCCUUUGAUUUUGCAAUUUUUGGCGUAAAAUUUUCUGAGAGAGGUGGAAAGAUUCCCCGUGGCGGCUGGAAGCAUUCCAUUUAGAGUGUUUAAAGAUAGAAAAAGAAGUUUUAAAUUUCUGCAAUAGGUUAAGGAAGUCAGGAAGCUUAAUGAUGAAUCGCUGGUCAAAUUGUUUCCCUCUAAAUUUACUAAUUGUAGAUGAGUCAAAUAUCCAAGUGAGUUGGGAAUCAAGCCAGUGAGUUUGUUGCCUGAAAGUUCUAGAAUAGUAAGUUUUGAACAAUUGGAGAUGGAAUGAGGAAUAGUCCCAACAAGAUUGGUUAAGUUCCUCAGAUAAAGCUCUUCAAUGUUGGGUAUGACAGAACACAUGUUUGGUGGGAGGGUUCCUGAUAGACUGUUGACUGAAAGAGAAAUCACUGUCAGCCUUGAUAUGUUGAAGAUCUCCAUAUCAAGUGAACCACUAAAUCUAUUAUACGGAAGAUAAAGUUCCUCCAACUCAAUGAGAUUGCUUAUCUCUUUGGGUAUUUCACCUGGAAACACACAUAGUGGAUUACUAGUGAGUUGGUUCAAUCUAUUUUUGCAAAGAUAUAAGAGUUGCAUCUUGUUUAAGUUGUCAAUUUCCCAUGGUAGAGUCCACUAAGAUUUUAACAUUUAUAUUGUUGACCAUACGAAAGUAUUAAAAGAAAAAAGAAAAAAAAUAAGUAUAGAAGAUAAAAACAUACCUGUGAAAUCAUUUUUCGAUAAAAACAAUUCUGGAAGUUGUGAACAAUUUGAUAAGCUUGUAGGAAUAUGACCAUGAAGCUUGUUUCUCACUAAAGAAAGCCCUUUGAGUAUUGGGAGACCAUUUCAUAUAAGUUUCAAUGUCUAUUUGUGCACAUCUAAAGUUGGAGGUCAUAGAUGUGAUAUGAAGACAAGUUAAGGAUAUGUUUAUUGUCUAUAUUUUACAAGAAAUUUUAAGAGUAGUUUCGUAUGAACUUUCUUCUAAUAAAAGAAUAUAUAAAAUUGUAAAAGAUCAAAAAUGUACCAAGCCUUGCAACUGUAAAUGUGGUGUCAAAUUUAUUCCUCUAAUCAGUCCAAAAGACUUCCAAGUUGCAUUCUACAAAAGUAAUGUAUAUUAACUAUAUAGAGAAUUUUAUGUGAUAGUAUAAUUAAUUAAUUCUAUUUUCUUUUUAGGUAAUAUAAAACACUGUCAAUUUUAUUUUUAUAAAAAAUUAAAGUCAUAAUACAUAAACAGAACCUUUAAUUUGACACCAAAUUAUAACUAUACCCUUUAACUUUGCUAGUGUAUAAGUAAGCCCUAUAACUAUAUAAAAGUUGAACAAAAAAACACUACAAUUUUGCAACUUACAAUCGUGAAACUCAAUCGCUCCUGUGUGGAUUAGUAAUCCACUCAGCUGCCACCUAAUGAAAAUGACACAUUAUAACUAUGACCUUUAACUUUUCCUGCACAAGUAGGUCUUUUAACUAUACAAAAGCUGAAAAAAAAACACUUCAAUUCUAACUCUGACGCACGUGGUUUUGAGUGUACACAGGCAAUCUUUCAAGGAUUUUUAUCUCCAGAAUUUGAAGAACUAGUAGGUGAUAUUUAAUUUCCAUAAAAUGGGCAAAGAAUGCAAUUUUAGACUUGACUCGCCUUUUCCUUGUUCUGUAGCAAUCUUAUAAUUAUUAUUGUCCUGUAGAUACUGAUUACUUAUAUAUUUAUAAUAUACGCUAAGCUCAAUAUGCUAAAUUGUGCUAAAGUAUUAAUUUCUUGCUAAUGGAGUUUGACGCUUUAAGAACAAAACAAUGCAGUUGGAAAGGAGAGAGGAGAAAAUUUUUGAUGAUGAAUUAUGUAUGAAUCUUGAACUGAAUUUGAAAAAUGAUUUUUGUUUUUAUCGCACUAAAACAAUUUCGCGUAAACUCUUGAUUACUUAUAAUGUUCCUCUCAGCACUAGUGCUAAAUGGUCCAUCUUACACAACUUUAACGCCCUGCAAUUCAGGCUACAAUAUAGACCAUGAUUUCGAUGCGUUGCUAAUCCCAAAGCCAUAAAUCCUAUGCCAAUAUAGCAUGUUAAUUAUUGUGUAGUAGGUGAAUCCGCUCAAGCUUGAAUUUAGACCAUAGAGGUCCUUCAACUCAAGGACGAGUUGAAACUAUUUCGAUCGACUAAGUUUUAGUCGACGUUGUAAAGUGUGUCAGCUUCCAUAGACCAUAACUCUCUUUAUAUAUUGAAUUAGGAAGCCUACUAUGUGUCAAAUGAUAGGUAUUCGAGUUAUCUUUCCAACGAUACCAAUUUGGCUAAAAUCCGACACCCGAGCAAAAAGUUAUGGCCUUUCAAAUUGAUAAGCGUCGCCUAACAAAUCGCCCAUGGCCACUGGAAAGCAUAGGCAAUAGACUAGGCGGCGCCUAUGUAAACAUAGGCAAUAGACUAGGAAGCGCCUAUGCACACAUCUGUGAACAUAGGCGAUAUCCUAGGCGGCGCCUAUGUGAACAUAGGCAACGGGAUGGGCGGCGCCUAUGUAAGGAAUUCUAGUGAUUUAAACACUCCGUGUUGAGGACAAAGUGGUCCUUUUCCACCCUUACUUAGCCCUAAAACACGAGAUUUAGUUCCAAGGACCCCAAAAUACAUAUUAUUUCAUCAAAAGUGCUCAAGAUUAUUCUUAGGGUUUCAAAAUAAAAAACCCAAAUAGAUCAAGAUUUCACCGUAGGUUUUCAAAGAUAAUUACAUAUUUGGAAUCAACAAUCCGCAAGCUUCAAGAAACACCUAAUAUCCUUGGAAAUAGAGGUAUGUGGGGUUAUUCAAAAAUCUCAUGGGUGUAAUUUUUAUUAACAUGCAUGCUUUUAAAUGGGGGUUUUCAAUCAAAUGCUAAUAUCUUGCUUUUAAUACGAUUUCUAAGUCGUUUUCUUUAUGUCAUGGGAAUUGUUUGCCUAUAUACUUCAAUGGUUGAAACCAUGCAUAUGUGAUUUGAAAUUUUCCAUGGAAGUUUGAUAAAUAUGAAUGAUAAAUUGUUUUCAAAUUCCCAUGAUAAUGUUUCGAUACUCCAUAUUAUAUUGUGAUCAACAAAAGAGAGCAUGAAUUUGAAAUUACUAUUGCUCACCACUUGUAAAUGAUGAAGCACCUUGGUUUUUACAUUAUUAUGCAUUUGUGUAUUUGAUAUUGAUGACUUGCAAGUUGGGUAUGACGAUACCCUACACAAUAUGACAUGUGAUUGAAUAAGAUGAAAUUUGAAUGCAUUGAUUUCACAUGAGAAAGGUGGAUGCCCGAAGAAGGCAUUUGAUACACAAGGGCUCAUCGCUGGAAAAACGGUUUUGCCGACACAGAAUAUUGGUACCAGGCUAAGUGAUCUUGUGUACUUGACUUCAUGUCAUUCCCAAAUUGGGACUAUAGGUAGGAGCAGGAGCCAAGUGAUCUUUGGCACUACCAUUGGGUCGAUACACCAUGCUGUGUGAUCUUGUGUGUCUCUCCCUCACUUAUACUCUAAUCUCGGUGGCAACCAAGGUUUGCAAGUUGGUGUAAAUUAUGUAGGGUAUUCCACCUAGCUCAGUUGUAUUUCAUUACUGUUGGGAAAAACUAUUGCAUUACACCCAUGUGCUUUCAAAUGAUUUGAUACAAAAUUGCUUUAUAAUGGCUCUCAACUAUAUUUUGUAAAAAUAUUAUGUUUUGCUUUGAUAUCUCUGCGUGCCAGUACUUUUGUACUGACCCCCUCCCCUCUCCAACCUCUCAUGUACAGAGGCCCAGUCUAGGGGUCAAGAGAACUAGUAGAUCAUUCAGAAAGAGUUGCAGAGACAAGUGGUGAGCCUUCGAUAUUUCGAAAGGUUUUAUUUCCUGCAGUCCUAUCAUCAUAUUCAGUUUUAGGGUCUGCUGGGGGCCUUGUCCCAGUUUUCAGAUAGACAUUGUUUCAGUCAUGUAGUAGAGAUUUCGCAGACGAUUUUUGAGAUGUUGAUUGAGAUUAUGGGACAUUAUUCCCCAUUAUUGUUUUCAUAUGAUUCUUGACCAUGUUUCCGUUAUAUUGUGUUUCUUCUGCAUUACUUCGAUCAUAUGAAUUAGGUGCAUGAUUACCAGAUAGAUAGGGGUGUUUUGGGCCUCCAUGGUUCGAAAUGCUCAUCACGGCCAGUCCUUGGUUCAGGUCGUGACAAACUUUAUAUCAAAACAUGGUUCAUGGUCCCAGGGUGUCUGCGAAAUUGCGUUAGGUAGAGUCUUGUUUAUAGGUGUUUAGCGCGCCAUACUUAUAAGUAGGACGCUGCUAGGCAUUUAGGAAAUAUUUCCCUUCUUUGUGAUUUAGUUCAUGCUUCAGAAUCUGAACUGUCCACUUAUCAAUGAUCACUUAUAUUUCAGAAACACAGUUAUGCCUCCAUGUCGUAUCAUCGAUCAGAAUGCUCAGGCUGAUGAGGUCCAUCCCACCCAUGGGAUGCGGACCCGUAAUAGGGCUCACACUUUUGAAUUUUUCCCUACUCCGAGAGUCCCUCCAGUCCCGACCAGUCCACCUCAGGCUCCGCGGACUAAUUCCAACCAUCCCCCAACUACUCAGGGACAUAUUUCAAAUGCAGAAUUCAGACGGUCUAUUCAUAUGGUGACACAGUUGGUAGCUAACCAGGCUCAAUGAUCGAAAGAUAUUGGUUCUGCAUCUGUUACAUCUGAGGCUAUUAGAGUCAGACAUUUCAUGAAGAUGAACCCACCUAAGUUCACUGUCACCAAGGUGGAGAAAGAUCCACAGGAGUUCGUGGAUGAGAUGGAAAAGAUCUUUAAGGUGAUGCAUAUGGAUGAGGUUGAAGGUGUGGAGCUAGCAACCUAUCAGCUCAAGGAUGUUGCAAAUCAGUGGUAUGCCGACUGGGAAGAUGAAAAAGGUGAAAGUGCUGAGCCCACAGUUUGGGGCAAAUUUGUGGAAGGUUUCCUUGAUCGAUUCUUUCCUCUGGAGUUGAGGGAGGCCAAAGCGGACGAGUUUAUGAAUCUGAAGUAGGGCAGUAUAAGUGUCCAGGAGUACACUUUGAAGUUUAAUAAACUAGCCCACUAUGCACUAGAGUUGAGUAGUAAUAUGAGGGCCCGGAUGAGGAAAUUUGCAUUUGGCCUUACUGAUGACCUUGUACUUGAGUUCCAGGGGGCUAUGUUGAAUAAAGAGUUAGACUUUGCACGACUGACCGUUCAUUUACAUCAAGUAGAAGUGAAGAAGAAAAGGAUUGCAGAAUCUAGAGAGAAAGACAGAUAGGCUAAGAGUUCUAGAUGUGUAGACUAGCACCAGAGUCAGUCGCAGAGUGGUAACUGGGGUAAUAAGUGGUCAAAGAAGAAGAAGUUUUGGAAUAAUGCAUAGUCAGAAGCCAGCGCCCCAGCACCCUGACCAGCGACAGACAGACAAACUCAGAGUUUUCAGACUCUUCAUGGGUCCAAAGCUCUAGGUACACAGUCUCAGGGCAGUGUGGCCCAACAGCAUUGUACUAGUCUGCUGUGUGAGGUUUGUGGAAGGAAUUAUCUAGAGAAGUGAUAGUUUGAGGGAAGAAACUGCUAUACUAGUGGCAAAGUGGGUCACCUUCAAAGAGAUUUUCCAUCUGCUGGAGUAACUGCGGGGGAGGGGGGGACUAAGUCCCAAGCCGCCUCCACAGCUCCUUUUCCUAAGGGUUCCCCUUCAACUGCCGAAAGCAGUCGCAACCGAUUAUACUGUUUGACUAAUCAACAGGAGGUGGAAUCUUCACCAGAUAUUGUCACCGGUAUCUUAUGAAUCUUUUCUCGUGAUGUUUAUGUAUUGCUUCAUCCCGGGUCUACUUUAUCUUAUGUGACCUCUUAUAUGGCUGUUGGUUUCGGGUUUGAGCCCUAAGUUAUUAUAGAACCCUUCUCUAUUUCUACUCCUGUAGGUGAUUAUGCUGUUGCUAGAAGGGUAUAUAGAAAUUAUGUCAUGUAUAUUCAUAGUAGGGAAACUGUGGCAGAACUUAUAGAAUUGGAUAUGAUAGACUUUGAUGCCAUCCUUGGGAUGGACUGGCUCCAUUCGUGUUAUGCCACACUUGAUUGUAGAACCCAAAAGAUCAAGUUUUGUUUUCCGAACAAGACACCAGUUGUAUGGGCAGGGAGUUUUAUGGAACCUAGAGGUCACUUUAUCUCUUAUCUUAGAGCCCGAAAGCUUAUCUCUAAAGGCUAUAUGUAUCAUCUAAUCCGAGUAAAAGAUUCAAAAGUUGGAAACCUUCCUCUGCAGUCAGUCCCUGUAGUGAAUGAAUUCCCAGAACUCUUUCCCGAAGAUCUCCCAGGGAUUCCCCCGAUAGGGAGAUAGAUUUUGGCAUUUAUGUGUUGCCAGACACUCAUCCUAUUUCUAUUCCGCCAUAUAGAAUGGCUCUCGUAGAACUAAAGGAGUUAAAGGAACAGCUUGUAGACCUCCUAGACAAAGGUUUUAUUCGUCCAAGUGUUUCCCCAUGGGGUACACCCGUGCUUUUCGUGCGAAAAAAGGAUGGGUCCCUUCGGAUGUGCAUAGACUACCGUCAGUUGAAUAAGGUCACAAUUAAAAAUCGACAUCCUUUUCCUACGAUUGACGACCUUUUUGACCAGCUUCAAGGUGCCAAGUUCUUUUCAAAAAUAGACCUUCGUUCGGGUUAUCAUCAGUUGGCAGUUAGGGAGUCAGACAUAGCCAAGACAGCCUUCCGAACCCGAUAUGAUCACUACAAAUUUCUAGCCAUGUCCUUCAGGUUGACUAACGCCCCAACAGCCUUUAUAGAUCUUAUGAAUACAAUGUUCUGUCAGUUUCUUGACUUGUUAUUCAUUGUAUUUAUUGAUGAUAUUCUGAUCUAUUCUAAGAGUAAAGAGGAUCACGCCAAUGUAACUCCCCGAAAAAUGGGUCCCGAAGCGUCACACGGUGCAUGAGGCUAUGAGUAGCCCCAAGCCAACCCUUUGAGCCAUUUUCAUUCAAUUCAACACAAAUCAACGGUGUUUCUAUAAGUAACCCUCAAAUAUAAAAAGAGUAAUCAUCAUUCAAGAAUAAAAGAAUUUCAGAAAGAUAACAGAAUAUGAAUUAUUAGUCAACUCCCAACAACUAUUCUAGUCUGACAAGCCUCUAAGAAAAUCAAUAAAGCCAGCGAGCCAUUGAGACAUGCCCCAACUGACUCAUACUCAGUUAUCAAAUGUAAAAAAUUUCGUGAAACCAACAUCAAACAUCACGUCCUCUGAACAUGAGGACUCACCACAACAUAGGAUGUAGAACAGCGUGCCCGAAGAAUCACUGUCGAAUCUGGAACUGAGCACCUGAACCUACAUUCCGAGAAAAUGCAGCCCAUAUCUGAAGAUGUAGGUCAGUACUAGGAAAAGGAACCGAGUAUAUGGGGGUGUAUGCAGUUGUAUAAACAUCAUCAUCAUAAAUAUUUAUAAGAAAUAUGCAGGAUGUAUGAAAGACUCGCAUAGCCUGAAGAAAAUCAUCCUAAUCAUUAGAGGAUGAAAUAAGUACAAUAACACAUGUGAGUCAUCAUAUAAUUUGUCAAUCAUUUUCAGUUCAUCAAGAAUAUCAAUUAUCAUAAUGUAAAUAUCAUUUAAAUCUUUCAAAAGAAUAACUUUCACAAUUCCACUUUCAAAUCGCUUCACCAUUCACCAUAGACACAAGGAAACACACACACACUGGGAGAUCCUAUAACCGACAUAAACCAUGUGAGCUACAUGGAGCCCAACGUACAACCCACGUUGGGGAGAGCCGUCCUAUCCUUNNNNNNNNNNNNNNNNNNNNNNNNNNNNNNNNNNNNNNNNNNNNNNNNNNNNNNNNNNNNNNNNNNNNNNNNNNNNNNNNNNNNNNNNNNNNNNNNNNNNNNNNNNNNNNNNNNNNNNNNNNNNNNNNNNNNNNNNNNNNNNNNNNNNNNNNNNNNNNNNNNNNNNNNNNNNNNNNNNNNNNNNNNNNNNNNNNNNNNNNNNNNNNNNNNNNNNNNNNNNNNNNNNNNNNNNNNNNNNNNNNNNNNNNNNNNNNNNNNNNNNNNNNNNNNNNNNNNNNNNNNNNNNNNNNNNNNNNNNNNNNNNNNNNNNNNNNNNNNNNNNNNNNNNNNNNNNNNNNNNNNNNNNNNNNNNNNNNNNNNNNNNNNNNNNNNNNNNNNNNNNNNNNNNNNNNNNNNNNNNNNNNNNNNNNNNNNNNNNNNNNNNNNNNNNNNNNNNNNNNNNNNNNNNNNNNNNNNNNNNNNNNNNNNNNNNNNNNNNNNNNNNNNNNNNNNNNNNNNNNNNNNNNNNNNNNNNNNNNNNNNNNNNNNNNNNNNNNNNNNNNNNNNNNNNNNNNNNNNNNNNNNNNNNNNNNNNNNNNNNNNNNNNNNNNNNNNNNNNNNNNNNNNNNNNNNNNNNNNNNNNNNNNNNNNNNNNNNNNNNNNNNNNUUUAAUAUAGGGUUUGGAUGGAUUUUGGGUGAGGGGGAAUGACCAAAAUGCCCCUAAAAAUUAAAAAAAUUCUCGAAUCUGUUCUUUGGUGGACUAUUUUGAUAGUCUAAAGUAGAUCAACCAUAACGUUUUACUCCGAUAUCCAAUUUGGAUGAAGCCAAUUUCAUUAGAAAGAGGAAUCUCAUAUAUUUCCAUUGAUAUAUAGUAUCUCACCCAGAUCAUUGUGUACGAGGAGUUAUGAUCGUUUGAAGUUGACCCAAAAAUUCACUUUUGAUAGGUUGAAGUAGAUUGACCAUAACUUUUUUCUCCGAUAGACAAAUUUGAUGAAACCAAUUUCAUUGGAAAGAGGACUCACAGAGAUUUAUGUUGAUAUAUAGUAGAUUACCCUGAUCAUUAUGUACAAGGAGUUAUGAUCAUUUAAAGUUGGAGCAAAAAUACGCCAUGCCUCAGUACUUUUUCCACGUUCUACUGUUCACUACUAUUCACGGUUCGAUCGGAAUUUUCAUAAUUCGUCGCUCGAGUGUCUGUUUUGGAUGAUCCAUAUAUCGUUGGAAAUCUUAUUCGAUACUCUACGCAAUGCUGGUUUAUAAUAUAAGACAUUCCAUAUGGAAAAUUUAUAAUUCAUUCUAGAAGAUAUAACCCAACACGUUUACGCAUAAAAUUUCAACGAAAAAUUUCCUGGGGUAUUACAUCAUCCCCCCUGGAAACUUUCAUCCUCGAAUGACGCUAGACAUGCUAAGAUUAGAUAGGGAAUAGAGUAUACAGCUGAAACCAUUCAUUAGACUCAUCACCAUAUCGUUUCUCACUCCGAAUGCAACAUAGAAAGCAUAAAUUCAAGAAACUACAGCUGAACACAUAAUAAAUGACAGCUGAAUUGCUGCAAAUUUUAUCAAAAGUGCAUGAUUUAGGAAAUAACGGUACCUUCGGUUUGAUCGGAGUUCGUGGAGAAUAGGUGCGGGUACUUGGAUCGUAUAUCCGCCUCAACUUUCCAAGUUGCACCCUCAACAGAUUGGUUUCGCCGCAACACCUUGACCAAGGAAACUUCUUUGUUCCUUAGUCUUCGGACAGUGAAAUCAAGAAUCUCAACAGGAAUCUUAUCAAAAGAAAGAUUUUCUUGAAUGUCAGCACUCAUAGAGGAAUCCACUACCACAGCAUCGCUAAUAUGCUUUCUAAGUAUGGAGACAUGGAAUAUUGGAUGAGCAGGGGACAACUCGGAAGGCAACUCGACCUCAUAAGCUACCUUACAAACACGGCUAAGAAUUUUGUAAGGACCAACAUAACGGGGACUAAGCUUCCCCUUCUUUUCGAAUCUCUUCACCCCUCUCAUGGGUGAAAUUUUUAGAUACACUAGGUCACCAACUUCAAAUUCAAGGUCUCUCUUUCUAACAUCCGCAUAUGACUUCUGACGACUCUGCGCAGUUUUCAACCUUUCCCUAAUCAACUUAACUUUUUCCAUAGCUCAAAUACCGAAUCAGGACCAUUCACAGCCGCUUCACUCACCUUGAACCAACCUAUGGGUGAUCUACAUUUCCUCCCAUAUAAGGCUUCAAAUGGAGCCAUGCCAAUACUAGAGUGGAAACUGUUAUUGUAAGCAAACUCUAUCAACGGUAAGUGGUCAUCCCAACCUCCCUUAAAGUCAAGUGCAAAAGCUCUCAACAUAUCCUCUAAGGUCUGGAUGGUCCGCUCAGCCUGACCAUCGGUCUGCGGAUGAAAAGCAGAACUCAAAAGCACUUGGGUACCAAGACCCUUCUGAAAAGCUUUCCAAAAUUGCGAAGUGAACUGAGCACCCCUAUCCGAAAUGAUAGACAAGGGAACUCCAUGCAGUCUGACUAACUCUCAGAUAUACAAUCUAGCGANNNNNNNNNNNNNNNNNNNNNNNNNNNNNNNNNNNNNNNNNNNNNNNNNNNNNNNCAAAUGGAAUCAUGAUGACGUCGGGAAGGAGGUAAACCAAUCACGAAGUCCAUAUUUAUCUCUUCCCACUUCCAGGUGGGAAUACUAAACUCUUGCAUCAUACCACCAGGUCUUUGGUGUUCAACCUUAACCUGUUGGCAUGUUGUACGCUUACCUACAAACGCUGCUAUAUCUUUCUUCAUGUCACUCUACCAAUAGAUUUCCCGCAAGUCUCGGUACAUCUUGUUAGGACCAGGAUGAAUAGAAUAUCGUGCCCCGUGCGCUUCAGCCAUAAUCCUCUGUCUCAUAUUAUUAACAUUUGGGACAAACAAUCUACCCUGCAAUUUCAACACACCAUCUCCCCCUUGGGAGAAAAUCUCUACUUUUUGGUCCUUGACUGACUCCUUCAGUCUGACCAAACUAGCAACUAAGUAUUGUUUUUCCUUCACUUCCGAAACCAAGGAGGAUUCAGAACUACUCUGAACCCCUAUACUACCUUCAGCAGAGUCAAACAACCUAACCCCCAAUCUAAGCAAAUGAUGUACAUCACGAGUCAGCUCUUUCUUACCUUCUAUCACAUAUGAAACACUAUCCAUGGACACUCUACUUAGGGCAUCCGCCACAACAUUGGCCUUGCCCGGAUGGUACAACACACUCAUAUCAUAGUCCUUUAACAAUUCUAACCAUCAUCUCUUUCUAAGAUUUAAUUUUCUCUGGGUAAACACAUACUGCAGACUCUUAUGAUCAGUGUAAACAUCAACAUGGACACCAUACAAAUAGUGUCUCCAGAUUUUCAAAGCAAACACAAUAGCAGCCAACUCAAGGUCAUGGGUGGGGUAAUUUUUCUCAUGGGGUUUCAACUGUCUAGAAGAAUAAGCUAUCACCUUACCCUUCUGCAUCAAUAGGCAACUCAACCCAACUCUCGAAGAAUCACAGUACACCACAAAACCAUCAACAGCAUUAGGCAAAGUUAAAACAAGGGCUGAAGUGAGUCGAGUCUUCAACUCCUAAAAACUCUUCUCACAAGAUUUGGACCACAAGAACUUUACUUUCUUUUGGGUCAACUGAGUCAUAAGAGACGAUAUAGAGGACAAACCCUCAACAAAAUGGUUGUAAUAUCUAGCUAAACCCAAGAAACUUUGGAUAUCAGUCGGAGAAAUAGGUCCAGGCUAAUUUCUAAUAGCUUUGGUCUUUUGGGGAUCAACUCUAAUACCCUCUAAAGAAAUGAUAUGACCCAGAAAACCAACUGACCUUAGCCAAAACUCACACUUACUAAAUUUGGCAAAAAACUUGUGAUCUCUAAGAAUUUGUAAGACAGUUCAGAAUGAUCAGAAUGUUCAUCCUCACUACGGGAGUACACCAGUAUAUCAUCGAUGAACACUAUGACAAACAUAUCCAGAUAUGGUCUGAACACUCGAUUCAUGAGGUCCAUGAAAGCUGCUGGGGCAUUAGUUAACCCGAAAGACAUAACAAGAAACUCAAAAUGGCCAUAACGAGUUCAGAAAGUGGUUUUUGGGAUGUUACACUCCCUAACUUUGAGUUGAUGAUAGCCGAAACGAAGGUCUGUCUUUGAGAAAUAACUUGCACCUUGCAAUUGGUCAAACAAAUCAUCUAUUCUUGGAAGAGGGUACUUAUUUUUAUGAUGAUUGUAUUCAGUUAGCGGUAAUCAAUGCACAUGUGCAAAGAGCCAUCUUUCUUUCUCACAAACAAUAUAGGAGCACCCCAAGGAGAAACAUUGGGACUUAUAAAACCCUUAUCUAGUAGAUCUUUGACUUACUCUUUCAACUCCUUAAGUUCUGUAGGGGCCAUACGGUAAGGAGAAAUAGAAAUGGGCUGAGUAUUAGGAACAAGAUCAAUCCUGAACUCUAUCUCUCUAUCAGGAGGUAUCCCUGGAAGAUUAUUCAAAAAGAUAUUAGAAAACUCAUUAACGAUAUUAACAGACUGGAGAGUUGGAGUCUUAGACUUAAUGUCUUUGAAUCUAACCAAAUGGUAAAUACACCCCUUGGAAAUAAGCUUUCUACCUUUGAGGUAAGAGAUAAAAUGAAUCUUAGGUGACACAGAAUUCCCAGACCACUUAAACACGGAUGCACCCAGAAACUGAAACUUUACCACUCAGGUCCGACAAUCAAUAGAGGCAUGAGAAGAAUAUAGCCAGUCCAUACCCAGAAUCACAUCAAAAUAUACCAUGUAUAACUCAUUCAGAUCAGCUAACAAGACUCUAUGAAGAAUAGUAACAGGACAUUUUUUAUACACUUUCUGGGAAACAAUCGAAUCACCCACUGGGGUAGAAACUAGGAUAGGCUCAGGAAUAAUCUCAGGACUCAUUUCAAAAUUCACAGCAAUCAAAGGUGUAACAUAUAAGAAACUGGAUCCAGGAUUCAACAAAGCAUACACAUCAAACUGAAAUAUAUAAAGCAUAUCAGUAAUAACAUAAGGAGAGUCCUCAUAUUCCUGGCGGGAUGGUAAAGCAUAGAAUCUAUUUUGGUGCUUCCCGCCAGAAUUGCUAGAAGAGGCGCCCUGAGCUAGGACUGGGUGAGUCAUUAGAACUGGAGCACUAACAGUCUGAGUCUGGGUCUGAGGGCGAUAGUCACGACGACCUUGUCCAUCCUGUGGACAAUCUCUAAAUCUAUAACCCAUGUCACCACACCAGAAACAACCCCUCUUAUUACCCCAACACUCACUCUAAUGAUCCCUACCACACUUAGAACACAGGGGACGAUUUAGCUUACUGCCAGUACUAUAUUGGGACCUGGAUGCAUAUGACCAGCUACCUUGCUCCUGCCUACCUCUAAGUAUGGAAGCACUAGCAGAUGACGGUGCUGGCAUAGACGAAUAAUCCUGAUACUGUGGGUGACUCCCUCCCUGUGAUAUACUCUGACCAUGUCCGUGCUGCUCGAACCUAGCUCUCUUAUUCCCUCUCAUUCUAACUUUAUUCUUAAUCUUGUCUACCUCAAUUUGUUGGGCAUGAGUCAUCAACCUAGAAAGAUUCAUCUCACUAUACAGCAUAGCAGACCUACACUUCUUAACCACAUAACUAGACACUCUAGUCACAAACUUACUCAUACUAGACCAAUUAUCAACCACUAAGUCAGGAGCAUACUUGGCAACCUAAUUGAACUUUAGAAAGUACUCCCUAAAAGUCAUAGAGCCCUAUCGCAGGUUCAUAAACUCUUCCACCUUCGUCUCCCUCAUCUCCAAAUGGAAAAACUUAUCCAGGAAUGCAUCCUUGAACUCUUGCCAAGUUGUAGGGACAGCUCCUUCACCUCUACCUUUCCUCCAAGAAACAACCCAGUCAUAAACAAGGUCUUUUAACCUAUACGCAACCAACUCCACGCUAUAUUCAUUAGAUACAUGCAUCACCUGAGUAAUCUUCUGCACCUCCUCUAAAAACAACCGUGGAUCCUCAUCAGACUUGGACGUAUAGAAUUCCAGUGGAUUCAUCCGCGUAAAAUCAUAGAUCCUGGAAGUAGCUGAAUCACCUCCCUGCUGCUGUAGAGCCGAGGCCGAGUUGGCCUAAACAUUUGCAGUAACAGCUUAGGCCAGCGCCAGAAACGCUGCCCAAAAUUUAGUAUGAGACACGUUUUCAUUCCAUGGGUCAGCGGGUUGAGGUUGCUGACCAUCAUUAUUUCUUCUCACUCGACGUGGAGGCAUAUUUCUAAAAGAAGAGAGUGCAAAUCAAUAGCAGAGAGAGACACUUAAAGCACGAUAGACUUCUAAAAGAAAGAAUUAAACUUUUUCCUAAAACAUCUUGUAACCUCUUGCUCAUAGAUGUGGCGCGGUACCCACCAAUGAUCAAGACUCUACUUAACGCGGCUUGUUAGACUCCCUAGGAUACCUUAAAACCUUAGGCUCUGAUACCAAGUUUGUAACGCCCCAGAAAAUGGGUCCCGGAGCGUCACACGGCGCUUGAGGCUACGAGUGGCCCCAAGCCAACCCUUUGAGCCAUUUUCAUUCAGCUCCACACAAAUCAAUGGGGUUUCAUAAGUAACCCUCAAAUAUCAAUAGAGUAAUCAUCAUCCAAGAAUAAAAGAAUUUCAGAAAGAUAACAAAAUAUGACUUAUUAGUCAACUCCCAACAUCUAUACUAGUCUGACAAGCCUCUAAGAAAAUCAAUAAAACCAGCAAGCCAUUGAGACAUGCCCCAACUGACUCAUACUCAGUUAUCAAAUGUAAAAAAUUCCAUGAAACCAACAUCAGACAACACAUCCUUGGAACAUGAGGACUUACCACAAUAUAGGAUGUAGAACAGCGUGCCCGAAGAAUUACUGUCGAAUCUGGAACUGAGCACAUGAACCUAUAUUUCGAGAAAAUGCAGCCCACAUUUGAAGAUGUGGGUCAGUACUACGGAAAGGAAUCGAGUAUAUGGGGGUGUAUGCAGUUGUAUAAACAUCAUCAUCAUAAAUAUUUAUAAGAAAUAUGCAGGAUAUAUGAAGGGCUCACACAGCCUAAAGAAAAUCAUCAUAAUCAUGAGAGGAUGAAAUAAGUACAAUAACACAUGUGAGUCAUCAUAUGAUUUGUCAAUCACUUUCAGUUCAUCAAGAAUAUCAAUUCUCAUAGCGUAAAUAUCAUUUAAAUCUUUCAAAAGAAUAACUUUCACAAUUCCACUUUUAAAUCACUUCACCAUUCACCAUAGACAUAAGGAAACACACACACACUGGGAGAUCCUAUAACCGACAUAAACCAUGUGAGCUACAUGGAGUCCAACGUACAACCCACGUUGGGGAGAGCCGUCCUAUCCUUGCCAUCGGAGUAGGACUAUCGAUAUCAAAUCCACACAAACUAGUGAGCCGUCCUAUCCUUGCCAUCGGAGUAGGCUCACUCCUACGGGGGGGCAUGUAGUUCUAGGGAAGUAAGGUUGCUUUUUACCUCCCACCCAGUGCUAAAGAUUUCUCCCGGACUUAGCUCAGAUCAUUUCAAAGACAAUCCACAACAAAACAAUUUCAAUAAUAUAUAAAUAUACAUCGGGAGCCAUCAUGCUUCUCAUCUAUCAAAAUCAACCACGUUGUGGAUUUCUUUCACACUCGAGUUCAAAACAACUCCAUUAAGACCAAAAGGUCAAAUCAUUCAAAAUAUCUCAAAUAUGCAACAUCAACGUGCUUAUAACACACACUUUCUAAAAAAAAACACAAUUUUCAAUGGGGAUUCACGACCCAAAUAUCAAAUCAUGAUAACAUAUAAUGCUUCUAAUAGGCUUUAAUAUAGGGUUUGUAUGGAUUUUGGUUGAGAGGAAAUGACCAAAACGCCCCUAAAAAUCAAAAAAAUUCUUGAAUCUGUCCUUUGGUGGACUAUUUUGAUAGUCUGAAGUAGAUCAACCAUAACGUUCUACUCCGACAUUCAAAUUGGAUGAAACCAAUUUCAUUAGAUGAGGACUCUCAUAUAUUUCUGUUGAUAUUUAGUAUCUCACCCAGAUCAUUGUGUACGAGGAGUUAUGAUCGUUCGAAUUUGAUCCAAAAAUUGACUUUUGAUAGGCUGAAGUAGAUCGACCAUAACUUUUUUCUCCAAUAAAAAAAUUUGAUGAAACCAAUUUCAUUGGAAAGAGGACUUGCAAAGCUUUCCGUUGAUAUAUAAUAGAUCACCCAGAUCAUUAUGUACAAGGAUUUAUGAUCAUUUAAAGUUGGAGUAAAAAUACGCCAGGCCUCAGUACUUUUUCCUGCACGUUUUACUGUUCACUACUAUUCAUAGUUCGAUCAGAAUGUUCAUAACUCGUCGCUCGGGUGUUCGUCUUGGAUGAUCCACAUAUCGUUGAAAAGCUUAUUCAAUACUCUACGCAAUGGUGGGUCAUAAUCUAAGAUAUUCCUCACAGAAAAUUUAUAAUUCAUUCUAUAAAAUAUAACCCAACACGUUUACGCAUAAAAUUUCAACGAAAAAUUUUCUGGGGUAUUACAGCCAAUCACCUCCUAAUUAUCCUUUAGACCCUUAAGGAUCAUCAGUUGUAUGCAAAAUUUUCUAAGUAUGAAUUUUGGUUAGACGGGAUUGCCUUCCUGGGGCAUAUUGUGUCCAGUGACGGGAUAAGAGUGGAUCCCCAGAAAGUUGAAACAGUGAGAAAAUGGCCCAGGCCCACGACUCCAACCGAUAUUCAAAGCUUCUUGUGUUUUCCGGUGUAUUACAGAAGGUUCGUAGAGAGUUUUUCUUCCAUAGCUGCUCCGCUUACUAAACUGACUCAGAAAAAGGUGAAGUUUGUGUGGUCUGACUUGUGUGAAAAUAGUUUUGAGAAAUCGAAGGACAAGAUGACUACUGCUCCUGUUUUGACCCUUCUCGAGGGUGUAGAUGAUUUUGUCGUUUCUUGUGAUGCGUCCCGUGUAGGACUUGAUUGUGUAUUGAUAUAACGUGGUAAGGUGAUAGCUUAUUCAUCUAGGCAGUUAAAGGUGCAUGAGUGGAAUUACCCCACUCAUGAAUUGGAGUUAGCAGCCGUGUUGUUUGUACUUAGAAUCUACAGAAAUUAUCUCUAUGGAGUGCAUGUUGAUAUUUAUACUGACCAUAAGAGUUUACGGUAUGUUUUCUCACCGAAAGAAUUGAACCUCAGGCAGAUUCGUUGGAUGGAGCUUUUGAAAGACUACGAUAUGAGUAUGCAUUACCAUCCGAGCAAGGCAAAUGUUAUAGCCGACGCCCUUAGCAGGUUGUCUAUGGGCAGCCUUUCUCAUGUAAAAGAAGGAAAGAAAGAGAUGGUGAAGGAUAUUCACCGCCUUGCAAAUCUGGGAGUGCGACUCUUAGAUUCCGAAGAUGGAGGGGUGAUUUUUCAUGAGUUAGCUAAGUCAUCUCUUUGUGCUAAAGUUAAGGAGAAGAAGGUUGAAGAUCCUAUCUUGAUGCAAAUCAAGAAAGAUGUGGGUCAAUAAAAGGUUAUGUCAUUUGAAAUUGGUGGCGAUGGUAUUCUAAAAUUUCAGGGUAGGUUGUGCGUUCCGAAUGUCGAUGGGCUACGGGAUAGAAUCCUUAAUGAGGUGCACACUUCGAGGUAUGUCAUUUACCCAGGCUCUACUAAGAUGUACCAUGAUCUGAAAACCUUGUAUUGGUGGAAUAAGAUGAAACGUGAUGUAGCUUAUUUUGUGUCCAAGUGUUUGAACUGUCAGCAAGUAAAGGUUGAACACAUGAGGCCGGGUGGUACUUCCCAAGAGAUAUCCCUUCCUUUAUGGAAGUUGGAGAUGAUAAAUAUGGACUGCAUUAUAGGACUUCUGAGAUCCCGAAACCAGUAUGAUUCUAUAUGAAUGAUUCUAGAUCGGUUGACCAAGUCAGCACACUUUUUGCCUGUGAGGACUAAUUAUUCGAGAGAGGUUUAUGCUAAGAUUUACAUUGAGGAGAUAGUUCGAUUGCAUGAGGCACCAGUGUCCAUUAUAUCCGAUAGAGGUACACAGUUUUCAUCUCAGUUUUAGAGAUCCUUUCAGAAGUGUUUAGGUAUAUAAGUGAAUUUGAGCACAGCUUUCCACCCUCAGACGGAUAGGCAAGUUGAGCAUCCCAUUCAGACCCUUGAAGAUAUGUUGAGGGCAUGCAUCAUUGAUUUCCAAGGUAGUUGGGUAGAUCACCUGCCACUGGUUGAAUUCGCUUACAAUAAUAGCUACCAUGCGAGCAUCAAGAUGGCUCCUUUUGAGGCUUUGUAUGGGAGGAGAUGUAGGUCUCCGAUAGGAUGGUAUGAAGUGGGUGAGACUCAGUUGUAUGGGCCUGAUCUUGUUCAUCAGGCGAUGGAGAAAGUGAAAAUCAUUAGAGAAUGACUCAAGACUACUCAGAGUCGUCAGAAGUCCUAUGCCGAUGUUUGGAGAAGAGAACUAGAGUUUGAAAUUGGUGAUUGGGUAUUUGUCAAGGUUUCUCCUAUGAAAGGGGUUAUGCGAUUUGUAAAAAGUGGUAAAUUGAUCCCUCGUUAUGUAGGGACAUAUUAGAUUUUGAAAAAAAAUUGGUACAGUUGCAUAUGAGUUAGAAUUGCCUGCAAGUUUGGGUUUCGUUCAUCCGGUAUUCCAUGUGUCCAUGUUGAAGAAAUGCAUUGGAGACCAUUCUAUGGUAUUGCCAGUAGAGGGUAUCAAAGUGAUACACUCCUUGUCUUAUGAAGAAGAGCCCGCUGAGGAGAAAAGAGAUAGCCUAGUAAAGGUACUGUGGAGGAAUCAGAAAGUCGAAGAAGCAACUUGGAAGUCAGAAGAUGACAUAAGAAUUAGAUAUCCCAAUUUGUUUGCUUCGAUGGAGGAGGUGACAGAAGGUACUAUUCCUAUUUUAUAUUUCCUAGUCCUUUAUUAUGCUUGAAAUCGUGUCUAUCUGUGUCCCGCAUCAUCAUUCGGGUACGAAUGAUCCUAAGGGGGAUAAUGUAAAGCCCCGCAAUUCGGGCUACAAUGUAGACCAUGAUUUCGAUGCGUUGCUAAUCCCGAAGCCAUAAAAUCCUAUGUCAACACAGCAUGUUAAUUAUUGUGUAGCAUGUGAAACUGCUCAAGCUUGAAUUUAGACCAUAAAGGUCCUUCAACUCAAGGACGAGUUGAAACUAUUUCGAUCGACUAAGUUUUAGUAGACGUUGUAAAGUGUGUUUGAUUCCAUCGACCAUAACCGUCUGUAUAUAUUGAAUUAGGAAGCCUACUAUGUUUCAAAUGAUAGGUAUUCGAGUUAGCUUUCCAACGAUACCAAUUUGGCUAAAAUCCGACACCCGAGCAAGAAGUUAUGGCCCUUCAAAGUGAUAAGCAUCGCCUAACAAAUCGCCCAUGGCCACUGGAACGCAAAGUCAAUAGCCUAGGCGGCGGCUAUGCAAACAUAGGCGAUAGCCUAGGCGGCGCCUAUGCAAACAUAGGCAAUAGACUAGCAGCGCCUAUGUGAACAUAGGCAACGGGAUGGGCGGCGCCUAUGUAAGGAAUUCUAGUGAUUUAAACACUCCAUGUUGAGGACAAAGUGGUCCUUUUCCACUCUUACUUAGCCCUAAAACACGAGAUUUAGUUCCAAGGACCCCAAAAUACAUAUUCUUUCAUCAAAAGUGCUCAAGAUUCUCCUUAGGGUUUCACAAUAAAAAACCCAAAUAGUUCAAGAUUUGACCAUAGGUUUUCAAAGAUAAUUACAUAUUUCGAAUCACCAAUCCGCAAGCUUCGAGAAACAUCUAUUAUCUUUGGAAAUAGAGGUACGUGGGGUUAUCCAAAAAUCUCAUGGGUGUAAUUUUAAUGAACAUGCAUGAUUUUAAUUUGUCUUUCGUGAUUAAGUACGUGCUUGGUACUAGAACGUCAAGACAACAUUAAAAAAAUAAUAGUCAUGACUUAAGACAUCGACAAGCACUUUAAGUUAUCUUGAAAAUUCACUUAGACCCCUCAACUUAAACUUGUACCUAUUGAAUACCUUUACUGCUGGUCUUGUACCCAUUGAAUACUUUUACUACUUGAAUUUAAACCAUUUAAACACAUUUUUAACAAUAACCUAUAAAUGUAAAGUAUGUGUAGUGCAAUUGUGACGUCGCAAUACAAAAAAUUAAAUGAUGCCAUUUGGCAUGUGAAUCCAAAAACAUAUUAAAAAAAUAACAAUGGUGACAAUUUACAUUUUUUAUUAAAAAAGAAAAAGAAAAUCAAGUUUUUCCCCUACUUUCUCCAAUUCUGUAAAAAAAUUCCAAAUUUUUUUAGCAAUCCAAUUCAUAUUUAUUGCUAUUUUUCUUCUCGUGUUGUGGGUUCCUUAGAAUUUGAAUUCUUUAACAAUAUCAAUAAAGUAAUCUCAAAUUCACAUCAAGUUAGCCGAAAAAAAUGGAGUUUCCCAGUUCAAGAAUCAAAUUUACUGCUGCUGCUUUUUUUUUUCUUUUUCUGUUACAUAAAUUCGUGAUUACAUAAAUGGCUCAGAGAUGGUUUGAUCUAUAAGCGGUCUUUAAUUGACGAAUAAAUAAUAUAUUGCAUAUAUUUUCAGCAAUGACCGAUUAAAGAAAAGAAUUGACGAAUUUAAAAAACUUACAAGAUUGUUAAGAAUUUAAAAAAUAAAAAAAAUACAAAUGAAAGAGGCUGAAGAAGAUGGCUAGGGGGGCGGGGGGCGAAGCAGAGGGGAUGAUUUUAUUUUUAUUUUUUAAUUAAAAUUUGUUAUUAUUAGAAAUUAUUAAUGAAAUAAAUUGAAGUGUGCUUUUUUUUUUUAACAAAAAUUUUAAAAAUACCAUUUGGUAGUUGGUACUCUAUUCACGCUCCUAAUCCAAAGGAGAGUAAAUAACACUUUUCUUGGCACAUCAGCACUUUGUGCCUGAUAGGUAUAGAAUUGAAUGGGUUAGGGUCCUGAUAGGUAUAUACCUUAGUUGAGGGGUCUAAGUGAAUUUUUGGGACAACUUAAAUUGGCUGGCGAUGAUUUAAGCUUAAUAGUCAUCAUAGAUUUAGUUCCUGAUCAUCAGGCUACACCGGAUUCUUCCCUCCAUACUUAAAUUGUGCUGCUAAGGAGGUCUCGUUGAGGUAAAAUGUCAUUCUUAAUGUGGUAUAGUUGUUAGUUUAGCAUUGUAGGCCUAUUGGGUACAUGUGCUUUCGACACUCAUGCAUUCCACGCACGAGUGGACCGUGAUGGUUGAUUGAGUCAGAAGCUCUACUUCCUGUUGGCUAUGUUGUUUCGUGAAGAAAUAUUUAUGUACUCUUUAUCGCUAUUAAGACAAACUCUAACUGUUGAUGUUGUCACUAAUUGAUUAUCUAAUCCACAUAAAGUUGGUGUCGAUAAGCAUCAGAUAUUCUGCAUAUAAUCCUUAGAGUUAUCACAUUUCAACAACGGAAAAGGGACAAAUAUUCCCUCGAACCAUGAUAAAUGGUACGCAUAUGUUAUCCGUCAUACUUUGGGUACACAUAUGCCCCUACCAUUAAUGAAAUGGUACAUAUAUGCCCCUCACACUAACGGUAGGGACAUAUGUGUACUCAAAGUAUGACGAAGGGUAUAUACUUAUCAUUUCAACAAUGCCACUUUUGCAUUACCAUUGUACAAAUAUUGAAUGUGGCGACGCAAAAUGAAUUUUGGGGAUUUGAUGAAAUCAAUAAUUCCAGUAUAACAACAUCAUUGGGGCGGGUAAUCAUCUUGAGACCUCGUUGUAUCAAGCCUACAUUCAAAAAUCGUGCAAGCUAAGUAACAGGAACAAUCAAUUAAUGUUUGUAUUUUCCAGGAACAAGUUUUUUCUUUCCAUAGAGCUCUUUCACUAAAGGGUUUGCUGCCCAUUGAUUUUCAGCAACGCGAUUUGUAGGCUGGAAUUCAAAAAUUUUACCAUCCCGAGAUAAAACAACCUGAUUGGCAAUAUAAGCACAUCAACUAUGAUAAACGCAUAAAUAGUUACUAGUAAACGUUCACGACAAAUCUAUAGCCAUGCUCAACUGGCAACUAUAGUAGAGUUGAAAUCCAGGUGGGAAGAAUAAGUAUAAAAGGGUAGAUAAAGGCAUUAGGUGCUAUGGAGAAAAAAAGUAGCAAUAAUAAUAGAAUAUUCAACGCUUAAAUUUUAUAAUGCAGAAAUCUCGUGAACAUUUAUCAAUCCUAGGGUAAAAUGAUAAUCAACUAAAAGAGCGUAAAAAACAAUAAAAGUGGUCAAUAAUGCAAAGCAUGUGUCAUCCAUUUCAUGGUAACUUCUAAACACAAGAUACUUAUCUCCCCUCAUAUGAAGCAGCCAAUGAAGUAGGUGUCACGUCCCAAAAACCUCAUGCGCGUGACUGGCUCCCGCUAACAACACUUGUCGGGAGAACCAACUUUCCAUGCAUUCUCAAUGUAUACAAUACUAUGGGAUAAAAAUGUGUACAACUUCAAAUGCAAGAAAUAAUCAUUAAACUCAAAGUAAUGAUCCAGCAAGAUAUCGCGAAACGAUUUACGAAAACAACAGUAGUUUAGGUAACAAAUCUCAAACCCAAAACCCACACUAGACCAUGGAGAAUCUAAAUAAAGUUACAUGAGUUCAGCUUUCGGGCAUGCAACCCAACAAAAAGAAAUAUAAGCUAAAAAUAACUAAAGCUGGAUGACAGCCUCCACGAACAAUGAGAAGGUUCAGCUUAGCAACAAAAUCCACAUGUAAAGAUCGUCAGCCACAAGUCUCUCUCUCUCUCUGCAACCAUAUCAGCAAGUAUGCAAGUAAGGAGUGAGCUAUAUAACUAUAACCCAGUAAGAUCCUCGGCUUGCUACUUUAAGUACUCCUGGGACAAGUAUUAGAAAAUACAACAACACCAAGAACACAUAGUUAUUACACACAAGAAGUAUAUCAUAAUAAGAUGUCCAACGAUACCAACAAUCAUUCCUCGAAAAUUAUAUAUCUCAACCCAAUUUAUACCAAGUACUUAUCACCAUUUGAAAUCAAAGUAAUUACCCAACUCUAGAAGUUCUGGGCCACAUACACAAUGUGCCAAAUAUCAAGAGUAUACACAAUACUCGGGAAACAUACAUAAUGUCCCGUAUCAAAUCAAAAAGCAUACAAAAUGCUAAGUAAGGCAUACACAAUGCUUAAAGAAAGCUUACACAAUGCCCCAACAAAAUUAGAAAGCAUACACAAUGCCCCAAUCUCACAGUACACAAUCAUAUCACAUCACAAAAUAAUUUAUAAAAGGAGUAUUGGUAUUCUUAAGCAUGAAGUAUAUGUGUCUGGCCUUGAAGACCGUCAAUUCUGCCAAGCAUACACUCGUCCCAACACAUGAACCGGGCAAAUAUAAAUAUAUCUUAUAAACAAAUUUGUAAAGAAAGCACCUAUGUGUCUGGCCUUGAAGACCGUCAAUUCUGCCAAGCAUACGCUCGUCCCAACACAUGAACCGGGCAAAUAUAAAUAUAUCUUAUAAACAAAUUUGUAAAGAAAGCACCCAAAGUUUAAAGUCUCACUUACCUCACGAAUGACAAGUUCCUCAAUCUUGCAAUGCAUAGUACACCAAACAAACAGCAUCCAAUGAUUUCAAUUUAAUAAAAAUAUUACUUAACGAUGUCAAUUGUGCUAGCAAAUGUCAAGUCUCAAUACUCCUAACCUUCUAGUUUAAAGUUAAACCUUAGUAUCUCAUACCUUAAGAAAUGGAUUAAAAAUUUUCUCUAUCCAACCUAAUUUCUCCAUAAUAAUUUCAUACAAAUUAGUUACCUAACCAUUUGAUCUCAUUAGCCACAAACAUUAUAAGAAACUCUUAAAUGCAUAUUCAAAACUCCACCAAUGCAAAGAAUUUGCAAAGUUGUAAAGCAAGUACUUUUGUUUUCAUAUUCAGGAAGUUAACAUAUCUAAAAUAAAUUAAUAUCAAUACAAAAUCAGGAGUCCCACAAUAUGAAUAUGAUCCCUUUUCUCUCUCUACUCAUUGCUCAAUCAUUACAUCAUAAAAAACAAUCAUUAACUAAUCAAUAGCUUCCACUCUAUCUCGUUAACUCCAUUAGGACCAAUCUUCCGAAAUAUUCUUUGUGUGCACAGUUUUCAUGCUAAAGAAUUAGGAACAAGAUGAGUACCUUAUAAAUAUGAAGUUUUGUAGGUGAGUGUUACUGGCUAAUGUUAUUCUUGUCACGACCCGAACCAGGGCCCUGGCCAUGACGAGCAUUCUGAACCAUGAAGGCCCGAAACACCCCUAUCUAUCUAGUAAUCAUGCACAUAAUUCAUAUGAUAAUAAGCUAUGCGGAAGAUACACAAUAUUACAGAAAACAUGGUCAUAAAUCAAAUGAAAUCAACAAAGGGGAAAUAAUUUCCCACAACAUCUAUAAACAUCUGAACAACCGUCUGCGAAAUCUCUAAUACAUGACUAAAAUAAAUUACUGUCUGAAAACUGGACAAGGUCCUAAGUAGACCCAAAACUACUAAAUGAUAAUUGAACUGACAGGCAUCAGGCCUUCCGAAAUAUAGAAGGCUCACCACUUGAUUCUGCAAAUCUGUCAAAAGAGAUCUACUGGUUAUCUGGACCCCUAAACUGUGACUCCAAACCUGGGAAGGAAGGGGAUCAAUACAAAAGUACUGGUACGCAGAGAAAUCAAAAACAAAAUAUAAUAUUUUUUUUCAAAUAUUGGUGAGAGCCAUUAUAAAGCAGUUUCAUAUCAAAUCAUUUGAAAACACAUGGGCAUAAUGUAAUNNNNNNNNNNNNNNNNNNNNNNNNNNNNNNNNNNNNNNNNNNNNNNNNNNNNNNNNNNNNNNNNNNNNNNNNNNNNNNNNNNNNNNNNNNNNNNNNNNNNNNNNNNNNNNNNNNNNNNNNNNNNNNNNNNNNNNNNNNNNNNNNNNNNNNNNNNNNNNNNNNNNNNNNNNNNNNNNNNNNNNNNNNNNNNNNNNNNNNNNNNNNNNAUAUCUUAUUCUGUAGGGUAUCAUCAUACCCGACUUGCAAGCCAUCAAUAUCACAUCAUUCUUUCAUGCAACCAUUACAUUCAUCAUAUUUCAACAUAACAACCCUCUUAUUGCAAGUCAAAUCCAUGACCAUUUUCAAAAUAUUUCAUGUGACGCUUGUCAAGAUGAUUUCAAACAUUUCACAUCAUAUGAGAAUUUAAAACAAGAUCAUAUAAAGAGAGGAAUUUCAUAUAAUUCAUGCUCUCAAGUGAACAUCUUUUCGGAAUACAUGCAUAUACAUAUAUCAUAUAUCAAAGCACUUCGGGACUAGGCCUAAAGACCAAAUCAAUAUCAUAAAACAUUUAAAAUGGGAUUAUAUUCAUAAUUUCAAAAACCUCCAUUUUUAAAACAUGAAUUUUUAAGCCCAUGAGAUUUUUGAGAUAACCCCACGUACCUUUAUAUGCGAAGAUGAUAGGUGUUUCUUCAAGCCUAUGUUCUGGGGAUUCCAAAUAUGCAAUUAGUUUCAAAAAUCCACGGUUGAAUCUUGAGUUGCUUUGGUUUUUAUUUUGAAACCCUAAGGAGAGUUCUUGAGCAAUUUUGAUGAAUGAAGGUGUAUUUUGGGGUAUUUGGGGACUGAAUUUCGUGUGUAUGGCUAAUUAAGGGUAGGAAAAGGACCAUUUUGCCCCAAAAAUGGAGUGUUUAAGUCACUUGAGUAAUAAUACAUGCGGCGCACACCUUAUCACAUAAUAUAGGUUGUGCGGCGUACUCUUAAUCGCACACAUUAGGUUGUGCGUCGCACACCUUAUGGCAUAAGUUAGAGUGUGCGUCGCACACCUUUUGCUGUACGACACACUCCACUUUGCAAAGACACAACUUCUUCCUCGUGUGUCAGAUUUUUACAAAAUUGGUAUCGUUGGAAAGAUAAUUCGAAUACCUUGCAUUUGAUAUAUAGUAGCUACUAUAAUUCAAUAUAUACAAAUAGUAAUGGUCGAUUGAAGUUGUCCUAAGUCUCAACGCUCACUAAAAUUCAAACGAUAGGAAAACUUUCAACUUGUCCUUGAGCUUGGGGACCUCUAUAAUCUCAAUUCAUGCUCAAAUAGGUUUCCACACUACAUAAUUUAUUAACACACUAAACUUGCAUUACAUUUUUGGAUUUUGGAACCUUUACGUGAAGGAAAUGAUGAUUUUCGUUCUCGUCCAAAAUGCGGGGUGUUACAUUAUCUCCCCCUUGGGAUCAUUCGUCCCCGAAUGAUGGGUAGGAACUUGUUGAAGUUUAAAAGUAUGAAAUAAUGCGGACAUGAUGUGCCUUCUAAGAAAGGACAUAACUGAUCUGAAAUAUUUAAACUUCUAUCAUGAAACUGAAUUCUGAGCUGACUUGGCUUUUCUUGCUUCAAGAAGUUGAUUCGUUCUGAAAAUUUAGGAUUCCCUUUAUAUAUUCAUGAUCCAAUAAUACAUAUUAAAAUUAGGAAUUGAUAACUUAUGCAAGUACGAAUCAUAAAACAUCAAGACUUAGAUCGUACAAGGUUAUUACACUAUCUGAGCUGAAAUAGUUGAAAAUUUUUAAGAUUAUACGCUGAACUCUUAUGCACCAAGUCAUGAAUAGAUAGAUGAAUCUGAAACAUGAUGCUUGGAAUGAACUGAACUCAUAAUUUAUAUGGAUGGAAUAGAUUAUCUCUUGGGAAUGGCCAUACGCAUGAGACUUCGGAUAGUAGUACUAGGUGAAAAGGUGGAAAAACCAUAGUAACUUAUCUGCCCGAUUGUUAAACUGAAUUAUAGACUGAAUUAUACUAGACACUUAUACUUAACUGGAGUAUCUCUUCAACACUCUCUAUAAAGAAGUUCUAGCAGUAAUAGGAAGCCAUGAAUCUUGGGAAUUGAAUACAUAAGACAUCCAACUGAGGGAAAUCACAACAUUUACACUACUCUGCAGUCUGGAAUAUAGACAUAUAACUCAUACACUCUGAAGUAAUAAAGGACUCUUCUCAAGUCCUUACACAAUUUUAAGAUGUUAUAUAACGCGAUCCGAAAGGACCAUACCAUUUAGACUCUAAACUUCUUCACUUGAAUCACCCCAGUAAUGUCAUGGGUCUGAGAACAUCAGAGUAAGAAAAGAAUUUCGGAUGAUUUUACUUUCAUAUGGACGUUACCAUAGCACAAAUUAGAUUAUGAAGGAGGAACAUUCUGACUCUAUUGCACGAACUAGAACAUGAAGAAAAAGAGACAUUCCUAAAUGCCUAGUAGCCUCCUGCUUAUAAGUGUGGCGCGCUACACACCCAUAAACAAAACUCUACCUAACGCGAUUUCGCAGACACCCUGGGACUAUAAACCUUGCUCUAAUAUGAAGUUUUUCACGACCCGAACUGGGGCCCUGACCGUGACGAGCAUUCCGAACCAUAAAGUCCUGAAAUACCCCUAUCUGUUUGGUAAUUCAUACAAAUAAUUCGUAUGAUAAUAGAAAUGCGGAAGAUUAAAUAUAUUGUGGAAACAUGGUCAAGAAUCAUAUGAAAUCAAUAAUGGGGAAUAGUGCCCCCAAAUCUCUAUCAACAUCUAAAAAAUCGUCCGCAAAAUCUCUACUACAUAAUUGAAGCAAAUAACUAUCUGAAAACUAGGACAAGGCCCCUAGUAGACCCAAAACUAAUAAAUAAUAAACAAACUGGCAGACAUCAGGCCUUCUGAAAUAUAGAAGGCUCACCACUUGAUUCUACAAACUUGUCGGAAGAGAUCUACUAGUUAUCUAGACCCCUAGACUAUUCCUCCAAACCUGAGAGGGAAGGGGGUCAAUACAAAAGUACUGGUACGCUGAGAAAUCAAAACAAAAUAUAAUAUUUUUUUAACCAAAUAUAGGUGAGAGCCAUUAUAAAGCAAUUUCAUAUCAAAUCAUUUGAAAACACAUGGGCAUAAUACAAUAGUUUUUCAACAACGAUGCUAUGCGGCUAAGCUAGGUGGAAUACCCUACAUAAUUUACACCAACUGUCAAACCUCGGUUCCCACCGAGAUUAGAGUAUAAGUAAGGGAAAGACACACAAGAUCACACAGCAGGGUGUCCCAACCUAAUAAAGUAUAGUAGUGCCCAAGAUCACUUAACCUGGACUCCUAACCAUAGUGCCAAUUAGGGAAUGACAUAAAGUCAGGUACACAAGAUCACUUAGCCAGGUACCAAGUUCCUGUGUCGGCAAACACGGUUUCCAGUGAUGAUCCCUUACACUCAAACACCUUCUUCGGAUAUCCACCUAUCUCGUAUAAAAUGAAUGCAUUCAACUCCCUUUAAUUCAACCACAUAUCUUAUUCAAUAGGGUAUCGUGAUACCCGACUUGCAAGCCAUCAAUAUCAUAUCAUUCUUUCAUGCAACCAUUAUAUUCAUCAUAUAUCAACAUAUACAACUCUCUCAUGGCAAGUCAAAAUCAUGCCCAAAUCAUAACAAUGUUCAAAACAUUUCAUGUCAUGAUUGACAAUAUGCUUUCAAACAGUUCACAUCAUAUGAAAAUAUAAAAUAAAAUCACAUCAAGAGAGGAAUUUCGUAUAAUUCAUGCUCUCAAGUUCACAUCCUUUCAAAAUACAUGCAUAUACAUAUAUCAUAUAUCAAAUCACUUCGGAAAUAGGCCUAAAGACCAAAUCAAUAUUAUAGAAACGUUUAAAACGUGAUUAUAUACAUAAUUUUCAAAACCCCCAUUUUUAAACAUGAAUUUUAAAGCCCAUGAGAUUUUUGAAAUAACCCGACGUACCUCUAUAUGCGAAGAUGAUAGGUGUUUCUUCAAGCCUACGUUCUGGGGAUUCCAAAUAUGCAAUUAGUUUUAAAAAUCCACGGUUGAAUCUUGAGUUGCUUGGGUUUUUAUUUUGAAACCCCAAGGAGAGUUCUUGAGCAAUUUGGAUGAAUGAAGGUGUAUUUUGGGGUAUUUGGGGACUGAAUUUCGUGUUUAUGGCUAAAUAAUGGUGCGAAAAGGACCAUUUUGCCCCAAAAAUGGAGUGUUUAAGUCACUUGAGUAGUAAUGUAUACGGAGCACACCUUAUCGCAUAAUAUAGUUUGUGAGACGCACUCUUUAUCUCACACAUUAGUUUGUGCGUCGCACACCUUAUGCUGCGCAACACACUCCACUUUGCAAAGCCAUAACUUCUUCCUCGGGUGUUGGAUUUUUUUAAAUUAGUAUCGUUGGAAAGAUAAUUCGAAGACCUUUCAUUUGAUAUAUAUUAGGCACUCUAAUUCAAUAUAUACAAAUAUUAAUUGUCAAUUGAAAUUGACUUAAUUUUCAACGCUCUCUAAAAUCCAAACGAUAGUAAAACUUUCAACUUUUCCUUGAACUUGGGAACCUUUUUGACCUCAAUUCAUACUCAAAUAGGUUUUCACACUACAUAAUUUAUUAACACACUAAACUUGCAUUGGAUUUAUGGCUUUUGGAACCUUUACGUGAAGGAAAUGACGAUUUUCGUUCUCGUCCGAAAUGCGGGGUGUUACAAUCAUCAAUGCCAUUUCUAGUUUCAUCAUCACGGUGCUGCUGUAUACAUGGUUCUAUUUGGGGUUUCGUUGUUUUGCAAAUUUUGAUCUUUCCAUAAAAUGGUUAGCCACCCUUCUGCUACCAAUGGAUUUCCCAUAUAGGGGUAGAGGGUAAAACUAACUAUCGACAACAUUCUGAACUUGAGCGCACCUAAAAAGAAAUUGAACGAAUUGGAUGUACUAAAACUAUAGUUCGACAGAUCCACAGUCUAAGGGUGUUAAGUGGGCCAGCCCGACCCGGCCCGAUCCGGCCCUUGUAACUAACCCGGCCCGGUAAGCCCUAGGGCUUUAGGGUUUCGAGUCCCGGGUCGGUUAUUAUUUUAAAAUGGGCUCAGCUAACCCGGCCCGAAUCAAGCCCAGUUCAAGCUCACCGAUUAACCGGCCAGGCCCGGAUACCUGUUUUUAAAAUAAAAAAUUGGGAUUUUGGGUCAAACUAGCCGUUGGCCCAAUGGUUAUAUAGCCGUUUUUGGAUCCAAACGGCUAGUUUGGGCCCAUUUAUUAAAAAAAAAUAUUUUACUUUAAAAAAUAUUUUUUAACCCUGAAAAAAAUUCUAUAAAUACCCUACAACUUCAAAUCAUUUUUCACAUAAUUUUUCACUCUCUCAAAUCUCAAUUCUCAAUUCUCAAAUAUUCAAUAUAUUUAAUUUCUUCACUUUAAUUUUUUAAUUUUUCGUUUACAAAGUACGAGCGGAAGUUUUUAAAGUCGCAACCUUCUGAUACUUCAAAAAUUUGGUAUAGUCGUUCCAUCUCUUACGUUUAAUUUUUAUUUAUUGUAUUAAUUAUUUAAUAUUUAAUUUUAUUAUAUUUGCGUAUUUUGAAUAUUUUUAAUUUAAUUAAUUUAUAUUAUGGAUAAAUUAAGAAACCUCGCUACUAAAGGUGUUAAAAUAUUUUGUCCUAGAAGCUGUAGUGGUAGUAAGAAGCGAAUUACUAGCGGUAGAGGUAGUUCAAGUAGUAGCUAUUCCCGUGUGCCUUCACCUCCUGUACCACUUGGUACACCUUUUGAGGAAGAGAUAGGUGUAGGAGCUCACGAUAUGGAUUAUGUAGAAGCUCAGAAAAAUUAUGGUAUAGAAGAAGAAAAUGAAGUAGAUGCAGUUAAUUUAGACGAAGAUAAUGAAAAUAUUGCUGAGACACCCGCAGUAGGAGAUGCUAACUUUAGAUCUGAAUCGGUUAAUCUCCCUUCCCGUCCUCCCAGUGCCCCAAGACCUCGUAAAAGAACUAGUGUUGCAGGAAAAUUUUUUGAACGUAUAGCAGAUAUUGAGGUGCAAUGCAAUAUUUGUCAACAAAUAUAUAAGCAUAGAAGUGGAGGCAAGCAAGGGGUACGAGUACGUUAAUGAUACAUAUAGCUGAAGACCACAAAAGAGAGUUAAAUAUUUCACAAGGUGGUGGAGAUGUUGGUGGGCCAACGCAAACUAGAAUGGACCCAGCAACCGGUCAUGUAGCGAAAAAGUAUAAUAAAUUGAGGGACUGGGAAGAAAUAGCUAAAAUGGUAGCUGUGGGUUGUAUGCCUUUUAGUUUUCCUUCUUCUGAUGCCCUUAUUCGUUAUAUACAAGCAAUUUAUAGUCCUAUGUUUAACGGUAUUCCUUGAACUACUUGUCGGUCUAAUAUUUUUAGACUUCAUUCACAAUAUUAUUUUUAUUUAUCAACAUUGUUAAAAAAUAUUCAAUGUAGAUUGUCCCUAACUUCUGAUCUUGGUUGUGCUAUAAAUAAAAAUGAUUAUUUAACCGUUACUUGUCAUUGGAUNNNNNNNNNNNNNNNNNNNNNNNNNNNNNNNNNNNNNNNNNNNNNNNNNNNNNAAACAUACUGGACAAUUUAUUGUUGAUUCUAUUGUUAAAAUUGCUGGAUAUUAUGGUAUCGAAAAUAAAAUUUUAUAUAUUACUUUUGAUAAUGCUUCUAACAACAAAAAUGCUAUAAAAAAAAUUAAAAUCUACACUAUCUCCACCCUUGCCUGAAAUUUUUCAUAUUAAGUGUGCAUGUCAUAUAUAUAAUUUAAUUGUAAAAGAUGGUCUUGAGUUUUUUGAGCUUUAUAUUGAAAAAAUUCGUCUUGCCGUUGGUUUUAUUCAAGGAAAUAAUCGUAGAUCGAGAAUUAAAGAAUUUAAAGUUAAAUGUCAAGAAAAUGGACUUACACCGAUUUUGAUGCCUGAGGAAAUUGAUACUAGAUGGAAUUCUACGUAUGAAUUUUUAAAAACUUAUUAUAAAUAUAUAAUUCCUAUUACACUACCUUNNNNNNNNNNNNNNNNNNNNNNNNNNNNNNNNNNNNNNNNNNNNNNNNNNNNNNNNNNNNNNNNNNNNNNNNNNNNNNNNNNNNNNNNNNNNNNNNNNNNNNNNNNNNNNNNNNNNNNNNNNNNNNNNNNNNNNNNNNNNNNNNNNNNNNNNNNNNNNNNNNNNNNNNNNNNNNNNNNNNNNNNNNNNNNNNNNNNNNNNNNNNNNNNNNNNNNNNNNNNNNNNNNNNNNNNNNNNNNNNNNNNNNNNNNNNNNNNNNNNNNNNNNNNNNNNNNNNNNNNNNNNNNNNNNNNNNNNNNNNNNNNNNNNNNNNNNNNNNNNNNNNNNNNNNNNNNNNNNNNNNNNNNNNNNNNNNNNNNNNNNNNNNNNNNNNNNNNNNNNNNNNNNNNNNNNNNNNNNNNNNNNNNNNNNNNNNNNNNNNNNNNNNNNNNNNNNNNNNNNNNNNNNNNNNNNNNNNNNNNNNNNNNNNNNNNNNNNNNNNNNNNNNNNNNNNNNNNNNNNNNNNNNNNNNNNNNNNNNNNNNNNNNNNNNNNNNNNNNNNNNNNNNNNNNNNNNNNNNNNNNNNNNNNNNNNNNNNNNNNNNNNNNNNNNNNNNNNNNNNNNNNNNNNNNNNNNNNNNNNNNNNNNNNNNNNNNNNNNNNNNNNNNNNNNNNNNNNNNNNNNNNNNNNNNNNNNNNNNNNNNNNNNNNNNNNNNNNNNNNNNNNNNNNNNNNNNNNNNNNNNNNNNNNNNNNNNNNNNNNNNNNNNNNNNNNNNNNNNNNNNNNNNNNNNNNNNNNNNNNNNNNNNNNNNNNNNNNNNNNNNNNNNNNNNNNNNNNNNNNNNNNNNNNNNNNNNNNNNNNNNNNNNNNNNNNNNNNNNNNNNNNNNNNNNNNNNNNNNNNNNNNNNNNNNNNNNNNNNNNNNNNNNNNNNNNNNNNNNNNNNNNNNNNNNNNNNNNNNNNNNNNNNNNNNNNNNNNNNNNNNNNNNNNNNNNNNNNNNNNNNNNNNNNNNNNNNNNNNNNNNNNNNNNNNNNNNNNNNNNNNNNNNNNNNNNNNNNNNNNNNNNNNNNNNNNNNNNNNNNNNNNNNNNNNNNNNNNNNNNNNNNNNNNNNNNNNNNNNNNNNNNNNNNNNNNNNNNNNNNNNNNNNNNNNNNNNNNNNNNNNNNNNNNNNNNNNNNNNNNNNNNNNNNNNNNNNNNNNNNNNNNNNNNNNNNNNNNNNNNNNNNNNAAAUUGAAUUUCUAGUUUUCUACUUUAAAUUAAAAACUUAAUGCUAAUACAUUAUUAAUUUACUACCAAAUAUUAUUAAUUUAUUAUAUUAAGUAGCCUAUGUUUUGUAUAUUUGUGCAUAGAUCUUCUAUAGAAGUGUAUAUUUAACGUUUACAUGUGUAUAUGUUUUAUAAACUAGUAUAUAAGUAUAUCUAUAUAUAUUGUAAUGUAUAUAUAAUGAAGUAUAUUUUAUAAGUAGUAGUAUAUAUACAUUGAAUGGUGCAUAUACACGUGUAUAUAUCUUCUAUAGAAGUGUAUAUUUAACGUAUACAUGUGUAUAUGUUUUAUAAAUUGGAUAUCUUCUACAGAAGUGUAUAUUUAAUGUAUACAUGUGUAUAUAUUUUAUAAAUAAGUGUAUAAGUAUAUCUAUAUAUAUAUUGUAAUGUAUAUAUAAUGUAGUAUAUUUUAUAAGUAGUAGUAUAUAUACAUUGAAUGGUGUGUAUACACUUGUAUAUAUCUCCUAUAGAAGUGUAUAUUUAACAUAUACAUGUGUAUAUGUUUUAUAAAUUAGUAUAUAAGUAUAUCUAUAUAUAUUGUAAUGUAUAUAUAUUGCAGUAUAUUUUUUAAGUAGUAGUAUAUAUACAUCGAAUGGUGCAUAUACACAUGUAUAUAUCUUCUAUAGAAGUAUAUAUUUAACGUAUACAUGUGUAUAUGUUUUAUAAAUUAGUAUAUAAGUAUAUCUAUAUAUAUUGUAAUGUAUAUAUAUUGUAGUAUAUUUUAUAAGUAGUAGUAUAUAUACAUUGAAUAGUGCGUAUACANNNNNNNNNNNNNNNNNNNNNNNNNNNNNNNNNNNNNNNNNNNNNNNNNNNNNNNNNNNNNNNNNNNNNNNNNNNNNNNNNNNNNNNNNNNNNNNNNNNNNNNNNNNNNNNNNNNNNNNNNNNNNNNNNNNNNNNNNNNNNNNNNNNNNNNNNNNNNNNNNNNNNNNNNNNNNNNNNNNNNNNNNNNNNNNNNNNNNNNNNNNNNNNNNNNNNNNNNNNNNNNNNNNNNNNNNNNNNNNNNNNNNNNUUUGUGUAUAUAUUUUUUAAAUUCUAAUGUAGUAUAUACUAUAUAUAUAGUGUAUAUAUAUUAUUUAACAUAUUUAUAAUGUAUAUAGGUGGGUAUAUGUAAUGUAUAUUGAAAGAAAGUUUUUUUCUUAUAUUUUUUACCGGGUUUGACCGAUUUUUUAAUCGGGUUUGACCGAAUUUUUAUGGGUUUGACUGGGUUGGGUUAAGUGGGCCGGGUUAGGGUGGGUUUUAAUUUUUUUACUGUUUGGCCCAGCCCGACCCGUAUAGCGCCAAAACCGGCCCUCAACCUGGUUAAAAUAGAAGGGUCAGUUCCUGGUUGGCCCGACCCGGCCCGUUUGACACCCAUAAUCCACACUGGCGGAGCCACCUUGAAUCUAGGGGGUUCAUACCCCUUUCGACGAAAAAUUAUACUAUUUUGAUACAUCCUUUUUAUACAAGAAAGACAAGGAACAUACUAAAACACACUCCAAAAACAGUCCACUAGUUCAAGAACCGAGGACCCUUUUGAAGACCCCUCUCGGAUUCAAAAAACACCAAUAAGAACACAUUGUAUUGUGGUGUUUAACACCUAAAAACAACCAACCAACAAACUAACAAGAUGGAAGAACAACAAGAUGAACAACAACAAGAAGUUAUGGGUUCACUAGAAACAAGAGGAACGAUUACAAGUUACAAGCACUAACAAGUUUACAAUAAAAGAAAAAAGGGAUAGAUAGAUAGAUAGACUACACGAAGAUGUAAUCUUAAAAAUCCAAGAGCCUAUUCCACUCUUGACCUUUAACACUACAUACAAUGAUUUACCUAUCUCUUACGUGACAAGAGAUCGGAUUCCACCCCUCAAGCACAAACGUUUCCAUACAAAAAAUUUUAAGGGAAAAAGUUCAAAUAUGUCAUCAAACUUUGAGAAAAAAAUCAUUUAUACUAUCCGCUUAAAGUUUGGCUUAUUCAUGCCAUUGACGUUACAAAAAAACUUAUUUAUGCCAUUUUUUAAAACUGUCUAGUUUGAUGAUUUUUGGCAAAAUCAUUUUGUACACGUGGCCAAUAAAUUUUUUUCACGUCUUUUACAAGUCAAAAAAAAAAUUAAGGGAAAAGACUCAAAUAUGUCACUAAACUAUCUGAAAUGACUCAUUUAUGCCAUUAAAAGUUCGGCUCAUUCAUGCCAUCAUUAUUGCAAAAUCAGCUCAUUCAUGUAUUUACUUUUUAACAGUGCGUGUUCAAAAACAUCUUUUCCACGUGGCCUUUUAUUAGAGGUCCACAUCAUUAAUUAAAAAAAAUCAAUAUUAAUUUCAAAAUAUCUUAGAACCAUGAAAAAGAGCCGAUCUAUUUUAAGAUAACCCGACCCGUACCGAUUCUACAACAACAAUAAUUUUUUCGGUCAGAAAAAACAGUGAUUAAUGUAUAUCCUUUGGUUGUUUCUUGUUGAUUCCAAAUUAUUAUAAAUUUUAUGCUUAACACAGCAAGAAUGAAUUGAAUUAAUAUUAGAGAUAAGCAUCCAGUACCUCCGACACACUUCAACUUCACAGGGGUCCUAUUAACCCUGAACUCAAUUUUAGCUUAUUUUUGUCACCCUUUUGUGCUGCCAUAGUACCUUUAUUAUAUAAAAUGAGGAUCACAUCAAAGGUGUCAUAUAAGAUAAAAAGGCUAACAAAAGGUGCCACGUCAGCUAAAAUGAUUGAUUAAAAUAAGCUAAAAUUUAGUUCACGAGGAUAAUAGGACCCCGUGAAGUUGGAGUGUGUCGCAAAUUUGUUCAUAGUUUAGUAGAUGCUUUACUCAUAAUAUUACAAUGAAUUUAUAAGAAAGAUGUUUAUGUUUAAAAUGUCACUUCCUUGCAUAAAGUUACCAAUAAUUUCAAUAUUACAAUUAUUUGUUAAGAAAGAUGCUCACGUUUAAAAUGUUUCUUUCUUUCAUUAAGUGCCAAUAAUUUCCCUCGUAGACCUUUAUAGGGAACAGGAAACUAAGUUGUGGGCUCCAAAAAAAUAAUUACAAAAAAGGAAACUUAAGGGACAACUUAAUAUUAAUAUGCUAUUUUAAUCUCACACGUAUUAACUGUCACGAUCCGAACCGGGACCCUAGCCGUGACGAGCAUUCCCGAACCAUGAAGGUCCAGGAUGCCAAUCUAAAUCUGGUUAUCAUGCAGAACAUCCAUAUAAUAAGGAAAAUGCAGAAAUGAAACUGAACUUUACGGAAACAUGGUCAAUCUAAAUAAAUCAGUUUAAGGGUACGAAAAAUAAGCCCAACAACAACUGGCAAAUGUCGACCAUAGUUUGUGAAAUCUCUACUACAUAAUCCAAUCUGACAUAAUAUCUGAACAACUGGGACAAGGCCCCCAGUAGACCAAAACCAUACUGAAAUAGUAAUUCUCCAAGGAGAUUAGGCCUUCCGAAGCCAAGAAGGAUCACCCACUGACUCUGCGAACUCUGUCUGUCUGUAAAAUCUACUGAGUUACUGGACCCCUAGACUGUGCCUCAGAACCAGAGAGGUUGGAGGGAGGAGGGGGUCAAUACGAAUGUACUGGUGUGCAGAGCAAAUCAAAAUAAUCAUUUAUAAUAAACAUAUGUGAGAGCAGUUUAAAACAAUUCAUAAACAAUCGUGUAGUAAGAAAUCUCAUGGGCAUUUUUAAAGGACUCUGUGACAACAUCUGAAACCUGAGACACUCUUUGUACUACUUCUGCGUUAGGUGGUAUACCCUACAAUUCUGAAAAUUCCACGGGCUGUGUGGAAACUACCAUUAACUCGAUAGCUAAGCCCCCAACCCAAGUGUGCCGCAAGGGUUGGAGUCUCUGAAUCUACUACGCCACACGGCCGUAGCCAGCGUACAAUAAUAAUCUACCUAUAUCGAAAAAUACAGUUUCAGGCUAAGAGUUACUUGAACUCACUCCCUCUUCGGGUAACAACCUAACCCUCUUUUAGGCCUUUUUUAAAACUCUAUCAAAACAUGCAGUAUCUGAAAACAUGAUCUGAAAACAUACUCUGAAAACAUAAUCUGAAAACAUAAAUUUGUCAUGGCAUAAAUACAUAUGGUAUCGUCAAACCAUUGACUUGCAAGUCACAUCUUUGAGCCAUUAUUAGUCCAUCAUAAAUCUCUGUAUUCAAGACACAAGUUUUGAAUCUCACAUUUCAAUAAUUCAAUGCAAUAAAUCUUUUUUCCCAAAUCUCAUGUGAGCACAUACAAUUCUUUCUCCUGAUCACAAGGUUACAUUUAUAUCAAGAAAACCUUCUCAAAAUUCCAAAUCAUGUUCAAAUACCACAGUAUUGUAACAAAAACAUCUUUCAAAAUCACAAACCACAAUCUUUAAUUCAAUGCAAGAGAGGGAGUUCAUAAUUCAUGCUCUCAACAAUCUUUAAUCUAAAAUUCGUACAUAUAUAUAUAUAUAUAUAAAAUCAAUCUUAGGAGUAAAGGCCACAAGACCAAAGCAAUAGUAGUAUUAAAACUUUUAGAAAUGCAUAUCAAUGAUAUAAUUUUCAAAACACCCAUAAAAUACAUGCUUUAACAAUUUCAAAGCCCAUGUAAUUUUUAGGAUAAACCUCACGCACCUCUGUUUCAGAAGAUAAUGGAUGCUUAUUGAAGCCCGCGUUCUGGGGAUUCUGAGUAUGCAAUCAAUUUCGGAAACCCACAGUCGAAUCUUGAUCUACUUGGAUUUUUAUUUUGAAACCCUUAUGAGGGUUCUUGAGAAAUUUUGGUGAAAAUAUGAAUGAUAUGGGUUUUUGGGAGCUUAAUCCCAUGUUUAAUUUGAUAGGGAAAUGGAAAAUUACCAAAACGCCAUUAAAAUCUCGAAGGGAAAACUGAAAAUGGCCUGGGGUGAUCCACCAGGCAUCGCGCGCCUUAGAGCAUCGCUCUAGGCCAAGCGUCGCCUGCUAUAUCGCGGGGGGCCUUCCAGGAAUGGGCGAUUUGCCAAGCGACGCUUGCAGAUCGCGGGGUCUCACUGGAAUGGGACCCCAAAAAUGCCCUUAUGCUCAUCUACAAAUCCCAAAACUCACCCAAGACGUACCCUUAACUCUCCCGAUCACAAUACAAUAAGAAAAUCUGGAAUCGAAGGUCGGGAAGACUGAAAUGUUUUAUCCUGAAGGUCGUCAGCUAAAAGUGAGUCUAAGUCUUUCAAUACUUAGAAAAAUUUUCAUACUUUUCAAUACUAAGUGUACUCUACUAGAGGCUAACACAUGCACGACUUUCUACGGGGUGUUACAUUAUCCCCUUUGGGAUCAUUCGUCCCCGAAUGAUGAUGCAGAAAAACAGUCAUGCAUGAUUUUUGAACAAUUAAAGGCAUAGAAGGUAAUGACAAGGAUUGUACCUUCCAUUACUUUAUUCACCGGAUCAAAUAAACUUGGGUAUUUGUUUCUCAUGUCAUCUUUUGAUUCCCAAGUUCCUUCUUCAACCUUCUGAUUCCUCCACAAUACCUUUACCGAGGCUAUCUUUUUGCUUCUUAAUUUUCUAACUUAGCGAUCAAAGAUUGCUACAGGAUCUUCUUCAUAAGAUAAGGAAUCCGUCACUUUGAUCUCUUCAAUAGGUACUACUAACGAAUGAUCUCCCAUGCACUUUUUCAGCAUGGAUACAUGAAAUACCGGGUGGACAGAACCCAAACUUAUUGGUAACUCUAAUCCAUAUGCAACACCACCUACUCUUCUCAUAAUCUGAUAUGGUCCUAUAAAGUGAGGAAUCGGCUUACCUUUAUUCCUAAAACGCAUAACUCCCUUUAUGGGAGAAACUUUGAGAAAUACCCAAUCUCCAACCUCAAACUCUAAAUCUCUUCUCCUAACAUCGGCGUAGGAUUUCUGACGAAUCUGAGCUGUCUAAAGUCAUUCUACAAUAAGAUUCACAUCUUCCAUUGCCUGAUGAACAAGAUCAGGACCAAACAUCUGCAUCUCACCUACUUCAUACCACCCUAACGGAGAUCUGCAUCUCCUACCAUACAGUGCUUAAAAAGGUGCCAUCUUAAUAUUGGAAUGGAAACUAUUAUUGUAAGAAAAUCCUAUUAAUGGCAAGUGAUCUACCCAACUACCUUUGAAAUCUAUUACACAAGCCCUCAACAUAUCCUCAAGGGUCUGGAUGGUGCGCUCAGCUUGCCCAUCAGUCUGAGGGUGGAAUGCAAUGCUCAAAUUCACUUGGGUACCUAAACCCCUCUGAAAUUGUCUCCAAAACUGUGAAGAAAAUUGUGUACCAUGGUUGAAUAUGAUAGAGACAGGUGUCCCAUGCUAAUAAACGAUUUCAGCAAUGAACAACUUAGCAUAAUCUUCUCCUGAAUAGUUAGUCUUGACAGGCAGAAAGUGAGCUGACUUGGUCAUUCUAUCUACAAUUACCCAUAUGAAAUCAUACUGGUUUCGGGACUUCAGAAGUCCUGUAAUGAAGUCCAUAUUGAUCAUCUCCCAUUUCCAUAAAGGCAAUGCUAUCUCUUGGGAACUACCUCCUAGCCUCAAAUGUUCCACCUUCACUUGUUGGUAGUUCAAACACUUGGAAACAAAAUCAGCUACAUCACGCUUCAUAUUAUUCCACUAAUAUAUAGAUUUCAGGUCAUGGUACAUCUUAGUAGAGCCUGGGUGAAAAACAUACCUCGAAGUGUGAGCUUUACCAAGGAUUUUCUCCCGUAACCCAUCUACAUUCAGGACACACAAUCUAACCUGAUAUCUUAAAAUACCAUCACCACCAAUCUCAAAAGACAUGACUUUCUGCUGACCCAAAUCUUUCUUGAUUUGCAUCAAGAUGAGAUCUUCAAUUUGCUUCUCCUUAACCUCUACACAAAGGGAUGACUUAGCUAUCUCAUGGAUAGUCACUCCUCCUUCUUCGAAAUCCACAAGUCGCACUCCUAGAUUUGCAAGUUGGUGAAUAUCCUUCACCAUUUCCCUCUUAUCCUUCUCAACAUGAGAAAGACUACCCAUAGAUAACCUGUUGAGGGAGUCGGCUACCACAUUCGCUUUGCUGGGAUGAUAGUGCAAGCUCAUGUCAUAAUCUUUCAAAAGCUCCAACCAUCGCCUCUGCCUGAGAUUUAAUUCUUUCUGCAAGAAAGCAUACUACAGACUCUUGUGGUCAGUAAAUAUAUCAACAUGCACACCGUAUAAAUAAUGUCGCCAGAUCUUAAGCGCAAAUACCACAGCCUCUAACUCCAAGUCAUGAGUUGGGUAUUCCGCUCGUGCACCUUCAACUGCCUAGAUGCAUAAGCUACUACCUUCCCAUGCUUCAUAAGUACACAACCAAGUCCCACACGAGACGCAUCAUAGUAUAACAAAAAACCCUCUACACCUUCGAGAAGGGUCAAAACAGGUGCAGUAGUCAUCUUAUCUUCCAACUUCUCAAAGCUAUUAUCACACGAAUCGGACUAAGAAAACUUUACCUUUUUCUGAGUCAAUCUAGUGAGCGGAGUAGCUAUGGAGGAAAACCUCUCUACCAAUCUUCGAUUAUAACCUGCCAAACCCAAGAAGCUCCGAAUAUCGAUUGGAGUCGUGGGUCUGGGCCAUUUUCUCACUGUCUCUUCUUUCUAAGGAUCCACUCUAAUCCCAUCACUGGACAUAAUAUGUCCCAAGAAGGCAAUAGCAUUCAACCAGAAUUCACACUUAGAAAAUUUGGCAUACAGCUGAUGAUCCUUAAGGGUCUGAAGGAUGAUUCGAAGGUGAUUGUCAUGAUCCUCCCCACUCUUAUAAUAAAUCAAAAUAUUAUCAAUAAAUACAAUGACAAACAAGUUAAGAAACUGAUGGAAAACUCUGUUCAUAAGGUCCAUGAAGGCUGCAGGGGCAUUAGUCAACCCGAAGGACAUGACUAGAAUCUCAUAGUGACCGUAUCGGGUUCAAAAAGCCGUUUGUGGAAUGUAUGACUCUCUAACCUUUAACUGAUGGUAGCCCGAAUGAAGGUCUAUUUUUGAUAGUGACCUUAUUUAACUGACAGUAGUCUAUGCACAUACGAAAGGACCCAUCUUUCUUUCGCACGAAAAGUACAGGUGCACCCCAGGGGGAAACACUAGGAAGUAUAAAACCUUUAUCUAGGAGUUUUGCUAACUGCUCUUUCAAUUCUUUUAACUCUACAGGAGCCAUUCUAUAUGGCAGAAUAGAAAUUGGAUGAGUGUCUGGCAACACGUUGAUGCCAAAAUCUAUCUCCCUAUCAGGUGGUAUCCCUGGGAGAUCUUCGAGAAAGACUUCUAGGAACUCAUUCACUACUAGGACUGACUGAAGAGGUAGACUUUCAACAUUAGAGUCUUUUACUCGGACUAGAUGAUAUAGAAAACCUCUAGAAAUAAGUCUUCGAUCUCUAAGAUAAUAGAUGAAGUGCCUUCUAGGAGCUAAGGAAUGUCUCGCCCAUUCUAUUACUGGCUCAUUCGGAAAUAAAAAAGUGACUCUUAGGGUUCUACAGUUUAAUAUUACAUAACAUGAUUAGAGCUAGUCCAUCCCUAAGAUAGAAUCAAAGUCAACCAUAUUGAGUUUUAUAAGGUCUGCCACAGUAUCCCGGCCAAGAAUAGACACCACAUAAUUUCUAUACACCCUCCUAGCCAUAAUAGAAUCACCUACAGGAGUGGAAAUAGAGAAGGGUUCGGCAAUAUCUUCGGGUUCAAACCCAAAACCAACAGCCACAUACGGGGUCACAUAAGAUAAGGUAGACCCGUAAUCAAAAACACAUAAACAUCACAGACAAAGAUUCACAACGUACUGGUGACAACAUUUGGAGAGACUUCAGCCUCCUGACGGUUGGUCAAAGCAUACAACCGAUUUCGACCAGUUCCCAUAGCUGAAGUGGUAUCCUUCUAAGAGGGUGGUGCAAAUGAAUUUGCCUGUUACUUGGCUCCUCCAACAUUACCCUUUGCUGCCGGACAGUCUCUCUAAAUAUGGCCUAGUUGGCCGCAUGAAUAACAUACCAAAGCUCCAAACUGACAUCUCCCAAGAUGAUUCCUCUCGUAUCUCCCACAGCGAGGGUAUGACCGAGGGUUCUGAGCUACACUUCCCUAGGAUUGCAUACCCUGUACUCUCGGCCCUUGGCUAAACUGAAAAUUCUGGGGCCACUGAUCCACUGGAGGUCUGGGCGCUGGGGCACUGGCGACUGAUUAUGCAUUACCCCAAUUCUUCUUCUUCUGCCAUUUACUUUCCCACUUACCACUUUACGGCUGACUGUGAUGUUGUUCUACAGUUCUGUUUCUCUUUGCCUGUCUGUCUCUUUCCUUAGCUUCAGAAAAUUUCUUCUUCUUCUCCUCUACCUGCUGCAUAUAGACUGACAGUCUAGCGAAAUCCAUAUCCCGAUUCAACAUCACUCCCUGAAAGUUAAGUGCCAAGUCAUCUGAAAGGCCAGAUGCAAAUUUCCUCAUCCGGGCUCCCAUAUUACUAGUCAACUCUGGUGCAUAGUGGGCUAGUUUAUUAAACUUCAAAGUGUACUCCUGGACACUCAUACUGCCCUGCUUUAGAUUCAUAAACUCUUCUGCCUUGGCCUCCCUCAACUCCAGAGGAAAGAACCGAUCAAGAAAAUUUUCCACAAAUUUUUACCAAACUGUGGGCUCAGCACUCUCACCUUUUGAAUCCUCCCACUCGGCAUACCAUUGAUUCGCAACAUCAUUAAGCUGAUAAGUCGCUAAUUCCACCCCUUAUACCUCAUCCACAUGCAUUACCUUGAAGAUAUUUUCCAUCCCAUCCACAAACUCAUAUGGAUCUUCCUCCACCUUGGUGCCAGUGAACUUAGGUGGGUUUAUUUUCAUGAAAUAACUGACCUUAGUAGCCUCAGACAUAAUAGAUGCAGACCUAAAAUCUUCUAAUCAUUGAUCCUGGUUAGCUACCAACUGUGUCAGCAUAUGAAUAGACUGUCUGAAUUCUGCAUUCGAAAUAUCUCUCUGACCAGUCGAGGGACGGUUGACAUCACCGUUGAGCCCGAGGUGGACUAGUCGGGACUAGAGGGAUUCCCGGAGUAGGGACAGGUUCUGGAGUGUGAGCUCUAUUACGGGUCCGCAUCCCAUGGGGGGGACGGACCUCAUCUGCCUGAGCAUUCUGAUCGAUGAUACGACAUAGAGACAUAACUAUGUUUCUAAAAUACAAGAGAUCAUUGAUUAGGGGAUAGUUUAGACUCUGAAGCAUGAACUAAAUCACAAAGAAGGGAAACAUUCCUAAACGCCUAGUAGCCCCCUGCUUAUAAGUGUGGCGCGCUACACACCCAUAAAUAAGACUCUCCCCGACACGAUUUCGUAGAUACCCUGGGACCAUGAACCGUGCUUUGAUACUAAGUUUUUCAUGACCCGAACCGGGGCCCUAGCGGUGACGAGCAUUCCCAAACUAUGAAGGUCCAGGAUGCCCAUCUAAAUCUGGUAAUCAUGCACAACAUUCAUAUAAUAAGGAAAAUGCAAAAAUAUAACUGAACUUCACGGAAACAUUGUCAAUCUAAACAAAUCAGUUUAAGGGUACAAAAAAUAAGCCCAACAACAACUGACAAAUGUCUACCAUAAUCUGCAAAAUCUUUACUACAUAAUCCAAUCUGACAUAAUAUCUGAACAACUGGGACAAGGUCCCAAGUAGACCAAGACCAUACUGAAAUAGUAAUUCUCCAAGGAGAUUACACCUUCCGAAGCAAAGAAGGCUCACCAACUGACUCUGCGAACUCUGUCUAUAGAAUCUACUGAGUAACUGGACCCCUAGACUGUGCCUCAGAACCUGAGAGGUUGGGAGGGGGGAGGAGGUCAAUACGAAUGUAUAGGUGGGUAGAGCAAAUCAAAAUAAUCAUUUAUAAUAAAUAUAUGUGAGAGCAGUUUAAAACAAUUCAUAAACAAUCGUGUAGUAAGAAAUUUCAUGGGCAUUUUUAAAGGACUCUGUGACAACAUCUGAAACCUGAGACACUCUUUGUACUACUUUUGCGUUAGGUGGUAUACCCUAUAAUUCUAAAAAUUCCACGGGCUAUCUAGAAACUACCAUUAACUCGACAGCUAAGCCCCCAACCCAAGUGUGCCUCGAUGGUCAGAGUCUCUGAAUCUACUACGCCACACGGCCGUAGCCAGCGUACAAUAACAAUCUACCCGUAUCGGCAAAUACAGUUUCAGGCUAAGAGUUACUUAAACUCACGCCCUCUUUUGGUAACACCUAACCCUAAUUUUAGCCCCUUUUUAAAACUCAAUCAAAACAUGCAGUAUCUGAAAACAUGAUCUAAAAACAUACUCUGAAAACAUAAUCUGAAAACAUAAAUUUGUCAUGGCAUAAAUACAUAUGGUAUCAUCAUACCAUUGACUUGCAAGUCACAUCUCUGAGCCAUUAUUAGUCUGUCAUAAAUCUCUGUAUUCAAGACACAAGUUUUGAAACUCGCAUUUCAAUAAUUCAAUGCAAUAAAUCUUUUUCUCAAAUCUCAUAUGAGCACAUACAAUUCUUUCUCAUGAUCACAAGGACACAUUUAUAUCAAGAAAACCCUGUCACAAUUCCAAAUCAUGUUCAAAUGCCAGAGUACUGCAACAAAAACAUCUUUCAAAAUCACAAACCACAAUCUUUAAUUCAAUGCAAGAGAGGGAGUUCAUAAUUCAUGCUCUCAACAAUCUUUAAUCUAAAAUUCAUACAUAUAUGUGUUUAUAUAUAUAAAUCAAUCUUAGGAGUAAAGGCCACAAGACCAAAGCAAUAGUAGUAUUAAAACUUUUUGAAAUGCAUAUCAAUGAUAUAAUUUUCAAAACCCCAUAAAAUACAUGCUUUAACAAUUUCAAAGCCCAUGUAGUUUUUAGGAUAAACCCCACGCACCUCUGUUUCGGAAGAUAAUGGAUGCUUAUUAAAGCCCGCGUUCUGGGGAUUCUGAAUAUGCAAUCAAUUUUGGAAACCCACAGUCGAAUCUUGAUCUGCUUGUAUUUUUAUUUUGAAACCCUUAUGAGGGUUCUUGAGAAAUUUUGGUGAAAAUAUGAAUGAUAUGGGUUUUUGGGAGCUUAAUCCCAUGUUUAAGUUUAUAGUGAAAUGGAAAAUUACCAAAACGCCAUUAAAAUCUCGGAGGGAAAACUGAAAAUGGCCUGGGGUGAUCCACCAGGCGCCGCCCGCCUUAGAGCAACGCUCUAGGCCAGGUGUCGCCUGCUAUAUCGCGGGGGCCCUUCCAGUAACGCCAGGCGACGCCUGCAGAUCGCGGGGUCUCACUGGAAUUGGACCCCAAACAUGCCCUUAUGCUUGUCUACAAAUCCCGAAACUCACCCGAGACGUACCCUUAACUCCCCCGAUCACAACGCAACAAGAAAAUCUGGAAUCAAGGGUCAGGAAGACUGAAAUGUUGUAUGCCGAAGGUCGUCAGCUGAAAGUGAGUCUAAGUCUUUUAAUACUUAGAAAAAUUUUCAUACUUUUCAAGACUAAGUGCACUCUACUAGAGGCUAACAUACGCACGACUUUCUACGGGGUGUUACAUUAAGGGACAACGUUAUACAUCGUAACAAAUAGGUACUUAGUUUUGGCAAACCAAAAUGUAACUAGUGUCAGAUAUGGGUUCUCCAGGAUUUGUAACUUUUGAUACAAUAUAUAUAGAGAUAGAUAGAUAGAUAUCGAAAAUGCUACUGCCAUAUCAACAACUAUUAUAUUUAUUUAUGAUUUCACAUAUAUAAAUCAUAGAAUAUAUAUAAAUUGACUUCUCACCAUUUCCCCUAUCAUAUGUUUCGACAGCUUUAGUGAAGAAAAAGUUGUGUACCCUAAUAGAUAGAAAAAUUAUCAAUUUAAAGUAAUUAUUACUUAAUCUGGAACGUUCAUCAGGAGACCAUUCUACGAACGAGAUUUAUUCUUCGUUAAAUAUUAGUGAUGAGCUUCACAUUAAUUUGGCUUAUGAUUAUAAUGAUGUUUCUUUGAGACUUAUCCUGUAUAUAAUAUCUCAAAAAGAAAUGUAUAUACACACAUUCUUACGAUAAAUAGACAUCCAUUUAUGUAUAUUAUUAACACAUCAUUGAGGUUUGGUCCUCAAAACAUCAUAAGCAAUAUUCGCGCAGAAGGUAAAGUCGUGAAAGAGUUCUUUAGCAAGGGUUUCUUCUUUCAUUGUCUCUCACGACGUUUUUGCUUCGGUUUCUUUUUCCUUUUCUCUUUUCGGGAAGGUGUGGGUGAUGAUGGUGGGAGUUUGCAUGUUCUUAUGCUUGUAGAAAAUUGUGGAUUCUGGAUGUAGCAGUUGAGUUGUGUAUAUUGAAUUCGUGUAAACAUAUAAGGGGUAUUCACUGUGAUUCUAGUUUUUAAUUUUAUGGCUUGUUUCCCUGUGUGUGAACCCUACAUGAAGAUUUAACAGUCCUGUUUAUGCUUAUGGUCGUGUAAUUGUCCACGUUUCAUCAAAGGUAAUUGUUGUAUUUUUCUUAGUCUUCUUGCUAUUAUAGGUACAUGAUAGUUCUCAUCUUAUAAGUAGGAGAUUGACGUCAAUAACUGAAAAGAAAGCAAUUAACGUUUUUUGUUCCUUCAUUAGCAAGGAGUAAAAUACUGAAGUGCUUCAUCGAAAACCAAUCUGAUGCAUUGUUAUUUACAUCUUUUAAAGAUUGGUUUGACUUUUGAAUCUCCGUUCUAAAAAAAUCAUGUUAUCAUGGUUUAGAUUUGUUUCUUGUGGUUGUGGGAGUAUAUAUUACUGUGUGUUGGUGAUCGUAUAUUUGAGAUUUGAGUUAUAAUUUGUGGAAUCCUAUUUCAAUUGGCAACGACGCAUACAUCUUAGUGUAAGAAUUUGGCAUCACUCUUCAAACCUAUUAAAACUGGACCGUUGAUUUGCUAACAAAUGGGUUUGAUUAGUUUUGUGACCUGAUAUGAAUAAAAAGUUAUAUUUAAGGUUAACUGAAGAUAUGAACUGGGAAGUUUUCUGACCAAGUUUAGGUGAGUAGUAACUAGGGAUAGAUGUACAUGAUGUUAAAUGAAAGACACUGAGGUGCAACUGCAGAAAUUCAGUAAACUUAUGUUGGUAAGGCUAAGUUUAUAUAAUUUGUUUGAAACUAAUAUUAUUUUCCUAUAUUUGUUGAGCAUAAUUUUACUUCUAAUUGGUUGUUUUAUUUUGAAUGUGUAGAAACAAUGCGUGGGAUCAAAUUUGAAUGGUGGGCGCCACAACUCAACUUUAUCUAUUCAAGCGAAUGAUGAAGAAUUUUUAAAAUAUUUUGAUAUACGUUUAUAUACAUUUGAUUUUUUGUCGAACUUGGUACAAAUUUUUAUUAUGUUGUUUUUCUAAUUAGUAUGUAAAAGACAUGGUUUUUUGAAUUUCAUUACAAAUCUCUGCGCUUCAAUUAUUUUUUAGCUAAUUGAUGCAUGUGAUUAUAUAUAAAUAUGUAUUUUUAUGUAAUGUGCUUAGUGAUGUAUAUAUUUCCAUCAAAAUAAUUAUUUUUCAAUUAGAAAUUAGGUACUAACACUUUAUAUGCCUAAUGCCAUUUCUGUAAAUUAUGGUUUGAACUAUUAAAUUUUAGACAAUAUUACAACACUUUAAAAGUGUGGCUAAAACAUGCUUAUACUUUACAAAUGUUGUUAUAGAGGAUGUAUAAAAGGCUACGAUUUUGAAGUGUGGCUAGUAAUAAAGAAAAGGCCAUAUUUUUUAAGUGUAGUUAUAGAGGUGCUACAAAAGGCUACGCUUGUGAAGCGUGCACAAUAGCAAAAUAAAGGCAAUGUUUUUUAAGUGUUGUUGUAGAAGUGCUACAAAAGGCUAUGCUUGUGAAGCGUGCCCAAUAGAAAAACAAAGGCAAUACUUGUAAGUGUAGCUUUAUCAAAUAAAAGUGUUGCCAAUGACAAGCUGCAAAGUGAGGCCUUUAUAUCUUAAUGGCCACACUUAUUAAAUGUAGUUGAUACGACAAUACUUGAAAAGCGUGGUGUUUGAUCAAAGGUUAUGCCUUUUUAGGCCACCCUCCUAAAAGUGUUGCCUAAAAUCCGAAAGUGUAGCCUUUGAUCAAAGGGCAUAUUUCCGCUAUUCUAGACCACACUUUACAAGAGUGGCAAUAGGACUAAAAUCUUACGCAAAUUGACCUAUUUAGUAAACGCGAUUACAAAAUAGUCAAGGAGUACUAUCCCUUCACCUUGUAAAUAUCCCUCUUGGUAAUUAAUAAAAUUCCUUUACUUGCCAAAAAGAUUCAUUCUUCACAUCAAUAAAUUAAUUUAACAAACAUUUGAAACAGAACAAGUUAUUUGGAACAAGAGUCUCCAAGAGCAUGUUCAACAUGCAAGAAGUUGAUUCCUGAUCUUCUCUAGUAUCCCUACAACAUCUUUCAUGGUUGUCCGUCUAGCUGGAAAUUCAACACAACAAUCUAGCGCCACUUUCAUGAUUGAUGCUACACAAACUAGCUUCUUCUUCAAGUGAUUAUCCAUUGGUGGAACCAAGUUGGAAUCCACAAAAUCCAUUACUGCAUCAGGAAGUAAAUAACUCACCCAUUGUUUCAAGCUAAUAUCUCCCUCAAACUCACUAGGCUUUCUCCUAGUAAACGUUUCCAGCAACAUGAUUCCAUAACUAUACACGUCACAUUUAGUAGACACCAAUCCAUCUUGUCCAUACUCUACAAUCAAAAAAUUAUUUAAAGAUGUAACAUAAUAACUUGGUGGAAAACGAGGAAGGGAAAAGAAAUGUUCAAAGCAAAAUCAAAAGACGUACCUGGUGCAAUAUAACCCAAUGUUGCUAAUGUUUUUGUGUAUAAAUCACUCUCAUCUUCACCAAGAAGUUUUGAAAUGCCAAAGUCGCUUAGAUGUGCAACCAUAUCCUCAUCCAGCAAGACGUUACUAGGCUUUACGUCACUGUGAAUCACAGGCGAUGAGCACCCAUGGUGAAGAUAUUCCAAAGCACAUGCCACAUCCAUCAUUAUGCUUAGUCUCUGCUUGAUGUCGAGGAAGUAGCUGUGAGAAUACAAAUACUUCUCAAGACUCCCAUUAGGCAUAUAAUCGAGAACUAAAGCCUUGAAAUCAAGAUUGGAACAACUAGUAAUGACUUUUACGAGAUUCCUAUGGCGAAGGCUACGCAAAACUUCACAUUCCGUGUCAAAACCCUUGAAUGCUGCAUCCAGUUGCAGAUUGAACACUUUAACUGCAAUGGCAGUUCCACUNNNNNNNNNNNNNNNNNNNNNNNNNNNNNNNNNNNNNNNNNNNNNNNNNNNNNNNNNNNNNNNNNNNNNNNNNNNNNNNNNNNNNNNNNNNNNNNNNNNNNNNNNNNNNNNNNNNNNNNNNNNNNNNNNNNNNNNNNNNNNNNNNNNNNNNNNNNNNNNNNNNNNNNNNNNNNNNNNNNNNNNNNNNNNNNNNNNNNNNNNNNNNNNNNNNNNNNNNNNNNNNNNNNNNNNNNNNNNNNNNNNNNNNNNNNNNNNNNNNNNNNNNNNNNNNNNNNNNNNNNNNNNNNNNNNNNNNNGAUAUAUUAUUAUGAGAAAGGUCUAGGAAUUCCAAACCUACCAUGUUGCUAAUUGAGUCAGGUAUAGAUCCUUGCAACUUGUUGUGUCUCAAAGAAAGGUGCACCAGAUUUUGCAAGCCUCCAAUUUCUCUUGGAAUUCCAUUUGAGAAUUGAUUCAUUGAUAGAUCCAUCCUGGUUACCGCCUUUAGAUUUCCAAUUUCUGGAGGUAAAGAACCAACCAUGUUGUUUGACGAUAAGUCAAGAACCACUAGAUCUUGAAGGUUCCCUAAGCUUGGUGGUAUAUUGGAACUCAAUUUAUUGGAACCCAGAUGUAUCUCCCUAAGGGAAGUAAUAUUCCCUAAACAAUUAGGAAGAGAUCCUGAAAGUUGAUUUUGACCCAAGUAAAUAUCACCCAAAUGCUUCAAGUUACAUAUAUGAUCUCCAAUAAAUCCUGUUAAUUUAUUGUUAGCCAAGUCGAAGCGCUGGAGCUUUCUCAAGUUUCCAAUUGAUGUGGGAAUCGAUCCAACCAUGUUGUUUCCGGAAAGAUAAAGGAAUAAUAAGCUGCCUUAGCACCCAAUCUCAUUAGGAAUUUGCCCUUGGAUUUUACAACUGUUGGCGACAAAUGUUCUAAGAGAUGUGGAAAGGUUCCCCGUGGAGGCAGGAAGCACGCCGUUUAGAGGAUUCAAAUAUAGAGCUAGAAAUGUUAAAUUUCUACAAUUGGUUAAGGAAGUCAGGAAGCUUAAUGAUGAGUCACUGGUUAAAUUGUUUUCUCCUAAAUUUAGUAACUGUAGAUGAGUCAAAUAUCCAAGAGAAUUAGGAAUCAAGCCAGUGAGUUUGUUGCUGGCAAGCUCAAGAAUAGUAUGUUUUGAAAAAUUGGAGAUGGAAUGAGGAAUAGUCCCAAAAAGAUUGGUUAAGUUGCCCAGAUAAAGCUCUUCAAUGUUGGGUAAGAUAGAAUCUAUGUUUGGUGGGAGGCUUCCUGAUAGAUUGUUGAAUGAAAUAUCAGUUGCUCUCAAUCCUGAUAUGUUGAAGAUCUUCAUAUCAAGAGAAUCACUAAAACUAUUAGCCGAAAGAUCAAGUUUCUCCAACUCAACGAGAUUCCUUAUCUCUUUGGGUAUUUCACCUGUCAACACAUGAAGAAAGAAUGAAUACAAGUGAGAUGAACUAGUUAGGUCAGUGCUUAUCUAUGUGAUUCAUGCUUUUGUUUGACUUGAUGGAGAAGAAUUUUGAAUUGUAAUUGGCAAUGGGAUAAGGUGUCGACAAGAACUCAUAAAAUUAUGUUCUAACUCUAUACUUCUGUUUCCUUCAUUUAUAUUGUUAUUGAUCAAAGAUUUGAGAAGGAUGUACAUAUUGGACUUCUUAAUUUAACUUUCUAUGGAUUUCUAUUGUGUAGUUUUGUAUUUUAUAUGGACUCAAAUAUAUAAAAUGAUACUUUAUUGGAAGUGUGCUAACUACUAUCAGAUCGUGUCUAUUUCAAAGAAUCAGUUUGGUUUUAUGCCUGGUCGCUCGAUGACAGAAGCAAUCCUCCUGGUAAGGGGAUUGGUGGAGCAAUAUAGGGAAAGGAAAUGGGAUUUUCACAUGGUGUUCAUCCACUUAGAGAAGGCUUAUGACAAAGUCCCGAGGGAGGUUCUGUGGAGAUGCUUAGAGGCUAGAGGGGUCCCGAUGCGUACAUCAUAGCUAUUAAGGACAUGUACGAUGGAGGGAAGACUCGGGUGAGAACGGAGGGAGGGGACUCAGAGCCUUUUUUGGUCGAGACGGGAUUGCAUCAGGGUUUGACUCUUAGUCCAUUCCUGUUUGCGUUGGUGAUAGACGUAUUGACACGGAGUAUUCAAGGGGAGGUGCCUUGGUGUAUGUUGUUUGUGGACGAUGUAGUGCAGAUUGAUGAGACACGGGAGGGUGUGAAUGAAAAAUUGGAGGUUCGGAGGCAAACCCUUGAAUCUAAAGGGUUCGGGUUGAGUAGGUUUAAGACAGAGUAUAUGGAAUGGAAGUUAAGUGAAUUGAGGCAGGAGGACGAUAAAGUGGUAAGGUUGGAUUCCCAGGAUGUUCGUAAGAGGGAUAGUUUUAAGGAUAUCUCUAACCAUAUCGGAGCAGGUUGGAUGAAGUGGAGACUCGCCUCGAGAGUGUUGUGUGACAAGAAUGUGCCACUAAAGCUUAAAGACAAAUUCUACAGAGUAGCAGUCUAUCCUUCUAUGCUAUAUGGAGCAGAGUGUUGGCCAAUCAAGAACUGCACAUUCAAAAUAUGAAUGUGGCGGAAAUGGGAAUGUUGUGUUGAAUGUGUGGCCUUAAUAGAGGGGAUAGAGUUAGGAAUGAGACUGUCCGGGAGAAGGUUGGAUUGGCGUCAGUGGAGGAUAAGAUGCGGGAAGGAAGACCGAUAUGGUAUGUGCAUAUGAUAAGAAGGGGCACGAAUGCCCCAGUUAGUUCGUAGGUGUGAGAGGCUAGCGUUGGAUGACUUCAGGGGAAGGAGCGGUAGGCCGAAGAAGUACUGGAGAGAAGUGAUUAGACAUGUUAUGGAGCAGCUUCUGCUUACUGAGGACAUGACCCUAUAUAGGAAGGUGUGGAGGUCGCGGAUAAGGGUAGAAGGCUAGGAUGUGUGCGUGGGUUAGUAAGUAGCUAGAAGAGCUCAGAUUUAGUUGGGUUAGUAACCCUAGGACUGUGCCCAUAGGUAGGGUCCAGGAUCAGGCAGGUUUGGGUCUCUUAUUUCUUAUUGCGCUUAUUUCAUAUUGCUAUGAGUUGUAUUUUAGUGUGUCUUACUUCUUUUUAUGUUAUGCCAUUCAUCAUGCUUCAUAUUUCAUUACGCUCUUGUCUAAUUUUCUCUAUCUUGAGGGAAGUAGCGGUAUGGACUGCAUACAUUCUAUCCUCCCCAGACCUCACUUUAUGGGAAUACAAUGGGUUUGUUGUUGUUGUUGUUGCUAACUACUACCAGAAGUUCAAAUUUACUGUUUAAAAAUUAAAAUACGCUCCUCAUUUGCUUUUUCUUGUCACACUUUUGAAGAUUUAUCUGUAAUUCUUACAUUUUUAUUACUCAUUACAUGCAUGUAUUCAUAAAAUUUUAAUAGUUCUAAUGGAUCUGUAAAAAUUAACAUGAGACACAUGUGCAAUGCACGUGUAUAUAUUGAGAGACACCAUUUGAAUAUAUAUGUACCUAUAAGCUUAUUUCCACUAAUCUGUAGACCUUGCACGUUGGUUAAGUUGCCAAUCUCCCGUGGUAAGAAUCCACUAAGAUUGUUCUGCGCCAGUGACAAAAGUUGCAGAGAUGAGAUAUUGAAUAUGGAGAUCGGGACAGAGCCGGUAAUCUGUUUUUUCUCCAUGUCCAACUCUACCAAAUUAACAAGAUUUCCAAUUUGUUGUGGAAUUAUCCCUGCAAUUAAUGUGAAAUAAAAUAAAAUUCUGAAGUAAUAAGAUACAAUAAUGCUAUUAUUCAUGAGAUAUGUAACGUACCAGUGAAAAGGUUAGUUCCGAGAGCCAAGAUCUGCAGAUUAGUUAAACUUCCAAUUUCACUAUGUAUUGGUCCAUCAAACUCAUUUUCCAAUAAACACAAAAUUUGAAGUUGUGAACAAUUUGAUAAGCUUGUAGGCAUAUGACCGCGAAGCUUGUUAUAAGACAGAUAAAGCCCUUUGAGUAUUGGGAGACCAUUGCAUAAACCAUUGGGAAGAUAUCCUGAUAAGCUAUUGCCUGUAAAUGCAAUGACUUCAAUUCUUGAGAUAUUGAAAAUUGUGAAUGGUAUAGAACCCGUUAGCAGAUUAUACUGUAUGCCCAAAAACUUCAUGUUGUGAAGAUUGCCAAUCCCUUCUGGAAUGUUUCCUUUAAGUGAAUUAAAAGUUAUAUCUAAAGUCUCCAACCUCGAGGCAUUCGAGAGUGACAGAGGAAUGGAACCUAUGAGCUUGUUACCCCUUAAGUGUAAUUCUCUAAGGUUUAUAAGACUUCCAAUUACUUUUGGGAUUUGACCCUCUAUGGAAUUGAAGUUCAGAUUUAAAGUCUCAAGUGUGGAAAUAUUAGAAAAUGAAGACGGGAUGGAACCAGUGAAACUAUUAUUCCCAAGAUUUAGCAAUUGAAGCCGGUGUAAAAACCCAAACCAAGAAGGUACCUCGCCUCUGAAGUUGUUGACACUUAACCUAAGAAACUUAAGCCGACGCAAGCGUGCCAUUUCUUGAGGCAAAUUUCCAUGGAAAUUGUUGCUUCCCAAGUCGAUAUAAACAAGAAAUGAGAGGUUUCCAAAUUCACGGGGAAUCUUGCCUGUAAGAGACAUGUUAGAAAGAUUCAAGGAAUUUACUCGUUGGCGACGAGAACCACAAGUGACCCCAACCCAUUGGCAAACGGACCAAACAGGAGACCAACUUUCAUCCAAGAAGCGAAAGGGGUCGGAAAUGAUUUGGGAUUUUAAAGACAGAAGAGCAAAUUGAUCUGUAGUAAUGUUGGUUUGGGUCAUGACUUAACUAGCCAUAAGCAAGAAGAGUGUUGAGAGAAAAAAUGUGAAGGCUUUCUCCAUUAUUGCAAAACUUAGUAGGUAUACUCUAUAACACGUGGUUUUGAGACUUUAAAUAGAAAUGAGGUCUCCCUUUUGGUCAUAUCAAUACUAAUACCACCAAAUCAACCAAGUCUUUCACAUCUCAAUCAGAAUUAUAAAUAUGGUUGCAGAAAAGUCCUCUAUUGAGCAAAGACUUGGCAAGUCAACCAAGUCUUGCUUUAGUUUUUUGUGUGCUUAAUUCUUAGGAAAUAGUCUUGCUUUCAUAAUUUGUAGAACUGUGUGGUGAAGAGUAGUUCCAAUAAUAUUCAAAUCUUGUUAUUUGGUUGCUCCAAACACUAAUGUCUAAUGCUGAUAGAAUUGAAGAAUUAAACCAACUCAUUGGUGUAACUGGUGAAGUUUUUGUGAUGUGAGCAGAAGGUCAUUAGUUCUAGCAGUGGAAACGACCUCUAACAAAAAAUGCAGGAUAUGGCUACGUACGAUAGAUCCUUAUGGUGAUACCCUUUCCUAGAUCCGAUGCAUAGCAGGAGCUUAGUGCACCGGGCUGCCCUUUUACUGGCAAUAAAACAAGAAGUUGCAUUGAAAUUAAUAAAGUUCCGUGGAGUCCAUAAUUGCAUAAAAGGAAUCAAAGUAAUGGUUACAGAGUGUUGAGGCACUUCUUCGAUGGUCCUUAUACGACUACCAGAGCGCUAUGAAGAAUUCAUUAUUUAUAUAUAUUUUAGGAUGGUGAGAGGAAGUGCAAAAUAAGGAUUGAUUUCGCAUAAGGGAAAGGUGCGAUAAAUACAUCUAAUGAAAGUUAUUAGCAGCAAUAAAUAUCCAUUUUAACAAAGAGUUCUAAAACUUUUACUUACAUUAAUUGAUUGACAUUGGAUCUAAUGUCGCUAUAGACUUUAGGACAUUUAUAAAGAGUGCUAACCUGCAAUCGUCUGCAAUAAUAUUGCCUCUAAAACAGUAUUAAGGGUUAAUUAAGCUAUUGCCUUAAAUAUCUUUUUUGUACUGAAAAGGAUAUUUGUUACUAUUUAUUUUGUAUGAUAAUUAUAUUUAUUGUAAUGCCUCGAAAUCUAAUCUAAUUAUAUUUAUUGUAACGCCUCGAAAUCUAAUCCUGAAACGUCACACGGUGCGGUAUGAACUGCGUACAUCUUACUCUCUCCAAACCCCACUUUGUGGAAAUACACUGAAUUUGUUGUCGUUGUAGGUUGUUACAAGUAUCCUGACAUUUCAUAUUGCAAGAAGUGGUUGAAACAUAAUUGCAUAUGGAGCCACUUCUAACUAAAAGUUGUUGUAACAUAAUUGCAUAGUACCACUUGUUGAAGUGCAUGAAAAAUUAAUUUUAUGUCCCUUUUCUCAAACGAUUAUAAUAGAAUUUUGUGUUCCCACAAAUUGGAGUCUGGAAGAGGUAAAUUAUACGCAGUCCAUACUGCUAUCUCCAAAGAAGUAGAAAGGUUGUUUCCGAUAGACCCUUGGCUCAAGAUAAAGGACAGUAAAUAAGGUUGUAAUGAAAUAAGAAGCAGGAUGAAUGACAUAACACAAAUAUGGAAUAAAAAUAACAAACAUAGAAAUAUGAAAUAAGAGAAAUUAGAGCACUACGAAAUAAGGACUAAGAAAUAGGGCAUCCAUCAAGUAGGAACAUACACACAGACCAAAGAUUACUAACACGGCUACACAAGAUCUCACCUAACCACUUGCUACAACCCACACACUCACACUAGCCUUCUACUCUUAUCCGCGCCCUCCACACCUUCCUAUCUAGGGUCAUGUCCUUAGUAAGCUGUAGCUGCUUCAUGUCAUACUAGCUGCUUCCCUCCAGUAUCGCUUUGGCCUAUCUCUACUCCUCCUGAAACCAUCCAAAGCUAGCCUCUCACACCUAUGAACUGGGGCUUCUGUGCCCCUCCUCAUCACAUGCCCAAACCAUCUCAAACUUCCUUCCCGCAUCUUAUCCUCCACCAAAGUCACUCCCACCUUCUCUCGGAUAAUCUCAUUCCUAAAUCGAUCCCCUCUAGUAAGUCCACACAUCCAAUGCAGCAUUCUCAUUUCCGCCAUCUUCAAUUUUUUAAUGUAAAAGUUCUUAACUGGCCAACACUCCGCUCUAUACAACAUAGUCAGAUGUGUUUCAUACAACGAAUGUUGCUUUAUAAUUAAUUGAAAAAAAAAAAAACCAGUAAGGGACAUGAUUAUGAUGUUCUACCAGCUUUGAUUAAAAAAAGGAAAAAAUAAACACUCACCUUUUUCACUUCUAAUCUGUAUAUAUUGUUGAAUAAACAUUGUAAAGUAUCAACACUUGUCCUCUUCAAUAAAUUUUCUUUUCAAGGUGUUCUGUAAAAUGGGUCUAAAGUCUGUGUUGUGUGCCCAAAUAGAAGUGAAAGCUAAUAAGGAUGCUUUUCAUGAUGUUUUUACACAUAAGCCACACCACAUCUCUACUAUGUGCCCUUUGCAUAUACAAGGUUGUGAGCUUAUUGAUGGUGUCUUUGGAACUGUUGGCUCCAAACUUUUUUGGACCUAUAACCUUGGUAAGCCAAAAAUAUUUUAAAAAUCCCUAAAAAAAAAAAAAAUCGUUCAAGUGGGGUCUUACUGUUUAUGAAAUCAUUUCCUUUAAACUAUGUUAAGCUUCACACUACGGGAAAAUUUGGCUAUUAAGCCUUUUUUAGUUUGCUGUUAGAUUUCUGUAUUACUUGAGCUAAGAAUAAGAGAAAAGGAAGAAAAGGAAGGAUCUAGAAGAAGAAUCUGAUUUUUACUAACUGAAAUCUGUUACAUUGAGUCUCUAUAGGCUUGCAUUUAUAGUGUUGUUUGUUAGCUUCAUGUGUCAACUUUUAAUUAUCAAAAUAACCUACUUUUAUUUUCUUAUUUGUCGGACAUAUAAUAGAUCUGUCGGACAGAUAAUAGAGUUCUUGUUUUUAAACUUGAACUAGCUGAAAUGAUUGUUUCUAGUAUACAGAUUCUUGUACCCGAAUACAUACAAGAUAACAACAAAUAGCAACAAGUAAAUCCGAACGAAAGGGAGUAGUUCCUCCGUCUCACACUAUGAUUCCUAACAUUUCUCUCUCCUCACUUUCCUUUCACUGCUAUCAAUUCAAUCAGGAAAUACUUUCCUCCAUUCUACCCAGAAAUGAGUAAACAGAGCAAGUAUUGACAGUUGAGUGUAAUUACACAGUUUGACCUAAAACUAGGCCUUCAGCUAGGAUUUAGAAUGUGAUCACAGUUAGCUGGGGAAAUAAUUAUCCGAAACCAUUUAUACUCCAAAUUAUCCACAAAAUUCCAGUGUCACAUAUACACCACACUAAUACAUGAAAGUUAAACAGAUGAGCAAGCAAACACAGAUAACAUUCAGAUAUAAAAUAUGUUUCAGUUUCCAAAUUAGGAGGGUUAAUGAGAAUUUUCAGUACUAAUCCGUUAUCUUUAGUUACAUAACAUUUGUCGGGAAUCCUAAGACAGACGAAAUUUACUUUGGCGCUGCAAAACGUAGUUUCAUGAUUUUAUCCAAAUCAACAAACGGAAUGCUACUUUUGAAGUGGAGGACAAAAUGUCAAUAUCAGGAUGUUUCUCGAAUUCAGCCAUAACAUUCCCCAAUGUCUUAUUACCCUCAUGAACCCAGUUUUAGCGUAUUUUUGUCACCCUUUUGUACUGACAAUGGCACCUUUAUUACAUAAAAUGGGGCCCACAACAAAGGUGUCACGUUAGAUAAACAGGUGACACAUCAGCUAAAAAAGAUGACCAAAAUACAUUAAAAUUGAGUCUAGAGGGUAAUAAAACCCCCGUGAAUUAGAGUGUGUUGUAAAAAAUUUGGCCAUAGUUCGGGGGUAGAGUAUUCAUUUGUUCCAAUUUAUUAGACACACUUUAACGUUCACGGGGUCUUAGACUCUUAGUUGACAUGACACCUUUGACGUGGAUCCCAUUUUUAUGUAAAAAAGGUGUCAUGUCAACACAAAAAAGUGACAAAAAUAUGCUAAAAUUGAGUUCAAGGAGUAAUAGAUUUCAUGUGAAGUUGGAGUGUGUCGUAGCAAUUUUGGUCAUAGUUGGAGGGGUAUUUUUAAGAUACGAAUAUAAAGUAAUUAUAUUUCAUAUAAUGUAGUAAUAUUUUAUCUAUAUAUGGAGUAUGCCUUCAUUCCUAUUUAUUUUGGCACAUAUUUUCUUUCUAGUCUAUUCCAAAACAAUAACACUAUUUUUAUAUAUUAAAACGAUUUAGCUUUAAAAUCCACAUUUUAUCCAUAGUAAGAUAAUUAUUUCGACAUAAACGUUUACAUCUUGAUGUUUUAGAUUAUAAUUUCGAAAGUCACUUUUUUUUUCUUUAGCUUUGUAUCUAAUUAAAAUAAUGUCAUAUAAAUUGAGACGAAGCUACAUUGCCUCCCUUUUUCGAAAAUUUCAUACUAUAUAUGGUCUAUGUAUAUCCAUCAAAUAUUAUGUAUAUUAACUCAUAAACACUUCUAGCGAAAUUUCUGACUUUUUCACUGUACGAAAAAAAAUAUAAUUUUCUGAGUAGUCUUCACCGAGUGUAGCACCCCACCCCCACCCCCACCCCAUUUUAGAAUAAUUAAAAUUAUCGAUCUCUUUAUCAUUUAGAAAAUCAAAGCAUGACACUCGCAAAUCACGAUUACGAGAGUUGCUACCUUGGCUAGGGCUAUCUAGAGACUAUGGUUGUCUAGAGUAGAGUCUCGGUAUCGGAAAAUCAAUAGUAUACAACCGAUCCCGUUGAUCAUCUAACUGGUAGGGCACGUGUCACAUCAGAGGCGAAUGAUCAGAGGUGUCCUCUAAUCACCACGACGAGGCUGGUGGUAAGCGAGGGAGGAUUUAGUAAAGGGAUAUAAUGUCACUUUAUACUUUUUUAGUCCCGAGUUGAUAAUUAGAGUUAGAAACUUCACAACUUCCUCCACUCACCUCCACGGGUGCUGACUAACCUCGAUUUUUCUUCCAUAUUCAGCUGAACUCUUAAGGUUUGAUGGUUUCAUUCCUCCAUAUUCAACUGCAACAGAGAAUGAAAUCCUUAGAGGAGUCAAUUAUGGAUCUGGUGUUGCCGGAAUUCGCGAUGAAACCGGUUAUCGAUUGGUAAAAAAACUCGUUAAUAUUUGACCUAUAUACAUAAUAUACAUUUUUUGACGAAUGAUAUACAGUUAAAUUCGUCCCACUUAUGAAAUCCACCCAUGUCACACCCGUUCGACACAUUAAAAAAUUAUACAAGGGUCAUGACAAGUAGAUGCGUCAGAAGUUCCAUCUAGAUUACUUCGCAAUAUAAUGUAGUUUCUUUCAAAUUCAUUGAAAUUUUAUGUACCUAUUCUUGAAUGCUCGUUAUGUAUAGAGGAAUAUGAUCAUGCAUGUGUAACUUUCUAAGAUUUUACACAUAUAAAACUCGUUAAUAUUUGACCUAUAUACAUAAUAUAUAAUUUUUUGACGAAUGAUAUUCAGUUAAAUUCCUCCCACUUAUUAAAUCCACCCAUGUCACACUCGUUUGACACAUGAAAAAAUUAUACAAGGGUCAUGACAAGUAGACGCGUCAGAAGUUCCAUGUAGAUUACUUCGCAAUAUAAUGUAGUUUCUUUCAAAUUCGUUGAAAUUUUAUGUACCUAUUCUUGAAUGCUCGUUAUGUAUAGUGGAAUAUGAUCAUGCAUGUGCGACUUUCUAAGAUUUUACACAUAUAAAAAUCGUAAAUAUUUGACCUAUAUACGUAAUAUAUAAUUUUUUGACGAAUGAUAGUCAGUUAAAUUCCUCCCACUUAUUAAAUCCACCCAUGUCAUACUCGUUCGACACAUAAAAAGUUAUACAAGGGUCAUGACAAGUAGACGCGUCAGAAGUUCCAUCUAGAUUACUUUUUAAUAUAAUAUAGUUUCUUUCAAAUUUGUUGAAAUUCCGUACCUAUGCUUGAGUGCUCGAUAUAUAUAUAUAUAUUUACAUAUAUAUAUAAAUUACUAGAAUAUAAAAUUAUUUUAAUCUUUAACGAAUGAUAUACAGUUAAAUUUGUCCGACUUAUUAAAUCCACCCAUGUCACAUUGACACAUGAUUUAAUUGAAUAUUCUUCGUGGAAAUUCGUACUGCAAAAAUAGUUUUUUAAAAAAUUAUACAAGGCUCACAAGUAGACGAGUCAGAAGUUCCAUCUAGAUUACUUUUUAAUAUAAUAUAAUUUCUUUCAAAUUUCAUGUACUAUUCUUGAAUGCUCGUUAUAUAUAUAUAUAUAGUGGAAUAUGAUCAUUCAUAUGUGACUUUUUACACAUAUAAUACAUGUUAAUUCCUUCUAUUUUUUCAAGUGAAUCUCUUUAUGUAUAUCGCGAUGCCUAUUGUAUCGACUUGGCCUUUCAUAAGUUGUAAACGUUCAUAAUAAAUACGAUUAUUAUAUGUUGUUGAUUCAACACACUUUUUAGUUACAUUCUCUUGUAACAUACGAGAAAUGCAGGUUCAAAAUUCAGGUAUGAUAUUUUUCGAUUUUUGUAUCUCCUUAUCAAAAUGCUGACUCCGCCAUUACUUUCAUUUAUUGUUAAUGUUAUAUUAAUUCAAUUGAAAUACCAUAUUGUGUACAUUUUCAUUUCAAUUGACACUCCUUUCGUGGAAAAAUUACACUGUCCAUCUUGAUUAAAAAAGAUAUUUUCUUUAAUGUGUAUAGAGUAAAGCAUCUAGUACCCCCUUUUGAACUAGCUAUGACCAAAUUUGCAACGACACACUUCAACUUCACAGAGGUCCUAUUACCCCCAUGAACUAAGUUUUUGCGUCUUUUUGUCAAUAUUUUUAGCUGACGUGACACCUUUGACGUGAGUCUCAUUUUAUGUAAUAAAGGUGCCACAUAAACAGCAAAAAAAGCAACAAAAAUACGUUAAAAUUGAGUUCAGGAGGGUAAUAGGACCUCUGCGAAGUUGGAGCGUAUUGUAACACCUAUAUAUAUAUGGCUAUAGUUCGGAGGGGUACCCGAUACUUAUCUCAUGUGUAUAUAUAAACUACAUAUUGAUCAACAUAACACCCCUUGCAAGGCUCCUUCUGGGUUUACUUUUUUAUAUUCUGACACCUCGAUCUCCGUGAAAAUUCUGAUUCCACUAUUAUUAUACUUAUUUUUAUAUUGACAUGCCACUCCUUGCAAGGCUCUUUCGAGCUUACCUUUUUAUAUUUUGACACCCCCUUGCAAGACUCUUCUGAGUUUACUUUUUCAUAUUUUGGCACCUCGAUCUUCGCGAAACUUCUGACUUCACUAUUAUUAUACUAAUUUUUAUAUUGACAUGACACCCCUUGCAUGGCUCUUCUGAGUUUACUCUUUUAUAUUUUGACACUUCGAUCUUCGCGAAGCUUUUGACUCCACUAUUACUAUACUAAUUUUUAUAUUGACAUUACACCCCUUGCAAGGCUCUUCUGAGUUUACCUUUUUUAUAUUUUAACAGUUCAAUCUUCGUGAAAAUUCUGAUUCGACUAUUAUUAUACUAAUUUUUAUAUUGACAUGACACCCCUUGCAAGCUCUUUUGAGUUUGCUUUUUUAUAUUUUGACACCUCGAUCUUCGUGAAAAUUCUGACUCGCCUAUUAUUAUACCAAUUUUUGUAUUGACAUGACACCCCGUGCUAGGCUCUUCUGAAUUUACUCUUUUGUAUUUUGGCCCCUUAAUCUUCGUGAAACUUUUGAGACAUACUCGAACUUUAGAAGGGUCCUAUUACCCAUCUGGACUAAUUAAAAUAAUAUUUUUUGCAACCGUAGUGCCUACGUGGACCUUCAGUGUAUUGAUUCACUGAUAUGCCACGUAUGUGUCACGUAGGCACUAAGGUUGCCAAAAAUAAGGUUUUAAUUAGUACAGGGGUAAUAGAACCCUCCUAAAGUUCGGGUGUGUCUCUACAAUUUCGUAUAUAGUUCAGGGUGGAAACAGAGCAUUUUUUCAUUAUUAUACUAAUUUUUAUAUUGAGGUGACACCCCUUGCAAGACUCUUUUAAGUUUAUUUUUGUAUAUUUUGACACCUCGAUCUCUGUGAAAAUUCUGAUUCCGUCACUAUUACACUAAUUUUCAUGGAAAAUGACUUAUGUUACAGGGUGAUAGAAUCAGCUUGAACAAACAACUAUUCAACCAUCAAGUCACAAUGCUAAGAAUUACUACCAUACUUAGAAAUAGUACUGCAACAAGAAGUCUAUUUAAAAAUUGUCUAUACACUAUUGAUAUUGGCAACAAUGAUAUCUCAACAAUUUUUGCAACGAACAAUACUUUAUCCAUCAAGUUUGUUGUAUACACCAGAUAGAUUUGCAACCUUCCUUGUUCAACAAUUUGGAAGACAACUAAGGGUAAUUUUUACUACUUAUUUACUAAGUUUUAUUCGUAGAGGUCGAAAAAUUAGACCAUGAAAAUACGAUCGCACUGUCCGUUGAAGUUUGGACAGUUGCGCUACGCAUAUUUUGAAUAGACUCUGUGAGAACUUUUGAACCCUGCUUGCUUUAUCAGAAAAACUUUAGAGAAAAUGCACUGUUUCCACCCUAAACUAUACAUGAAAUUGCUGAGACACACCCAAACUUUAGGAGGGUCCUAUUACCCCGGACUAAUUAAAACCGUAUUUUCGGCAACCUUAGUACCUACAUGGCACAUACGUGUCCCUACGUAGACCUUCAGUGUGUUGAUUCACUGGUAUGUCACGUAUGUGCCACAUAGACACUAAGGUUGCCAAAAAUACGGUUUUAAUUAGUCCAGGACGGUAAUAAGACCCUCCUAAAGUUCGGGUGUGUCUCAACAAUUUCAUGGAUAGUUCAGGGUGGACUUUAAGAUGAAAAAUCAAAACUUGUUGAACUUGAAGUUUUUGUCCAUAGUGCAUGCAUGCAAGCCAGGUCAAAAGUUCAAAAUCGACCAGCCACCUCCAAGGUCAGUUUUGUAAAUCACCCGGCGCAAUAGAGUUUGUUCAUCUAAAUUUGUGAUGAAAUUGAAAUAUAACUAGAAAAAUUGUCAAAGAAAUCGACCAUUUUUUUCAGAUAAGCAUCCAGUAUACCCUUGAAUUAUGACCAAAGUUGCUAUGAUAUAAUCCAACUUCACAGGGGUCCUAUUACCCCCCUAAAGUCAAUUUUCGUGUAUUUUUGUCACCCUUUUGUGCUGACGUGACAUCUUUAUUACAUAAAAAUAGGGUCCACGUCAAAGGUAUCACGUCAGCUAAAAAGAUUGACAAAAAUAUGUUAAAAUUUAGUUCGGAAGGCAAUAGGACCCCAUGAAAUUGAAGUAUGUUGUAACAAAUUCGAUCAUAGUUCAGAAGGUACUAAAUGCUUUACCUUUUUUUCAAUAUGUUGGAUAAAGCAAUAGUAAAGGGAAAAGGGUUUUAUUAGUUGUAAUUGAUAAUUAAAUAAAUUAUUGAAAAAAAGACUUGGUUAGAGUUGGAUUUAUUAGACUACAACUCAAUAUUUAGGUAAAAAAACAAACAAACAGUGUUAACUGAUCACUUUUCGACUCUAUCUUUGAAAAAUAGUCACUAUAGCACGGAGUUUCAAACUCCACGUCAUUAUUUGAAUAUACCAAUUUAUUCUAUUCCGUCAAAUUUAGUUCAACGUGUUCAUUUCACACCACUAUUUCUAAUUACAUUAUCUUGAAUUUAUUAAAAAAAAAAUUUGUAUAUUUUUUUUUUUAGAUAUUGCAUGGCUUUGGAGCAAGGAAAGUGGCAGUAUCAAAUAUUGGUUUUUUAGGUUGUUUGCCAGAGAUUACCAGUGUAUUUGGAAGAAAUGCAUCUGGAUGUGCUGAUUUUGUUAAUAAUAAUGUUGAAUUAUAUAAUCAGAAAUUAAAGGUUUUAAUUGAUAAUUUAAACACUAAUCUUCCUGGUGCAAGGUUUAUUAUUUUAAAUCAGACUAGCAUUUCAACAGGGGGUCCACCUACUGGUAGGUUAAAAUAUUCUCUCACUCAUUAAGUUCUUCUGUUCAAUUUAUGUGACAUAAUUUUUGUAAAAUUAUUGGCAUAGCUCAUAAAAUUAAGAAAAAAAGGUUCGAAAUAUGCCUAAAUUUUGACAAAUUUCGUAGUAAUACGCCUCAAGCCCUCAACUUUACAAGGGUUUGAUGACCUCCCUAAAUUAUUUUUUAUAGUAUUUUUGUGGCAUAUAUUUGUCAGCUGGACCACUGCAUAAAUACACACGCACUGAGCGCGUGAGGGUGUGAAGUAGUUCAGCUAAACAAAUAUAUGACAUAGAAAUACGGUAAUAAAUAGUCUAGGAGGGUCAUAGGACCCCCGUAAAGUUGAGGCGUGUUACAAUAAAUUUCGCCAAAGUUUAGGUAUAUUUCAAAUUUUUUUUUUCUAAAAUUAAUGUUAUCUAGUUAGGAAGUCACGAGUUUGAGCUAUGAAACAACCUCCUGCGUAAAUACAGGAAGGAUUGUCUAUAAUUGCGCCUUGUGGCCCGGUUUUUUCCGAACCACCUAUAUAGCAGGAGCGCUUACACCAACCCUAAAGUCUAACCUAACCAUAUUGCCAACCCUAACCCUAGAACACUCUAAAAUAGAACCACAUUUGAUUGAAUUCUUCAUUUUGGUAUACACAAUUUUAGAAUCAUUUUAUACUAUAAUUGUGAGAUUUUUUUUUGUACCUCAUUGAUUAAGGUUAUAUAUAUAUAUAUAUAUAUAUAUAUAUGUUAAGAUUUAUGAUGUUCUUAAAACAUGUCAUAAUAUUUGCGUAACUGUAUGUUACUAUAUAUUAUCAUUGGAUAUUAAAAAUCCAAAUUCCAUCGCGAUAGGUCGAUAACGACCCAAACGAACUGGUUGUCAUUUGUUAGUCGCUAAAAGCUCGGCCGUUAAAAGUUGACGAGCGGAUUUUAGUUUAACCGUUAAAGAUCCAUUAGCGACGACAAAAAAUCAGGUUAUCAUGGUAAAGUUGUUGCCAUGUGAUUAGGAAGUCACGGGUUGAAGCCUUGGAAACAGCCUCUGACCUAAAUGUAAGGUAAGGCUGCGUACAAUACACCCUUGUGAUGGGCCCUUCAUCGAACCCUGCGCAUAUAUAGCCCUGAGCUGCUCUUUUAUGAAAUUGGAAUGCCAUCAGAUAAAUUGAAAUAGAGAGCGUAUCUCUUUUUUUUAUUCAGGUAAUUUAAUUAAUACUAUCAUUUAUUUUUUUUAAUUAAUUUCAGGUUUGACAAUUUUUGACCGACCAUGCUGCAAAGUAUUACCAAACACAACAGCGAAAGGACAAUGCAUUCGAGGCCAAAUUCCAUGCAACAAUAGGAAUGAAUUUGUGUUCUUUGAUAAUUUUCAUCCAACAGAAGCUGCAAAUUUGGCCAUUGCUAGUCGCUAGAAGAUCAUACACUGUUUUUGUACCGACCGACGCGUAUCUGGUAGACAUUAGGCGCCUCGUCGUACAAUCCUGAUACUGCCAGACAUCUCUACAACGUAACAUUGUUUAGUCGAAAAAAGAACUUGAAUACUAUAGUGAAAUGUUGUAAUAGUAAUAAAUCCUCUACAACAAGACCAGUUUGGUUACAUAAAUAAAGAUUGCCAACUGGUGUUAAUGUAGUUAGUGGGGGAAAAUUGGAUACAAAAUAAGGAAAUUUAAUGAAAUAAAUUUUCACUUGUUUUUUAUAUCUAUGCUCAUAAUUUACUUAUGCCAAGUCUUUUCUAUGACUCACUCAACUUUUCCUAAUAUGAACCUUGAGGCAUCAGAGCCUCUCUGACUCAGCCUGGCCCGGUCACCCUACGUGACUGGCUCUCCUUUCCAUAAUAUGAACCUUGAGUCAUCAGAGCCUUUCUGACUCGGUCUCGCUCGAUCACCCUACGCGACUGGCUCUCCUUUCCCUAUUAUGAACCUUGAGUCAUCAAGGCCUUUCUGAUUCUGCCUGGCCCGGCCACCCUACGUGACUGUCUUUCCUUUCCCUAAUAUGAACCUUGAGUCAUCAAACCCUUUCUAAAUCGGCUUGGCUCGGUCUCCCUACACAGCUGGUUCUCUUUUCCCUAAUAUGAACCUUGAGUCAUCAAAGCCUUUCUGACUCUGUUUGGCCCAAUCACCUACUCGAAUGACUCUCCUUUUCCUAAUAUGAACCUUGAGUCAUCAAAGCCUUUCUGACUCGGCUUGGCUCGAUCACCCUACGUGACUGGCGCUUCAAAAGACGAAACUCUCAAUCGUAGUUUGGUAGGCCACCCUAUGCAACUGGAGCUUCAAAAGACGAAACUCUCGAUUGUAGUUUGGCGACCUAUCUUUAGUAGGGCCUUUAGUCUUUUGAUUAGAGUAGGGGUUGCAAAAAAGGAGAGCAUACCACUCAGCCAUAGUCACUCAAAAAAUAAAUGAAAUGCCUAGUAACCGAACUACCAAGAUGUCAUAAAUGACUUGAGGUAGCUAUGAGAAAGAUAUAAAUGGCCAAAUAGUGCAAAAUUUAGAAAAUAAGCUGGAGUGUCAUUAAAACCUUCAACAUGGAGCCUUCCUCUUUUGAACGGUCUUAGAAUGAGAUAAGACAUAGAAAUAUAGAGUUUGCUAAAACUUACAAAUAUAGAAUCUAUACGUUAAAAGGAAGCUAAUGAUACCCAUAUCAUUUAUAUUUAAGAUGGGUCGAAAAUGAGUUAAAAAAAAUAGUCUAAAUGGAAGGACUAAAAUCAGAAUUUUAUUUUAGAAAUAUGUUACCAAGAUUAUAGGAGUCUAUAGUUGAAAAUUCAAGUGAAAACGAGUUAAAAAUGAGGCUUAAAUUGAAGGGGAAAAAACCAUUUUAAAGCUUUACUGAUAAAAGUUCUCGUAUUCUAGUUUGAAAUCAUUAUUAAAAGGCAUUUUCAAAGAUAUAAUCAAUACAAAAUGAUAGAACGAUGAAUUAGAAUCUUACCCAAGCAAGAAUAGUGAGGAAAAAUCGUAGAAAUCGUCUAUUCCUGAAGCUCCAAGGUCAAAAAAUGUUGGAAAUUGCGAAAAAAAAAAUCAUUUAUACUGUUCAGUGAAUAAUACUUUGUGAUCGCAAUUCCCAACUCGUGAUCGUGAAGGUCAACAUUCAUUAGAACUUAAGUUGGUCACCGUAGAGAAACACUUUGCGACCGCGAUGGUCAAACCCGACUCGGUCCAUCAAUUUACCUAUUGCGAUUGCGGUACCACCACCAUGCAAUCACAAUGAAGGAGAUCAUCGAGGUCUGCGAGAUCGUGGCAUGUGUUCAUGCAAUCAGGAUGAAGAACCUGAUGCACCAGAAAAUGCAACAUCAGCAGAUUUUCCAAGUAAAAGAAAUCCCUUCGAACGGUCCCUCUCGGGACCCUACAGAAACAAAUCAUACUUGCUACUAGGCUAUUUUUGACAUUUCAGACUCAAUAAUAAUGUCAGAUUUUAAAAAAGAAUUCAUUUUCAAUAACUUAACCCCCAGGAUCACAUUUAGAUAUUUUUCCUAGUUUUCGAAAUAAUGAUCGAACUGUAAAAUAAAGAUUCUGAAUAUUAACCAACCCCUCUACUCACCCAAAAUUGAUGUUCUGUAUCUAAUGAAAAUGCCCAAAUCACCGUCAGAUAAUCAAAUCAUAAAAUAUUGAUUGAAGUCAAAUUCAUGGCUUUCAAAGACUCUAAAAGUCUCCAACUCUGAAAUCAUUUCAUAAUGCAUGGGAGAUUGUGCUAACCAUCCCCACACCUCACAAUCUGCUUGUAACGACUGUGAGAAAAGCCACAAUAAUCAAAACGUACACAUAAAAAAUGAACAUUUUACAUAGCAGGUUGUUACAAGUAGCAGGGUUAGUAAUUUUAGGACUGCGUCCAUAGGUAGGAGACUCUAGCCAGGAGAAUUUGGGUGGGGUGGGUGUCUUUAGGCUUGUGAUUGUAUGUUACUACUAGGUGGCUGUCCUAUUUCUUAUUUCUUACUUCCUAUUUCGUAUUUAGUAUUGCUCAAUCAGGAGGUAACGGGUUCGAGCCUCUGAAACAGUCUCGUACAGAUAUGCAAGGUAUGGUUAUGUACGAGCUAGAACUUUGUUGACCAGGCUGCCCUUCUAUUGGCUUCAACAACAAUUACUUUCCUCAUAAAUCUGUUAUAGUUUUCUCAGUUUAUGCCCCUUGUACAGUCAAACAGUGAGAUUUAUUGUAACCAUCUAGCAUACCUGAAAGCAAUUAAUUUAUAUAAUAUUAAGAGGAAUUAACACCUUGCAAACAAUAAUACUAAGAGGAAACAGUGAGAGUUAUUGCAACCAUUUAGCAUUUCUGAAACAAAUCAAGUGCUAAAACAAAACAAAACAACAAUCAUGUGAUUUGGAACAACAGAUUCCAAAUACAUGCUCAACAUGCAAGGAGUUGAAUCUCGAUCUUCUGCAGCAUCCCUACAACAUCUUUCAUGUUUGUCCUUCUUGCCGGAGAUUCAGCGCAACAAUCUAAUGCUACUUUCAUGAUCGAAGCCACAACAUCUAGCUCCUUCUGUAAGUGAUUACCCAUUGGUGUUACCAAGUUGACAUCUACAACGUCCAUUACUGCCUCUGGGAGUGAAGCACAUGCCACAUCUAUCAUUAUUCUUAGUCUCUGCUUGGUGUCAAGGAAGUAGUUGUGGGAAUACAAAUACUUCUCAAGACUUCCAUUAGGCAUAUACUCGAGCACUAAAGCCUUGAAAUGAAGAUUAGAACAACUAGUAAUGACUUUAACGAGAUUCCUAUGGCGAAGGCUGCACAAAACUUCACAUUCCGUUUCAAAACUCUUGAAUGCCACAUCCAGUUGCAG